ACAACUUUUACCAAUUUUUCCAGCAAAUCUUACCAAAGCCAAUUAGGCAACGACCUAAGGCCUUAGAUAUUUGAGGGACCUAAAAAAUAAACCAUUUGUUCUCUGGUUCUUGCAGACAGUGGGAACAUAUCUUGUUAUUGCAAAUUAUUGCAUGACAGGAAUGACCUUUAUGAUUUGCUAAAGAAAUGAAGGUACUUUCCUUGGUUUCUUCAUUUUGCUUUAUUUCCACUCGUCAUUCAUUUACCAGUAUGGGUUGAUUCCCUUUCCUAGAAAAUAUGCUCAUGCCAAUUUCCUAAAUUUGUGGAUUUAAUUGAAACUCAAAAAAGUUUAACCAUAUUUUCUUACCUUCGUUUCAGUCCAUGAUAAUCUUUGUCAAAUUUUUAAUUUGUGGAAUCACACACAUUUAAAGAACAUUUUAGUCCAACCUAUCCUUUCCAUCCAAUCUCAUCUUUGCAUUGACAUACGUUAUGUGUUGGUUGGACAAUAAAAGAAAAUAUUAGACAGCAUUAAAGGAUAAACAACCAUCACAAAUUCACGACAUAUUUAUAGAAUACUGCCAAAGAAAUCCAUUUUGAGGAACUUUUAAUCACUUCCAAACAAGCUCUUAGCUCUCAACAUUUUUCAUGAGCUCGAUUUAUAGUACUAAUUAAACAAUAAAAAGAUAUUAAAACUUUUUCCAUAGUAAUCUACAUUUUUGUCCAGCACUAAGCAUGGCUCCUAAAUAUGAUAUGACAGUAAACAUGUGGGCCUUUACUGUUUUAAUAGGAAUCCUCAUCUUUGAGAAUUAUGUUAGUUGUUAUUAUGUCCUCUGAGCAUGUUUCCUCAAGAAUCAAUAGAAAAUAGCUAUUUAUUUUUAUUUUAUUUUUUCAUUUUACUCAAACUCGUGUAUUUCAUGUUGAACUGCCUAGUAUAGAAAGUAAAGAAGAUUAAGUUAUGAGAAAAAAGUUAUGUUUAAGUUCUUCAAGGAUCAAAAGGUGAAAAUAUCAUACCUGAGGGCCUCAUCAUAAUUAUUUGAUAGCCCCGAGAAACCGACCCCAAUAGUCCCUUUUCUAGGAACCAACUUGGUGAGCCUUUCUUCGUCAACGAAUUUAGUUCACAGAUUCGCCUCACUUUCUCCACCAACAAGCCUAGUUUGCAGCUCUGACUCACCGAGUGACUCCAACAAGAUACAUCAAGGUUAACAAAAUGUAGCUCACAUGUAGCAUCCAUGCUGGAUGAGGUUCAAUCAUUUUGAGCCACUUUCAACGAGCCUGGAAGGUUGUUACUACGUAGAUGAAUAUGUGGAUCGCUAGAUUCUGACAUUUGCUCAGCAGAUUAGCACUUUGAGGACGACAGGAUUCAACCAACCCAGUUUGACACAGAACAACUUAUUAAGCAACAGGAAAUCUCUUUCAAUGUGGAUGAGGAAUUUUAUUCAGCAACAUAGGUGGUGUGCUCUAAACUGACUGCAAGGAGCCACGUUCUUAAUUUCUAGAAACAAUCUCGAAACCAAUACUAAUCUCGGCAAGUUUAAUAAAUAUUUUGGUUUUCCUUCCGAAUCCCAUGGCCACUCCGUUGUGGCACAACUCUGGUGCCUAUCCCGCACCAAGUGUGCCUCAACAGCCGAAGCUGGAGGUGAGGGUCCGCUGGAGCUGCCUCGACAACAGUUGCCGGAGGUUGGAGGUUGCGGUGUACCCAGAAACGUCAAAAGUCAUAGUUGGAGGUUGAAUUUUGGUUUAGAUAUUUUAUCGAUCGCCUGAUGGACGAAGUAGUGCUGAGAAUUUAUGAGAACAAAUAAAGGCUGCCUUGCACAACACAAUAUCCCAAUUGUGCCCGUUUUAGAAUUUCCGCGUCCAACGAAAGACAAGGAAGAGACAUUAUUUAUAAAAAUGGAGCGGGGUCCCAUGGUUCAACGCGAGGCUUGAAUUGAAUAUCUCCACUAUCUGAGAAAAAUCUAAAAAACUUUCAUACAGCAGGUGGCGGCCCAAGGUUCUUACCACCAGUGAAGAUUCGGAGCCGUCGAAAGCGACUACCACUGCAACUGCAUCCAACGGAGGCUACGGGAGCCUCGGUGGCGGUGGGGGCACCUGCGGCAGAUCUUGGCCUAGUAUUCAGUCUAACACGAAGAGUUGUACUUGGUCCGCCGAGACCAAGGGGGAUCGAGAUCAAGUGGCAUGUAGGUCGCAACGCCGCUGCUACGGGAGCCUCGGUGGCGGUGGGGGCACCAGGGCUAGAUCUUGGCCCAGUGUUCAGUCUAAAACGCAGAGUUCUACUUGGUCCGCCGAGAUCAAGGGGGAUCGGGAUCGAGAUCGAUUGGCAUGUAGGUCGCAACGCCGCUGCUACGGGAGCCUAGGUGGCAGUGGAGUUCAACACCGAGACCAAGGGGGAAUCGAGAUGGAGAAGCAUGUUGGUCCGUCGUAGCUGGACUGUUUUAACGACCAUGGAGGCGAUUCUCAUCAGUAGGAUUUUGGUGGAAAUUUUGACAGUUACACGGCGAAAUUUAUGGAGAUUUCCAUUUGUACCCGAAUGUGAGUGAAGGGUCCGGCCCCGUACAUUUAUUGGCGUGGGGCCCGACCAUGUGAGUAGUAGUGUAGUAGGUAAUUUAACAAAUAUUGAGUCAAAAAAAUUGGGCCGAAGGAGGUGACCAAAUUACCCCUAAAAUCGAAUAGCUUCCAAAUAAACGCACAAUUAAUUCAUGACACUUUAAUUUAGUGGGUUAAUGAUAAUUUAAUGAUGAUAAAUUUAAAAUAACGUGUUAAUUAUUGAUGACAUGUCAAAAAUUAAUUAGAUAGACAGCAAAUCUCGACUCUAUUUUCCAAAAAGGUAUAUAGUAUGUCAUUUAUAUAUUUUAUUACAUAGCGUAUAACAACUUAUUUUUUCAUUAUAUUUUUAAAAAAAUAAAAAGUCCCUCACUUCAAAGCAUAGAAACAAAAUAUUUUGACAUAAAUUAUCAUCAAGAACGAAAUGUACUACUUAAUGAAAAGUUGAAAAUAAGAAUUCCAAGAAAAAAAUUAAGAAAAUAAUUACUAUAACGAGCAAAAUAAAAUGUAGUGUAAUUAAUAAAAAUUAUAGUGGCAAUACAACCAUCCUAAAAUAAAACUUGACCUCCCUUUGUGGAGACCAAACAAACCACUGGAGAGGUGAUUCUUUCAUCCUAUUUGAAGCUUUGAAACACUGUUUUUUGCUCGAAUUACAUUGGCUAUGUGCUAACAGAAAUGCUAUACAAAAGAGGCAAAUAUACUACAUCAAAACAUUAUUGUUCUUUCCAAAUUACUAUAUUUAAUUACUAACUCAAAGCUCCAGAUUUGCAUUUGGCCUAAUCUUGCUGAAUUUGUCCCCUCACCAGCGAUUCUAAGUCGGGUUCCUCGUCAAUAUUUAUUGUUGUGGUCAUAUAUAUGUUAAGAACAGGAAUUGAUGGUAGCAGAAUUUGAAAACUCAGCUUAAAACUCCUCCACAUGCUAGAGAUACAUGUAGUGCAUAAGGGAAGCAGCAUAAUUAUGGGGUACAUAAUCCAAAAAAGUCUUGUGGGAAGAAUAGAGAGGCCGAGAAACAAACCAAUAGGGAAACUGAGUAAUUCUUGACUUGAAUGCGCAUGUAUCCCAUAUCAACUUGAGGUGUCAAUGGGAUUUCAAUGGAAAUGAAGGAGAAGAGAAGGAAAAAGCUAGUGAGAAGCCAAAACUUGAUCCAAAUGAAGUUUCCAAUUGCUAUACCAAAUGGAUCCCAUUCCCAAGAUGUGGCUGUAUAUGAUUUCAAUAUGUUUAUAACGAAGAGGGCAGCGUGUCUUAGAUCAAAGUAUAACAUUAUUCUUGGGUGAGAGAAUUUAAGGAGAAGUGAUGAAUUGAAUAUGAAAAAGAUACUGGCGAGAGAAUUUAAGGAGAAGUGAUUAAUUGAAUAUGAAGAAGAUACUUGCCUAGCCAACACAAAAUAUAUAUAUAUAUAUAUAUAUAUAUAAUUCCUGAAACAUGAAAUUUGACUCCUUGUAGGCGCAGUGUACAGGCAGCUCUUGUUCCCUGGCCUGCUGGGCACAUCCUGCGAUUUACAUCCUUCACAAAGCUCUAGGGGCGGGGCGGUGGGGGUCCUCAAGGUUGGGGUUCAACCUUUUUUAUAUAUAGACACUGUGUGUAUGUCCUUUCAGGCCCUAUGAAAGCUUCAGCAGGGAUAGUGCUUUGGAAAUAUUAUGACGUCCAAUUUGUGCUUUUAUAUCUUUGGUUUAACUUUAGUACAUUUGGAUGUUUCUAGGACAUCUCUCUCUCUCUCUCUCUCUCUCUCUCUCUCUCUCUCUCUCUCUCUCUCUCUCUCUCNNNNNNNNNNNNNNNNNNUCUCUCUCUCUCUCUAUAUAUAUAUAUAUACACACACACACACACACACAUGCAAAGUCAAUAAUCCAGUAGUCUGUCUUCUCUUUAAGAAAAAUGCUACUCAAACAGGUGUAGCAUAGGUGUGGAGUCAUAAGCCAAAACUAUUGUCAUCUCUUUGUAGUUAAUUAAUUAAAUCUUCUUUCAUGUUCCAUCAUUGCUAAAGAAAUAUAUUUCCAAAAGCAAUAAUUUUGAAACAUAUCUUAUCUUCCGUCUCUCUAAUUCUCUAUUUGAAGCCAAAGAAAGAAAAUGAUGUCAACUGGUAGAUAGAAAUGGCUAAAAAUUCCCUUCAAACCCCAUCUCCGUGGACCCCGCUCCAAAUUGGGUGGGCAUUACCCUCUUAUUCAGCUAUUCAGGAAGGGAAAUUUCGUCCUGAGGCGGGUUGGGUAACACUCGCUCCCAUGCCAUUUAAUUUAAUUUUUUUUAAAAAAAUUCAAUACUUUAAAUGGAAAAUUUUACGAAAUGUCAUUAUGUAAAACAUGUUUUCAUGCUUUUAACCGAAUUUAAGUUGUGAAACUUACUUGAAAAUCCCAAAAACGAGGUUGAAUUACUUGCCUAUUGAUUGCUUGCCUCCAACACUGCUUUGUACCAGCUUCUUGGUCAAAACUCGAUUACCAAGGAAGAAGUUUGUUGUGCACAAUCCAAGAACCCAAUUAGAGAUGUAAUUUUCCCAAAAAUCAAGCCUCCACCCGCAUCCAAUUUUUACACCUUGAAAGAACCUGAAUUUUGAAUAUCCUUAUUGUUUUUUACUUUUCUGAAUAAUGAAGAAUGGAAGUUGAUAAUUGGAGUUAUGGGUGGUGGAGAGGUUAACUUUCAAAUUCAGCUUUCAACCCCUCCCUCCAAAAUUCAAUUCCAUGCAAAUCGGGUCGGGUCAGGUCAACCCACAUGGACGAUCGUUUUCUUCCAACAUCUCUUACUCACACAUGAUGGGCUUGACCUGAUUCUAAUAUAAUAUCAAUUAUAUUAAGCUCAACAUCUCCAAGUUCAUAUAGGUAAAUGGAUAGUGCGACCAGCGAAUUAAUUUAAGAGCACACAACACUAUACACCUGUAAGGGAUAUAUAACAGCUCAGAAAGAGGAAUUAUAUUUCUCGCUAUACCCCAGACAUAUUUUGUAACACUAGUUUGAGUAUUUCUGACCCCUCAAUUUAUUUUAGAACAUACUCAACUUUCUCAUUUAUGUUGUAUUCACAAUUGUGUCAUGAAACUUAAAUAAUCAACACAAUUAUCGAGUCGGUGAAUACAAGCUGAGGUGUUAGUUAAACAGUCUUCUUUUCCUACUUGAAUCCCUUCAUUUCAAAUCAACUGCUUUCCUAGACAUGUCCCAUCAAACCGAAUCAACCAUAAUUAUUGGCAACAUAUUAAAGUAGCAACACUGAAAUAAAAUUAUGAGAAAUAUUCAAAAGUCAUAAGGGUAUAUAUAAGUGAGGUCAAAUAUGCCUCAGAGACUCACACAAUGAAAAAGCAGGGAUCAAUUCUUUCAUUUCUCAUUGGUCAUUAAAGCACACGUGGUAUAAAAUACGUGUUACGAUAUUUUCUCCCUUCAUUUGGGUGUAUGUCAAAUCUCGCAAAUCAAAUACAUCGUACAGAUCAUAGUUCAGAUAUUUCUCAAUGUCUAAUCUGAGUUCUCCUCAUAUUUAUUCCUCUAGGUAAUCUCAAAUCGAGAACUCGAUCUAGCUGUAAAAACAUGUCUAAUGGAUAAAAAAAUCCAUACCAAUUACUUGUUGUAAUCUCAUCUUCAUAUCACAUCAAGGCGACUGGAUCAUGUACACAAUAUGAUCACUGUGUCUCAUCUCAGCACACCUCAAACUGUUUGAAGCGAUUGUUCAUGUGAGUGAACCAAUCUUAACCUGUUUGACAUACUUUAUGUGUGCAUAUGUAAUGGUAAUCUAAAAAUUAAAAUAAAAGAUUGCUCUUAACAUGUGAACUCAAAACAUUGUUCAUUAAUGGACAUAUAUGAAAAAGUUUACAUAGUAUACAAUUCAAAUUCUACGCAAUCCCAGAGAUUUAACAUGUGUCAUAAAAAAAUCUCUAGGGAUAGAUUUUGUAAGUAGGCCAGCUACCAUUUGGUACGUAGAAAUACACUGCAAACUCACUUCCUUCUUGCCUAUGAUGUCUCUCACAAAAUUAUAUUUUGUACCAAUGUGUUUGGUUCUACUGUGAUACUUGGGAUUCUUAGUAUAUGCAAUAGCAGCCUGACUAUCACAGUAGAUCAAUAUAGGUCCUACAUCACCACUAACGACUCUUAGAUGCUAUAAGAAUCUCCUUAACCAAACAGCUUUUUGUACUACCGAAGCACAUGCUAGGAAUUCUGCUUCCAUUGUGGACAAGGAAAUACAUGUAUGUUUCUUGCUACUCCAAGAGAUAGUGCCAUUAUUAAGCAAGAAUACAUAUCUCGAAUUUGAUUUGCGCUCAUCUAGGUCUCCACCCCAAUCAGCAUCUGUGUAUCCUUUUAAGCACAAAUCAUUUCCUUGAUAGCAUAGUGAGUAAUUAGCAGUACCCUUCAGGUAUCUCAAUAUCCUUUUAACAGCUUUCCAAUGUUCUCUUCCAGGAUUGGAUUGAUACCUGCUGACCAGACCUACGGCAUAACAAAUGUCAGGAUGAGUACACAUCAUAGCAUACAUCAAGCUCCCAACCGCACUGGAAUAUGGAACUCUAGAUGUUUCUUCUUUUUCUCGAGAGUUUUAGGACACAUGCGAAGACUUAGAGUUUCGUCUUUUGAUACAGGAGUGUCAAUGGGAUUGCAAUUCUCCAUUUUGAAACGUUAAAGAAUUUUCUUUAUAUAUGGCUCUUGUGACAGAGCAAGAAGCCUAUUUGAACGAUCUCUAUAGAUUUUAACACCUAAUAUGUAAUCUGCUUCACCCAUGUCCUUCAUUUCAAAAUUUGAAGACAACCAUUUCUUAAUAGUUUAAUAUACUUCUUAUCAUUCCCAGCCAACAAGUUAUCAUCUACGUAAAGAGAUAAAAUUACAAAUUUCUCAUUGGACCUUUUCAAAUAAAUACAGUCAUCUUCAUCCAUCAUGACAAUGUUGUAGGAGAUAAACAUUCAGUCAAAUCUCAAGUAUCAUUGUCUAGAAGACUGCUUUAGGCCAUAGAUUGAUCUAUUCAAUUUACAAACAUUAUUCUCUUAACCUGUUUUAAUGAAACCUACAAGUUGUUGCAUGUAAAUUUCUUCAUCCAAUUCUCCAUUGAGAAAUGCAGUCUUCACGUCCAUUUGAUGUAAUUCUAAAUCUAAACGUGCCACGAUAGCUAAAAGUAGGCGAAUUGAAGUAAAUCUUACUACUGGCGAAAAGGUCUUUUCAUAAUCUAUGCUUUCCUGUUGAGUAUAACCUUUUGCCACCAAGCAAGCCUUGCCUUAUACCUCUCUGUAGUCCCACCAGCUCUUCACUUUAUUUUGAGAACUCAUUUGUUCCCAAUGGCUUUUCGAUCAGAUGGAAGAUCAACCAAGUCCUAGACCUGAUUUGAUUUCAUACACUCCAUCUCUUCUUCCAUUGCAUUUUUCCAUUUUUCCUUUGCAGGACAUGAUAAAGCUUCUUGUACCGAACUUGGUUCUACACUAUCUUCAGAAGAUACUAGGAAAACUUGCCCUUCAAUCUCAAAAUGACAUUUAGGCAUACUUUUUCUAGUACUCUUACGAAGUGAAAGCUCCGAUAUGACCCUGUCACUUGGAGUUAGAGAUAAAUUACUCCCACUUGGAUCGAUGGGUGGAAGUGUUUCCUCUUGCACCUCAGUUGAUCCAUCAAGUACAACUCUAUCAUCUAAUUCAUAUAAAGGUUCUCCCUUUUUAAUUUCUCCCCUACUAGGAAAAUCACUCUCAAGAAAUGUCACAUCGCGUAACUCUAUUUCAGUUAUAGUCCCAUCUUGAUUUUCUCCUAUGAACACAUAUCCUUUAGACUGGUCUGAGUAUCUUAUAAAAAUACACUUCUUACCUCGAGCACCCAAUUUUCCAAACUUAUUUGAGGAAUCAUGGAUAUAGGCAGCUGAUCCCUAGGAUCUAAGAGAACUUAAAUCAGGGGAUCUACCUAUCCAAAGCUGAUAUGAUGUAGUAGGUAUUGAUUUAGAAGGAACUCUAUUCAGAAUGUAGGUCGCAGUUAACAAAGCGUCUCCCCUAUAGGAAAUAGGUAAGUUAGCCUGCGUCAUCACGGACUUCACCAUUUCUAGCAACGUUCUAUUCUUCCUCUCAGUAACACCGUUUUGUUGAGGUGUAUUGGGAAUAGUUAAUUGCCUAAUGAUUCCCUUAUCAUCACAUAGGUUUUUGAACUUUUCGGAUAGAUAUUCACGCCCUCGGUCAGUUCUCAAGGCUUUCACCUUUCUAUCUAUUUGAUUUUCUACCACAUUUAAAUAUCGUCUAAAACAUUCCAAUGCCUCCGACUUAUGAGAAAUCAGAUAGACAUAACUAAACCGUGUAAAAUCAUCUAUAAAAGUAAUGAAAUAAGAGGCUCCAUGUCUUGCCCUCACAUUUAUCGGGCCACAUAUAUCUGAAUGGACUAAUUGCAAUGGAAGUUCGGCUCUUAAAGCUUUACUGAAUGGUUUUCGUGUUAUUUUUCCGAUUAGGUAAUGUUAGAUUGAACCUAACAAGCCUUCUUUUGCCAACCUAUUCAUUCUCUCUUGUCCAAUAUGUCCUAAUCUAGCAUGCUAUACAGAUGUAUUAGCAUUCAAAUCCUUAGAAGAAGAAGAAGAUACGUUCAUAGAAAAACAACGAUCAACAUAAUAGUUAUAAGUGUUUGGAUCACAAUCUAACACUACAAAGCCACCUUCUACAUGUCCAGAUCCAUAAUACAUCACGAUUGUUUAUACGAACAGAAUUACCAUAAAAGUUCAAACUGAAACCUAAUCUUAAAAGAACAACAACGGAAAUUAAGUUCCUUCGUAUCCCCGGUGCAAAUAGGACAUCAUGAAGGAGAAUAGUACGGCCACCACGCAAAUGUAACUUGCAUGUACCGAUUCCUUUCACCUCCACUCUAUUAUCGUUGUCAACAUAUAUUCACUUUGUACCAACUGGAAAUCGACGGAACUCCACAAAUGCUUCUCGAUCCCUGGUUACAUGGUCUGUCGCUCCUGAGUCUACAAUCCACAUAGGAUAAGAUUCAGUUAGCAUAACAGUGCUUGAAACAUAAAUAGCACUAAAAGAAGUAUUUAUAAGAGCUACCUUCUUUGGCUCAAGGCGUUCCCGAGCAAAGUGACCCAGCACCUGACAGUUGAAGCAUUUCAGCUUGCUCUUAUCUUUCUUCUUUCCAAACCAUUUACCUUUCUUAUUGCGCUUGUGUUUGUUUUUUUUAGGUCCUUGUCCAGUUUCUUUUCCCUUCCCUUUCCUGCCUUUGAACCAGUUCUUCUUACGCUUAAAGCCUGAAAAUUUCCCAGAACUAGAAUAAGUUACAAAAGCUUGUCCUAGAGAUUUAGCUGCACCAAGGCGCUUAUCUUCUAGUUCUACAUGGCGAGCAGCAUCAGCAAAUGUUUUGAUACUAUGAUUAUGAGUUAAAUUGACUUUCAAAUGUUCCCAAUUAUCAGGAAGAGAGCAAAUCAAAGCCUGAACUUGUUGCUCAUCAAAGAGUAUAUGACCAGCUGAUUUCAAUUCCCUAAUCAUAGUUGACAUGAUUCUCACAUGUUGUGUGAUAUUGUGAUUAGGAAGUUUCUUGUAAGUGUCAAUUUUAAUAGUCAACUGCCUCAGUCUAGUCACACUAGUACCACCGUAUUUCUCUCUCAAAUAUGUCCAGAUGUCAUGAGCAGUCGGGAACUGCUCACACUCAUGUAUGAGAUCAUCCACCACAGAACUUACCAAAAUUGGACGAGUAGUGGAAUUUUUCUUUUUUCAUGUCUGGUAAGUUUCCUGAUCCCUUCAUUGUUGAGCAGACCACCACUGGGUCUUCCAUCACGUGGUUAAUGCCCUCAAGACAAUCCUGUUCCUCCAGCACGUACCAAAUUUUAUGGCGCCAAGUGUUAUAGUUAUCGCCAUUGAAUUUGUCACCUUUAUUUAGGUCAGCUAUGAUAUUCUUAGAUACCAUGGUCUGUCAAAAUAUUAGAGACAAUCAUAUAAAUGUCCAUUUAUGCACACAUCAUUUUGUGCUCAUGGAAAUUAAGUUUUAUGACAAUUUCACAUUAGACAUGGAGUCAAAAGUUUACUAAGUUCCCAAUCAUCAUCCAUUAUCCUAAUGUUACAUUAUCACAAAAUUAAUUUCAUAGCGUAAAAUCACAAGUUCUAAGUCAGAAUAACUUAAACUCUUUCACCCUUAGAACUCCCACUAAAGUAAAAGAUUAAUCAUGUACAAAAUUAGCAAGGCAUUUUGAAUAAAUCUGACAUAUAUGAAACAUAUACAUUAAUAUCAAAAUGUCAAAUAUGUACAUUCGUUCAUAUUAAACAUCUUUAAACAACUACUAAAAGUGAGAAAUAAAAUUUCACAUUCUUCAAUGAUUUUGAACUAACCAUACAUAUCUAAAUUAAUCACAAAAUUCUAAUUUUCUGAAUUCCAUUUUCUCUUCAAGAUCCUGACCAAAUAACUGUAGCAUAGAGGUGGUGAAUUAUCCAAAACUUCAAUAGUAACAUCAUGCCAAUAUUUAGGAAGCGUCCUCAUUAGAUGAUACAUACUUUCCACCUUACAUAUAUGCCGUCUCAAAUGUACCACUUCUCGAUGCAUCGCUUCGAGAUAUUUAAUGUGUUGUACUAGGUUAUGUCACGGAUCCAUUUCAUAGUUUCUAUAAGCACGUAAUUUUUCAACACGUUCCACAGCCCGUGCUCUACUAGCUGCUCCUCUAAGGAUGCUAAAAACGCAUGUGGAUCCAGUCAUAUCUGAUCAAGCACAAUAAUUGAAAAACUAGUCACAAUGGAUCGCAUAACCUAAUCGAGAUCCACUACUCAUGAAUGUAUAGAAAAUGUGGUACAUCAAAUACUUUCGGAGUAUUUUUUUCAUUUAAAAAAAUGAGAACACAAAAAAAGGGGCUCCCAUAAGGCAAAUACCACUUAACAACACUUAACAAAAAUAUUCUUGAUUUUUUUUUAAAAUUUCAAGAUUUAAUCAAGUCCCAAAAUAUUGUAUAUAAAUAUUUUUUAUUAUUUGAAAAUUAUUUUAAUUGCAUGAAAAAAAAAUUAAGAAUAUUCGAGGGACCAAUUUGUAAUCUUUUAAAUUGAAUUUGGAAUAAUCAAUUUCCAAAAAAAAAAAUAUAUCAUUUUGGGACCAACACACAACUUUUCAAAUUGGCACUGGAAUAAACAUCAUUAAAAAGUGUUGGGAAUAAAAAUUGCAUUUUGUAAGAUUUGAGGGACCAACAUGCAAUUUUUCAAAUAUGUUUAACAUUUAAAAGUGUGGGGACCAACAUGCAAUUUUCCAAAUUACAUUUGGAAUUUUAACAUUCAAAAGUAUGGGGACCAACAUGCAAUUUUUUUAAAAUUGGAUUUUGGAUUUCCCACCCUCUGCUGCAGUUUCAGUUUCAGUUUCAAUUUUUUUUUUCCGGGUUACUGUUCAUCGUCCUUAAAAAAAAACAGUUUUUUUAAGAUUUCUGGUGAAAUUUCGAAGGGCCAUAACUUCCUCAAUUUAAGGCCAAAUUUUAUGUUCUUUAUAUCGUUGGAAAGAUUUCAAGAAGAUCUAUCCAACCAUAUAAAAUAGGUAGUGUGAAACUUAACGUGCAAGAAAUUAUCAUGUGAUGAAGUUUCAAUUUUCUCAAUUAGGGUACGAUUUUUUCCCAAAAUAAAAAUCGAAAUGAAGUGAAAUUUUCUAGAUAUGUUCUCCAUAACAUCAUGAACAUACACAUGAACAUACAAUAUAAAUUUCAUCAAUUUAUAUGAAGUAUAUCAAAAUUCACCAUUAACGACAUUCAAGGUUUCAAAGAAAACGGGAAUUCAUACAUUUCAUUCAUUCUAAAACAUUUACAACAUGUAUUUAAGCAAGAAAACAACCUACUUAGGCUCUGAUACCAAUGUAAAACAUGCUUUCAUGCUUUUAACUGAAUUUAAGUUGUGAAACUUACUUGAAAAUCCUGAAAACAAGGUUGAAUUACUUGUUUAUUGAUUGCUUACCUCCAACACUGCCUUGUACCCGCUUCUUGGUCAAAACUCGAUCACCAAGGAAGAAGUUUGUUGUGCACAGUCCAAGAACCCAAUUAGAGAUGUAAUUUUUCGAAAAAUCAAGCCUCCACCCGCAUCCAAUUUUUACACCUUGAAAGAACCCGAAUUUUGAAUAUCCUUUUUGUUUUUUACUUUUCUAAAUAAUGAAGAAUGGAAGUUGAUGAUGGGAGUUAUGGGUGGUGGGGAGGUUAACUUUCAAAUUCAACUUUCAACCCCUCCCUCCAAAAUUCACUUCCAUGCAAAUCGGGUCGGGUAGGGUCGAGUCAACCCACAUGGGCGACCCGUUUUCUUCCAACAAAUUAAUUCUAAUCGAAUAUAACAAUUAAAAUUAUCUAAGGAAUAUGAUAAAUAAUAAAAAUCUUAGUUUAUCAAAUAUAUUCGAAUAAUUUAACUUUUAAAAUAAAUAAAUUAAUUUAAAAUUUUAAUAACUAUAUUAUUAUCUCACUUUAAUGAAUGGGGACAAUAAAAUGAAUUAUCAAAAACUAAAUAAAAAAAAUAAAAAGGGGUAUGUAAACGGGCCAACACCCUAUCCUGCCCUGCCUUUCAUUAUUAUUUUGUAAAUGAAUCCUAAUAAAUUAUUAAAAGGGUAUUUAACACAAAACAUCCCUAACUUUCAUUAUUAUUUUGCAAAAUGUCCUUACCUUUUAUUUUUUUUAACAUUUUCACCAUUAUUUUUAUAUUUCAUUGCAAAAAUCAUUAUUUUCAUCUAUUUUCUCAAUUAAAAGCUGCAAAAUAACAAAAAUACCCUCCUAUUUAAAUAAACAAAAAUAAAGAACAAAUUGUAACUAUACUCCCAAAUUUUCCAAAAUAAACUGCAAAUAAUUUUCAAAUAAAUAAUUAAAAAACAAAAAUCACUUUUUUAAUUAUUUAUUUGAAAUUUAUUUGAAAAUUUUGGAAAUAUAAUUGCAAUUUGUUCUUUGUCUUUCUUUAUUUUUAUUUUUAUUAAGCUUAUUUAAAGAAGAGUGUAUAUUUGUUAUUUUACAGCUUUUAAUUGAGAAGAUCGAUGCAAUGAAAAAUGAAAUAAGGGUGGAAAUGUCAAAAAAUAAAAGGUAUGAACGUUUUGUAUAAUAAUAAUGAAAGGUAUGGACUUUUUUUGUUAAUUACCCUUUUAAUAAUUUAUUUGAACUCAUUUGCACUUUUUAAAAAAGCUUAGGAGUAUUAUUUUAAUUUAUUCUUUUCUUUUUUAUUGUUUUAUUUAAAUAGGGAGUAUAUUUAUCAUAUUACAUGAGAAAUUUGAUGAAAAUGAUGAUUUACGCAAUAAAAGAUGAAGGUAAGGGUGUACCAAAAAAAUGAAAGGUAAAGACGUUUUACACAAUAACAUUAAAAGGUAAAGAUAUUUUGUGCUAAUUACCAUUCCUAGAAACAUCCAAAUGAACCAAAGAUGGUUGAUGUAAAAGCACAGAGGGAAAAAUUCAUAUAUUCUAGCGUAAGUAUAGGUGAUUUCAAAACUAAGAUGACAAGUUUGAAUUUGCAAAAAUCAGAAAUAUGGUAGUAACAAUCAAUUAGUUUUCUAAAAAUCAGCAUCCACUUACCUUCAAAAGCCGGAUUCCAUAUAUUAUCUCAUAUGGAGGGAGGGAGAUGAUUCGUUACAGUUAGUCGCUAAAAUCAAGCAUCCAAAUCCAACUCCCUAAAAUACUGAAUACAUGUUUAAAUCCCUCAACCACAUAAUUAAUUAAUUAUAUAAUUUAUUAAUUAAAUAUAUUAAGAUCACAUAGCUAUACAAUUUAGUCACAGAUUCAUAAUUUAGUUCGUCACAUAUUAUUUUCUGAUCAUAAAUCGUAAUUUUUAAAUAUUAUAAAUUAUUUUACGGUUACAAUUCAAAAUUUUAUAGGUCACAAUUUGUUCAUCGAUCACAAAUAAAAAAUUAAUAUGUCACAAUUUAUGUAUCGGUCACAGAUCACAAGAUCAUAACUUAUUAGAUGAUCAUAAAUUAAUAUUUUUUAGGUCACAUUGGUCACAAUUUAUCUUCAUCCGUCACAUAUUGUUUAUUGGUCACUGAUUAAUCAAUUCAAUCAAACAAAUAAUCUGUGACCAUCCCAACCUUUAUGAAAACCACUGCCUCCAAUAGUAUCACCAUCCUUAUUGCCUCCAGAACCACCAUGAGCACCAAUAGCAACAUCGUCUCCUCCCUGAUGUACUCCUUGCCCAAUGCUAGAUCAAACCUAGAACUUAGCCAACAUCACCAACAACUCACAUCACAGCCAUCACCAUCACCAACAUCCCGACCACCACAGUCUCACCACCAUCAUGAUUAGCACUAACGUCGUAGCCACACCACCAUAGCAAACCACCACAAAAUAAUAAUAAUAAUAAUAAUAAUAAUAAUAAUAAUAAUAAUAAUAAUAAUAAUAAUAAUAAUAAUAAUAAUAAUAAUCCCGACGAGCAGCAGCACUUUUGGGGAGGAAAAGCCGCGCUGAAACGACAUUUUCCGAAGAGAGAGAGAGAGAGAGACGACGGGUGGAGAGGAGAGAGGAGAAUCGGAGAGGGAAAGCUGUACUGAAAUGGCAUUUUUCAAAGAGAGAGAGGAAAUUGGAGAGAGAAUAUAAUUAAUUGGAGAUGAUGGGUGGGGAGAGAGGCCGGGUGAAGAGAAAGAAUACAAUUAACUGGAUAGGAGAGGAAUUGGAGAGAGAAUAUAAUUAAUUGGAGAGAGAAGACGGGUGAGGGGAGAAAUUGAUUUAUAUAAUUAAUAUUUAAAUAUAAAAAGUUUUAUUUUUGAAAUGUUAAACUGCUCAUCUUAUUUUUGAACCCUAGAUUUUAAUUCUAGGGUUUUUUGUAAUUACCACAAGCACAAAUUGGCAAUGUUGUACCGAUUCGACCAAUAAAAUGGGGAUCGGCCCAAAACAUUGCAAAUUGGACGUCAUAAAUAGUUCCAAAGCACUAUCACCUGCUGACGCUUUCAUAGGUGGGCCUGAAAAUGAUGCACAUGCAAUUAGGAGUGGAUGCGGUUCGAUUUGGCCUGAUUCCAAAGGAAAUUGAACCGAACUGAAUACUAAUGAGAAUUUUAGAAAUGGAAUCGAAUCGGAACCGAACCAAUCGGUUCCGAUUCAGUCCGGUUUGGUUCUUUACAUUGAAAAUGUCAAAAUAAAAUGUUCACUAAUAAAAACUCUAAAAAUGCUACCAAUGUGAUACUUUUAACAAAAUAUAGAAGAACCGAACAUACUAUUCAAAGAUCUAUUUAGGUAUAGAUUUACAAAAUGAAAACAAAAUAAUAAUCAUGUAAUCAAAGUGAAAACAAAAUAAAAAUUUUGUAUCUUAUAAAUGAAAUUAUAUAUUGUAAAUAAAUUUAUUUAGAUAUAGAUUUACCCAAUAUUCUAAUUUGGUUUGAAAAUCAAUUAAUCAAAGAAUUAUAAGAAGGGACAAGGAAAAGAGUCUAAAAUUAAGAAGGAACCCAAUUAUUUUUUGUAAAAGUGUUGGAGAUUGAGUUAUAUAUUUUACCAAAAAAAAGAAGGAAAAAAUCCAAUGAGAAUCGUCUGGUCCCGCAGUUCCCAAUUAUUUUUUAGAAGAUCUAGAACCGAAUCGGCUAGUUCUAAAUGGUUCCGAUCCGAUUCCACCGGUUCUGGAAAAAAGUGUCCACUCCUACAUGCAAUGUCAAUAAUCCAGUAUCCAAAAUGAUGCAGUCAAUUUUGAUUGAAAAUGGUAAAAAUUCAAAAUCAGAGUAAUUUUGGAUUGAGGAUAUGGAUUAAAGAGAGGUUGAGAUAUGUGGAAGACUAUUUCAAGGUGUGGAGUCAUAAGCCAAAACUAUUGAUGGUCGUCUUUUCAUAGUUAAUUAAAUCUUCUUUUGUUUUCCAUCAUUACUAAAGAAAUAUGUUUCCAAUAGCGUUCAUUUUGAAACAUCUUAUCUUCCAUCUCUCUAAUUCUCUAUAUGAAGCCAAAGAGUAGGGAUAGCAAAAAACUCCCUUUAAACCUGAUAUCAGCGGGCCCCGUCCCAAACUAGGUGGGUAUUACCCACUUAAUCAACUAUUCAAGUUGGGUUCGGGUCGGGAAAUUUUGCCCCGAGGCUGGUAUGGUUAACUCCCGCCUCCGUCCCACUUAUAUAUUUAUUUAAGAAUUCAGUACUUUAAAUCAAAAAUCUCACGAAAUUUCAUUAAUUUUACUAAAAGACGACAAUUAAGAUUAUCUAAGGAAUACGAUAAACAAUAAAAACCUUAAUUUAUCAAAUAUAUACUAAUAAUUAACUAUUAAAAUUAAUUAAUUAAUUAAAAAUUUAUUUACUAUAUUAUUAACUCACUUUAAUGAAUGGAGACAAUAAAAUGAAUUAUCAAAAACUAAAAAAAAAAAAAAAAGAGAGAGUACGUAAACGAGACAAGUCCCGCCCUACCUUAAACGGAUAACGGGGGGAGAAAUUACCGGGUGGGGCGGGGUUAUUGCCAUCCCUACUAGUAGAAUAGUUUCUCUUGCAGGCACAGAAAACUAGUAAUAUUAUCCACGUCAGAUUUUUUUUCCUCCUUCAAAAUUUCCUUAUGUUCUCAUUUUUUAGUAAAAUAACAAACUAAAAGCCAUAAAAAUAUUUAAUCGACUCAAUUAUUAAUUCUUUUCUCUAUUUUUUUUAUCUCAUUUAUAUUAAUAUUAGAAGUGGAUCGAAUAAAAUUUAAUUGUAAUCAAGUUUAUUAAUUAAUUUUUAUUUCUAUAUAUAAGUCAUUUUGAAAAAAUAACAUAUUUUGUCAAAAAAAAAAAUAUAAAUACAUAUAGCGGUUCAACCUCGAUUUAAUCUUUCAACCCUUGACCCUUUAACUUUUUCAGAUAUAUGGCCAGGUAUUUUUUUAGAAUAUUGGAUAUUGUAAUUUUUUUUCCCUUCCAUAAUCACCAGUAUUGUCCAACCAACACAUAAUGAACGUUGAUUCGUGGAUGCAAAGAUGCCAUUGAAUGAAAAAGAUGGGGUGGAUAGUAUGUUCUUCCAAUAAACACGGUAUUAUACAAUUCAAAGAUUCUCAUCGACCUGAUAUGAAGGCAAGCACAUGUGGCCAACUUUUUGAACUUAUAUAGGUAAAUUAACAAUCAUGCUACUUGUACAAUGAAUUUGACAAUAAAUUUGACAAUGUGAGAGUUGACAAGCAUCAUGUUCAUUGAUUUGAAAAAUUGUUUCUAAAUUCAAUUGCUGGGAUCUUUACACUUUACACAUUUUCAAACUCAUUGUAAAUAUUUAUUAUACAAAUAGAUUCAUUCGUAUACGAAUGACUACGUGGAAAUAAAACGAAAGGAAGAAACCAAGAGAAGUACCUUCAUUUUCUUGAGCAAAUCAUAACCAGCAUUCCUUUCACACGAUAAUUUGUAGAGGAGUGCUUCAGAACCCGGGAUUAAAUCCCAGGUUUCAAUCCCAGGCCGAGGUGGACCUCGGCUCUUGAUCUUCAAUCACGCGAGGCUCGCAUGAUUUCGCAUUGGGGGCCAAGGUUUUGCCACCUUGGCCCUAACUCCAAACCCGGGAUUUUAUCCCUGUUUGAGCAGCAAUUUCCUAAUUUGUAAUACAAGAUUUCUGAUUUGUAACAAAUUUAAUUGACUGAUGAUGAUUUGUCAGUAAAUAAUGUAAUUAAAACUGUAUAUUAAAGGAAGAAAAUUAUAUAAGUAAUCAAACUAAAAUUUUAAAAUAAUGUUUUAUAUUGGUUAUGUUAUAAAUAAUUUAAAUUAUAAAACGAUUUAUUGAGCAAUAGAUGAAAAAUAAAAGAAGUAAUAAAGAAUAAUUUUUUUGUCAACAAUAAACUACCAAAGUAAUGUCGAUGAUUGCCAGAGACAUCAUGAUCAAUAACUGCUUACCGAAGUGGGUUGGUGAAUUAGGAAUCACUUACGGUAUUGAUGAUAUUUUAUCUCGAAUUCUCCAUAAGUGAUCAUUAAUAUUUGACAAACUAAAUUUUUUUAUGAUAGUUUCGUCAAUAAAUAAAGUAGUUAAAAUUUAAUAUUAACAAAUAAAUAUUAUGUUGUUAAUACAAUUAAAACUUGAAAAUAACAUAAAAUUAAAAAACCAAAGAUUUCAUAAGUUACUUCAAAAUAAUAAAAGAUGUAAAAAGAUGCUUCCCUACCGCAUAAUUAAUGACCAAAGCACUGUCGAUGAUUGCCACUUACAUAAUUAUCAUCGAUAAAUAUGGACGGAAAUAGAGAUGUGCCGACAAUCAUCAAUGGUAUCGCUGUCAAAAGUUCCAUCCACAUUAUGUACGAAGUUUUUGUUGGUGAUUGUAAUUUUAUUAUUAUCAUCACGGUAAUUAUAUGUCUUUUCUUUUUUCGAAUUAUUAAAGUAGUAGAUUUGUUAUUGGGUGCUUUUAAACUUCAGUUAGCUUUUACUGUAAAAUGCGAUAUAGUGGAUGUUAUGUUAUCUGCUUGAAUUUGUAAUAAUCACAUUUGGUUUCCUUAAAGGUGAUGAAGCUGAAGUAAUUUCCCAAUGACCAUUCAAUGGUAUAUUACAUUAAAUUCCAUUAUUACGAUAUCUGGUAAACCUGUUUGUUUCUCAUUUUUUCCUCAUUAAAAUGAAAAAUAUGAUUAUUAUCCGUCACAUCAAGCCACCAAAUUUGAAUUUCUAUAUCUUGUGUGGAGUCCAUAACGACUAUAUUUUUCAUUCUCAUUCUUACAAAAAUGAGAAACAAAAGGGGCUAGAUGUCUGUUUUGCAUUGAAGUCCAGGAUUGGAUAUGAGAACACCCCCACCCCACAACAAAAACAAAAAAAAAAUAAAAACAAAAACAAAAACAAAAAAAAAACUGUUACAAAUGAAGUGGAUGUUGAGAAUUAAAAAUUCUUAUUUUAUUCUACCAAGAGCAAUCAAUUGAAGAAAUAAAAAUAAACACUCAAAAGCAAGCAAAAUUUAUAGAGUUUCGCCUCAACGUGAAACUACGUCUUCUCUUGUCGGUACAGUAACUCGCUAUGAUAAAAAAAGGUUUACAAAAGCACUCCUAUUCUCUCUCUCUCUCUCUCUCUCUCUCUCUCUCUCUCUUUAUAAUAAUUAUAAAGUCGAACCACGGCUCCCUAUUUAUAAAGCAUAUAAAGGCAAAAUCGAAUUUUACAAUAACUCCAAUUCCUUAAUAAAAUUUUACAAGAAUACAAAUAUCUAAACAAUUCUUAGAUUAAAUUUUGGUUAGGGUAUCUCCACCCCACCCCUGGGGCCUCCUGCUCCCUUCCAACUCCCACAGCAACCUCACCACAGAGAUUGAUCAAUGCCAACUUCGUGAAAUAACAAUAAUUAUAAUCGAUAAUAAUUAAACUCCCUAACUUAACAGUGAAUGAUUACUCGAAUUCGGCAAGUGAUGUGGUAAUGGUACAUGCAAGUACACUUCUACAACGAAUUUUGGUGGUGAUAUGCAAGCGGAGGUAUGUUUUUAGAUGAAUUAUAAGAAACGGAUCGAAUAUUCGAAUUUUUGUGUUGCACUGUCUUAUUCAUUAAAGCAUGUAUUUAUAGACCAAAAAAGCAGAGCGAAUUCCAUUUCAUAUUUGAUUAACUCAAUAGGUAAUGAAAUUCAUUAAUUUGAUUUUCAAAAUUAGUCCUUUGUUUAGACAAGUUGAUUCACAAAGUAACGUGUGUCAAGUACUUCUAUCAUGUGUUCAUACAUGGACCAUUGAAGGGGCGAACAAGGCAGUGGAAUGAGGGGGACCGCCAUAACAGAGGAGAAUUUGAUUUCAUAAUUUGAAAAAAAAGGGGCCGAAGUAUAAAAAAAGGUGGGCAUGAGUAAAAAUGCUUAAACGAGAAACUUAGCCACAACUGCUUUAUAUACUAGAAAAAGAUGUUACAGUUUAAAUAACAAGCUUUACAAACUACGAUAACGAGUAAAAAGUCUAUCCACCAUUUGUGCAACACAAGUAAAAUACAUUGAUAUAUCAAUAUCCAAUUAUACGAAUAGCGAAAGCUAGAACAGAGUUUGGGUUAUCUACUCUAGCUUACAUUUGGCAAUGGAUCCUUUUUGCCACACAUUGCCAAGAAAAACUUAGAGACCGACCCAGUGUGAGCGAACAUUAGAGUUGUGCAUAGAAGACGCACUGGGAGAUGUCACACGCCAUUCGUACCAAACCAGUGAUAAUUAAAUUAAAUGCAAUUAAUAUCAGGUGAGACAUAAAGAGUUAAGUAAUUCCAAACCUAUAUUCUCUGUUUCUUGCCCAGUGUUUUUAUGCAUGUCCUAGGACAAAAAGGACAUUUCAAAAUUAGAUGGAUUAAACCCACCAGCCUAAAACAAAUUCUAAUUCACUUCUUGCCUAUAGAGAAUAAUAAUAAUCAUUUUCAGCAGCAAGUAUAGAAAUUGCCCGUAUAUCCAUUACUUAAGGCUAAGCAACAUAAAAAAUUAUUUAGAUAAUUAGGAUAUAAUUUAAAUUAAACAUUGCAAACACAUUGGGACAGAUAUUAUUUAUCUUAGGAUUCCUAAGUGGAGAUGAUCAUCUGACAAGUUAAUAGCACCAACUCUACUUUAUUAUAGGUCUCUUAGUGCAACGCAUGACCGAGAAUUCUACAAGUGCAAGAUUCAAUUUAAUUUGAGCUUUUAUCUCAUUUCAAUCGCUUUAACAGUUUCAACACUACAUAAUCAAGAAUCGAUGGACCUCCAAAUGUGUAUUCUGUGUCACUCAAACUGGCGUACUCAAUAGGAAAAAUAUCGGAAACCUGCAGAAAUCGAAGCCAACCAAAAGAGAACAAUCAUCUCAUGGAUAAUAUAUUCACUCCAAUGUACAAUUUCUUUCAUGGUGCAUUUUAUGUUUUCAUAGAACUUUUUCAAUUGAAUUUUCACUUUUUCUUUAUUGUGCGGUUGGGGGAGAGUAGGAGGGUGUCUUAUAUUUUAGUGGCUUUAAAUAGUAUCUUUACUAAUGAAUAUGGGAUCAACGCAUACCAAAACCAACUGUACCUAUAGAUACGAUAAUAGGCAGAAAUAUUUGUCCAUAAUUUUGCAUGAUUAGCAUUACCUUAGAUUUUUGGAAAUAUUCAUGAAAGAAAAUAUUUGGUGUUGCUGUUGAUAGUUCAAUAAACCAUUUGAAACAAACACCAACUAAAAGAAUAUCUCAAUGGUCGCCAUCUGCUACAUGAUGUCAUUGGAAGUAUAUUUUCUUGAUUAACAAAAUCAACAAUUUACGCUUUAACCUCUCUACAUUCCAGGAUAUGUUGUUCUUGUCCAUUAUGUCAUCUUUUCCAACACCGAUUUGACUACAUGACAUGGCCUUGGCUUGGAAAAUGAAACACUUUGUCAACAAAUAUGAAUACAACGCAACUGAUAAAGCUAUUAUAUUAGCCUUCUUCAUCACUAUGGGCAAAGCUUGCAUUGAGCCCAUAAUUGGCUAUAAUCAUCAUGUGGUGACUGAUAAGUGUGUUUUUGCACACUCAUUUAAUGCCUAAAUAAAUUUAAAUAUUGAUUAAUUGAGCAAAUUUCCAUUCACAAUAAUGUAAUUAUUGCAUUUGUAAGUAAAAAUCACCCAAGGUAAUAGAAGAGGUAAAAGGAAGUGAAAAGGGACCAAAAGCGUACAAAAUUGUGAAGUUGGGGGACCAAAAUGCAUAAGUGUCAAAAGUUCAAGGACUUGGGAUUGCAAAUUUUGGAGGGCGUAAUUGAAAGAAAGUCAAAAUUUGAGGACCAAAUUGUACAGUCCAAAGUUGAGGGAUAGUGUGCAAAUAUGGGAGGACGUGAACUACAAAUAAUGAAAAAUGGGAAGUAACGCCACUGGCACCACUAUAGCAGCGCCACGGCUAUGAACAUGACCUAUUUGGCUAUAUUUUUGUAAUUGGGGACCAUUUUGCAAUUAACCAAACACGAUUUUUGGGCCUUUUAAAAGGAAAAUUCAACAGUGUUUCCCCUAUUUCUCUCUUGAACUUGAAGAGAACCCUAGCCUCCUCUUUCUCUUUCACUUUCCUUUUCAUUUUUUCUUUCUUUUUCUUUUCUUCUUCUUCUUAUCUUUUCUUUGGUAAUUUUUGGGGCACAAUCUAGAGCACAAGCAGAUUUGAUUAAGGAUUUGACAAAGCUUUGGGGAAAUCAAGAGCAAGUUCAAAAAAGGAUUUUAUCUACAACUUGUAUUUUCUCAAUUAUUUUGUCAAACUUGCAAUGUAUUGUACAAAAUAUUCUCCUUUUUAUCAUUUGUAUGAAAUGGGCAAGUUAUUUGUGUUGGGAUUUAUUGUUGUAGUUUAAUCUAGCCUUGAUUAAUUUUAAUAUUUGCCCUUUGAUAUUGAUUUGCUUAUUUUCAUGUGUUUUUCUUCUAUUGUAUUUCAUGCAUUUUCAUUUAUGUGGUCAAUGAAUGAUUAUGUUUAGUGAAUUUUAUAUCGUUCAAGAGAAGAUUGUGCAUUUUAGAUCAAAUAGUAGAAACCCUGAGUUUGUAUAGGGGAUAGAGAUAUACCCCUAACCCUAGAUGACCCAAUGAGCUAUUUUCACAAAUAUUUAAUGCAAUUGUUUAGUUUUAAUCGAUAUAGAGAUAUAAUAGGGUUAAUUUCAUUCGAGAGAAGUAAUUAAUUAAAAUUAAAACAUUGAGUCUAACAUCGUAAAUGAGUAACUUUUUAAUUGACUUGUGGUGAAAUUAAUUAGGCGACGGUUAAAUGAAACCAUGAAUCUCAACCACGUUUUCUUCCAAAAUUUUCAAGAUUUUUAUGUUUUCUUAUUUUGUAGGUUUUUAGUUAAUUUCCUUAUUUCAAAAUCAUAUUUUUAAUUAUGUGUGUUUAUUUUUAUUGUUAGAAUUAAAUUAUUAAUUACGGUUGCGUAAUCUAAAGUAUAUAUUCCUCAAGGGAUCAACAAUCCGGACUCAAAAUGUCCACUUUAUUACUUGAACGCGACUUGUGUACUUGUGAUGUAUAAUUUUAGCGAAACAGUAAAAAGUAAUCAAAAGUACAAGGAUGUUACAAGCAAAGCCUGACAAUAAUACCAUAAUCAAGGAAUAGAAAGUCUUUCCAAUUGAAACUAACGUUCAGCUUGAGCCACCAUAGCUUUGCAAUCCUAAAACAGACAUAAAUUUAGAUAAUAGUAGUUCUUAUUUUAUUAAUUCAUCAACUGCAAUCCUAAAACAGACAUAAAUUUAGAUAAUAGUAGUUCUUAUUAUAUUAAUUCAUCAGCUAACAUAUAAAUCAGUCCUUCCUAUAGAUUACUAGUUGAGUGUGAAGGGGCAAAGCAAAUCGAAAAUAAAUUGCUUUACAUAAUAAUUAUACAAAAUGGCUAAUUUUGGGCAAAAGGUUGAAAAAUACUAGGCAACCCUUCCAUUUCUGAUGAAACAGAUAUACCAUAACAGAAUAAUUGACAUUCCUUCCCCUUUCAUCAUCCAACUAAACUUUCUUUAAGAAAAAAAUAUCUCAAGUUAAAAAUCCAUGAGUAACAGAAUUUUUUUCUGUGGUUUUUUCUCCUCUUUGCCCAUUGUUUUUUCCUUCUUGGAUUUUCAUGUAAAUUUUGUGCUCUUGUUAUCAUUUUAUAUUGUCAAUUCUUGCUUUUUCUUAAUAUGUAAUUUGAAAAAAAAUAAUAAUAAUAAAAUAAAAUUAGGCUUGUAAAAUAGGUAGUCCGGGUAAAGUUAGCAGUGAACAAAUAUAAUAUGAAUGUGAAAAACCAAGUGACAUCAAGCCAAAAAGUAGCUGGAUGAACUAUGUAUAUGUAUUAUUAUUAUGAUUAUGGUUAGUAGAUCUAUAGUAUGCUACAAAUACCUAGAUAUACAAUUACCAAAUUCCCAGGUAAACGCAAUUUAUUUUCACUUGCAUUCAACUUAUAAAGUGAAUAAUUAUUCAUUGUCAACAACUUCUACAGCAUUAUAGAAAAAAUGAGAUAUCUAGGAACUAGGUAUUUGAUCAAUAAAAAUAGGGAAGGUGGCUCAAGGGAGUGACAAAAUUAUUAAUAAGAUGAGGCAAAUUAAAGAAACAAACAAAUGUUGGAAGUUGAAAUCUACUUAAGAAACAAAAAGUACUUCCCUAUCAGUCAGAAGGGACAAUAUGAUAGAUACCAAAACAAGGCAAUUGCUAAGAGAUUCAAAGAUUACAUAAUUAUAAGCAAGAAAAAAAUAAAUAUUGAUGAUUUAUUGUAGUUGAUAAUGGGGGUUGGCUAACAAACCUUACGUAGAAACUAUACCAUUCGCAAUCAAACCAUGAUCCCUGAAUUUGAAACGGGCAUAUAACGAUUUGCAAAAGAGAUAAUGGUGUUGGAUUCCCGGUGGAUAAUGCACAUGCACUAGGAUUGAACAUAGAGGAAAUCAUUGAAAAUAACCCAAUAACCCAUGUGUAUUUCCAAAGUAACCUUUGACUAGUUUUUAGAGGAAAAAACGAAAAUUGAUUUUAAAGGUCAAAAUCCCAAAAUACCCUCAGACGGUCACUUUCCCAUUUGCUUAGAGUCGGCCAAAACCAAGGAAAAGCUACAGUCAAUUUCCAAUCAGUAGACGUUUCCAGUUCAUCUCCGGCGACCUUCUUCUUGUUAAAAUAAGCUUCGAGUUGUUAAUUAACUAGAUUAAUGUUUAGAUUUUCAUAUUGUGUGUGAAUGUUGAAUUCGUGAAGGUUUUUGGAAUGUAAUAUUGGUUAUGUAGGUGUAGAAUUAUGAAUAUGGGUCUAAAUUGAAGAAUAAUAGGUGGAUUUUGAGAUUUGCAAGCUUUUCUCGUUGGAAAUGGAGAUUUUCCGACGAGAAAAGCCGAAAAAAAUGCCGGCUACCAAAGCCGGCAUUUUGGGUAAAACCCGACUAUGUUUGCAGCCGACAUUUUGGGGAAAACUCGACUGUUAACAGCCGGUUGGCCCAAUUGUCAUGGGGACUGUUUUUAUUUUUCAUGGACUGACUAUUUUAAGUGGGCCGACUAUUAUAAUCGGCCCAAUAACAAGUUUUUUUUUUUUUAAUUUGGGCUGAUUAACAGUCGUCCCAUUAUUUGGGCUGCCUGUUUAGUCAGCCCGUUGACUGUUAAGCAGGCCGAAUGUUAUGGUCGGGCCGAUGCCUUUAUUUAUUUUUUAUUUUUUUCUUACAUAUAUUUAAGAAUUUCAUUUUAAAUAAUUUUAAUUAUUAGUUUUUAAUAAAUAAUAAUUUAUUUAUUUGUAAAAUUUAAAUGUGAUAUUGAAUUUGAAUAUUUAUUUUUAUUUCCUCAUUUUUGAUAAAUAAUAAUUUUUCAUUCUCGAAUUUAAUUAGUUUUUAUAAUUUUAAUAUUUAAUAAUUCUUUUAAUUUUAAAUUUAAAUUUCAUAUUUAGUUUUAUUAAUAGUUUUUAUAAACAAUAUUCUUUUCGUUAAUCGAAUUUAAUUAAUUCUUGUCAUUGUAAUUUUGAAUAAUUAUUUAAUUUUAAAUUUUAUUUUUAUUUUUAUUAAUAGUUUUUUAUAAAUAAUAUUCUUUUCGUUAAUCGAAUUUCAUUAAUUCUUGCCAUUGUAAUUUUGAAUAAUUAUUUAAUUUUUAUAUUUCAUAUUUAUUUUUAUUAAUUGGGAUGACUGUUAACUGUAGACUGACUGCUAAUAGUCUUAGGCCGACUGUUAACCGUCAGACUAUUAACAAUUUAAUUUUUUUUAAAUAUAUAUAUUUAAUUUUUUAAUUUUUUAAAUAUAUUUUAUAAUUAAUUUAUUAAUAAUUAUGUUAUUUUUUUUAAUUGUCUUUUAUUUAUAUAAUUUAAUAAUUGAAUAUUAUCUAAAAGUAACAAUUUAUUUUCCAUGUUAUUUAUUUAAUUUAAUUUUUUUUGUAAAUAUAUUUCCCUAGUGUAAUAUACAAAAUUAAUUUUCUUUAUAAUUUUCAUUUGAUUAAAUAAUAAUUAUGUUAUUUAUUUAUUUAAUUCUUAUAUUCUUUAAUUUUUUAAAAUUUAUUUAAAUAAUAUUUAUAUUCUUUAAAUUUUUUUGAAAAUAUAUUUAAUCUUUCAUUUUUAACUUUUUUGUAUUAUUUAAAUAUUAAUAAUUUCCUUUUGCUGAAAAUCUCAUUAAUUUGUAUUUGAAUUUAAUUAAUUAUUUUUAACAUUUGUGUUGAAUUUAUUUUGUUAUUGGCGUCAAGAAUUCGGUUCCCAUUGAUUUUUUGAGAUUAUGCGUUAUUAUAUUAUCUCUUGUUCAAUGUUCUAACAUUUGAAUUUUUGCAGGAUGGAGCAUCAUUUAAAUGGGGAGUUGAGACGGAAGGCAGGGAAAGCUACUUGGAACAGUAGUUUUGAGAUUUUUACUGUUGUGUUGGAGAUGCUCAAUGAUCAUCACGGAAAUAUGCUACGACAAUCCUUCUUGUGGGCACUGUACUAGAUGCAAGAGUUGCAGUACUCAGGACUAAUCAUCGAUGCACUUCUAUGUCAGCUUCUGAGGCCAGUCGACGGCGAUUCCCUCCACUUCGACCUCGGGGGCAAGGUCGUCAGUUUCUCGAUGUCUAAGUUUAGCUUGAUCACUGGACUGAAGAUUAUGGGCGACGAUGCAGACAUUGAGAUAAGCAAUAGGUUGUACGAGACGUACUUCCAGGGACAUGGGUCGGUGCAUCUACCUGAGUUGAUGGUUUCGAUCAGGGGGUACGACUAGAUGCUAGAUAGAUUGAAGCUUGGGCUGGUCUACAUCCUCGAGAAUGUGAUAAGGUGUCAUCACAAGAAGACUGCCAUCGACAUUUUUUCAUUUGCAAGUUGUUAACGACAUCGAUGCGUUCAACAACUAUCUAUGAGGCCGGAGAUGCUACAAAGACACCGUACAUGUGCAUGUGUUUAUUAAAUGAAUAACUCAUACUUUUUUGGUGUUUCUUGAUGUAGCACAUCGACCUGGCCAUGGACUUGCUACGAGAUCAAGCUCAAAGACAUCCAAAAUCAUUUGAUGUCCAUGGUCGAGUCAUAUUAAACACUGAGUUCCUGCGUGUCGUUACCAUAGAGUAUCAGUCGCUCUAACUUAUGAGUAACGAGUACACGGUGCUAGAAUAUAUGCUCGAGUGGUCAUAUGAAUUUCACCGAGUGUCGGGGGAAAAUCAUGGGAGGGUUGUACACAUAUGUACAUUCCAACGUGCAUCAAUAAUCACUAUGUUACGCUGAAGAUCGUUUUUCCUGACACGACUAUAUAUGUGUACGAUGCAGAUUAUUCAUGUUUGACACAAGGCUAGCUGGAGCAAAACCUGGAGUCUGUAGCUGUAAUUGUUCCUAUGAUGGCCAGACGAGCGGGGAUAACUGUACAUGACAGAUUGCGGAUUGUUUGAAACACGACAACAGUGUGACAGUCCAUAAGGUAAGUGUUUGAACUUUGUUAUUUUCAUCUUUCAGAUUUAGUUUUUAGCUACACAGUACUGAAUUGAUCCAUUCUUGUUCAAUUGUAGUGGCGACUGCGGCAUAUUUGCCAUUAAGUAUGAUGAAUUUUUAAAUAUAGGACAUAAGGUUGAUAGAAUCAACCAAUCGUUGGUACAGAACUGGAGAAAGAAGUUAGCUUGUGAUUUGUUCGAAUUUAAUGGUAACCCGUAAAUUUGUAUUAAAUAUAUGUAACAUUCGAAUUGUAAAUUUAAUUAUUUUUUGUGAUUAUGAAAUAAUUGUAAAUUUGAAUUCAAUAUAUAUAACAUUCACAUUGAAAAUUUAAUUAUUUUUUUGUAAGUUGAUUUUUUGUUAUUUUACACAUAUGCCGAGUAUGGAACUACUUUUUUCAUAUGAAUCAUUAUAAAUACCAUUUAUUAAGAAUAAAUAUUGAAUAUUGAACAUUUAUGAAGAACAAAUAUUGAACAGUGUAAAGUAAACGUAAAUAUUAUUCAUUUAACGUACAUGUCUAAUUGUCAUUUAGGGGAAUUUGACUGGUACAAAAUUGCCUAGUAUGCCCUAUUGCUCUGCACCUGCCACACCUACGCGGUCGAGGAAACUCUCCAGUAGAUGGUAUUCUAGAUGUACUUGGACAUCCAGGACCAUGCGGUUCAACUACUGGUGGCAACAAAUUAUGAAACGGGAGAAUAUGUUCGGGAACUUCCCACUCGACUUCAUUCGGCAGAGGAAAUAUAGUCUCAGCAUAUGCUGUUCUCCAAGACUCAGUCGUAUAAUAUAAAGAGCAUAACGUUCUUGCAGCAAAGCCUUGAAACAUGGCCACUGCAACUGCAUGCUCACAUGAAAAACUCUCCAACUGAAAUCUCGUACAAAUGCAUGUGUUAUCAGUCAAGUCCACCAUAUAUGCCGUAUUACGUACACAUUGCACGGAGAAGCAAAACUUAUCUAGUGCUUCCACAUUCAACUUCCUCACAACCUCUGCCGCCUUAAAGAGUUUCUCCUCUUAAGCUGGGUCCAACACGCUAGUGCAACUCUGUGAUGCCGCACGUCGAUUAUGAAACCACUGUUGCAGCUUGUUACGAAUGUGCUCAAUCAUUGCGAGAAUUGGUAACUCUCGAUCCUUCUUAAAUAAUGCAUUUAGAGACUCCGUGUUAUUCGAUGUCAUCAUGUUGUAUCGACGUCCUGGAAAGUAUGAUCGCGCCCAAUGUUCGAUCCCCAUGUUCGUCAGAUACUUCAACGCCGGUAAUGAUUUGCUUCCUAUCUCGAACAUGAACUUAUUACACUCUUCAGCAUCGAUACCUAGUUUUCAAAUUACCUUGUAUAUGGUACAUCCAAUACCCGUGAUGUGCCUCGAGAAAAACUUCAACGAUACCGUUUAUUAUAGACUGUCCCCGAUUGGUUAUAAAGGCAAGGUCUUCAACUUUCCCGAUCACUUUCUUCAGUUUAGAAAAGAAUCAACGCAUGAACAGAUUAUUCUCAUUGUCACUAUGUCGAAUGCAAUAGGGUAAAUUUGGAUGUUGACAUCUUGACAUGUAGCAAUAAUUAAUUUGCCUUGAUAUUUAGCUUUCAGAGUUGUACCAUCAACUAGAAUUACGGGUCGCAUUGCAUUUCGAAAACACCGAAUACAUUGUCCGAGAGCCAUGAAGAAAUACGUAAAAUAAUUAUCGCCCCCCGUCUCAAUAAAAAAUGUCAUGCCAGGAUUAGUUGUCCCCAUGUUAUGACAAUACCUGGCCAAUUUAGCAUAGCUCUCCUAAGUCGAUCCCAUUAAAUCCUCCAACAUACAUUCUUUGGCCUUCCAGGCUUUCUGGUAGCUCAUGACCACUCUAUACUCUCGACCGACGUCGUUAAUGAUGUUUGAAGGUCUAUAGAUCGUCCAUGGGUCCUGAUACUUGAGCCUUGUCUGUUGACCAAUAAACCAUGCUCGAGCUUGUCUGUAAUCAUUUCGACAAAUUUCCACUUCGCAAGUAUGUUCCCGUGCCUAUUUGCAAACUACAAAGCACUCAUUCUUGUCCAUCUUAGUCACUCUCAAGCGCCAAUUGCAAUUGUCGCCAACGCAGGUAAUUGUCAACAAUGACUUGAUUGAUUUCUUUACAUUGAACUAAAAUUUAUAUUUUAAUGUCAUCCGGUGCACAGCUUCCUACAAAUCUUUCUUGGUUUCAAAUAGUUGUUGAACAUACAAAUCCUUAUCAUCAGGAGCCACACGGGAAAAAUUGGAGGAUGGUCCACUUGUUCCACUCCUUGAGCUCCCACCUCGCUCAGAUCUCUGUCGGGAUAAAGUAAUUAAAAUUUCAUUUGUAAAAUCAUUUAUAUUUUUGUUGUCCUCAACUGUCGAUGGAACUCUAUGCGUAAUAGUGACUUCACGAUCAGUAACAACUGUUUCAGGAAUAACCACAUCAUCUGCAGGAAUUAUCUCCGCUGUCUCCCAAAAAUCUCUGUCAUUAUUAUCCGCUCCAUCUGAAUCUUCGCGUUCACCUUCGACAACAUCAUUCUUAACUAAAGUCAAGCCAAGAGCAGCUGGAGUCCUAUGCAUUUUAUUCAAUUCUAAUAGAUAAUUCAAUUCAACAUUAUUAAAUAUAGGUGGCAUCGGAAUGGACGAAUCCCCAUAACCAUUGAAUAAAUAUCUCAGUUGCAUAUUGUACUGAGAAGGAUCGACAUUCAGCUUAUUUUACAAAUCCCGGUACACUUCCGCACCGCAUAUGAUGUAUUCUGUUACGAAAAUUGCAAUACAAUCACAUACAUCACUCGUCCAUCUCCAUUACCAUCUAUUAUUUUCAUUCAGUUCGAAAUCACCGAAAUAACAGACCGAGAUUAUCAUAUCUACAUGACUAUAUAGAAUUUUUAAAUCAAUUACAACAACAAAAAUUCAGAUAUUUAAUCAACUUGUAAUUAAAAUUAUAAGACAAUUGUCAAAACAUUAAUUAUAAUAUAAAAAAUUUCAUAAAACAAUCGAGAAAAACAGCCGACUAUGGACUGUUUUACAGCCGACUGUCAAUUCGACUGUUUAACAACCGACUAACAGUUGGCUGUCGACUGUUAGAUAGUCGACUGUCUAACAGCCGUCGGUCAACUAUUAGAGAGUCGUCUAACAGCUGACUGUCAGCUGUUAGACAGUCUUUUGACAAUCGGCUGUCUGCUGUGUAACAUUUUUCGUUAACAUCCCACAGUUAAUCGUCGGACUGUUUAUUUUGCGUAUGACUUUUUAUUUUUCUAUGGUUCUAAAGAAAAAAAUUAUAGAUCUGUUAAAAAUUUUUUUAUUAACUACUGUGUUAUUUAACCACUCAAACGUACACUAAUUUACUAAAAUCGAAAUUAAGCAUGUGUAAAAAUAUGCUUACCGAUUUGAAGUAAUUGAUCUGAAAAAAGUUUUGGCUUCGACGUUUGAAGUUUUUUGAUAUUUUGAGGUUCAAGCAGAUGAAAAAUGAGAGUUUUUCUGUGUUCGAAACUCGUUCUGCAGUUUUAUAAGUGGGGUAGUGUUUGGUUUUCAAUUAUUAACUAAAAGAGUAAUAAUGUCUUUAAAACUAUCCAAUAUUUUGUAAUUAUAUAAUAUAUUUAAUGGCAUCUCUGUCUUUUACCAUUCAAAAGGUUAAUGUGAUAAUUUUCAAGUUUUUAAAAGUCAAAGUGGAAAUAAGGGUCUUUGACUAGGUCAAUUUUAAAAAUACCCCAUUGAACAUAGCUGCUUUAAAUGUCCCAUUACAAGAGAAAAAAAACUCCCAGAAUCAUCUACAAAUUUGAAGAAGUUAAAUUUGGGUAUGCGAAUUCUUUAAAGGAAAUACCAUAUGCAAGAGCCAAUAACAAGGCUCAAACACAUAUCUAACCUCGAUUUUCCCCUAAUCGGUAUUGGCGACUAGCUGUGACGAUUGACAUUGCAGAUUUGACAGCGAGAGUAGCGGAAAAAGAGAUAUUACUUUUGUCUUAAGAGAUUAGGAUUUCCACUUCCCCUUUCCUCGGGGUACUUUUAAAAUUGACCUAGUCAAAGGUCCUUAUUUCCACUUUGACUUUUAAAAAUUUGAAAAUUAUCACAUGAACCUCUUGAAUGGUAAAAGACAGAGAUGUCCUUAAAUAUAUUAUAUAAUUACAAAAUAUUGGAUAGUUUAAAAGACAUUAUUACCCUUUUAGUUAAUAAUUGAAAAUCAAACAUUUCCCCACUUAUAAAACUGUAGAACGAGCUUCGAACACAGAAAAACUCUCAUUUUUCAUCUGCUUGAACCUCAAAAUAUCAAAAAACUUCAAACGCCAAAGCCAGAAUUUCUUUCAGAUCAAUUACUUCAAAUCGGUAAGUAUAUUUUUACAUAUGCUUAAUUUCGAUUUCAGUAAAUUAGUGUACGUUUGAGUAGUUAAAUAACACAGAAGUUAGUAGAAUUUUUUUUUAACAAAUCUAUAAUUUUUUUCCUUUAAAACCAUAGAAAAAUAAAAAUUCAUACGCAAAAUAAAUAGUCCGACGAUUAACUGUGGGAUGUUAACGAAAACUGUUAGAUAGCAGACAGCAGACUGUCAAAAGACUGUCUAACAGCCGCCAGACGAUUGUCUAACAAUCGACCGACGGCUGUUUUUCCUGACUGUUUUACAAAUUUUUUAUUAUAAUUUCUAUUUGGCGAUUAUCUUAUAAUUUCAAUUACAAGUUGAUUAAAUAUCUGAAUUUUUGUUGUUGUAAUUGAUUUAAAAAUUCUAUAUCAUUAUGCAGAUAUGAUAAUCCUGAUUUGUUAUUUGGAUGAUUUCGAAUUGAAUGAAAAUAAUAGAUGGGAAUGGAGAUGGACGAGUGAUGUAUGUGGUUGUAUUGCAAUUCCCGUAACAGAGAGUAUAUCAUAUGCGAAAGUGUACCAGGAUUUACAAAAUAAGCUGAAUGUCGAUUUUUCUUAGUACGAUAUGCAACUGAGAUAUUUAUUCAAUGAUUAUGGGGAUUCGUCCAUUCCGAUGCCACCUAUAUUUGUUACUUAUGAUGCUGAAUUGAAUUAUCUAUUAGAAUUGAACAAAAUGCAUAGGACUCCAACUGUUCUUGGUGUGACUUUAGUUAAGAAGGAUGUUGUCGAAGGUGAACGUGAAGAUUUAGAUGGAGCGGAUAAUAAUGACUGAGAUUUUUGAGAGACAGUGGAGAUGGUCCUGCAGAUGAUGUGGUUAUUCCCGAGACAGUUGCUACUGAUUGUGAAGUCACUGUUACGCACAAAAUUCCGUCAACGGCUGAGGACAACAAAAAUAUAAAUGAUUUUACAAAUGAAAAUUUAAUUGCUUUAUCCUGACAGAGAUCUGAGCGGGUGGGAGCUCAGGGGGUGGAACAAGUGGACCGUCCUCCAAUUUUUCGUGUGUGGCUCCCGAUGAUGAGAAUUUGUAUGUCAAGCAACUAUUUGAAAUCAAGAAUGAUUUGUAGGAAGCUAUGCACCGGAUAGCAUUAAAAUAUAACUUUGAGUUCAAGGUAAAGAAAUCAACCAAGUCAUUGUUGACAGUUGCCUGCGUUGACGACAAUUGCAAUUGGCGCUUGAGAGUGACUAAAAUGGACACGAAUGAGUGCUUUGUAGUUCGUAAAUAUGCACGGAAACAUACUUGUGAAGUGGGAAUUUGUCGAAAUGAUCACAGGCAAGCUCGAGCAUGGUUUAAUGGUCGACAGAUAAUGCACAAAUAUCAGAAUCCACGGACGAUUUAUAGACCUUCGGAUAUCAUUAACGACAUCCGUUGAGAGUAUGGAGUGGUCAUGAGCUACCAGAAAAUCUGGAAGGCCAAAAAAUGUGCGUUGGAGGAUUAAAUGAGAUCGGCUGAGGAGAGCUAUACUAAAUUGGCCAGGUAUUGCCAUAACAUGGGGACAAUUAAUUCUGGCACGGCAUUUUUUAUUGAGAUGGGGGGCGAUAAUUGUUUUAAGUAUUUCUUCAUGGCUCUCGGACAAUGUAUUUGGGGUUUUUGAAAUGCAAUGAGAUCCGUAAUUCUAGUUGAUGGUACAACUCUGAAAGAUAAAUAUCAAGGCAAAUUAAUUAUUGUUACAUGUCAAGACGCCAACAUCCAAAUUUACCAUAUUGCAUUCGACAUAGUCGACAUCGAGAAUGAUCUGUCCAUGCGUUGGCUCUUUUCUAAACUGAGGAAAGUCAUCGGGGAAGUCGAAAACCUUGCCUUUGUAACCGAUUGGGGACAAUCUAUAAUAAACAGUAUCGCUGAAGUUUUUCCCUAGGCACAUCACGGGUAUUGCAUGUACCAUAUACAAGGUAAUUUGAAGACUAGGUAUCAGGGCAAAGGCAUCAUUUCAUUGUUCAGAAGAGCAGUCAAAGCUUACAGUGCUGAAAAAUGUAAUAAGUUCAUGUUCGGAUAGGAAGUAAAUCAUUACCGGCGUUGGAGUAUCUGACGAACAUGGAGAUCGAACAUUGGGCGCGGUCAUACUUUUCAGGACAUCAAUACAACAUGAUGACGUCGAAUAAUGCGGAGUCUCUCAAUGCAUUGUUUAAGAAGGAUCGAGAGUUACCAAUUCUCGCAAUGAUUGAGAACAUUUGUAACAAGCUGCAACAUCGAUUUCAUGACCGAUGUGCGGCAUCACAGAGUUGCACUAGCGUAUUGGCCCCAGCUCAAGAGGAGAAACUCUUUAAGGCGGCAGAUGUUGGAAGGAAGUUGAAUGUGGAAGCACUAGAUGAGUUCUACUUCUCAGUGCAAUGUGCACGUAAUACGACAUAUAUGGUGGACUUGACUUGUAACACAUGCACUUGUACGAGAUUUCAGUUGGAGAGUUUUCAAUGUGAGCAUGUAGUUGCGAUGGCCAUGUAUCGAGACUUUGCUGUGAGAACGUUAUGCUCUUUGUAUUAUACGACUGAGUCUUGGAGAAUAGCAUAUGCUGAUACUAUAUUUCCUCUGCCGAAUGAAGCCGAGUGGGAAGUUCCCGAGCACAUUCUCCCGUUUCAUAAUUUGUUGUCACCAACAGUUGAACCGCGUGGUCCUGGACGUCCAAGUACAUCUAGAAUACCAUCUACCAGAGAGUUUUCUCGACCGCGUAGGUGUGGCAGAUGCAGAGCCAUAGGGCAUACUCAACAAUUUUGUACCAAUCAAAUUCUCCUAAAUGACAAUUAGACAGGUACGUUAAAUGAAUAAUAUUUCUGUCUACUUUACACUGUUCAAUAUUUGUUUUUCAUAAAUGUUCAAUGUUUAGUAUUUAUUCUUGAUAAAUGGUAUUUAUAAUGAUUCAUAUAAAAAAAAUAGUUCCAUACUCGGCAUAUGUGUAAAAUAACAAACAAUCAACUUACAAAAGAAUAAUUAAAUUUCCAAUGUGAAUGUUAUAUAUAUUAAACACAAAUUUACAAUUAUUUCAUAAUCACAAAAAAUAAUUAAAUGUACAAUUUGAAUGUUACAUAUAUUUAAUACAAAUUUAUGGGUCACCAUUAAAUUCGAACAAAUCACAAGCUAGCUUUUUCUCCAGUUCUGUAUCCACUAUUGGUUGAUUCCAUCAACAUUAUGUCCUAUACUUAAAAAAUUCAACGUACUUAAUAACAAAUAUGCCGCAGUCACCGUUGCAAUUGAAUAAGAAUGGAUCAGUUCAGUAUUGUGUAACUAAAAACUAAAUCUGAAAGAUGAAAACAAUAAAGUUCAAAUACUUACCUUAUGGACUGUCGCGCUGUUGUCGUGUUCCGAACAAUCUGCAAUCUGUCCUGUACAGUUAUCCCCACUCGUAUGGCCAUUAUUGGAACAAUUACAGCUACGGACUCCAGGUUUUGCUCCAGCUGGCCUUGUGUCAAACAUGAAUGAUUUGGCUCGUAGACAUAUAUAGUCAUGUCAGCAAAAAUGAUCUCCAGCGUAACAUAGUGAUUAUUGAUGCAUGCUGGAAUGUACAUAUGUGUACAACCCUCUCAUGAUUUUCCCCCAACAUUCAGCGACAUUCCUAUGACCCACUCGAGCAUAUAUUCUAGCACUGUGUACUCGUUAUCCAUAAGUUGGAGCAACUGAUACUCUAUGGUAAUGGCACGCAAGAACUCAGUGUUUAAUAUGACUCGAUCAUGGACGUCAAAUGAUUCUAGAUGUCUUUGAGCUCGAUCUCGCUUCAAGUCCAUGGCCAAGUCGAUGUACUGCAUCAGGAAACACCAAAAAAGUAUUAGUUAUUCAUUUAAUAAACACAAAGUGACGUAUACAUAAAAAACACGAAAUGAAUAGUUUACUUACAUCGUCGGUGAGUCAAGCUCCUGAAGUGAUGACAUCAUGGAACCACUUGUAAGCAUUCGAGACCAUCGUUUGACCUAUCGUGCGGCUAACUCUGAAAAAAUAGGGAAAUGUUAAAAUAUGCAUAGACGAGUUAGCGUAUAGUGCUUUGUUAAAAUCAUACAAUACUUACCCGGAGACAAUUCUCCUCCACUCCAUCUCGAACGCUUUCCACUUGACGUUGUCCACCUCUCUGAAUAAGUUUGGAUGCAUCCCAUCAAUGAACGUCCUCCUCUUGGCCUCAGCCGUGAAGGGAAAAACAACAUACUGUGAUGACACUCUCAACCUCUUGCCGACUACCUGCUCCAUUUCUUCAGCAGCAUGUCUAUUACCCUCAAUCACGAUGGGCGUCCUCUUGACCUCCGGGGCCACCUCCUCCGUCCCUCCCAUCGGGGCCAUCCCCUUCGUCGUCCCCUCUCCUAUCCUUGUCGAGGCUACCCCUUCUCCCUCCAUAGAUAACCACAAUGAUUCUAAUGUCUCAUCACGCCAAAAAUGUGGGUGACCCCCUCUCCAUCACCAUCUCUGCCACCCUCUCGAUCAUCAUCUCCACCAUCCCCUCUGUCCCCCCAUCGCCUACCGGCUAAAUCUCCUCUAAGUGCUGCUACCGUAUCCUGAAGAUCGACAACGCAAGACCGUAACAUUCCAACAUCAUGGGAUAGAUCGUCAACCCUCUCUGUCAACUCUCGUCCCAUAUCAUCGACCCUCCCUAUCAGAUAGUCGACCUUCCCAGUCAGAUCGUCGACCCUACUUGUCAACUCUCGUCCCAGAUCAUUGACCCUCUCCGUCAACUCUCGUCGUAGCGCGCCGACCUCCUCCACUAUAAAUCCAGUCAAACGAGCAUACAAAUCAUCACUGUGUGUCAGAGAUACACGGGGGAGGUGUCUGGAUGAGGGAGAAGGAGAUACCCUCUGUGGUGGCAAUGCCAAUGGCGGCGACGAUGCCCUUGAUGGAGGUGAUGCCAAUGGCGACGGUGAUACUCUCGGUGGAGGUGAUUGUCGAUCAACUGGACUGCCCUCCUACAUAAAUAACAUUAAAAAUUAUUCAAUAAAUUUAUACGUCGACGAUAUUCAAUAAAUAAUAUUUAAUUCAUAUACCCAAUCUUGGUCCAGGCUCGGAUUAGACAUCUCCUCGUCUUGGGUCUGCGGAACACCUAAAUCUCGCAUAAGACCCCGAGCCUCCUCUUCCAUCGACGACGUCAACUCAAGUAUGACUUCAAGCUGACAUAUUGACAUUUCAACUAAUUAACGAUCAUGUAAAUAUAUUUUAAACUACGUAUAAUAUAAAUCAUAAAUGCAUAAUACUUACCUGAGGAUCGUCGAGGAGAGCCGAUAAUUGUUUCCCAGUGGGACAUCCGUCCGCUCGCAAUGAUCUCCAAUGAUGCAUCUGAGGGCAUCGUGUCUCCCCUCGCUUCGCGAAGCGGGCCCCCAGUACAGAGACUAUCUCAUACACCAAAAUCUGCAACACAUACACUUAUUAUGCGUAAAUAUAAUAUACUAAAACUUUAACUUUUAAUUAUAUUAAAUAUUUAUCUGCACCGCUAAGGGCAAUCCAUAUGUAUCGUAUUUACACAUUGACCCCCUAGGCCUCGAGUGUGAUUUGGUGAAAACAUGUACGGUGUAUUUGCAGCAUCUCCGACCCCAUGGAUAGUUGUCGAACGCAUCGAUGUCGUCAACAACUUGCAAAUGAAAAAUGUCAAUGGCAAUCUUCUUGUGAUGACACCUCAUCAUACUCUCGAGGAUGUUGACCAGCCCAAGUCUCAAUCUAUCUAGCAUCUGGUCGCACCCCCCGAUCGCGACCAUCAAUUCAGGUAGAUGCACCGACCUAUGUCCUUGGAAGUACGUCUUGUACAACAUAUUUCUUCUCUCAAUGGCUGCAUCGUCGCCGGUAAUCCUCAAUCCAGUGAUCAAGCUAAACUCAUACAUCGAGAAACUGACAACCUUGCCCCCGAGGUCGAAGUGGAAGGAAUCGCCAUCGACUGGCUUCAGAAGCCAACAUAGAAGUGCAUCGAUGAUCUGUCCUGAGUACUGCACCUCUCUCAUCUGGUACAAUGGCCACAAGAAGGACUGUCAUAGCAUAUCUCCGUGAUGAUCAUCGAGCAGCUCCAACACAGCAGUAAAACUCUCAAAGCUACUAUUCCAAGUAGCUUCCCCCACCAUCCGUCUCAACUCCCCAUCUAAAUGAUACUCCAUCCUGCAAAAAUUCAAAUAUUAGAACAUUGAACAAGAGGUAAUAAAAUAACGCAUAAUCUCAAAAAAUCAAUGGGAAAAGAAUUCUUGACGCUAAUAACAAAAUAAAUUCAAUACAAAUGUAAAAAAUAAUUAAUUAAAUUAAAAUACAAAUUAAUGAGAUUUUCAGCAAAAGAAAAUUAUUAAUAUUUAAAAAAUACAAAAAAGUUAAAAAUUAAAGAUUAAAUAUAUUUUCAAAAAAAAUUAAAGAAUAUAAAUAUUAUUUAAAUAAAUUUUAAAAAAUUAAAGAAUAUAAAAAUUAAAUAAAUAAAUAACAUAAUUAUUAUUUAAUCAAAUAAAAAUUAUAAAGAAAAUUAAUGUUGUAUAUUACAUUUAGAAAAUAUAUUUACAAAAAAAUUUAAAAUUAAAUAAAUAACAUGGACAAUAAAUUGUUACUUUCAGAUAAUAUUCAAUUAUUAAAUUAUAUAAAUAAAAAAUAAUUAAAAAAAUAAAUAACAUAAUUAUUAAUAAAUUAAUUAAAAAAUAUAUUCAAAAAAUUAAAAAAACUAAAUAUAUAUAUAUAUAUUUUUUAAAAUAAAACUGUUAACAGUCUGAUUGUUAACAGUCGGCCCAAGACUGUUAACAGUUAACAGUCGGCCCAAUUAAUAAAAAUAAAUAUAAAAUCUAAAAAUUAAAUAAUUAUUCAAAAUUACAAUGAUAAGAAUUAAUGAAAUUCGAUUAACGAAAAGAAUAUUAUUUAUAAAAAAUUAUUAAUAAAAAUGAAAAUGAAAUUUAAAAUUAAAUAAUUAUUCAAAAUUACAAUGAAAAGAAUUAAUGAAAUGCGAUUAACAAAAAGAAUAUUAUUUAUAAAAAAAACUAUUAAUAAAACUAAAUAUGAAAUUUAAAUUUAAAAUUAAAAGAAUUAUUAAAUAUUAAAAUUAUAAAAAUUAAUUAAAUUCGAGAAUGAAAAUUAUUAUUUAUCAAAAAUGAGGAAAUAAAAAUAAAUAUUCAAAUUAGAAUUAAAAUUAAAUAUUACAUUUAAAUUUUACAAAUAAAUAAAUUAUUAUUUAUUAAAAAAUAAUAAUUAAAAUUAUUUAAAAUGAAAUUCUUAAAUAUAUGUAACUAAAAAAUAAUAAAAAAAUAAAGACAGUGAGCCGAUCGUAACAAUCGGACUGCUUAACAGUCAAUGGGCUGACUGUUUAUAAUGGGCCGAUUGUUAAUCAGCUUAAAUUAAAAAAAAUUGUUAUUGGGCCGACUAUAACAGUCGGCCCACUUAACAGUCAUGGGCUGAUUGUUAGUCAGUCCAUGACAAUUGGGCCAACCGGUUGUUAACAGUCGGGCACCCGACUGUUAACAGCCGAGUUUUCCCCAAAAUGCCGGCUGUAAACGCAGUCGGCAUUUUUUCCGACUUUUCUCGUCGGAAAAUCUCUAUUUUCGACGAGAAAAGCUUGCAAAUCUCGAAAUCCACAUAUUAUUCUCCAAUUUAGACCUAUAUUCAUACUUCUAUACCUACAUAAUCAAUAUUACAUUUCAAAAACCUCCACAAAUUCAACAUUCACACACAAUAUGAAAAUCUAAACAUUAAUAUGGUUAAUUAACAACUCGAAACUCACCUUAACAAGAAGAAGGUCUUCGAAGAUGAAUUGAAAACGUCUACCGAGUAGCUUUUCCCUGGUUUUAGUCGAGUGUAAGCAAAUGGGAAAGUGACCGUCUGAGGGUAUUUUGGGAUUUUGACCUUUAAAAUCAAUUUUUGUUUUUUUCUCUAAAAACUGGUCAAAGGAUACUUUGGAACUACACAUGAGUUAUUGGGUCAUUUUCAAUGAUUUCCUCCCCUUUCCUCGUGUUUUCAAAUUUCUACUUCCGAUUUGUACCCUUUUUUUUUUCUAAUUGACAAAUUAAUUAUAAGUACGUUUAUAGAUAGUAUAUAGAAUAAUUUAAUUUAUAAUUUCUGAUUAGUUAAAAUUUGUAUAUUUUAUUCGAAAGAAUCAUUCAAUUAACUUUAAUAUAUUUUUCCUAUUAAAAUUGUCUAAUUUUAGUUCGAAAAAUUUUAAUAUAGUUUCAGUAUAUUAUUUUCAUAUUACCAAUAGAAUUUUAUCAUUAAAAUUUUUUAAUUUAUUUUUUAGGAUUUUGAUUAUUUUGUAAAUCAAAAUUUUAAAAUAAUCUUUAAUUAAUAGUUAGGAUUGAUUGAAAUUAAACGUAUGCUGAAUUUUUAUUUUUAGUUUUGUUCUUUUUUACAACAAGCAAAAAAUAUUGCAAAUCCUUGUUGCAAAACACACUUGCUCGCAACAUUUAAUGAUUGUUGCAAAAGGUUAUAUAGUAAGAAUUUCAACAAUAUGUACUGAACAUUGUUAUUGAACAAAAUUUUAACAAGUUCAAAAAAAAAAAAAAGAAUUAAAACUUUUACAACGUUCAAAGAACGUUACAAAAAGCUAUAUAUUAAGAGUUCAACAACGGUUAUUGAAUGUUGUUAUAGAACUAUAUUUUUACAACAUUCAUUAAAUGUUGUGAAAAAUCAAACUUCUUACAACUUUCAAGAAACAUUGAAAAUGGUAAUAUUGACAACGUGCAAUUAAAAAAAAUAUUGCCAAAGCUUAAUUAAAUUAAUCAAUGGCAAUAUUCACUUAUUAAAAUGUUGCGAUAAACCCAUUUAGCAACAUUCAAUUCACGAGUGUUGCCUUUUGAGUAUUGCAAAAGGCUAUUUUAAUUGUAGUUAAAACUUGAGCCAUGUAUUCAUAGGGAAGGAUUAGGGAUAUAAUAAUAAUAAUUUCUAGAGUUACAGGAGUACAAUUAUCAUUGACGAAUAAACUUACCAUUUACAACAAAAUGGUCUUUUUUUUAUUUUUAUUUUUCUUCAAUGUGCUCCUAAAAAGGUUUUUAUUGAUAGCAAGAAGGUAAGUCGGACGUUCUCUUUUUUAAAUUUUAAGAGGCGGUAAGGACAUUUUGAUCUUCAUUUUUCGUCCCAUUUAUUUAUUUAUUUAUUUACUUAUUUAUGUAUUAUUAUGUGUUUAAAUUUAAAUUAUAUUCAAAAAAAUUUAAAAAAAAAUAUUAUGAGUCAUGGAUGGGUCUGUGACAGAGAUCAUGUUUCCCAAGCCCAUCCCUAAUAGGGAUUAUAGAAUCCUUGACCUUCAAUCCACAUCGCGCCCCAUCCCACAUUGUCCUACCUUGAAUAGUAAAUGGGGCAGGAUGCAUAACCUAUAGUCCCUAGUUUCGAAUUUUUAGUACUAGCUCUGAAUCAUUUUUCAUUAAUAUACUUUAUUCUAUUCUUAUGUUCUUCAUUUAAAUCAUAUUAAAAAAUAAAUAAAUAAAUAAAUAAAAUGAUGAAUGAUGGUUUUUUAUGUCUCAACCUACCCUACAUUCUGAAAAUUCGAAACGAAGCAAGAAUGAUAUGAUGGCUCCUAUCCAUUGUUAUCCUUAAUUUCAAAUUUCCCGUUGGGCGGAGUAACUUGAGACUGGCGUUUUGUUAAAGAUUUCCUCAAAUAAUUUAGCAGAAAAUAAAAACAAAGAAAAAUAAAUCCACUUUAAAAUAGGGUCAUCUCUAAAAGAUAAAUGUAUUCUCCAUUGAUUCCCAUUUUUCAGUUGAAACUCAUCUCUGUAGGAAGGCUAUGAUCCAAUCCAACCUUGAAAUUUCUCAAAUUAUAUUAAAAAAAAAAAAUAUCACCGUACCUUAACUCUACAAAUAAAGUGGAGUAUUGCCUAAAUAUCCAUGGCAGCAGCUACGCAGAGGCAACACUGAUGGUUCACAGAUGGUGCAACCACAAAGGGUCUUGACAUUAUAGACCAAAAAAAAAUUAUUUGUAUAAUAAUUUUAAAAAUUUAAUUUUUUUUAUUAAAGGGACCAUGUUUUAAAAUAUCACACGGGACACCCAAAAUAUUAAGGUCAACCCUACAUCUAAGUACUGCUAUGCAACUUCUCCAUUUCCUAGGUAUCAAAAAAUCUUCACCUCUACAACCAAGUACUAUGUUAAUUGCUGAAGAUUAUAUUUAAUAACAAACAUAAUGGAAUAAAUUUCUAUGACGUACUUAGAUGAAAAUUAAUUCAAUACAGCCUGGCGCUCAAGUCGGACGAUGAAGUAUAUUGGGUGUGGAAGAGAUACAAUAGAUAAAGAUAUAGACGCAGUUUACCAAAACUUGCCUUCGAAGGAAAGGGUCGAGUAUUUAUAGGUGGAAGAAGCUCUAUCUGAAUGCUUGACACGUGACUUUAUUUUAAUACCUCAUUUGUAGCCAUCAUAGAUAUGUGUUUCCAUAGUCAGAUUAUAAGUUAAAAACUAAGUAUCGUUGUUGCGGAGUUGUUACAUCAAUUACUUUGUAUGGUGUACUUUGCGCAACUUUGUCAAAGUGAGGCUUGUAGCAGAUGUUCAUCGCCCUAGAUAUGUACUGCAGCGGAGAGGUAAUGCAUCGCCUCGAGUAACAAUAACAUUCUAAACAAUGCAUCUAAAAGUAUCUCCUAAUCGUAUCGAAAAAGGCAUCAAGAAAAGACGAUGAGAAUUUGAGUGUUUCCCUUGUAUGGUCUCUUCUUAUUUGGCUGUCACGUGGCCCACAUAGUAGAUAAAUAUGUAACAAUAUCACUUUUAACACAAUCUAUUCUCAAACAAUGGAUCUUAAAUAGGGUUGCCAGUUUUAUGUUAUUGAAAUUUUUUCAAAAGCUUUGUUGAAAAUUAAUUUUUUUCUUUUUUUUAUUUUUAGGAGAGUUAGGGGCUAGAGAAUAAAUGUAUGUAAAACAAAGUUGUCAGAAUCAAAUGCUAAGAGAGCAAAUCUCUUUGAAAGAAAGAAGGAAAGGAUAAAUGGUGAUGAUGGAAAUGGAAGCAAGAAUAUUCAUAAUAUAUGUGAAUUUCUUGGUCAUCCAUGCGGGAUUGAAGCUAUCUUGAACACACGACCUUUGUGAAGUUAUCAAUCCCUCAAUUCCAUUGUUUACUGGUGCAAAUUCAUUUUUUUCUGUGUUACAAAUUUUCCUUCUUGUUAAAGUCACAUCGUCCAAUAACAUUAGCUUAUAGGGAUAGGACAAAUUUAUUUAUGGAAUUUAUGAAGAUCCUUGAGUAGCUUGGAUUCAUUUUUCAAUUUCUAAGAUGUGCAUAAUUUUGCUCAUCAAACCACAACAUCUAAAAAGCUUAAGCUAGCAAUUAGAACACAAUUUUAUUUAUUUAUUUAAAUCCUCUUCAACGUCUUAGACAUGAAAUGUGAUUCCAACAACAAAUAUGCACACCCCCAAUUUAUUAAAUGAUAAACUACGAAAUUGUAUUUUUAGAGGCAAUUGGUAUGCAAGAGUGGUUAACUAAUGGAUUUGUAAUUUCGACAUCUGAGUUCUGCAAGGCCAAUACAAACCGAUGAUAGAACAUUUAUUUUUGUCUGCAUUAAGCAUCACAGGCUCAAUUACCUAGAAUUGCAUCAACUUUACACCUGUUAGAAUGUGGAAGCGGAAUUGUCCGUAAAUUAAACAAAAUUUUUUAAUUCAAUAAAACAAUAUCGUUUAUGUAACAUCCCAAAAAAUUUUUAGGGAAAAAAAUUAUUAGCUCAUCUAUAGAGAUAAGGUGGUGGAUAUGUGAUAGUAAUUUAUUGUUAUUUAAUCACAUUUUGAUUAUGGUUAAUGUAAAUUGAUAAUCAUAAUCCUAUUUUGAUAUAAUUCAACUCCGCAUAUUGUUGCUAAAUUAAAUUAAAAUAUUAGUCUUCACGUUUUAUUUUAACCGCAUUGCAUGAGUGGAUAAGGUGAUUGGGAUACUUCUAAUUAAGCAAAAUCCCAAUUAAACUAAUCCAGAACUUAUCAUAUGAAUUAGAUAACUUUCCCAUCUCCUGCUUGGCCCUGCAUUUAAAGAUUUAUUGGUUUUAAAAAUUAUUUUCACCAACUAGAGAUUUUACGGAGAUGAGAUAAAAUUUUAUGAAGUUAUUUUUAUCCUAUAUUUUGAUAAAGAUUUAAAUGUAAUCUUAUUUGUGGAAUAUUCAAGUACUAUUGUACAUGUGUCAUAUCAUGGUUUGGACUAUCAAAAUUUAAAGUUUAUCCAAGUGGUGCAUGUUUUCCCCACCAUCAAAAUUGUACCAUGACUCAACUACCAUUUGUUUACUAUAAAUAAUGUGCAUUUGUCCCCUAGAUCCCCACCAAGAAAUUUUUACACGGCAGAAAAUAGAGAGAGAGAAAAUAAUUUCGAAGAGUCAGUUACCAAAUUUUUGACGCAAUCGAGGAAGUAGAACAGAUAUUGGAAUUCAUUCAAAAAUUCAUUUUUUUAGGUAUGACACUUUAUGUACAAGUGCUAUUAUUUCUUUAUGCUUUUAUAUUCAAUUAUAUAUGAAUGGAUUGUAGUAGACAUUCAUUUUUUUUAAAGAGAUAUGAAAUCCCACGGGAUUAGAAGAGAACCUAAGAUGUGUGUCAUUUGAUCACCGAUAUACUCCAUAAGAUCAGAGUAGUAUGAAAUGUAUAAUUUUUAUUGUUAUAUAUUUGUAUACGAAAACUGCACGUAUUUUACUUAGUGUUUUCGAAUACUCAUUCUUACAAAUUUUUACAGGUUAGUUCUGGUCGAUUGAAGUUGUGUCAAAUUAGUGACGCGGACGGCCAAGUGAAUCGAAGAAAAGAGAAAGAAAUUAAAUAUUUAGUUUGCUUUUUUUUUUUGUCUUUAAAUUAGUUGUUAGUUUUAUUUCUUCAAAGACUUUUUUGGUUAUUUUAAAUUAAUAUUUAUGAUUAAAAUAAAGAAUUUCUUUUUAUGGAAGUUUGGGCCAUUACAGUUUAGAGGUUCACGUAUAUGUUAAAUCAAGGAUAAAGAAUUCGAAUUUUUACCUAAAUUGAUGAUUAAUUAUUUAAUUAAUUCAAAUCACGAACUUCCACCUUUUUGGAUCAUAAACUUCUAGCUUUUGAUUGCAACAACUUGAUGCAUCAAAUCUCUAAAUCCUCUAUUGUAUUCUCCAAAGUCAAGACAAAAACUAAUUUUUACACUGACAAUUGAAUAAAAGCAAGAAAAAUAAUAUUUUCUCUCUUUUUUCCUCUCUCCAAUUUGAACACUAUGGAUUUAUGUACUAUGAUUUUGUAGAAAUUCUAGGUUCCACAUAGUCUCUAUUUAUAGUAAAAUCUAAGUAGGAGUUUUACUUGAAAUCCAAAUCCAAUUAGUUCACAUAUAAUUACAUGUGUAAUCCUAAAAUUUCAAUUACAAUUAUAAUUAAGUUUACAAAUUUCAUAAUAAUUAUAACUAAGUUCAAAAAUUUAUUGUAAUUACAAUUAAGCUCAAAAUUAUUAUAAUUACUAUGAUUAAGUUCCAAUAAUUUAUGGAGCUAACAUAAGGACUUGAUAUAACAUGUAUUAUCCAAACUCCAAUAAUUAGAUUUGCCUAGUCGACUCUAAAUCACCCAAUCUAAUUAUUAGUCUUUGCUUUUUUCACCAAAGACAGAUGACUGAACUCUUGGAAUAUAUAAGAUCACAGAAACCAAUAAAUUUGUAAUGCUUUCUUCUUACCUGUUGUAUAUGUAUUUUAUCCUCGUCCGAGAUCUGAUAAUUAGGUACGAGCAUAAAUAACUGUUUUGCCCUUCUAAUUAUUACCACUAACUUAAGUAUCAUUUUCUUCAACGGUCUUGUAAACUAAUCACAGAUGUUGAAGUUUAACCAUCACUAAACACUUAGCUCAGAUUUUAAACAUUCAACAGAAAAUAAUUAAGUAAUCACUCUACCCAUUUUUCAAGGUGACGAUUAUCGACACGAAUUCAUGUUUUCUACUUAGAAAAAUGAAAUAAAAACUCAUUUAAAAAAUAAACAUUUUAAAAAUAAAAUAGAAAGUUAUUUAAAAAAAAAGUUACCCAGAAAAAUAAUAUAAAUUAAAAAGUUCCUUUAAAAAUAAUAAAAAAAUAUUUUUUUUAAAAAAAGGUUACUUAGAAAAAUAAAAUAAAAUAAUUAUUUUAAAAUUAAAAAAAUUAUUUUAUUAAAAUUUAUUUUAUAUAUUUAAGACAAAGUUACCAUUUUACCCACUUUUAAAUUUGUAAAAACGUUAAAAAGAAAUUGGGUUGCCAUGGUGAAAUGUUAUACGAAAUUAGGUGGCCAUAAUUGAAUAUUGUAUGGAAUUGGGUGACCAUAGUGAAAAAAAUAAAGUUGGGUUACCAUGAUGACAUUAAGCAUAAAGUUAAGUGGUCAUGAUAACACUAAUUAUAAAUUUGGAUUGCCAUUGAUGGAUCUAAUCCAAGCCUAUAUCAUUAUGGACGGUUUAAUAACUGGGAGAUUCAAGUUUAGAAGUUUUACAUGAUUACAUUGGAUAUGCCUCUAACUUUCAUAAUUAGAAUAUUAUGCUUGAAUUUUUAAAAGAUUUAUUCAACUUUAGGGUUUCAUUGUAUUGUUCAAAGUAGUCGCUUAAAUACUUCUCUCUUGUACUCAUAUUUGAUAUGGUAAAAAUUAUUUUCUUACAUUUUUGUGAAUUACAAGUACUUGACAGUUCAAAUGAAGUAAACCUAAUUUUAUUUGUGGGUCAUUUGGCAUUCAAAUAUUUUAACUAUUUUACUUGUGGACUAAAUAUGUAUAUUGAACUAGAGGAAAAGUCAAUAUGAAUAUAUGGAGACCAAGAUCAAUCUAUCCUAGGAAAUCAGGACUUAUAUUAAUUAUUAAGAUAUUUUUCCCAAAAUUAAUGUUGCUAGAUUGAGUUUUAACCAUAUAGGGACUUAAUUUCCCAAUAAAUUACACACACCUACAUUGAAAUUUGCAUGUUUGGAACUUUGAGCAUGCUAUGUGCGUGUAUGAUAAUUGACAAAUAAUGAUUGAACAGGUAAUCACACUCCCAUAAUUUCCUGAAACUAACUCAAAUCUCCACGCAUUAAAGAUUGAGUCAAUAUGUUAAAUAUUGUAAAUAGAUAUAAUUAAAUAAUUAAAUUCACAUAUUCGGCACUAAUUUUAAUAUUUAGAUAAAGUGAUCAUUUGACAUCAUACUAGUGUUACCAGAGCACGUGUGAACCAUAAUAUUAAACACAUCUGAUUUGUUUACUGUACAAUGUAAAUGGAUAUAAAGACUUCAAGGGGCAUCGCAUAACAUAUUCAAAGUCUCCAAAUAAAUAAAGUCGUCAUGUCCUCAACUCAUAAAGUUAAUACCUUUAAGGUAACUGCCAAAGAAAUGCAUUAAAAUUGACACCCCCACUAUCUAUAUAUACCAUUUGACACUUGCCUUAACGAUUAAAAAUAUUCUGAUCAUCAUUUACUAAAACUCAUAAAUAAGUUUGUGAGUUUCAAAAUUUAUUUUCAAUCAUAUAUUUCAUGGAAUUCACAACUUUUUAUCUUCUUUUCAAUCAAGCCCGACCAAAGCCACUUAGGCAACGGCCCAAGGCCUUAGAUAUUUGAGGGACCUCAAAAAUAAACCAUUUAUUCUCUGGUUCUUGCAGAAAGUGGAAAUAUAUCUUGUUAUUGCACAAUGCAUAUUAUUGCAUGACAGGAAUGUUUAUGAUUUGCCAAAGAAAUGAAGGUACUUUCCUCGGUUUCCUCCUGCUUUAUUUCCCCUAGUCAUUCGUUUACCAAUAUGGGUUGAUUUCCUUUCCUAGAAAAUAUGCUCAUGCAAAUUUCCUAAAUUUGUGGAUUUAAUUGAAACUCAAAAAAGUUUGACUGUAUUUUCUUACCUUCAUUUCAGUCCAUGAGAAUCUUUGUCAAAUCUUUAAUUUGUGGAAUCACACGCAUUGAAAGAACAUUUUAGUCCAACCUAUCUUUUCCAUCCAAUCUCAUCUUUGCAUUGACAUACAUUAUGUGUUUGUUGGAUAAAUACCGAAAAUUAUAAAAGAAAAUAUUAGACAGCAUUAAAGAAUAAACAACAAUCACAAAUUCAUGACAUAUUUAGAAGAUGCUGCCAAAGAAAUCCAUUUUAAGGAGCUUUUAAUCACUUUCAAACAAGCUUUUAGCUCUCAACAUUUUCCAUGAGCUCGAUUUAUAGUACUAAUUAAACAAGAAAAAGACAUUAAAACUUUUUCCAUAGUAAUCUACAUUUUUGUCUAGCACUGAGCAUGGCUCCUAACUAUGAUAGUAAACAUGUGGGCCUUUCCUGCUUAAUAGGAAUCCUCAUCUUUGAGAAUUAUGUUAGUUGUUAUUAUGCCCUCUGAGUAAGUUUCCUCAAGGAUCAAUAGACAAUGUUGACCUCGAAAAAUGGCUCUUCCACGUGGCCAACCGAGAGCUACUCCACGUAUUCCUUCCUGUGCACAAUCAACGAACGGUCAGACGCACGCGGUCGGGACCAACGAGUGUGGUGGCGGCCGUAUACGCUCCGACGGUCAAGUCAGGUUUAAGUGGUCGGAACAGUACCCAGGAGCUAUGCAAAUCAAUGAUAAUGGGGGAGGAGAAAAUAUAUAAGCUUGCUAUGGAGUGCUAUGUAGUCAGAUUUUCCUUACCUUUGCCUCCUGCCAAACCUUGGAUAUUUAUAGGUGGUAUGAGCCGUUGGAUGUGAGACGCGUGUAUACAUCUGACGGUAUGAGGCGUUCGCUCAUAGGCGUCAAUCAGCCUCGUCUAUAGGGAGGGCGGACAGCUUGUCUCUUCUGAGUUGAAUUGACAUAAAGUUGAUAAGUCAUAUUAUCUAGCCUCAUGGAGACGUCAAAUCAAUUAAAAUCUUAGGUACAGGGAAGAUCUUGGUAUAAAUCUCUUUCUGAAAUUGGCGAUGGAUCCUCUAACCGGGGUCCGCUUGGUCUCGGCCUCGGCCUCGGGGGCGAGGUACUUUUGGUUAGGUACUACUAGGUUGCAGGUAUUCCUGACAUCACUUCGGAAGAACUUCGGACGGGGUCUUUAUCAGGUCGGAACAUAUGAUGGUGAGCGUCCGAGGCGUAUCAGAUCGGAGCGUAACAGACAAUAACUAAUUUUGUUAUAUUUUAUUUUAUUUUAUUUUACUCAAACUCAUGUAUUUCAUGUUGAACUGCCUCGUAUAGAAAUUCCUGAAGAUUAAGUGUUGAGAAAAUAAAGCCAAUGGAGAAGAAGAAUAAAAUGCAAAGAAGAGAAGAAUAUAAAUAUAUAUAUCAAUGAAGGCUUGAUCACGAAAUUGAUCUCAUUGUACUCAAACAUUAUUUGCCUCCUUUCCAAUGCUUUUUAAAAAUUUUCGGCAAAUAGUUUGUAGGAACAAGCCUUGAUAAGAAGAACACUAAAAAGCAAAGGUGUAACUUCACAAUGAACAAGUGAAAAAUGGAAGGAUUAUAAUAUAAUUUUUUUCUCAAUUUUUGGAAGUAUAAUUUAGGCAUAAAUUUCAAUGGAAUUCAAUAAAUUUUCUUGCACAUGGAUCACUUAUUUAUAGACCUUGACAAGUUCCCACAAAAUGGUGCAAGAAACAUGUGAAAAGUCACCAAAUUUGAAUGAAAAACGGUCAAAAACUAACCCAACGGUUAGUUUUUAAUAACCAUGCGACCGCAUGGACUAUAGCCAUCACAUGCAGUCGCAUGGUUAUAGCUUCGCUAGCCCUCCCAUUCUCGGGAGGGCCUCAUGAUUAAGCAAAUUUUUUUUUCUUUUCGAUUUUGAUCAACAAAUAAAUUUCCAACAUUAAGUUAUGAGAAAAAAAAGUUAUGUUUAAGGGCGUCGUAUAUAAUAAUACAUGUUUCUUCAAGGAUCAAUACAUAAAAAUAUCAUACCUGAGGGCCUCAUCAUAAUUAUUUGCUAGCCCUGAAAACUUGUCCGCAAUAGUCCCUUUUCUACGAACCACCGUGGUGAGCCUUUCUUCGUCAACGAAUCUAGUUCACAGAUUCGCCUCACUUUCUCCAUCAAUAAGCCUAGUUUGUAGCUUUGCCUCACCGAGCGACUCCAACAAGGUACAUCAACGAGCCUGGAAGUUGUUACUAUGUAGAUGAAUAAGUGGAUCACUAGAUUCUAACAUUUGCUUAGCAACUUAGAACUUUGAGGAUAACAGGAUUCAAGCAGCCCAAUUUCACACCGAACAACUUAUUAAGCAAGAGGAAAUCACUUUCAAUGUGGAUGAGGAAUUUAAUUCAGCAACAUAGGUGGUGUGCUCUAGAUUGCCUGCAAGGAGCCAUGUUUUGAAUUUCUAGAGACCAUCUUGAAACCAAUACUAAUCUCGGCAAGUUUUAAUAAAUAUUUUGGGUUUCCUUCCGACUCCCAUGACUAGUCCCUCCGUUGUGGCACAAUUCUGGUGCCUGUCCCACACUAAGAGUGCCUCAACAGCCGAAGCUAGAGAUGAGGGUGCGCUAGAGCUGCCUCGACAACAGUUGCUAAAGGCUGGAGGCUGGAGGUUGCGGUGUACCCAGAAGCCUCAAAAGUCAUAGUUAGAGGUUGAAUUUUGGUUUAGACAAUUUAUCUAACAUCUGAUGGACAAAGUAGCACUGAGAUUUUAUGAGAACAAACAAAGGCUGCCUCUAAUCCCAUACUCAACACAAUAUCCCAAAUAUGCUCGUUUUAGAAUAUCUGCGUAGUGCGUCCUACGUAGGCAAAAGACAAGGAAGAGACAGUAUUCAUAACCGUGGAGACAUGAGUGGACCCAACGGGGGUCACUUGACCACCCCCAAUUUUUGAGAUUUUUCCCUUUUUUUGAUAAAGUCACGUUCAGUAUCGAUUGAAAUCUAAAUUUUAAUCUAAAUAAAAGUUAAUAAUUAAUUUUAAUAACAUAUUUCACGGAUUCCUUAACUUCUAAAAUUUUAUCCAAAUUUACUAAAAAUCAGACUUUAAUCCUCACCAAACAGGGACAAAAUUACAAUAAAUUUGAAUUUUCUCUCUUUUUAUUGCUCUCGUAUUCUCACGCUCAUGCCUUUUAUCAAAAUCUUAACACUUCUAAUUUUUUAAAAUUUGUUUAUAAUUUCUCUACAAUUAUCAUAUCUAAUACAAAUUUUCAAUUUUCAAUCAAAUUUUCAACUAAUUAAAACAUAAAUUUGCAUUUUCUCCUAUCCUAUUUGUGCAUAUAGCACGUGUUUAAAUUGAUUAUAUAAAAUUUAACUUAUAUCUAACGAAUUGUGUUUAUUUAACUGAUUAUUAGUAUUGAAUAUUGGUUAUUUGUUUUUUCUUUCGACUACUUGAAUUGAUUGUUUGUAUCAAAUAUACAAUUUUUGAAAACAUAAAUAUGCAUUUUUGCGGUGAGCAAAAUAUUAAUAAAAUGAUUGUUCAAAAUCAAAUAGAUGAAAAUGAUGAGCAAAAUAUUAAUGAAAAAUAUUUUUUAAAUGUAAAUCUGCAUUUUUUCGGGUCAAAAAUGAAUCAUUCAAAAAUCAAGAUCAAAAUAUUCGAUUUGUACAAAGUUUGAUUGUACAUUCUAACUCAAUUUCUCUGCGUCCGCCCCUGCAUAAAGAGGUGCCCCUGGUUCAACACGAGGCUUGAAUUGAAUAUCUCCACUAUUUGAGAAGAAUCUAAAGAACUUUCAUACAGCAGGUGACGGGCCAAGGCUCUUACCACCAGUGCAGGAAGAUUCGCAGCCAACAGAAGCUACUACCACUGCACCUGCCUAGAUGGCAUUCAUCGGAUGCUACGGGCGCCUUGGUGGCGGUGAAGCACCGGGGCCAAAUCUUGACCAAUGGGGAUUGAGAUCAAGUGGCACGUAGGCCGCAAUAUCGCUGCAUUUACGAGACAUCGUAGCUGGACUGUUUUAACGACAAUGGCUUGAGGCUUACGCCGUGGAGAUGCAGUCCACGAACCGUUGCUUAGGCUUGAAGACUUUGAAAAUGGGAAAAUGAAAGUGAAAGUUCUAUAUCUUUUGAGUUUUUAUUUUUUUAUUUAAUUUUCCUCAUUCUGGCCAAGGGCUAAAUUUGUAUAUUGAAAAGUAAAGAGGCCAUUUGGACACAUUAUUAAUUUACUGAGUUAGCAGCCAUUCUAUAUUUUAUCAAAUAGCGUAUAACAACGUAUUUUUUCAUUAUAUUUCAAAUAAAUAAAUAAAUAAGUACGAAACAUAUUUUUCCCUCAUUUCAAAGAAUAGAAACAAAAUUUUUUGACGUAAAUUAUCAUCAAGGACGAAAUGUAUUAAUUAAUGAAAAGUCGAAUAUAAGAAUUUGUCGAAAGAAUUGCAAUAAUAAGCAAAAAUUAAGAACCUUAACUGCAAUUAAAAUGUAAUGUAACUAAUAAAAAUUGUAAUACCAAAAUAACCGUCCUAAAAUAAAGCUUGGCAUCCCUUAGUAGAGACAAAAAAAUAAAAAAUAAAAAAACCACCCGAAAGGGUUCUUUCAUCCUAUCUGAAACUUUAAGACAUGUUUUUUUAGCUCGAAUUACAUGGGCUAUAUGCUAAUAUGAAAGAGGCAAAUAAUAGAAAUUUACUACUUUAGAACAUAAUUGUUCUUUCCAAAUACCUAUAUUUAAUUACCGGCAAAGGGCCAAUUGAUAAGCUCCAGAUUUGCAUUUGGCCUAAAUUUGCUGAAUUUGUUCUAUCUCUUGCAAUUCUAAGUCUAGUUAAUCAUCACUGUUUGUUGUUGUUGACAUAAAUAUGGUAAGAACAGAAAUUGUUGGUAGCAGAAGGUGAACACUCAGUGUAAACUUCUCCACGUGCUAGAGAUACAAGCAACACAUAAGGAGAGCAGCAUAAUUAUGGGAUAGAAAUACCAAAAGAUAUCUUGUGGGAAGAACAGUGAGGCCAAGAAACAAACCAAUAGGGAAAUUGAGUAAUUUUUGACUUGAGUGCGUAUGUAACCCAUAUCAACUUGAGGUGUCAAUGAGAUUUCAAUGGAGACAAAGGAGGAGAAAAGGAAAAAGCUAGUGAGAUGCCAAAACUUGAUCCAAAUGAAAUUUCACAGCACUCUCCCUUUCAGAAUGAAAGGGAAAAGGGACAAUAACAUUUUCUUAUGAAAAGGGAAAAAGGAGAAACAGCAUUCUCCCUUUUAGUAUGAAAAGGGAAAAGGGAGAGUAACAUCUAAAGGUAGAAUCAUAGCACUCUCCCUCUUAGGGAUUCUCCUUUUUCAUAUGGUGCCUAGUGGCACCCCUGUUUCAACUAGGCAACCUUAGCCCGAUCCGAAUAAUAUAGCCCUCCUUUUUAGUUAUCCAAUUUGUGCUUCAAUACCGUAUCUGGCUUGACUUUAAUUAAGACUCAUGUUUCUAAGAUUUUCUCGAUCAAUCAUUCGCUAGGAAAGUUAAUUGGCGGACCAAAAUAAACUUAUAUUCUCAUCAUUCUUUAAUAUCUAUGUUUAAAACAACAUUUUAUGGGAAUAAUUUAUUAAUACCUUUGAACAAUAUUUUAUUUUUUCAAAAAAAUCGCAAAUUUUUAUUUUGAAUAUUAUAUUAUUGAUCUCGAAAUAUCGUAAUGUUAAAUAAUAAUAUUCUUUAACAAUAUUCUGUAGUUAUUCUUGGAUAAUUAUGAAUUUAUAAACUUCAAUGUAAAAUAGUGUAUUGAUCCUGAAUUUUAACUAUACUGCAUUUAAAGAAGCAAAAAUUUAUUUAUAUUAAUAUUAAAGAAGAAUAUUGCUUUGAUACUCUAGAAGAGUCAAUAUUGCAUUAUGUGGGAGAAUAAACUUCCUAGAAAUAUGCUCAAUAUCAUUUGAUUGAAUAGUUGACCCAUUCCUUGUUGUUUGAAGAAACCCUCCACUUCAAUACUAUUGAUAAUAAUUUAGUACUAAAUUAGUAAGAAACCUACUAAGUUUCUAAAAUAUUUGUCAUGAUUGAUACUAUAUCGACAUUGGUAUAUUUGAAAUAAACAUUGCAUUGAACAAGAGGUUCAAUUAUUGAAUAUAUUAUUGCUUGACAUUAUUAUUUGGUUCAUCACUUGAUCAAUAAUAAUGCAAAAUUAAGAAUUCAAAUGAAUAUUCAAAAGAACUAUAAAUUCUUCAAUCUAAUGAAUUCCUAAACAAUAAUUUUUCCAUGUGUUACGAAUUGGUCUUGAUCAUCACUAGAUAAAGUUAGAACUAAAUUUCAAUAAUCUUGAAAUUAAAUAGGGCAUGUUGACCAUCUAGUUAUAAUUGUGUGUGAUAGAUAUAUUUACUAGAUGAUUGCAUUGUGUUUGCACCUGAACUUUGCACAUUCUUUUAUUAAGUUUUAAAUUAUUAGCUUAAAUUUUAUAUUAUAUCAUCAAGACAAUGUAUCAUGUCAAUGUUAGUAAAUCUACAUCCAAAUUAAUAUUUUGAUAAAUGUUGAUUGGGAUGACGAUAAAUUGUUUAACACAAUUGAUUGUUAAAUACCUCCAAUUAAUUUCUUAACUGUUAUUGUUAAAAACAAAGUACUUUCCAUUUAUGUUUAGAUAAUGACAUUAUGCACCAAGCCAAUGUCAAAGUUAGAGCCUAAAUUUUCAUUUAUGGUUAGAACCUAAUAGUUUUCAUCUAAUGAUUUUCUAAUGUGCAAUUUAUAUACCAUAGUGCAAUGGGAUAGUUAUUAAAGAAUGAUGAGAAUAUAAAUUUAUUUUGAACCCUUACAAAAUAUUUUAAACUCUAAAGGUUGAUAUUUUAUAACGCAGUUUGCUCACGUCAAUUUAAUUAAAUAAUUCUCUCAAUAUUAAGGGAAGAAAUUGGCAGCUGAAAAUAUUACACAAUGCAUCAUAUUAUGCUGUCUAUAUCCUUGCACUUGAUAAUCUGAAAAAAUAAUUCAAUUGUAAAAUACAUUUCUGGCAUAUAAGAAAUUACUAAAAUCUCAUAUACCAACUAUAGACAUUCAAUGCCGUAUUGUUAUCUUAGAAAGACUAAACUAUUGCAAUGCAUAAAUAAUAUGUUGAAACUUUGUGACAUUUGAUUCUUAAAAAAGUAAAAAAUGAAAGAGAAAAAGAAAAAAAAAAAAAACCAGAAGAAGAAAAGAGGUUGAUCCUAAUUAGGAAGCAUAUAUUCUUGGAGGUUAUAUAGACAUAACUAAUUAUAAAACCUAGAAGAGAUUCAAGUAUUUGAAAUAUUGAAAAAGGACGUCUCUCAUUAAAUUAUGUCAUUAUGAAAAAGAAAUAGAAUUGAAAAGAAAAGAAAAAGUUGUCGACAAUACUUUUGUACAUGAUAUAUCACUUCAUAUUAUGAAUAGCAAAUAUAUCGAAAUAAAUUUGUUGAGCAUAUUGAUUGAAGUAAUGAUUAGCAAAAUUAAGAAUGCAAUCUUAUUAAAACUGAACUUAUUAGGGAAACCAAAAGCAUUUGGACCUAAAGUUCGAGGACCUAAAUGUAUAUACCCAUGCAAAAAGUAAAUAAGAAAAAUGAAGCGUAAUAUGUAAUGCACGACUUUUCAACAUAAUAAAUUUCACCAUGACCAUAAUGAAUGCAAUCACAAGUCAAUAUCGUUAUCAUCACGAUGCAUGAAAUUUGAAAUGUGAUUGGCAUCACUAUUAAUGUUAUCCUUGAAGAAUUUAAGAUGACUGAAACAUAUAAUUCAAGUGAUAUUAUUUUGAGGAGGGAUAAAUGUGUUGUACUUUCUUUUUCUUUUUUUUUUAAAUUAAGAUUUCGUCUCAUUGAAUUUCAUGACGAGAUUUCUAAUGAGACAACUUUUUUAGUAUACUUUAAAGAAAAAUGUACUAUUUUUCCUUUAUUGGAAUUUUUUGCACAAGAUUUUUCUAGUAUGGUUUUAACGUGGCAUAUUCUUUGUGUAAUAGAUGUCUAUAACCCACUAGACAUUUACUCUCAAAAUAAUAUUCUUAUAUGUUACAAAUUGUCGAUAACUCUAGAAGAGAGCAAUAACACAAUCUAAUUUUCAUUGGAUCAUCAUGUUGUCCAAAAUCAAACAAAGAUUGAUAAAAAUCUUCUAUGAAAACAAUAUUACUUGUAUGCUAUAACAAGACAAAAUGAAACGUAUUUUACCAGAAUUGAAAUAUUUAAAACAGUGACGUACAAGACAUAGAUGCUCGAUACAAGAAUUUUUAUUUAUUUAAAUCAAAGGAGUAGAUGUACACUUUUCUUUGUCAAUCAAGUUUUGUCCCAUUGGAUUUUCAUGACACACUAUUAAUGAGGCAGUAUUUUAUUAAUACAUAAUUUGUUAUAAUUAUUUGUACCCUUCUUUCGUUUGUGUUGGUAGUUUUGUCCCACUGAGUUUUUGUCAAAUUAGGUUUUUAAUGAGGAGAAUAUUGCAUACAACUAUGAGAUAAUUAUUGAUGCCGAUUUAGUCUUAUCAAGAUACUUAGAUAAAUCUUAUUUACUUUGUAAGGGUCUAUUUUAUUCAGAUUGUAACGCUCCUUUUAAACCUUAUAAAUAUGUGUCCAUUAUUGCAAUAAACUUACAAACUUAGUCUUGACCCUAUCUAUUCUUUUUUUGUAUCUCUCUCUUUUUCCUUUAGAAUUAUGAAAUUAGUAGAUUUGUUAUCCUUUCAAAUUAUCAAACUAGUAGAUUUGUUAUUAGGUACUUUUAAACUUCAGUUUGUUUUUAAGGUGAUUUAAUAGUAACAUACUGCUUCUUUCUUUAUAAGGUGAUGUUGUUUCCCAACUACCAUAGCAAUGGUUUAUUAUAUUCAAUUCCAUUAUAACGGCAUCUAGCAUAUCUUUAUACUAUGCUUUGUGUUGAAGUCGAGGAUUGGGAAUGAGACCCAUAAUUCUCUCUGUUGGCGUAUUGUCACACGGAUUUUGAUGAGUAAUUUGCUAACGAAGGCAUACUUGCAAGUCCACUCCUGUAACGGAUUUGGUGGUGGUGAAGUUGCAUACUCACUUUAUUCAGUGGUUGUCCAAAACUGCAUUCAAUAUUAUACUCUUAAUUUAACUAGUAUACAACAGAUUUUGCUUCAUCUGCUCCAGCUUGCAUCUGGCAAUGGAUCUUUUUGCCACAGCAUUGCCAAGAAAGCCCUUGAGCCCGACCCAAUGUGAGUGACCAUUGGAGUUGUGCAUAGAAGACGUCACUCGCCUUUCGUAUCAAACCUGUGAUAUGAAAUAAUAUCGGGUGCGACAUAGAGAGUUAAGUAAUUCCCAACCUAUAUUCUCUGUUUCUUGACCAGUAUUUUUCAGCGUACCCUAGGACCAAAAGGACAUUCCAAAAUUAGAUGGAUCAAAACCACCAACCAAAAAACAAAUCUUGAUUCACUUUGUGCCCAUAGAGAUUAAUGAUAAUCUUCAGCAGCAAGAAUACAAAUUGCCAGUAUAUCCAUUACUUCAACGGAAAUUCUUCCUGAAAGAAGAGGAAGAUCGAUUGUCGCAUACCACUAACAACUCACCAUCAUUAUUUAGACGUUCAAUGCCAGGGCAGAGCAUGAAGCAAAAUGGUAAUAACCAUAUACAUAAUGAAGGAAUGAUCCAUGUAAGAAGCCUAUGUACUUAAUAUGCUUCUAGUGUCAGGGUAAAGUAAAAAUAAAAAACUACUAGCGUCUACACCUCAGAAAAGUGUCAUCCUAGUACAACUAACAAUUGAAUAUUCACCAUCCCGAAAGACGUUGAACCGACUAUGCUAAUGAAUUUGCCACUCGCUUAAAUGUCCAUUUACCAGUAUAAUAUAAACAACACUGAAAGUUUAAAUGAGGUACAGGAAUUACCCUGAUGAGCCUGUAUUUUGGCUCGUAUUUCUUUGCACUCUCAACAGAAUCAUAGAUCAAGCCAAAACCAGUGGAAUUGCCUCCACCAAAGUGCGUCCUGAACUUAAAAAACAAAUAUGGCAUUUGGAUCUUUCACUUCAUACAUCCUUGCCAAUUUCUUCUUCAACUCACAGCCUACAAUAAUAGCCAAAGUAGGUAAAACUAAAAGGGACCACGAAUUUGUAUCCAAACCCAAAUUGAAAUUGCCACAAAUUUAAAACAAAGAAUCGAUCACAAAACUUUGCUUUUGGAAACCAUAAACUUAUGGUAACUAAUAAUAAUCAACAAAGAACACCAACAGAUCUAAUUAUUUAUUCAUUUUCCCACAAUGUUUUCAAAAUUAUGCUACGGCUUGUAGAAGCCUGUAUAACUUUCAUAAACCAUAGACUUUACAUUUGCCUUUAAAAAUCAUCAACAAAGAGCAUCAACAAAUAUAUUUAUUUAUUAACAUUCCUUCAAUAAUUCCAUACCAUGUAAUGGCCAAAGGAGAAGCUAGUUUUACUUCUAUAACCCACUGAUUUUACAGUUAACCUUUUCGGAAUCAGACAUGGACCCAGACGAGUACAAAAUAUAAGGACUUCUCGAUUCUCUGACAUAUAUACUUCAUUCCAUAUCUUACGUAAAACAACGAAGGUAGAAAAAAAAAAGAAAAAAAAAAGAAAAAGGGAAAUGACGCAGAAAAAGCAUAAAACUAGCACUUAAAAGGAAUAAUGCGAAUAAGUUGAAUUUUCCAUACAAAAUAGGCUAACCCACCAGUUAAGCGAGUUGCCUUGUAGAACCACAACAACGCCAAAAAUGGACCUCCAAAUGAGUACAUGGAGUCACACAAACUGGCGUCCUCAAUGGGAAAAAUAUUGGAAACCUGUAGAAAUUGAAGCCAACCAAAAGAAAGCAAUCAUGUCAAGGACAAUAUAUGACUUCAAUACAUCACUCCAAUGUACAAUUUCUUUCAUGGUCUGUCGAGACCAAGGGAGAUUGAGAUUGAGUGGCAUGUAGGUCGCAUCGCCGCUGCAACAGGACCUUCAGUGGCGGUGGGAGCACCGGGGCCAAAUCUUGGCCCAGGUUGGUCCGCCAAGACCAAGGGGCACCGAGGCCAGAUCUUGGCCCAGGUGGGUCCUCCGAGACCAAUGGGGGUCGGGAUCGAGUGGCAUGUAGGUCGCAACGCCGCUGCUACCGAGGCCUUGGUGGUGGUGGGAGUACCGAGGCCAGAUCUUGGCCCAGUGUUUCAGUCCAAAACCGAGAUCGGGGGGGAUCGAGAUGGAGUGGCAUGUAGCUCCAUCAUAGCUGGAAUGUUUUAACGACUAUGGCUUGAGGCUUGAUGCAGUCGACUGCACGAUCUCUAGCUAAGGCUGGAAGACUUUGAAAAGGAGAAAAUGGAAUUGAACGUUAUCGAUCCAAACCGGUCUAUAUUUCAUUCUGUAUUUUAAUAAAUAGCGUACAACGAGAUUUUUUUUUAAUCAUAUUUUAAAUAAUAAAUAAUUACGAAAAGUAUUCUCUCCUCGUCUCAAAGCAUAGAACAAAAUAUUUGAAAUAAAUCAUCAUUAAUGAAGAGAUGCACUAAUUAAUGAAAAAUUGAAGAUAAGAAUUUAACUCCAAAAAAAUUAAAAAAAUGAUUGCUAUAACGUAAAGUACAAUUAAAAUGUCGUAUAACGAAUAAAAAUUGUAGUACCAAUAUAAAUUGACAUCCUUUGGUAGAGACAAAAAAUAAAAAAUCUGAAACAUGUUUUUUUGCUCGGAUUAUAUUGGCUAUAUGCUAAUAGAAAUGUAAUACAAAAUAGGUAAAUAACAGAAACUACUUCAAAACAUUAUUGUUCAUUUAAUUAUUGAUUCAAAGCUCUAAAUUUGCAUUUAGCCUAAACUUGCCGAAUUUGCUCCAUCUCCUGCGAUUCUAAGUCUGGUUCCUCGUCAAUAUUUAUUGUUGUAGUCAUAUAUAUGUUAAGAACAGGAAUUGUUGGCAGCAGAAGUUGAACACUCUGCUUAAAACUUCUCCACUUACUAGAGAUACAAGCAGUGCAUAAAGAGAGCAGCAUAAUUACGGGGUAGAUAUACCAAAAGACAUCUUGAGGGAAGAAUAACGAGGCCAAGAAACAAACCAAUAGGGAAAUUGAGUAAUUCUUGACUUGAAUGCGUAUGUAUCCCAUAUCAACUUGAGGUGUCAAUGGGAUUUCAAUGGAGAUGAAGGAGAAGAGAAAGAAAAAGUUAGUGACAAGCCAAAACUUGAUCCAAGUGAAGUUCUCAAUUACUAUACUAAAUGGAUUCCAUUUCCAAGGCAUGGCUGUAUAUGGUUUCAAUAUGUUUACAACGAAUAGGAGUACUUGGAAACUUCAGUUGGAUCCAUUUGGUAUAGUAAUUGGAAACUUCAGUUGGAUCAAGUUUUGGCUUCUCACUAGCCUUUUUUUUUUCUCUCCUCCUUCAUUUCCAUUGACACCUCAAGUUGAUAUGGGAUACAUACGCAUUCAAGUCAAGAAUUACUCAGUUUCCCAAUUGGUUUGUUUCUUGGCCUCAGUAUUCUUCCCACAAGAUGUCUUUUAGUAUAUCUACCCCAUAAUUAAUCUGCUCUCCUUAUGCACUGCUUGUAUCUCUAGCACGUGGAGGAGUUUUAAGUAGAGUGUUCAACUUCUACUGCCAACAAUUCCUAUACUUUAACAUAUAUAUGACUACAACAAUAAAUAUUGACGAAGAACCAGACUUAGAAUCGCAGGAGAUAAAGCAAAUUCGGCAAGUUUUGGCCAAAUGCAAAUCUGGAGCUUUGAAUCAGUAAUUAAAUGAACAAUAAUGUUUUGAAAUAGUUUCUGUUGUUUGCUUCUUUUGUAUUACAUUUCUGUUAACAUAUAGCCAAUGUAAAUCGAGCAAAAAAAAACGUGUUGCAGAUUUUUAGAUUUUUUAUUUUUAUUUUUUUUUCUCUAUCAAGAGAGAAACCUGGGUGGGGCGGUCGCACCAUCCACGUGGUGCGACUGCCCAACCCCGAAGUGCCACCUCUGUAGAUGGUCCACACACCUCGAGGGUGUGUGGUGGCCCACCGCACCGCCACGUGGUGUAACCGCCCUACCUAAAUUUGUUUCCUCUAUCAAAGGAUGUCAAUUUAGAUUGGUACUACAAAUUUUAUUCGUUUCACUACAUUUUAAUUGUACUUCGCAUUAUAGCAAUCAUUUUUAUUUUUAUUUUUAUGUCAAAUUCUUAUCUUCAAUUUUUCAUUAAUUAAUACAUCGUGUCAUUAAUGAUGAUUUACUUCAAAUAUUUUUUUGGGCUUUUUUGGGCGACAAUUUUUCGAUCGAAUCCCUUGGAGUUACGGGGAGAUGUUGGGUGUAAUUGAAGAGAAUAUUGUUGACUUUCCAACAUUAUCAAAAUUUGACGAUAAUCCGUGGUCGAAAGUGGCAGAAAUGUUGCAACAAAAGCAGCCCAAAAAAUUGAAAAUGUGGUUUUAAAUUUCAGUGACCGUUUCUGUAAAUUUUUAAACUUCAAUGACCAUUUCUAAAAGUUUUUAACUUCAAUGACCAUCUCUGAAAGCGCCUCGAAACUUAAGUGACCGUUACUGAAAGUUUUAAACUUUAGUGACUGUUUUGUAAUUUUUGCAUAAGUUCAGUGAACGUUUUUGAAAUUAAUCCAAAAAAGUUUGCAUGUAGAGUUUCAUGUUUCUUAAAAGGUACAAACAAAUCUCACCUAAAAAAAUUUAAAACAUUCUAAUUAAAGAAAAAUAUUUUAUCUUCUUAAUUAACCCACCAACUCCUACACCCAUCCCCUACAUUUCACCACCACUACAAAAUUAAUCAAAGAGAUAAUUAAAAGUAUAAUAAAAGCAAAAUAAUAAUAAUAAUAAUAAUAAUAAUAAUAAUAAUAAUAAUAAUAAUAAUAAUAAUAAACAUAGAAAAAUAAAAAUAAAAAAAUUUAUGGCCCCAUUCGACCCCCAUUAAUUUUAAUUAUAAUGGGGGAAAUAGAAUUUUUUUGAAAAAUGAAUGGUUGUAAAAGAAUAAAAAGUUUUCGAUUUAUUUGUAAUAUUAUUUUAUUGAAAAUUGUGUGAUUUAAAAUAAGAAAGAAAAAUUUAAUUUAAUUUGAUGAGAUGUGAUGGGGGCAAACGAGGGCAAUAUAAAAACGAAUGGCGCUUAUUCCUCAUCAAAUAAUUUUUAAACUUUUAAUUCUUUUUUUUUAAUUAUUUGAUGGUGGUGUUGAUGGAGGAGGAUAUGCAGAGGGGUCGAGAUAGGGAUAGGUGGUUAAUUGGAAAAAUAAUUUUUUUACUAGAAUGUUUUAAAUUGUUUUGCAUAAAAUUCAUUUGUAAUUUUAAAAAAAAAAUUAUAAAAUCUAGAUACAACAUUUUAUAUAUACAUAUAUAUUUGUUUAUCUAAAGACGAUGAUAAAUUAGUCAUUUUAUAAUGUUAUAAUAGAAAAAAUGGAUGGUAAAAAUCUUUUAAGCAAAAAAAUGUCGAUCUAAGUGUUCAAAUGUCAAAAUUGAAAUGAUAAGAACUAUUCACACAAUUAAAGCAAACGAUAGGCACGUUUUUGCUCCAAAUUACACAUAUUUAACUGAAGGAUUUAAUGAAAUAUGAUGGAAAGCACUGAUUCUGCAAGAAAUGUUUGAAAUAAUUGUAAAUGGCAAGUUUGAAACAAUAUGAACCAUUUUCACAAUGAGUACAAACGAUAGGAAUGCCUUUUGCUAAUUACCCUAAAGUAUAUUUACUCUCUAGAUAUCGAGGGAAUUUAGCCCUUGUCUAACACCCGUUAAAAUUUUAAUAUAUUUUUCUCUCUUCUUUUUAAUCACGUAUUCAUCAAUAAAAUAAUAUUACAAGUAAAUCAAAAAAUUCCCUUCUUUUUUAACCACAAAUUUUUCCAAAAAAAUACUAUUCCAUAAUACAGAUUACCAAAAUUUCUCAUUAUAAUAGAUGUAAAACAAAGGUUUAAUAUAAACUAAUUUACACUUUACUUUUAUAAUAAAUAAUGUUAUUCAUAGUGAAGAUUAUUGAUAGUCAUCCUUUGUGACAUAUACAUGACAAUGUGUUAUUUGAUGCAUAGGAUGGUAAAAAACCUAUCAUAUUAAUGUAUUAAAUAAUGUCAUGUGUACGUCACGUAAGAUAGCUAUCGAUAGUCCUCACUAUGAAUAUCAUUACUCUUUUAUAAAUAUAACAUGUCCAAACUUGGAGGCAAAAAUGCAGCCUCCGAGCUCCUAUAGAGAGAUUGCCGCAUUGACUAUAAAUAAACAAAAGCAAUGAAACUAUUGUGAAACAAUAAAAAUUUUCAAAAAUAAUCAAUUCUUCUCGACGAGUAGAGUUAAAAGGCUAGUUUGAAACGAAGGAUAGUGCAUUGCACCGUGAUGCAGCAGGGCAGCAUUGGUGAAAGGGCAAAUAGGGCAGCAUCGGUGAAAGGUAGUGAAAUAAAGGGAACCACCAUAAGAGAGGAGAAUUUGAUUUCAGAAUUUAAAAAUCCCAGCCUCUUAAUAAGUAUAAAGAAAGGAGGGCAAGAGUAAAAAUGCUUAAACGAGAAACUUAGCCUGAACUAAACUGCUCUAUAUAGUAGAAAAGGAUGGAGUUAAAUGUUUCAUUGACCACCAAACUUUACACUAGUCACGAUUUACUCAUCGAACUUCAUUAAUUGUCUCAUUGGCCACUGAACUUUGCUCCGUUCAACUCCAUCACUCACCCGUUCAAAACUGUUAAUAGACGUGCUGAUGUGGUGAAUGGAAAAAUGACUUGGCCGGUUAACUCCUUUCAAGUAGUAAGUGAUUUGCCAACUAAGCUUCCACGUUAGUAAUGGAGCAUCCAAACACGGCAUUAUCAAUUUCAUUUCACACGACUUUACAGAAUUAUAACCCAAUUAGUGUGAAAUCUCUCUCAAAUCACUUCCUCCCAUUCGCGAAGAACCCUAAGUAUCUGAACCAAGAUCCUCCAAAAAUCUCUCAAAUCCUAUCAUCCUGAAAUCCAUUUCUACAAAAUCUCACAUGAAGUCUCUGUAUUCUGAAAAUCCAUUCAAUUCAUUCGGGUAAUUUUUAUCAUGCACCGUGGUAUCCCAAAUCACGUCGUCUAAUUUUUGUGAGCUUCAAAUUCAUCUACCUCAAGAUAGAAAGGUAAUUUUUGUUUAUGUUUGUUGUAAAAUUGUUCCCAUGAUAUGGUAGGACACGAAUUGAUGAUUUUUGAAUGGAAAAUUGGUUUUGUUUAUAACUCAUUUUAUUUUUGGUUUGCAUCUUCGUCUUUCCGAUAAUGGUCAAGAACACUACUUUCUAGUCGUUAAUGGAGGAAAAACAUGUUUAUACCAUUCCUCUCCAUAAUCCAAUUAACACUCAUUUUGGGUAUUCUGCCAAUGUGAAUGUUGGGUAUUUUUUGUUUGGCUCUAAUAAAGAUAGCUCAUUGUUGAAUCCGGUGACUGGAAAAAAGGCCCUGUUGAUGAAACUACUUUGACCGUUGAAGGAUUUGAAUCCUGAUGGAGCUACUUUGCUUGUUGAUGAAAUGAAUAACACUAAAUUAAAAUUUGGAAGUAGGUGUGUUUUAGGUACUGAAUUUCAGAAAAAGCCUCCUAUUUAAACUCUCGAAUGAGAUGAAGGGAUUAAAGAUUGUUAAUUUUGCAGUGUUGCUGAGAAGAGUAAAAAAUUUGGCAGCAAUUCAUCUGUCUGUCACUGCCAAUAACAUAUUCAUGUUUGCAAUCAAUGGAAGGGGGGUAUCCGUUGCCUUUGUCCACCAUUUAUGGUAAUAGGAACUGGGACUGGUUGUGCUUGGAAACAGCUACAAUUUGCUUCAUUAAAAAUACUGGUAAUUUGUUCUAUUUUACUGUAUUAUUUUUUAUUGCAUUCCCAGUUCUAUCAUUAUUUGUUUAUUUAAUUAAUGUUUAAUGACACAUCUUUAUGCUUUUUGUCCUUCAUUUAUCUCAGUUAAGUAUGUUUAUAGAAUUAUUAGUAUGUUUAUAGAUAGUGUGUAGAAUAAUUUAAUUUAUAAUUUGUAAUUAGUUAAAAUUGUAUGUUUUAUUCGAAAGAAUCAUUCUAUUAACUUUUAGGGUCAGUUUGAUUGUAAAGAUGAAAUUUGGAUAGAAAGAAAAUGAAUUUCAGGAAAUUGAAUUGUCUAAAAAUUAUUUUACUGAGAAUUAUCAAUUAUUGUGUUUGAUUGAUAUAAUUUUUUAUGUGAAAAAUGUUAAAAUAAAAGUAUUUUUUGAUGUUCGUUUGACUUUAUUUUACAUAAAAAUUGUCAAUUAAAGGGAUAAAAUUUACUGGUAUUGGGGAUAGAAUUUGUUCCUCUUGCCCAAAGAAAAAAAAAAAGGAGCCAAAAAAAUCAUCUAUCUUUUGGUGUUCAUUUGACUUUGUUUUAUAUGGAAAUUAUCAAUUAAAGAAAAAUAUUUUUUUACAAUUAAUGAUAGAAUUUGUUUUCAAUGCCAAAAAAAUAAAAAAUAAAAAUUGGCAACUUACCUAGAAAACCAAUUCCCACCAUUCCUUGAAAACUAAGAAAAGUCCACUUUUCAAAAAAACCAAGCAAAUGAAUUACAUGGAAAAUAUUUGCUAUCAAACACUAUCAAAAGGUGGAAAAUAGACAAAAUUUUCCAUUUUCCAUGGAAAAGAUGCCCAAUCAAACAGGGCCUUAAUAUAUUUUUCCAACAGAAAUUGUGUAGUUUUAGUUCGAAAAUUUUUAAUAUAGUUUCAGUAUAUUAUUUUCAUAUUACCAAUAGAAUUUUAUCAUUAAAAUUUCUUAAUUUAUUUUUUAGGAUUUUGUUUUUUUUAUAAAUUAAAAAUUUAAAAUAAUCUUUAAUUAAUAGGUAGGAUUGAUUGAAAUUAAAAGUAUGUGAAUUUUUAUUUUUAUUUUUGUUCUUUUUUACAACAAGCAAUAAAUAUAGCAAAUCCUUGUUGCAAAACACACUUUCUCGCAACAUUUAAUGAUUGUUGCAAAAUGUUGUAUCGUAAGAAUUUCAACAAUAUGUACUGAGCAUUGCUAUAGAACAAAAUUUUAAACAGUUCAAUGAACAUUGCAAAAAAAAAAAAAAAAGGAAGAUUAAAACUUUUGCAACAUAAUAAAAAAAAAUUAAAACUUUUGCAACACUCAAAGAACGUUACAAAAAGCUAUAUAUCAAGAGUUUCAAAAACGUUUAUUGAACGUUACUAUAGAACUUUAUUUUUACAACAUUCAUUAAACAUUGCGAAAAAUAAAACUUCUUACAACAUUCAAGAAACGUUGAAAAUGGUAAUAUUGACAACAUGCAAUUAAAAAAAAUAUAUUGCCAAUGCUUAAUUAAAUUAAUCAAUAGCAACAUUUUUCACUUUUUAAAAUGUUGCAAUAAACCAUUUAGCAGCAUACAAUUCACGAAUAUUGCCUUUUGAAUAUUGCAAAAGCUAUUUUAAUUGUAGUGAAAAUUCGUCAUAUGUAUAUAAAAAUUCAUAUGUCAUUAAAUUAAUUUCAGUACACGUGAUAAAUGAUCAUACCUAAAAAAAUUAUUACCUUCACUAAACUUUGAAAAAUUAAGCUUUCGGACCGAUAACGUAUUAUGAAAAGAGAUAGAAAAAGCAGGGAAAAUAAAAGUCAAUAGACUUGUAUGUAUUAUAAUAAGAACUAGAGCCAUGUAUUCAUAAAGAAGGAUUAUGGAUACAAUGAUAAUAAUUUCUAAAUUUAUAGGGGUACAAUUGUCAUUCACAAAUAAAACUUACCAUUUACAACAAAAUGGUCUUUUUUUUUUUUCUUCAAUUUGCUCCUAAAAAGUUUAUUGAUAGCAACAAGAUAAGUCGGACGUUCUCUUUUUUGAAUUUUAAGAGGCGCGUAGGACAUUUUGAUCUUCAUUUUUCGUCCCAUUCAUUUAUGUAUUUACUUAUUUAUAUAUUAUUAUGCGUUUAAAUUUAAAUUUUAUUCAAAAAAAAUUUUAAAAAAAAUAUUAUGAAUCAUGGAUGGGUUUGUGAUAGCGAUCAUGUUUCCUAACCAAAUGCCUAAUAAGGAUUAUAGAAUUCCCGACCUUCAAUCCACGUGGCGCGUUCCGUCCCACAUUGUCCUUCCUUGAAUAGUAAACGAGGCGGGAUGCAAAACCUAUAGUCCCUAGUUUCGAAUUUUUAGUACUAGCUCUGAAUCAUUUUUCAUUAUUAUAUUUCAUUUUAUUGUUAUGUUCUUCAUUUAAAUCAUAUUUAAGAAAAUUUAAUUAAAUAAAUAAAAUGAUGAAUGAUGUUUUUUAUGUCUCAACCUACCCUACAUUCUGAAAAAUCAGAACGAAACAAGAAUGAUAUGAUGGUUACUAUCCAUUGUCAUCCUUAAAUUCAAAUUUCUUGUUGGGCGAAGUAACUUGGGGCCAGAGGCAGUCCUGAGGGCGCACGAGUUGAGCGAUCGCACAGGGCCUCAAAUUUGUAAGGGCAUCAAAAAAAUUUUUGUUAUAAUUGUAUAUUUAUUUAUAAUUAAAUAUUUAAAAUAUAAAAUUUUUAUUAUUAUGCAAAAGAUAUUAAAAUUAAGAAUAAUGUGACUAACUAGUUAUAAUUUUCUUGAAUAUAAUAUUCUUAAAUAGCGUUCCUACCUUAAAUAAUGUGAGGAAAAAGUAAAAAGUCAAAAAGAGAUUAGCCCGACUAGAGAACUGAGAGAAGAGAGAAAAAUUGAGCAACUACAUUUUCCAAAUCGUCUUUUUGGAGAGAAGAAUUAAAGAAAACAACAAUCUUUUCCAAUUGCCCCAAAGAUAAUUGAGGUAGAGAAAAUAGAAACCAACCGUUUUUUUAUUUGUUUAUUUUUUUUUUUGAAGAAAUCAUCUUUUUUUCCAAUCAUCUUUAAUCUGGCUCCAAAAGAUUCUCUUUUUUCUUUAAGCAACGACUGACGAUUCAUAUUUUUCACUGAACUCUCACUGAAAAUUUGAAUUACAUGUUAUCUUUUCUUUAUUAUCUUUUCGUUAAUCUUAUUCUAUGAUUUUACUGAUUUGAAUUCUUUUUGCAAGAACUUGUUAAAAUUUGAAUUCAGGAUUGAGGAUUGAGAAAGCACGACAUAAUUUUCCUCCGGAGAAGUUGAACACUUACAAGUAAGUUUUUGUUUCCUUAACAUAUUUUUCUUCAAUAAUUUCUUUGAAUAUUCAAGAAAAUAUAAAUUCGUUUUUAAUAUUUUUUUCUCAACGUUCUGAAGAUGGAUUCAUCGUUUAUAAUUUAUAAUUACUAAUUUAAUAAGUGAAAUCAAUUAACUGUGAAGAGAUUUACUGUUAAGUGAAAUCAAUUAAUUGUGAAAAUGGGUUCACUGUUCAUAAUUUAUAAUUACUAAUUUGAUAAGUGAAAUCUACUAAUGAAAUUGAUUCAUUGAAUUUUUACUACCCUCUAACUCUCUUUUCAUUAAUUUGUGAUACACGGGUUUUCGAAGAAUCAAGAUUGAUUUAAUUCCUGUUACUGUUGUAUCUGCUGAAAGAAAAUUUUCAAAAUUGAAGUUAUUAAAAUCUUAUUUAUGAUCAACCAUUUUACAAGAACGAUUGAAUGGAUUCGUUUUGAUAUCUAUUGAGCAAGACUUUCUAAAAAAUAUUGAUUACGAAAGUUUAAUUAGUGAAGUUGCUUUUAAAAAUGCGAGAAAAAAUAUUUUUACAUACUUUGUAUCAUUUCAAGCUUUACACUUGACUUGAUUUAUAUAUUUGUUUCAAGGUUUGCUUAUAUGGAAUUGCACGAAGAGGUUAGUGGUUUGGAUGGUUCUUUGUUGAUGACACAUGAAUUUUGAUGAAGUUCGAGAGAUACUUUUGAGUUUUAUUUAUGUUUUUCUUGUUUGUGUAUGUUAAAAAAAAAAUAUUCAAAUAUCAUAUUUUUGCAAUGAAAUAAUAUUAUUGAAAUAUUUUUCUUUACUAUAUGUUUUAAUCACUUGAAGGGGGUACCAUUUUAAAAUUUCGCACAGGACAUCCAAAAUCUUAGGGCUAGCUCUGCUUGAGGCUGGCGUUUUGUUAAAGAUUUCCUCUUAUAAUUUUGUAGAAAAUAAAAAGCAAUGAAAAAUAAAUCCACUUGAAAAUAGGGUCAUCUCUAAAAGAUAAAUGUAUUAUCCAUUGAUUCCCAUUUUUCAGUUGAAACCCAUCUCCGUAGCAAGGCUAUGAUCCAAUCCAACCUUAAAAUUUCUCAAAUUAUCUUUAAAAAAAAAAAAAAAAAAUUUCACCACAUUUUUAACUCUACAAAUAAAGUGGAGUGUUGCCUAAAUAUCCAUUACAACAGCUAUGUAGAGGCAACCCUGAUGGUUCACAGAUGGUGCAACCGCACAAGGCCUCUACAUUACAGGGACACCAAUUUUUUUUUUUUUUAUUUGUGUAUUAUAAUUUUAAAAUUUAAUUUUUUUUUAUUAAAGGGACCAUGUUUUAAAAAUAUCACAUAGUACACCCAAAAUAUUAAGGUCAACGCUACAUCUAAGUACCACUGUGCAACUUCUCCAUUUCCUAGGUAUCAAAAAAUCUUCACCUCUACAACCACGUACUAUGUUAAUUGCUGAAGAUUAUAUUUACAGUCUGUUUGAGCCACAUUAUUUCAAAAAAAUACAUUUUUAAAUAAUAAUUUGACAUUAUUUCAAUCACACAUUCUUCAAUAAAAUAAUAAUACACAUAAAUAAAAAAAUUCCUUAUUUUUUAACCACACAUUUCCCAUCAAUACAUUAUUCAAGAAUGCAUUAUUACCAAAAUAAUGUUGCUCAAACACCCCCUCAGUAGCAAACAUGAUAGAAUAAAAUUCUGUGACAUACUUAGAUGAAAAUUAAUUCAAUACAGUCUGGCGUUCAAGUCAGACGAUAAAGUAUAUUGGGUGUGGAAGAGAUACAAUAGAUAAAGAUAUAGAUACGGUUUACCAAAACUUUCCUUCGAAGGAAAGGGCAGAGUAUUUAUAGGUGGAAGAAGCUCUAUCUGAAUGCUUAACACGUGACUUUAUUUUAAUACCUCAUUUCUCAUGCUUAAUUAUGUCAAUUUAUAGCCAUCAUAGGUAUGGCUUUCCAUAGUCAGAGUAUAAGCUAAAAACUAAGUAUCGUUGUUGCGGAGUUGUUACAUCAAAUAUUUUGUACGGUGUACUUUGGGCAACUUUGUCAAAGCAAGGCUUGUAGUAGAUGUUCAUCACCCUAGAUAUAUACUGCAGUGGAGAGGUGAUGCAUCGCCUCGAAUAACAAUAACAUUUUAAACAAUGCAUCUAAAAGUAUCCCAUGAUCGUAUCAAAAAAGGCAUGAAGAGGAGACGAUGGGAAUUUGAGUGUUUCCCUUGUAUAGCCUCUUCUUAUUUGGCUGUCAUGUGGCCCACAUUGUAGAAAAAUAUGUAACAAUAUCACUUUUAACAAAAUCUAUUCUCAAACAAUGGAGCUUAAAUAGGGUUACCAGUUUUAUGUUACUGAAAUUUUUUUCAAAAGCUCUGUUGAAAAUUAAUUUUUUUUUCUUUUUAUUAUUUUUUUAUUUUUAGGAGAGUUAGGGGCUAGAGAAUAAAUGUAUGUAAAACAAAGUUGUCAGAAUCAAAUGCUAAGAGAGCAAAUCUCUUUGCAAGAAAGAAGGAAAGGAUAAGGCUGCCAAAAUUAUGAUGAUGAUAGAAAUGGAAGCAAGAAUAUUCAUAAUAUAAGUGAAUUUCUUGGUCGUCCAUGCCGGAUUGAAGCUAUCUUGAACACACGACCUUACCUUUGUGAAGUUAUCAAUCCCUCAAUUCUAUUGUUUACUGGUGCAAAUUCAAUUUUUCCCGUGUUAGAAAUUUUCCUUUUUGUUAAAGUUGAAUAACAUCGUCUAAUAACAUUAGCUUAUAGGGAUAGGACAAAUUUAUUUACGGAAUUUCUGAAGAUCCUUGAGCAACUUGGAUUCAUUUUUCAAUUUAUGAGAUGUGCAUAAUUUUGCUCAUCAAACCACAUCAUCUAAAAGUUUAAGCUAGCAAUUAGGACACAAAUUUAUUUAUUUAUUUAAAUCUUCUUCGACAUUUUGGACAUGAAAUGUGAUUCCUACAACAAAUGUGCACACCUCCAAUUUAUUAAAUGAUAGACUACGAAACUGUAUUUUGAGUGGUAAUUGGUAUGCAAGAGUGGUUAACUAAUGGAUUUGUAAUUUCGACAUCUAAGUUCUGCAAGGCCAAUACAAACCGAUAGAUAGAACAUUUAUUUUUGUCUGCAUUAAGCAUCACAGGCUCAAUUACCGAGAAUUGCAUCCACUUUACACCUGUUACAAUGUGGAAGCGGAAUUGUCCAGAAAUUAAAUAAAAAAAAUUUUAAUUAAAUAAACAAGAUCGUUUAUGUGACAUCUCUAAAAUAUUUUUAGGGAAAAAAAUUAUUAUCUAUUCUAUAUAUUAUAUUUGAUUAUUUUGAAAAUGACGGACUUGGAUGAAGUAUAUUUUAAAUUAUUAUAUUCUUGAGGCAAAUAAUUGGAUUUUGAUAGAGUGAUGAUAAGUCUAUCAAUAUUACACUCGUUGGAGAGCCCGUAUCUAAUUAUGUAUUUUAGGCUCGAGAAAAAGUUAAUUCUAAUAAGUUUGGCUCAAGAUAUUGAAGUUUGUAGAAGUUGUUAUUUAAUUGGAAUUAGAAUUUACCAACUUUUAAAAGGGGUAGCCACGUGUGCUCUUCUAUAGAGAUAAGGUGGUGGAUAUGAGAUUGUAGUUAAUUGUUAUUUUAUCACAUUUUGAUGAUGAUUAAUGUAAAUUGAUAAUUAUAAUCCUAUUUUGAGAUAAUUCAACUUCGGAUAUUGUUACUAAAUUAAAUUAAAAUAUUAGUCCUUACGUUUAUUUUACCUGCACUACAUGAGUGGAUAAGGUGAUUGGGAUAUUUCUAAUUAAGCAAAAUCCAAAUUAAAACUAAUCUAGAACUUAUCAUAUGAAUUAGAUAAAUUUUCCAUCUCCUGCUUGGCCAUGCGUUUAAAGAUUUAUUGGUUUUAAAAAUUAUUUUCACCAAGUAGAGAUUUUACAGAGAUGAGAUAAAAUUUUAUGAAGUCAUUUUUAUCCUAUAUUUUGAUAAAGGAUAAAGGUUUAAAUGUAAUCUUAUAUGUGAGAUAUUCAAGUACUAUCAUACAUGUGUCAUAUCAUGGUUUGGGUUAUCAAAAUUUAAAGUUUAUCUAAGUGGUACACGUUUUCCCCACCGUCAAAAUUGUACCAUGACUCAACUACCAUUUUUUUAUUAUAAAUAAUGUGCAUUUGUACUUUGAUUUUCCACCAAGAAAUUUUUACAUAUCAGACAAUAGAGAGAGAGAGAGAGAGAGAGAGAGAGAGAGAGAAUAAUUUUGAAGAUUCAGUCACCAAAAUUUUGACGCAGUCGAGAAAGUAGAAUAUGGGGGUGUUUGAUAGAUAUUUUUAUGUAAAAAUACAUUUUAGAAUAGCAAAUUGAUGUGAAAUGUGUGGUUGAAAAAUGAAGAAAAGUUUUUGAUUUACGUAUAAUAUUAUUUUAAUAAAGAAUGUGUGGUUGAAAAGAAGAGAGAGAAAAAUACUUUUUGAAUAAAAUAUGAAUGAAUUACCUGCAGACAUUCAUUUUUUUAAAAGAAAUAUGAAAUCCUACAGGAUUAUAAGAAGGCCUAAGAUGGGUGUCACUUGGUCACGGAAUUACUCCAUAAGAUCAAAGUGGUAUGAAAUGCAUAAUUUUUAUUGUUAUAUAUUUGUAUAUGAAAAUUGCACGUAUCUUAUUGGGUGUUUUUGAAUACUCACUCUUACAAAUUUUUAAAGGUUAGUUCGGGUUGAUUGAAGUUGUGACGAAUUGGUGACGCGGACAGCCAAGUGAAUCGAAGAAAGGAAAAAGAAAUUAAAUAUUUAGUUUGCUUUUUUUUUUCUGUAAUUCUAAAUUAUUUGCUAGUUUUAUUUGCUCAAAGACUCUUUUGGUUAUUUUAAAUUGAUAUUUAUGGUUGAAAAUAAAGAAUUUCCUUUUAUUUAAAUCGUUCCACAAUUAUUAUAAAAGAAAACAGCGUUUUUCUUAACAUCCUGGCGUUUUUGGAAAUUUAGGACGUUGCAGUUUAGAUGUUCACGUAUAUGUUAAAUCAAGGAUAAAGAAUUUGAAUUUUUACCUAAAUUGAUGAUUAAUUAUUUAAUUAAUUCAAAUCACGAACUUCCACCUUUUUGGAUCAUAGACUUCUAGCUUUUAAUUACAAGAACUUGAUACAUCAAAUCUCCAAGUCUUCUACUGUAUUCUCCAAAAUCAAAACUACACCAAUGAGUGGGCGUUUUUUUUUUUUAAUUAUAUCAAGAAACUAAUUUUUAAACUGACAAUUGAAUAAAAGCAAGAAAAAUAAUAUUCUCUCUUUUUUCCUCUCUUCAAUUUGAACACUGUGGAUUUAUGUAAUAUGAUUAGAAAUUCUAGGUUCUAUAUAAUCUCUAAUUAUAGAGACAGAAUAGUUCUAAUUCUUGUACAAUAAUAAUUUCACAUUCAAAUAAGAGUUCUAAUUAAAAUCUAAGUAGGAGUUUUACCUAAAGUCCAAAUUCAAUUAGUACACAUUUAAUUACAUGUGUAGUCCUAAAACUUUAUAAUUAAGUUUACAAAUUUCAUAAUAAUUAUAACUAAGUACAAAAUUUUAUUGUAAUUAUAGUUAAUCUCAAAAUUAUUAUAAUUACUAUAAUUCAAUUCCAAUAAUUUAUGGAGCUGACAUAGGGACCUGAUAUAACAUAUAUUAUCCAAACUUCAAUAAUUAGAUCUGUCUAGUAGACUUUAGACCACCCAAUCUAAUUAUUAGUCUUUACUUUUUCACCAAAGACACAGAAACCAAUAAAUUUGUAAUGAUUUCCUCUAACAUGUUGUAUAUGUAUUUUAUCCUCGUCCGAGAUUUAAUAAUUAGGUAUGAGCAUAAAUGACCGUUUUGCCCUUUUAUUUAUUAUCACUAGCUUAAGUAUCAUUUUCUUCAACGAUUAUGUAAACUAAUCACAGAUGUCGAAGUUUAACUGUCGCUAAACACUUAGCUCAAAUUUUAACCAUUCAACAAUAAAUACUUAAGUAAUCACUCUACCCAUUUUUCAAUGUGACGAUUCUCGACACGAAUUCUCUACCUUGCUUAUUUUCGAAUUCUUAGCUCAUCAAGACAUUUAACCAAUCAAAUUAAUAUCACCCAUUGAUGAUCAAAGAACCACUAAAAUCACGAAAAUAUAUACAUAACACUAUUAAGGGAUUUAUAUGAAAUACACAGCGAUCAAGUGAAACUUAAUUCUUCGCACGGUCAUGCUAUAGGAAUUAAAUUUGACACGUGAUCCGUUCAAUAGACUCCAAGUGUACUAGUGCCACCUUUAACUAUUUUUGUAAUAAGGACAAAUCACAAACGUGAAUAGUGAAUCGGUCAAUAUUACAACCUUCCAGUACAAGGUGUCAACCCUUAUACAUUGAUAAUGAACAAAUUAUUUAUGAUCAAAAUAUAAGUUGUGUCACCCUAUAUUUCUCAACGCAAGUAUCCAAUUUAUAUUAUCACAAGUGAUUAUAGGCACUUUAAUUCACAUGCUUAAUAAUAAAUAAAUGCAAUAAAUAAAAUAAACACAUUUUUAUUUAAUAUAACAAUAUUGUUAUUUUUACAUCAGCAAAACUAUACUUGAUAUAUUUGAUAGGUUGAUAGGAUCCAAACCUUAGCAUGCCAUUUAGAAAUCCAUUCGUUAAUAGGAUUCAAUUAAGUUACCGUUGCCAAUUAUGAGUUGAUGCAUGGUCAAAUGACAGCCUCUGUAGCUUCACACACUUGAUAUAUUUGAUAACUUGUUAAACUAUUAAUAUGGGUUGCAGUGAGGGUUCCGAAGUAGUAGAAUGGUAGAAUGACCACUUUUCAGGUAUUAUCGGCAUUAAUAUUUUUCUUAAUUUCGAUGAAUUUAAAUGAAUUAAGGAGAAUCUGCAAUGAUUUCAAUGAUGUUUGAAAAGUCUAUAUCAUCAUGGACGGUUAACAUCUGGGAGAUUCAAGUAUAAAAGUUUUGCAUAAUUUCAUUGAAUAUGCCUCUAGCUUUCAUACCUAGAAUAUUAUGCUUGAAUGCUUAAAAGAUUUAUCCAACUUUAGGGUUUCAUUGUAUUGUAUAAAGUAGCCACUUAAAUACUUCUCUCUUGUACUCAUAUUUGAUAUAGUAAAAAUUAUUUUCUUACAUUUUUGUGAAUUACAAGUACUUGAGAGUGCAAAUGAAGUAAACCCAAUUUUACUUGUGGGUCAUUUGGCAUUCACAUAUUAUAACUAUUUUACUUGUGGACUAAAUUACGUAUAUUGAACUAGAGAAAAAGUCGAUUUGAAUAUACGGAGACCAAUAUCAUUCUAUCCUAAGAUAUCAGGACUUACUAUUAAUUAUUAAGAUAUUUUUCCCAAAAUCAAUAUUGCUAGAUUGAGUUUUAACUAUAUAGGGAUUUAAUUCCCAAAAUAAAUUACACACAUCUACAUUGAAUUCCCAAAAUAAAUUACAUUGAACAAGUAAUCACACUCCAAUAAUUUCCUGAAACCAUCAGUCUUCAUAAUUUCCUGAAACUAACUCAAAUCUCCACGCAUUAAAGAUUGAGUCAAUAUGUUAAAUAUUGUAAAUAAAUAUGAUUAAAUAAUUAAAAUUAAACAUAUCUGAUUUGUUUACCAUACAACGUAAAUGGAUAUAAAGACUUCAAAGGGGUAUAACAUAUUCAAAGUCUCCAACUAAACCUAGUCCUCGUAUCCUCAACUUAUCAAAAAGUCAAUACCUUUAAGGUAUGUGCUAAAGAAAGGCACGAGCGUUGACAACCCCACCAUCUAUACAUUUGACACUUGCCUUGAUGAUUAAGAAAAUGCCUGAUCAUCAUUUACUAAAACUCAUAAAAAUGUUUAUAUCAUCUGCCAAACUCAAUUAUUUCAAAAUUUAUUUUCAAUCAUGUAUUUCAUGGAAUUUACAACUUUUACCAAUUUUCCCUUCAAAUCUUACCAAAGCUAAUUAGGCAACGGCUUAAGGCCUUAGAUAUUUGAGGGACCUCAAAAAUAAACCAUUUGUUCUCUGGUUCUUGCAGACAGUGGGAACAUAUCUUGUUAUUGCAAAUUAUCGCAUGACAGGAAUGACCUUUAUGAUUUGCUAAAGAAAUGAAGGUACUUUCCUGGGUUCUUCAUUUUGCUUUAUUUCCACUCGUCAUUCAUUUACCAAUACGGGUUGACUCCCUUUCCUAGAAAAUAUGCUCAUGCCAAUUUCCUAAAUUUGUGGAUUUAAUUGAAACUCAAAAAAGUUUAACCAUAUUUUCUUACCUUCGUUUCAGUCGAUGAUAAUCUUUGUCAAAUUUUUAAUUUGUGGAAUCACAUACACAUUGAAAGAACAUUUAGUCCAACCUAUCCUUUCCAUCCAAUCUCAUCUUUUUAUUGACAUACUUUAUGUGUUGGUUGGACAAUAAAAGAAAAUAUUAGAUAGCGUUAAAGAAUAAACAACCAUCACAAAUUCACGACAUAUUUAUAGAAUACUGCCAAAGAAAUCCAUUUUAAGGAACUUUUAAUCACUUCCAAACAAGCUCUUAGCUCUAAACAUUUUUCAUGAGCUCGAUUUAUAAUACUAAUUAAACAAUAAAAAGAUAUUAAAACUUUUUCCAUAGUAAUCAACAUUUUUGUCCAGCACUAAGCAUGGCUCCUAAAUAUGAUAUGACAGUAAACAUGUGGGCCUUUCCUGUUUUAAUAGGAAUCCUCAUCUUUGAGAAUUAUGUUAGUUGUUAUUAUGUCCUCUGAGCAUGUUUCCUCAAGAAUCAAUAGAAAAUAGCUAUUUAUUUUUAUUUUAUUUUUUCAUUUUACUCAAACUCGUGUAUUUCAUGUUGAACUGCCUCGUAUAGAAAUUACAGGAGAUUAAGUUAUGAGAAAAAAGUUAUGUUUAAGGGCCUCGUAUUUACUAAUACAUUGUUCUUCAAGGAUCAAUAGGUGAAAAUAUCAUACCUGAGGGCCUCAUCAUAAUUAUUUGCUAGCCCCGAGAAACCGACCCCAAUAGUCCCUUUUCUAGGAACCACCUUGGUGAGCCUUUCUUCGUCAACGAAUUUAGCUCACAGAUUCGCCUCACUUUCUCCACCAACAAGCCUAGUUUGCAGCUCUGCCUCACCGAGUGACUCCAACAAGAUACAUCAAGGUUAACAAAAUGUAGCUCACAUGUAGCAUCCAUGUUGGAUGAGGUUCAAUCAUUUUGAGCCACUUUCAACGAGCCUGGAAGGUUGUUACUACGUAGAUGAAUAUGUGGAUCGCUAGAUUCUGACAUUUGCUCAGCAGAUUAGCACUUUGAGGACGACAGGAUUCAAACAACCCAGUUUGACACAGAACAACUUAUUAAGCAACAGGAAAUCUCUUUCAAUGUGGAUGAGGAAUUUUAUUCAGCAACAUAGGUGGUGUGCUCUAAACUGACUGCAAGGAGCCAAUACUCAUCCAACAAUCUUGAAACCAAUACUAAUCUCGGCAAGUUUAAUAAAUAUUUUGGGUUUCCUUUGGAGUCCCAUGUCCACUCCGUUGUGGCGCAACUCUGGUGCCUAUCCCGCACCAAGAGUGCCUCAACAGCUGAAGCUGGAGGUGAGGGUCCGCUAGAGCUGCCUCCACAACAGUUGCUGGAGGCUGGAGGUUGCGGUGUACCCAGAAACCUCAAAAGUCAUAGUUGGAGGUUGAAUUUUGGUUUAGAUAUUUUAUCGAUCGCCUGAUGGACGAAGUAGCGCUGAGAUUUUAUGAGAACAAAUAAAGGCUUCCUCUAAUCCCAUGCUCAACACAAUAUCCCAAUUAUGCCCGUUUUAGAAUAUCCGCGUCCUACGUAGGUUCGGAGCCGUCGGAAGCGACUACCACUGCGCCUGCCUCGACGGCAUUCAACGGAGGCUACGGAAGCCACGGCGGCGGUGGGAGCACCGGGGCUAGAUCUUGGCCCAGUGUUCAGUCUAACACGAAGAGUUGUAAUUGGUCCGGCGAGAUCAAGGAGGAUCGAGAUCGAGUGGCAUGUAGGUCGCAACGCCGGUGCUACGGGAGCCUCUGUGUCGGUGGGAGCACCAGGGCUAGAUCAUGGCCCAGUGUUCAACACCGAGACCAAGGGGGAUCGAGAUGGAGAGGCAUGUUGGUCCGUCGUAGCCGGACUGUUUUAACGACUAUGGAAGCGGUUCUCAUCAGUAGGAUUUUAGCGAAAAUUAUGGAGUUUUGACCGUUACUCACCAAAAUUUAUAGCAUUGCAGCUGCAAUUAUUGACCAAAUUUUUAUAUACCAUUUUGACAUUUAAUUUAUUCCAUUUGACUGAAGGGCAUUUGUGGUAAUUUAACAAAUAUUGAAUCAUAAAAUUGGGCCGAAAGAGGUGAUCGACGUUUCCAAACAACUCAAAUUUUCCUAAAAAUCUUGUCAGAAUAGCUUCCAAAUAAACGGUCAAUUAAUUAUUGACGCAUAUUAAUUUAAUGGAUUAGUAGUCAAGUUAAUGAUGAAAAUUUUGAGAUAACAUGUUAAUUAUUGAUGACAUAUUAAAAAUUAAUUAAAAGGACAGCAAAAUUGGAUAGCAAAUUUCGACUCUAUUUUUCAAAAAGGGCAGCAAACUUUAUUAUUAUCUCACUUUAAUAAAUGGGGACAAUAAAAUGAAUUAUCAAAAACUAAAUAAAAAGGGGUACGUGAACGGGCCAACACCCUAUCCUGCCUUGCCUUUCAUUAUUAUUUUGCAAAUGAAUCCUAGUAAAUUAUUAAAAUGAUAUUUAGCACAAAACAUCCCUAACUUUCAUUAUUAUUAUGCAAAAUGUCCGUAUCUUUUAUUUUUUAACAUUUUCACCAUUAUUUUUAUAUUUCAUUGCCAAAUCGUUAUUUUCAUCAAUUUUCUCAAUUGAAAGCUGUAAAAUAACAAAAAUACGCUCCUAUUUAAAUAAACAAAAAUAAAGAAAUGAAAAAUAAAGAACAAAUUGUAGCUAUUCUCCCAAAAUUUUCAAAAUAAUUUUCAAAUAAAUAAUUAAAAAACAAAAAUCACUUUUUUAAUUAUUUAUUUGAAAUUGAUUUGUAUUUUUUUUGAAAAUUUUGGAAAUAUAAUUGCAAUUUGUUCUUUAUCUUUCUUUAUUUUUAUUUUUAUUUGGCUUAUUUAAAGAAAAGUGUAUAUUUGUUAUUUUAUAGCUUUUAAUUGAGAAAAUAGAUGAAAAUAACGAUUUUCGCAAUGAAAUAUGAAAUAAGGGUGAAAAUGUCAAAAAAUGAAAGGUAUAGACAUUUUGCACAAUAAUAAUGAAAGAUAUGGACUUUUUUUGUUAAUUACCCUUUUAAUAAUUUAUUUGAACUAACUUGCACUUUUUAAAAAAAGUUUAAGAGUAUAAUUAUAAUUUAUUCUUUAAUUUUUCUUUUCUUUUUUAUUAUUUUAUUUAAAUAGGGGGUAUAUUUAUCCUAUUACACGAGAAAUUUGAUGAAAACAAUGAUUUACACAAUAAAAGGUGAAGGUAAGGGUGUGCCAAAAAAAAAAAGAUAGAGACAUUUUACACAAUAACAUUAAAAGAUAAAGAUGUUUUGUGCUAAUUACCAUUCCUAGAAACAUCCAAAUGAACCAAAGAUGGUUGGUGUUAAAGCACAAAGGGAAAAUUUCAUAUAUUCUAGCGUAAGUAUAGGUGAUUUCAAAACUAAGAUGACAAGUUUGAAUUUGCAAAAAUCAGAAAUAUGGUAGUAACAAUCAAUUAGUUUUCUAAAAAUCAAUGUCCACUUACCUUCAAAAGCCGGAUUCCAUAUAUUAUCCCAUAUGGAGAGAGAGAGAGAGAUGAUUCGUUACAGUUAGUCCCUAAAAUCAAGCAUCCAGAUUCAACUCCCUAAAAUACUGAUUUAAAUCCCUCAACCACAUAAUUAAUUAAUUGUAUAAUUUAUUAAUUAAAUAUAUUAAGGUCACAUAUCUAUAUAAUUUGAUCACAAAUUCAUAAUUUAGUUAGUCACAUAUUAUUUUCUGAUCAUAAAUCAUAAUUUUUAAAUAUCAUAAAUUAUUUUAUAGUUACGAUUCAAAAUUUUAUAGGUCACAAUUUGUUCAUCUGUCACAAAUCAAAAAUUAAUACGUCACAAUUUAUGUAUCGGUCACAGAUCACAAGGUCACAGCUUAUUAGAAGGUCAUAAAUUAAUAUAUUUUUUUAGGUCACAUUGGUCACAAUUUAUCUUCAUUCGUCACAUAUUAUUUAUUGGUCACAGAUUAAUCAAUUCAAUGAUCACAAUCAAACAAAUAAUAUGUGACCACCCCAACCUUUAUGAAAACCACUGCCCCCAAUAGUAUCACCGUCAUCAUUGCCUUCAGAACCACCACGAGCACCGACAGCAACAUCGUCUCCUCCCUGAUAUACUCCUGCCCAAUGCUAGAUCGAAACCUAGAACUUAGCCAAUAUCACCAACAACUCACAUCACAGCCAUUACCAUCGCCAACAUCCCCACCACCACAGUCUCACCACCAUCAUGAUUAGCACUGACGUUUUCGCCACAACACCAUAGCAAACCACCACACACAAAAAAAUCCUGAUGAGCAGUAGCACUUUUGGGGAGGAAAAGCCGUGCUGAAACUACAUUUUCCGAAGAGCGAGAGAGAGAGAGAGACGACGGGUGGAGAGGAGAGAGGAGAAAUUGGAAAGGAAAAGCUGCGCUGAAACGACAUUUUUCGGGAGGGGGGGAGAGAGAGAGAGAGAGAGAGGACGGGUGGAGAGGAGAGAGAGAAAAUUGGAGAGAGAAUAAAUUAAUUGGAGAUGAUCGGUGGAGAGAAAGGACGGGUGGAGAGAGAGAAUACAAUUAAUUGGAGAGGAGAGGAAUUGGAGGGAGAAUAUAAUUAAUUGGAGAGAGAAGACAGGUGAGAGGAGAAAUUGAUUUAUAUAAUUAAUAUUUAAAUAUAAAAAUUUUGAUUUUUGAAAUGUUAAACUACUCAUCUUAUUUUUGAACCCUAGAUUUUAAUUCUAAGGUUUUUUGUAAUUAACACAAGCACAAAUUGGCAAUGUUGUACCGAUUCGACCAAUAAAAUUGGGACCGGCCCAAAACAUUGCAAAUUGGACGUCAUAAAUAAUUCCGAAGCACUAUCACAUGCUGACACUUUCAUAGGUGGGCCUGAAAAAUGAUGCAAAUGCAAUUAGGAGUGGGUGCGGUCCGAUUUGGCUCGAUUUCAAAGGAAACCGAAUUGAACUAAAUACCAAUAGGAAUUUUAGAAAUGGAACCGAACCAAUCGGUUCCGAUUCGGUCCGGUCUGGUUCUUUACAUUGAAAACGUCAAAAUAAAAUGUUCACUAAUAAAAAUUCUAAAAAUGCUACCAAUGUGAUACUUUUAACAAAAUAUAGAAGAACUGAACAUACUAUUCAAAGAUCUAUUUAGGUAUAAAUUUACAAAGUGAAACAAAAUAAUAAUCAUGUAAUCAAAGUGAAAACAAAAUAAAAAUUUCGUAUCUUAUAAAUGAAAUUAUAUAUUGUAAAUAAAUUUAUUUAGAUAUAGAUUUACCCAAUAUUCUAAUUUGGUUUGAAAAUCAAUUAAUCAAAGAAUUAUAAAAAGGGCGAAGAAAAAGAUUCUAAAAUUAAGAAGGAACCCAAUUAUUUUUUUAUAAAAAUAAAAGUGUUGGAGAUUGAGUAAUAUAUUUUACCAAAAAAAAAAAUCCAUUGAGAACCGUCUGGUCCCCACAGUUCCCAUACUAGAAUCGGGAACCGGAUCGGAACUGGUCGAUUCUUAAAAAAUUUUCUCGAAAUCAAAUUUUUUUUUAGAAGAUCCAGAACCGAAUCGGCCAAUUCUAAACGAUUCUAGUCCGGUUCCACCGGUUCUGAGAAAAAGUGCCCACUCCUACAUGAAAUGGCAAUAAUCCAGUAUCCAAAAAGAUGCAGUCAAUUUUGAUUGAAAAUGGUAAAAAUUCAAAAUCAGAGUAAUUUUGGAUUGAAGAUAUGGAUUUAAGAGAGCUUGAGAUAUGUGGAAGACUAUUUCAAGGUGUGGAGUCAUAAGCCAAAACUAUUGAUGGUCGUCUCUUCAUAGUUAAUUAAAUCUUCUUUUGUUUUCCAUCAUUACUAAAGAAAUAUGUUUCCGAUAGCGUUCAUUUUGAAACAUAUCUUAUCUUCUGUCUUUCUAAUUCUCUAUCUGAAGCCAAAGAGUAGGGAUAGCAAAAAAACUCCCUUUAAACCUGAUAUCCGUGGGCCCUGUUCCAAACUAGGUGGGUAUUACCCGCUUAAUCAACUAUUCAGGUUGGGUUCGGGUCGAGAAAUUUUGCCCCGAGGCUGGUACGGUUAACACCCGCCUCCAUCCCACUUAUUUAUUUAUUUAAGAAUUCAGUACUUUAAAUCAAAAAUCUCACGAAAUUUCAUUAAUUCUACUAAAAGACGACAAUUAAGAUUCUUUAAGUAAUACGAAAAACAAUAAGAACCUUAAUUUAUCAAAUAUAUUCUAAUAAUUUAACUAUUAAAAUAAAUUAAUUAAUUAAAAAUUUAAUAACUAUAUUAUUAUCUCACUUUAAUGAAUGAAGAUAAUAAAAUAAAUUAUCAAAAACUAAAUAAAUAUAAAUAAAAAAAAGAGUACGUAAACUAGACAAGUCCCGCCCUGCCUUAAACGGGUAAUGGGGCAAGAAAUUACCCAGCGUGGCAGGGUCAUUGCCAUCCCUACUAGUAGAAUAGUUUCUCUUGCAGGCACAGAAAACUAGUAAUAUUAUCCAUGUCAAAUUUUUUUCCUCCUUCAAAAUUUCCUUAUGUUCUCAUUUUUUAGUAAAACAACAAACUAAAAUGCCAUAAAAAUAUUUAAUCGUCUCAAUUAUUAAUUCUUUUCUCUAUUUUUUUUAUCUCAUUUAUAUUGAUAUUAGAAGUGGGUCGAAUAAAAUUUAAUUGUAAUCAAGUUUAUUAAUUAAUUUUUAUUUCUAUAUAUAAGUCAUUUUGAAAAAAAUAACAUAUUUUGUCAAAAAAAAAAUAUGCAUACAUACACACGCACGUGCGCGCACACACAUAUAUAUGUUAUUAACAGUUAGACCUCGAUUUAAUCUUUCAAUCCUUGAUCCUUUAACUUUUUCGGAUAUAUGGCUAGGUUUUUUUUUUUUCAAAAUAUUGGAUAUUGUAAAUUUUUUAUUUUUUUAUUUUUUCCAUAAUCACCAGUAUUGUCCAACCAACACAUAAUGAAUGUUGAUUCGUUGAUGCAAAGAUGCCAUUGAAUCAAAAAAAAUGGGGUGGAUAGUAUGUUCUUCCAAAUAAACACGGUAUAAUACAAUUCAAAGAUUCUCAUUGACCUGAUAUGAAGGCAAGCACAUGUGGCCAACUUUUUGAACUUAUAUUGGUAAAUGAACAAUCAUGCUACUUGUACAAUGAAUUUGACAAUGUGUGAGUUGACAAGCAUCAUAUUCAUUGAUUUGAAAAAUUGUUUCUAAAUUCAAUUGCUGGGAUCUUUACACUUUACACAUUUUCAAACUCAUUGUAAAUAGUCAUUGUACAAAUAGAUUAAUUCUUAUACGAAUGACUGCAUGGAAAUAAAACGAAAGGAAGAAACCAAGAGAAGUACCUUCAUUUUCUUGAGCAAAUCAUAACCAGCAUUCCUUUCACGCGAUAAUUUGUAGAGCAGUGAUUCAGAACCCGGGAUUAAAUCCCGGGUUUUAAUCCAAGGCCUCGACCUCGGCCCUUGAUCUUAAUCACACGGGGCCCGCAUGAUUCGCAUUGGGGGCCGAGGUUUUGCCACCUUGGCCCUGGCUCCAAACCCGAGAUUUUAUCCUUGUUUGAGCAGCAAUUUCCUAAUUUGUAAUACAAGAUUUCUGGUUUUGUAACAAAAUUAAUUGACUGAUGAUGAUUUGUCAGUAAAUAAUGUAAUUAAAAUUGUAUAUUAAAGGAAGAAAAUUAUAUAAGUAAUCAAACUAAAAUUAGAAAAUAAUGUUUUAUAUUGGUUAUGUUAUAAAUAAUUUAAAGUAUAAAACGAUUUAUUGAGCAAUAGAUGAAAAAUAAAAGAAGUAAAUAAAGAAUAAUUUUUUUUGUCGACAAUAAACUACCAAAGUAAUGUCGAUGAUUGCCACAGACAUCAUGAUCGAUAACUGCUUACCGAAGUGGGUUGGUGAAUUAGGAAUCACUUACAGUAUUGAUGAUAUUUCAUCUCGAAUUCUGCUAGAUACCAUAAGUGAUCAUUAAUGUUUGGCAAACUAAAUUUUUUUAUGAUAGUUUCGUCAAUAAAUAAAGUAGUUAAAAUUUAAUAUUAACAAAUAAAUAUUAUGUUGUUAAUACAAUUAAAACUUGAAAAUAACAUAAAAUUAAAAAACCAAAGAUUUCAUAAGUUACUUCAAAAUAAUAAAAGAUGUAAAAAGAUGCUUCCCUACCGCAUGAUUAAUGACCAAAGCACUGUCGAUGAUUGCCACUUACGUAAUUAUCAUCGAUAAAUGUGGAAGGAGAUAGAGAUGUGCCGACAAUCAUCAAUGGUAUCGUUGUCAAAAGUUCCAACCACAUUAUGUACGAAGUUUUCGUUGGUGAUUGUAUGUUCCAUUAAUUUUAUUAUUAUCAUCAUGGUAAUUAUAUGUCUUUUCUUUUUUCGAAUUAUUAAAGUAGUAGAUUUGUUAUUGGGUGCUUUUAAACUUCAGUUAGCUUUUACUGUAAAAUGCGAUAUAGUGGAUGUUAUGUUAUCUGCUUGAAUUUGUAAUAAUCACAUUUGGUUUCCUUAAAGGUGAUGAAGCUGAAGUAAUUUCCCAACGACCAUUCAAUGGUAUAUUACAUUAAAUUCCAUUAUUACGAUAUCUGGUAAACCUAUUUGUUUCUCAUUCUUUUCCCAUUAAAAUGAAAAAUAUGAUUAUUAUCCGUCACAUCAAACCACCAAAUUUGAAUUUCUAUAUCUUGUGUGGAGUCCAUAACGACUAUAUUUUUCAUUCUCUUCUUACAAAAAUGAGAAACAAAAAGGGCUAGAUGUCUGCUUUGCAUUGAAGUCCAGGAUUGGAUAUGAGAACACCCCCUCCCCCCCCCAACAAAAACAAAAAAAUAAAACAAAAACAAAAACAAAAAAAACUCUUACAAAUGAAGUGGAUGUUGAGAAUUAAAAAUUCUUAUUUCAUUCUACCAAGAGCAAUCAAUUGAAGAAAUAAAAAUAAACACUCAAAAGCAAGCAAAAUAUAUAGAGUUUCGCCUCAACGUGAAACUACGUCUUCUCAUGUCGGUACAGUAACUCACUAUGAUGAAAAAAAGGUUUACAAAAGCACUCCUAUUAUCUCUCUCUCUCUCUUUAUAAUAAUUAUAAAGUCAAACCACGGCUCCCUAUUUAUAAAGCAUAUAAAGGCAAAAUCGAAUUUUACAAUAACUCCAAUUCCUUAAUAAAAUUUUACAAGAAUACAAAUAUCUAAACAAUUCUUAGAUUAAAUUUUGGUUAGGGCAUCUCCACCCCCCACCCCUGGGGCCUCCUACUCCCUUCCAACUCCCACGGCAACCUCACCACAGAGAUUGAUCAAUGCUAACUUCAUGAAAUAACAAUAAUUAUAAUCGAUAAUAAUUAAACUCCUUAACUUAACAGUGAAUGAUUACUCAAAUUCGGCAAGUGAUGUGGUAAUGGUACAUGCAAGUACACUUCUACAACGAAUUUUGGUGGUGAUAUGCAAGAGGAGGUAUGUUUUUAGAUGAAUUAUAAGAAACGGAUCGAAUAUUUGAAUUUUUGUGUUGCACUGUCUUAUUCAUUAAAGCAUGUAUUUAUAGACCAAAAAAGCAGAGCGAAUUCCAUUUCAUAUUUGAUUAACUCAAUAGGUAAUGAAAUUCAUUAAUUUGAUUUUCAAAAUUAGUCCUUUGUUUAGACAAGUUGAUUCACAAAGUAAUGUGUGUCAAGUACUUCUAUCAUGUGUUCAUACAUGGACCAUUGAAAGGGCGAACAAGGCAGUGGAAUGAGGGGGACCACCAUAACAGAGGAGAAUUUGAUUUCAUAAUUUGAAAAAAAGGGGCCGAAGUAUAAAAAAAGGUGGGCAUGAGUAAAAAUGCUUAAACGAGAAACUUAGCCACAACUGCUUUAUAUACUAGAAAAAGAUGUUACAGUUUAAAUAACAAGCUUUACAAACUACGAUAACGAGUAAAAAGUCUAUGCACCAUUUGUGCAACACAAGUAAAAUACAUUGAUAUAUCAAUAUUCAAUUGUAUGAAUAGCGAAAGCUAGAACAGAGUUUGGGUUAUCUACUCUAGCUUACAUUUGGCAAUGGAUCCUUUUUGCCACACAUUGCCAAGAAAAAUUUAGAGACCGACCCAGUGUGAGCGAACAUUGGAGUUGUGCAUAGAAGACGCACUUGGAGAUGUCACACGCCAUUCGUACCAAACCAAUGAUAAUUAAAUUAAAUGCAAUUAAUAUCGGGUGAGACAUAAAGAGUUAAGUAAUUCCAAACCUAUAUUCUCUGUUUCUUGCCCAGUGUUUUUAUGCAUGUCCUAGGACUAAAAGGACAUUUCAAAAUUAGAUGGAUUAAACCCACCAACCUAAAACAAAUUCUAAUUCACUUCUUGCCCAUAGAGAAUAAUAAUAAUCAUUUUCAGCAGCAAGUAUAUAAAUUGCCCGUAUAUCCAUUACUUAAGGCUACGCAACAUAAAAAUUUAUUUAGAUAAUUAGCAUAUAAUUUAAAUUAAACAUUGCAAACACAUUGGGACAGAUAUUAUUUAUCUUAGGAUUCCAAAGUGGAGAUGAUCAUCUGACAAGUUAAUAGCACCAACUCUACUUUAUUAUAGGUCUCUUAGUGCAACGCAUGACUGAGAAUUCUACAAGUGCAAGAUUCAAUUUAAUUUGAGCUUUUAUCUCAUUUCAAUCGCUUUAACAUUUUCAACACUACAUAAUCAAGAAUCGAUGGACCUCCAAAUGAGUAUUCCGUGUCACGCAAACUGGCUCACUCAAUAGGAAAAAUAUUGGAAACCUACAGAAAUCGAAGCCAACCAAAAGAGAACAAUCAUCUCAUGGAUAAUAUAUUCACUCCAAUGUACAAUUUCUUUCAUGGUGCAUUUUAUGUUUUGAUAGAACUUUUUCGAUUGAAUUUUCACUUUUUCUUUAUUGUGUGGUUGGGGGAGAGUAGGAGGGUGUCUUAUAUUUUAGUGGCUUUAAAUAGUAUCUUUACUAAUGAAUAUGGGAUCAACGCAUACCAAAACCAACUGUACCUAUAGAUACGAUAAUAGGCAGAAAUAUUUGUCCAUAAUUUUGCAUGAUUAGCAUUCAUCAUAUAGCAUUACCUUAGAUUUUUGGAAAUAUUCAUGAAGGAAAAUAUUUGGUGUUGCUGUUGAUAGUUCAAUAAACCAUUUGACACAAACACCAACUAAAAGAAUAUCUCAAUGGUCGCCAUCAGCUACAUGAUGUCAUUGGAAGUAUAUUUUCUUGAUUAACAAAAUCAACAAUUUACGCUUUAACCUCUCUACAUUCCAGGACAUGUUGUUCUUGUCCAUUAUGUCAUCUUUUCCAACACUGAUUUGACUACAUGAUUGCCAACCAUGGCCUUGGCUUGGAAAAUGAAACACUUUGUCAACAAAUAUGAAUACAACGCAACUGAUAAAGCUAUUGAUAUUAGCCUUCUUCAUCACUAUGGGCAAAGCUUGCAUUGAGCCCAUAACUAGCUAUAAUCAUCAUGUGGUGACUGAUAGGUAUGUUUUUGCACACUCAUUUAAUGUCUAAAUAAAUUUAAAUAUUAAUUAAUUGAGCAAAUUUCCAUUCACAAUUAUGUAAUUAUUGCAUUUGUAAGUAAAAAUCACCCAAGGUAAUAGAAGAGGUAAAAGGAAGUGAAAAGGGACCAAAAGCGUACAAAAUUGUGAAGUUGGGGACCAAAAUGCAUAAGUGCCAAAAGUUCAAGGACUUGGAAUUGCAAAUUUUGGAGGGUGUAAUUGAAAGAAAAGUCAAAAUUUGAGGACCAAAUUGUACAAUACAAAGUUGAGGGAUAGUGUGCAAAUAUGGGAGGACCUGAACUACAAAUAAUGAAAAAUGGGAAGUAACGCCACUGGCACCACUAUAGCAGUGCCGCGGCAACGAACAGGACCUAUUUGGCUAUAUUUUUGUAAUUGGGGAUCAUUUUAAAAUUAACUAAACACGAUUUUUGGGCCUUUUAAAAGGAAAAUUCAACAAUGUUUCCCCUAUUUCUCUCUUGAACUUGAAGAGAACCCUAGCCUCCUCUUUCUCUCACUUUCCUUUUCAUUUUUUCUUUCUUUUUCUUUUCUUCUUCUUCUUAUCUUUUCUUUGGUAAUUUUUGGGGCAAAAUCUAGAGCACAAGGAGAUUUGAUUAAGGAUUUGACAAAAGCUUUGGGGAAAUCAAGAGCAAGCUCAAAAAAGGGUUUUAUCUACAACUUGUAUUUUCUCAAUUAUUUUGACAAACUUGCAAUGUAUUAUACAAAAUAUUCUCCUUUUUAUCAUUUGUAUGAAAUGGGCAAGUUAUUUGUGUUGGGAUUUAUUGUUGUAGUUUAAUCUAGCCUUGAUUAAUUUUAAUAUUUGCCCUUUGAUUUUGAUUUGCUUAUUUUCUUCUAUUGUAUUUCAUGCAUUUUCAUUUAUGUGGUCAAUGAAUGAUUGUGUUUAGUGAAUUUUAUAUCGUUCAAGAGAAGAUUGUGCAUUUUAGACCAAAUUGUAGAAACCCUGGGUUUGUGUAGGGGAUAGAGAUAUACCCCUAACCCUAGGUGACCCAAUGAGCUAUUUUCACAAAUAUUUAAUGCAAUUGUUUGGUUUUAAUCGAUAUAGAAAUAUAAUAGGGUUAAUUUCGUUCAAGAGAAGUAAUUAAUUAAAAUUAAAACAUGGAGUCUAACAUCGUAAAUGAGUAACUUUUUAAUUGACCUGUGGUGAAAUUAAUUAGGCGACGGUUAAAUGAAACCAUGAAUCUCAACCACAUUUUCUUCCAAAAAUUUCAAGAUUUUUAUGUUUUCUUAUUUUGUAGGUUUUUAGUUAAUUUCCUUAUUUCAAAAUCAUAUUUUUAAUUAUGUGUGUUUAUUUUUAUUGUUAGAAUUAAAUUAUUAAUUACGGUUGUGUAAUCUAAAGUAUAUAUUCCUCAAGGGAUCAACAAUCCGGACUCAAAAUGUCCACUUUAUUACUUGAACGCGACUCGUGUACUUGUGAUGUAUAAUUUUAGCGAAACAGUAACAAGUAAUCAAAAGUACAAGGAUGUUACAAGUAAAGCCUGACAAUAAUACCAUAAUCAAGGAAUGGAAAGUCUUUCCAAUUGAAACUAACGUUCAGCUUGAGCCACCAUAGCUUUGCAAUCCUAAAACAGACAUAAAUUUAGAUAAUAGUAGUUCUUAUUAUAUUAAUUCAUCAACUGCAAUCCUAAAACAGACAUAAAUUUAGAUAAUAGUAGUUCUUAUUAUAUUAAUUCAUCAUCUAACAUAUAAAUCAGUCCUUCCUAUAGAUUACUAGUUGAGUGUGAAGGGGCAAAGCAACAUUGAUGAUUUAUUGUGGUUGAUAAUGGGGGUUGGCUAACAAACCUUACGUAGAAACUAUACCAUUCGCAGUCAAACCAUGAUCCCUGAAUUUGAAACGGGCAUAUAACGAUUUGCAAAAGAGAUAAUGGUGUUGGAUUCCCGGUGCAUAAUGCACAUGUAGACUCUAAUUUCCUGCGCACUAGGAUUGAACAUAGAGGAAAUCAUUGAAAAUGACCUAAUAAACCAUGUGUAUUUUCAAAGUAACCUUUGACUAGUUUUUAGAGAAAAAAAAAACGAAAAUUGAUUUUAAAGGUCAAAAUCCCAAAAGACCCUCAGACUGUCACUUUCUUGUUUGCUUAGAGUCGGCCAAAACCAAGGAAAAGCUACGGUCAAUUUCCAAUUGGUAGACGUUUUCAGUUCAUCUCCGGCGACCUUCUUCUUGUUAAAGUAAGCUUCGAGUUGUUAAUUAACUAGAUUAAUGUUUAGAUUUUCAUAUUGUGUGCGAAUGUUGAAUUUGUGAAGGUUUUUGGAAUGUAAUAUUGGUUAUGUAGGUGUAGAAUUAUGAAUAUGGGUCUAAAUUGGAGAAUAAUAGGUGGAUUUUGAGAUUUGCAAGUUUUUCUCGUUGGAAAUGGAGAUUUUUCGACGAAAAAAGCCGAAAAAAUGCAGGCUACGUUUGUAGCUGGCAUUUUGGGUAAAACCCGAUUGCGUUUGCAGCCGGCAUUUUGGGGAAAACCCGGCUGUUAACAGUCGGGUGCCCGACUGUUAACAGCCGAUUGGCCCAAUUGUCAUGGGGACUGUUUUUAUUUUUCAUGGGCUGAAGUGGGCCGACUGUUAUAGUCGGUCCAAUAACAAUUUUUUUUUAUUUGGGCUGAUUAACAGUCGUCCCAUUAUUUGGGUUGACUAUUUAGUCAGCCCAUUGACUGUUAAGCAGGCCGAAUGUUAUGGUUGGGUCGAUGCCUUUAUUUUUAUUUUUUUACUUUUUUCUUACAUAUAUUUAAGAAUUUCAUUUUAAAUCAUUUUAAUUAUUAGUUUUUAAUAAAUAAUAAUUUAUUUAUUUAUAAAAUUUAAAUGUGAUAUUUAAUUUGAAUAUUUAUUUUUAUUUCCUCAUUUUUGAUAAAUAAUAAUUUUUCAUUCUCGAAUUUAAUUAAUUUUUAUAAUUUUAAUAUUUAGUAAUUCUUUUAAUUUUAAAUUUAAAUUUCAUAUUUAGUUUUAUUAAUAGUUUUUAUAAAUAAUAUUCUUUUCGUUAAUCGAAUUUCAUUAAUUCUUGUCAUUGUAAUUUUGAGUAAUUAUUUAAUUUUAAAUUUCGUUUUUAUUUUUAUUAAUAGUUUUUUAUAAAUAAUAUUCUUUUCGUUAAUCGAAUUUCAUUAAUUCUUGCCAUUGUAAUUUUGAAUAAUUAUUUAAUUUUUAAAUUUCAUAUUUAUUUUUAUUAAUUGGGCUGAUUGUUAAUUGUAGACUGACUGUUAACAGUCUUAGGCCGACUGUUAACAGUCACACUAUUAACAGUUUAAUUUUUUAAAAAAUAUAUAUAUUUAAUUUUUUAUUUUUUAAAUAUAAUUUAUAAUUAAUUUAUUAAUAAUUAUGUUAUUUAUUUAUUUUUUUUAAUUGUCUUUUAUUUAUAUAAUUUAAUAAUUGAAUAUUAUCUGAAAGUAACAAUUUAUUUUCCAUGUUAUUUAUUUAAUUAAAAUUUUUUUUUGUAAAUAUAUUUUCCAAGUGUAAUAUACAAGAUUAAUUUUCUUUAUAAUUUUCAUUUGAUUAAAUAAUAAUUAUGUUAUUUAUUUAUUUAAUUUUUAUAUUCUUUAAUUUUUUAAAAUUUAUUUAAAUAAUAUUUAUAUUCUUUAAAUUUUUUUGAAAAUAUAUUUAAUCUUUAAUUUUUAACUUUUUGUAUUAUUUAAAUAUUAAUAAUUUCCUUUUGCUGAAAAUCUCAUUAAUUUGUAUUUUAAUUUAAUUAAUUAUUUUUAACAUUUGUAUUGAAUUUAUUUUGUUAUAGGCGUCAAGAAUUCGGUUCCCAUUGAUUUUUUGAGAUUAUGCGUUAUUAUAUUAUCUCUUGUUCAAUGUUCUAAUAUUUGAAUUUUUGCAGGAUAGAGUAUCAUUUAGAUGGGGAGUUGAGACGGAUGGCGGGGAAAGCUACUUGGAACAGUAGCUUUGAGAUUUUUACUGUUGUAUUGGAGAUGCUCAAUGAUCAUCAUGAAAAUAUGCUACGACAGUCCUUCUUGUGGGCACUGUACUAGAUGCGAGAGUUGCAGUACUCAGGACUAAUCAUCGAUGUACUUCUAUGUCAGCUUCUGAGGCCAGUCGACGGCGAUUCCCUCCACUUCGACCUCAGGGGCAAGGUCGUCAGUUUCUCGAUAUAUGAGUUUAGCUUGAUCACUGGACUGAAGAUUAUGGGCGAAGAUGCAGCCAUUGAGAGAAGUAAUAGGUUGUACAAGACGUACUUCUAGGGACAUGGGUCGGUGCAUCUACCCGAGUUGAUGGUUGCGAUCAGGGGGUACGACCAGAUGUUAGAUAGAUUGAAACUUGGGCUGGUCUACAUCCUCAAGAAUGUGAUGAGGUGUCAUCACAAGAAGAUUGCCAUCGACAUUUUUUCAUUUGCAAGUUGUUGACGACAUCGAUGCGUUCAACAACUAUCUAUGGGGCCGGAGAUGCUACGAAGACACCGUACAUGUGCAUGUGUUUAUUAAAUGAAUAAUUCAUACUUUUUUGGUGUUUCUUGAUGCAACACAUCGACCUGGCCAUGGACUUGCUACGAGAUCAAGCUCAAAGACAUCCAAAAUCAUUUGACGUCCAUGGUCGAGUCAUAUUAAACACCGAGUUCCUGCGUGCCGUUAUCAUAGAGUAUCAGUCGCUCCAACUUAUGAGUAACGAGUACACGGUGCUAGAAUAUAUGCUCAAGUGGGUCAUAUGAAUGUCGUCGAGUGUCGGGGGGGAAAUCAUGGGAGGGUUGUACACAUAUGUAUAUUCUAGCGUGCAUCAAUAAUCACUAUGUUACGCUGGAGAUCGUUUUUGCCGACACGACUAUAUAUGUGUAAGACGCAAAUCAUUCAUGUUUGACACAAGGCCAGCUGGAGCAAAACCUGGAGUCCGUAGCUGUAAUUGUUCCUAUGAUGGCCAGACGAGCGGGGAUGACUGUACAGGAUAGAUUGCGGAUUGUUCGGAACACGACAACAGUGUGACAGUCCAUAUAGUAAGUGUUUGAACUUUGUUAUUUUCAUUUUUUAGAUUUAGUUUUUAGCUACACAGUACUGAAUUGAUCCAUUCUUGUACAAUUGUAGCGACGACUGCGGCAUAUUUGUCAUUAAGUACGUUGAAUUUUUAAGUAUAGGACAUAAGGUUGAUGGAAUCAACCAAUUGUGGAUACAGAACUGGAGAAAGAAGCUAGCUUGUGAUUUGUUUUAAAUUUUAUGGUGACCCGUAAACUUGUAUUAAAUAUAUGUAACAUUCAAAUUGUAAAUUUAAUUAUUUUUUGUGAUUAUGAAAUAAUUGUAAAUUUGUGUUCAAUAUAUAUAACAUUCAUAUUGAAAAUUUAAUUAUUUUUUUGUAAGUUGAUUUUUUGUUAUUUUACACAUAUGCCGAGUAUGGAACUACUUUUUUCAUAUGAAUCAUUAUAAAUACCAUUUAUCAAGAAUAAAUAUUGAAUAUUGAACAUUUAUGAAGAACAAAUAUUGAACGGUGUAAAGUAAAUGAAAAUAUUAUUCAUUUAACGUACCUGUCUAAUUGUCAUUUAAGGGAAUUUGACUGGUACAAAAUUGCCCAGUAUGCCCUAUGGCUCUGCACCUGCCACACCUACGCGAUCGAGAAAACUCUCUGGUAGAUGGUAUUCUAGAUGUACUUGGACGUCCAGGACCAUGCGGUUCAACUACUGGUGACAACAAAUUAUGAAACGGGAGAAUGUGUUCGGGAACUUCCCACUCGACUUCAUUCGGCAGAGGAAAUAUAGUCUUAGCAUAUGCUGUUCUCCAAGACUCAGUCGUAUAAUACAAAGAGCAUAACGUUCUCGCAGCAAAGUCUCGAAUCAUGGCCACCGCAACUGCAUGCUCACAUGAAAAACUUUCCAACUGAAAUCUUGUACAAAUACAUAUGUUAUCAGUCAAGUCCACCAUAUAUGCCGUAUUACGUACACAUUGCACGAAGAAGCGAAACUUAUCUAGUGCUUCCACAUUCAACUUCCUCACAACCUCUGCCGCCUUAAAGAGUUUCUCCUCUUGAGCUGGGGCCAACACGCUAGUGCAACUCUGUGAUACCGCACGUCGAUUAUGAAACCACUGUUGCAGCUUGUUACGAAUGUGCUCAAUCAUUGCGAGAAUUGGUAACUCUCGAUCCUUCUUAAAUAAUUCAUUAAGAGACUCUGCGUUAUUCGACGUCAUCAUGUUGUAUCGACGUCCUGGAAAGUAUGAUCGCGCCCAAUGUUCUAUCCCCAUGUUCAUCAGAUACUUCAACUCCGGUAAUGAUUUACUUCCUAUCUCGAACAUGAACUUAUUACACUCUUCAACACCGAUACCUAGUUUUCAAAUUAUCUUGUAAAUGGUACAUGCAAUACCCGUGAUGCGCCUCGGGAAAAAUUUUAGUGAUACCGUUUAUUAUAGACUGUCCCCAAUUGGUUACAAAGGCAAGGUCUUCGACUUCCCCGAUCACUUUCUUCAGUUUAGAAAAGAACCAACGCAUGAACAGAUUAUUCUCGUUGUCACUAUGCUGAAUGCAAUAGGGUAAAUUUGGAUGUUGGCAUCUUGACAUGUAGCAAUAAUUAAUUUGCCUUGAUAUUUAGCUUUCAGAGUUGUACCAUCAACUAGAAUUACAGGUCGCAUUGCAUUUCGAAAACCCCAAAUACAUUGUCCGAAAGCCAUAAAGAAAUACGUAAAAUUAUUAUCGCCCCCCAUCUCAAUAAAAAAUGCCAUCUCAGGAUUAGUUGUCCCCAUGUUAUGACAAUACCUAGCCAAUUUAGCAUAGCUCUCCUCAGUCGAUCCCAUUAAAUCCUCCAACGCACAUUCUUUGGCCUUCCAGGCUUUCUGGUAGCUCAUGACCACUCUAUACUCUCAACCGACGUCGUUAAUGAUGUCUGAAGGUCUGUAAAUCGUCCGUGGGUCCUGAUACUUGUGCCUUAUCUGUCGACCAAUAAACCAUGCUCGAGCUUGCUUGUGAUCAUUUCGACAAAUUUCCAAUUCCCAAGUAUGUUCCCGUGCCUAUUUGCGAACUACAAAGCACUCAUUAUUGUCCAUCUUAGUCGCUCUCAAGCACCAAUUGCAAUUGUCAUCAACGCAGGCAACUGUCAACAAUGAUUUGGUUGAUUUCUUUACAUUGAAUUCAAAGUUAUAUUUUAAUGUCAUUCGGUGCACAACUUCCUGCAAAUCUUUCUUGGUUUCAAAUAGUUGUUCAACAUACAAAUCCUCAUCAUCAGGAGCCACACGGGAAAAAUUGGAGGACGGUCCACUUGUUCCACUCCUUGAGCUCCCACCCCGCUCAGAUCUCUGUCGGGAUAAAGUAAUUAAAAUUUCAUUUGUAAAAUCAUUUAUAUUUUCGUUGUCCUCAACUGUCGAUGGAAUUCUAUGCGUAAUAAUGGCUUCACGAUCAGUAGCAAUGGUUUCGCGAAUAACCACAUCAUCUGCAAGAAUUAUCUCCACUGUCUCCCAAAAAUCUCGAUCAUUAUUAUCUGCUCCAUCUGAAUCUUCGCGUUCACCUUCGACAACAUCAUUCUUAACUAAAGUCACGCCAAGAGCAGUCGGAGUCCUAUGCAUUUUAUUCAAUUCUAAUCGAUAAUUCAAUCCAACAUCAUUAAAUAUAGGUGGCAUCGGAAUGGACGAAUCCCCAUAACCAUGGAAUAAAUAUCUCAGUUGCAUAUUGUACUGAGAAGGAUCGACAUUCAACUUAUUUUACAAAUCCUGGUACACUUUCGCGCCGCAUAUGAUGUACUCUCUGUUACGGGAAUUGCAAUACAGCCACAUACAUCACUCGUCCAUCUCCAUUCCCAUCUAUUAUUUUCAUUCAGUUCGAAAUCACCGAAAUAACAAAUCGAGAUUAUCAUAUCUAUAUGACUAUAUAGAAUUUUUAAAUCAAUUACAAUAACAAAAAUUCAGAUAUUUAAUCAACUUGUAAUUAAAAUUAUAAGACAAUUGUCAAAAGAGAAAUUAUAAUAUAAAAAAAAUUCGUAAAACAAUCGGGAAAAACGGCCGACUGUGGACUGUUUUACAGCCGACUGUCAAUUCGACUGUUUAACAACCGACUAACAGUUGGCUGUCGACUGUUAGAUAGCCGACUGUCUAACAACCGUCGGUCAACUAUUAGAGAGUCGUCUAACAGCUGACUGUCGGCUGUUAGACAGUCAGCUGUCUGCUGUGUAACAUUUUUCGUUAACAUCCCACAGUUAAUCGCCGGAUUGUUUAUUUUGCGUAUGACUUUUUAUUUUUCUAUAGUUCUAAAGAAAAAAAUUAUAGAUCUGUUAAAAUUUUUUUUUACUAACUACUGUGUUAUUUAACUACUCAAACGUACACUAAUUUACUGAAAUCGAAAUUAAGCAUGGGUAAAAAUAUACUUACCGAUUUGAAGUAAUUGAUCUGAAAAAAGUUCUGACUUCGACGUUUGAAGUUUUUUGAUAUUUUGAGGUUCAAGCAGAUGAAAAAUGAGAGUUUUUCUGUGUUCGAAGCUCGUUCUGCAGUUUUAUAAAUGGGGUAGUAUUUGGUUUUCAAUUAUUAACUAAAAGGCUAAUAAUGUCUUUAAAACUAUCCAAUAUUUUGUAAUUAUAUAAUAUAUUUAAGGGCAUCUCUGUCUUUUACCAUUCAAGAGGUUAAUGCGAUAAUUUUCAAGUUUUCAAAAGUCAAAGUGGAAAUAAGGGUCUUUGACUAGGUCAAUUUUAAAAAUACCCCAUUGAACAUAGCUGCUUUAAAUGUCCCAUUACAAGAGAACAAAAACUCCCAGAAUCAUCUACAAAUUUAAAGAAGUUAAAUUUGGGUCUGCGAAUUCUUUAAAGGAAAUACCAUAUGCAAGAGCCAAUAACAAGGCUCAAACACAGAUCCAACCCCGAUUUUGCCCUAAUUGGCAUUGGCGACUAGCUGUGACGAUUGACAUUGCAGAUUUGACGACGAUUGACAUUGCAGAUUUUUCAGAUCAAUUACUUCAAAUCGAUAAGUAUAUUUUUAUACAUGCUUAAUUUCUAUUUCAGUAAAUUAGUGUGCAUUUGUGUAGUUAAAUAAUAGAGAAGUUAGUAGAAUUUUUUUUUUAACAUAUCUAUAAUUUUUUUUCUUUAAAACCAUAGAAAAAUAAAAAUUCAUACGCAAAAUAAAUAGUCCCACCAUUAACUGUGGGAUGUUAACGAAAACUGUUAGAUAGUAGACAGCAGACUGUUAAAAGACUUUCUAACAGCCGCCAGACGACUGUCUAACAAUCGACCGACGACUGUUAGACAGUCGGCUGUCUAACAGCUAGGGCUGGGCAAAUCUCCCGAACCGAACCGAUCGAACCGAACCCGAACCAAACUGAACUGAACGCAACGGUUCUUGUCAAAUUAAAUACCCGAACGGGUGUCUAAAUUGAGAACCGACGGGUACAGUUUGAUUCCCGGUUCUAGACCGAGAACCGAAGAACCGAAUAAGAACCGAAUCUUUCUAAUUUUUUUUAUAUUGAGUAAAUCAAAUUAUUUUAAUUUUAAUUUUUCUAAACAAAUUAACAAUUUCUAAAUCCAAAAUUUUGACCCAAUAAUUUGUUUCAUUUCUAAUUUUUUAAUUUUUGGCCCAAUUACCCAUUUUAUUGUAUCAUUUCUUAGCCCAACAAAAUCCAAUCCACUAAAUAACUCUAAACACCUACAAUAAAGUGCAUAACGUUGUUUCGACUCUCGCACUCACUCUCGUAACCUCGCUAACAUUCCAAAACCUAUACAAUCGUCGGCCGACGCUGUGACCUCCGAUCGAAGCUGUGACAUCUGCUGACCGAAGCUUUGACCGUAGCGAUCAUUUGAACAAUAUAGUAUACUACUCUCUGACAUUCCAAAAACCAUUGAAUGUAAGUAUUUUUAUAAUGUUGUUAUAAAUGUUAAAAAAUUUAAUUAUAGUACAGAACCAAAUGGAAUCGAACCGAACUUAAUCUAACGGAACCAAACCCGAACGGUUCCAUAAUUAUAUUUGAACCUGACGGUUCCAUUUACUAGAUACCUGAAAAUUUCGGUUCGGUUUGAUUCUCUUUAGAACCGAACCGACCCGCACCCACCCUACUAACAGCCGAUAGCCGACUAACAGUUGGCUGUUUUUCCUGACUGUUUUACGAAUUUUUUUAUUAUAAUUUCAGUUUGGCGAUUGUCUUAUAAUUUUAAUUACAAGUUGAUUAAAUAUCUGAAUUUUUGUUGUUGUAAUUGAUUUAAAAAUUCUUUAUCAUUAUGGAGAUAUGCUAAUCCCGGUUUGUUAUUUCGGUGAUUUCGAACUGAACGAAAAUAAUAGAUGGGAAUGGAGAUGGAUGAGUGAUGUAUGUGGUUGUAUUGCAAUUCCCGUAACAGAGAGUACAUCAUAUGCGAAAGUGUACCAGGAUUUACAAAAUAAGCUGAAUGUCAAUUUUUCUCAGUGCGAUAUGCAACUGAGAUAUUUAUUCAAUGGUUAUGGGGAUUCGUCCAUUCCGAUGCCACUUAUAUUUAUUACUUAUGAUGCUGAAUUGAAUUAUCUAUUAGAAUUGAAUAAAAUGCAUAGGACUCCGACUGUUCUUGGUGUGACUUUAGUUAAGAAGGAUGUUGUCGAAGGUGAACGCGAAGAUUCAGAUGGAGUGGAUAAUAAUGACUGAGAUUUUUGGGAGACAGUGGAGAUGGUCCUGCAGAUGAUGUGGUUAUUCCCGAGACAGUUGCUACUGAUUCUGAAGUUACUGUUACGCACAAAAUUCCAUCGACGGCUGAGGACAACAAAAAUAUAAUUUACAAAUGAAAAUUUAAUUGCUUUAUCCCGACAGAGACCUGAGCAGGUGAGAGCUCAGGGGAUGGAAAAAGUGGACCGUCCUCCAAUUCUUCAUGUGUGGCUGCCGAUGAUGAGAAUUUGUAUGUUAAGCAACUAAGAUUUGUAGGAAGCUGUGCACCGGAUAGCAUUAAAAUAUAACUUUGAGUUCAAAGUAAAGAAAUCAACCAAGUCAUUGUUGACAGUAGGCUGCGUUGACGAUAAUUGCAAUUGGCGCUUGAGAGCAACUAAAAUGGACAUGAAUGAGUGCUUUGUAGUUCGUAAAUAUGUAUGGAAACAUACUUGUGAAGUGGGAAUUUGUCGAAAUGAUCACAGGCAAGCUCGAGCAUGGUUUAAUGGUCGACAGAUAAUGCACAAGUAUCAGAACCCACGGACAAUCUAUAGACCUUCGAAUAUUAUUAACGACGUCCGUUGAGAGUAUGGAGUGGUCAUGAGCUACCAGAAAACCUGGAAGGCCAAAAAAUGUGCGUUGGAGGAUUAAAUGGGAUCGGCUGAGGAGAGCUAUACUAAAUUGGCCAAGUAUUGCCAUAACAUAAGGACAGCUAAUUCUGACACGGCAUUUUUUAUUGAGACGGGGGGGGGGGGCGAUAAUUGUUUUAAGUAUUUCUUCAUGGCUCUCGGACAAUGUAUUUGGGGUUUUUGAAAUGCAAUGCGACCCGUAAUUCUAGUUGAUGGUACAACUCUGAAAGCUAAAUAUCAAGGCAACUUAAUUAUUGCUACAUGUCAAGACGCCAACAUCCAAAUUUAUCCUAUUGUAUUCGACAUAGUCGACAUCGAGAAUGAUCUGUCCAUGUGUUGGCUCUUUUCUAAAUUGAGGGAAGUGAUCGGGGAAGUCGAAAACCUUGCCUUUGUAACCGAUUGGGGACAAUCUAUAAUAAACAGUAUCGCUGAAGUUUUUCUCGAGGCACAUCACGGGUAUUGCAUGUAUCAUAUACAAGGUAAUUUGAAGACUAGGUAUCGGGGCAAAGGCAUCGUUUCAUUGUUUAGAAGAGCAGCCAAAGCUUACAGUGCUGAAAAGUGUAAUAAGUUCGUGUUCGGAUAGGAAGUAAAUCAUUACCGGCGUUGGAGUAUCUGACGAACAUGGAGAUCGAACAUUGGGCGCGGUCAUACUUUUCAGGACAUUGACACAACAUGAUGACGUCGAAUAACGUGGAGUCUCUCAAUGCAUUGUUUAAGAAGGAUCGAGAGUUAUCAAUUCUCGCAAUGAUUGAGAACAUUUGUAACAAGCUACAACAGCGGUUUCAUGACCGACGUGUGGCAUCACAGAGUUGCACUAGCGUGUUGGCCCCAGCUCAAGAGGAGAAACUCUUUAAGGCAGCAGAUGUUGGGAGGAAGUUGAAUGUGGAAGCACUAGCUGAGUUCCACUUCUCCGUGUAAUGUGCACGUAAUACGAUAUAUAUGGUGGACUUGACUUAUAACACAUGCACUUGUACGAGAUUUCAGUUGGAGAGUUUUCCAUGUGAGCAUGUAGUUGCGGUGGCCAUGUAUCGAAGCUUUGCAGCGAGAACGUUAUGCUCUUUGUAUUAUACGACUGAGCCUUGGAGAACAGCAUAUGCUGAUACUAUAUUUCCUCUGACAAAUGAAGCCGAGUGGGAAGUUCCCGAGCACAUUCUCCCGUUUCAUAAUUUGUUGCCACCAACAGUUGAACCACGUGGUCCUGGACGUCCAAGUACAUCUAGAAUACCAUCUACCAGAGGGUUUCCUCAACCGCGUAGGUGUGGCAGGUGCAGAGCCAUAGGGCAUACUGGACAAUUUUGUACCAGUCAAAUUUCCCUAAAUGACAAUUAGACAGGUACGUUAAAUGAAUAAUAUUUCUGUUUACUUUACACUGUUCAAUAUUUGUUUUUCAUAAAUGUUCAAUGUUUAGUAUUUAUUCUUGAUAAAUAGUAUUUAUAAUGAUUCAUAUAAAAAAAUAGCUCCAUACUCGGCAUAUGUGUAAAAUAACAAAAAAUCAACUUACAAAAGAAUAAUUAAAUUUCCAAUGUGAAUGUUAUAUUUAUUAAACACAAAUUUACAAUUAUUUCAUAAUCACAAAAAAUAAUUAAAUUUACAAUUCGAAUGUUACAUAUAUUUAAUAUAAAUUUAUGGGUCACCAUUAAAUUUGAACAAAUCACAAGCUAGCUUUUUCUCCAGUUCUGUAUCCACAAUUGGUUGAUUCCAUCAACAUUACGUCCUAUACUUAAAAAUUUAAGGUACUUAAUGGCAAAUAUGCCGCAGUCACUGCUGCAAUUGAAUAAGAAUGGAUCAGUUCAGUACUGUGUAGCUAAAAACUAAAUCUGAAAGAUGAAAAUAAUAAAGUUCAAACACUUACCUUAUGGACUGUCGCGCUGUUGUCGUGUUUCGAACAAUCCGCAAUCUGUCCUGUACAGUUAUCCCCACUUGUAUGGCCAUUAUAGGAACAAUUACAAUUACGGACUCCAGGUUUUGCUCCAGCUGGCCUUGUGUCAAACAUGAAUAAUUUGGGUCGUAGACAUAUAUAGUUAUGUUAGCAAAAACGAUCUCCAGCGUAACAUAGUGAUUAUUGAUGCACGUUGGAAUGUACAUAUGUGUACAACCCUCUCAUGAUUUUCCCCCGACAUUUGGUGACAUUCCUAUGACCCACUCGAGCAUAUAUUCUGGCACCGUGUACUCGUUAUCCAUAAGUUGGAGCAACUGAUACUCUAUGGUAACGGCACGCAGGAACUCGGUGUUUAAUAUGACUCGACCACGGACGUCAAAUGAUUCUGGAUGUCUUUGAGCUCGAUCUCGCAGCAAGUCCAAGGCCAAGUUGAUGUACUGCAUCAGGAAACACCAAAAAAGUAUGAGUUAUUCAUUUAAUAAACACAAAGUGACGUGUACAUAAAAAACACGAAAUGAAUAGUUCACUUACAUCGUCGGUGAGUCAAGCUCCCGAAGUGGUGAUAUCGUGGAACCACUUGUAAGCGUCCGAGACCGUCGUUUGACCUAUCGUGCGGCUAACUCUGAAAAAAAGGGAAAUGUUAAAAUAUGCAUAGACGAGUUAGCGUAUAGUGCUUUGUUAAAAUCAUACAAUACUUACCCGGGGAUAAUUCUCCUCCACUCCAUCUCGAACGCUUUCCACUAGGCGUUGUCCACCUCUUUGAAUAAGUUCGGAUGCGUCCCAUCGAUGAACGUCCUCCUCUUGGCCUCAGUCGUAAAGGGGAAAACAACAUACUGUGAUGACACUCUCAACCUCUUGCCGACCACCUGCUCCGUUUCAUCAACAGCAUGUCUCUUACCCUCAAUCACGAUGGGCGUCCUCUCGACCUCCGGGGCCACCUUCUCCGUCCCUCCCAUUGGGGCCACCCCCUCUCCCUCCAUAGGCAACCACAAUGAUUAUAAUGUCUUAUCACGCCAAAAAUGUGGGUGACCCCCUUUCCAUCACCACUCUGCCACCCUCUCGAUCAUCAUCUCCACCAUCCCCUCUGUCCCCCCAUCGCCUACCGGCUAAAUCUCCUCUAGGUGCCACUACCGUAUCCUGAAGAUCGACAACGCAAGACCGUAGCAUUCCAACAUCAUGGGAUAGAUCGUCAACCCUCUCUGUCAACUCUCGUCCCAUAUCAUCGAUCUUCCCUAUCAGAUAAUCGACCUUCCCAGUCAGAUCGUCGACCUUCCUUGUCAACUCUCUUCCCAGAUCAUCGACCCUCUCCGUCAACUCUCGUCGUAGCGCGCCGACCUCCUCCACUAUAAAUCCAGUCAAACAGGCAUACAAAUCAUCACUGUGUGUCAGAGAUACACGGGGGAGGUGUCUGGACGAGGGAGAAGGAGAUACCCUCGGCGGUGGCGAUGCCAAUGGCGGCGGCGAUGCCCUUAAUGGAGGUGAUGCCAAUGGCGACGACGAUGCUCUUGGGGGAGGUGAUGCCAAUGGUGGUGGUGAUACCCUCGGCGGAGGUGAUCAUCGAUCAACUGGACUGCCCUCCUACAUAAAUAACAUUAAAAAUUAUUCAAUAAAUUUAUAGGUCGACGAUAUUCAAUAAAUUAUAUUUAAUUCAUAUACCCAAUCUCGGUCUAGGUUUGGAUCAGACAUCUCCUCGUCUUGGGUCUGCGGAAUGCCUAAAUCUCGCACAAGACCCCGAGCCUCCUCUUCCAUCGAUGACGUCAACUCAAGUAUGACUUCAAGCUGACAUAUUGACAUUUCAACUAAUUAACGAUCAUGUAAACAUAUUUUAAACUACGCAUAAUAUAAAUCACAAAUGCAUAAUACUUACCUGAGGAUCAUCGAAGAAAGUCGAUAAUUGUUUCCCAGUGGGGCAUCCGUCUGCUCGCGAUGAUCUCCAAUGAUGCAUCUGAGGGCAUCGUGUCUCUCCUCGCUUCGCAAAGCGGGCCCCUAGUACAGGGACUAUCUCAUACACCCAAAUCUGCAACACAUACACUUAUUAUGCGUAAAUAUAAUAUACUAAAACUUUAACUUUAAUUAUAUUAAACAUUUAUCUGUACCGCUAAGGGCAAUCCAUAUGUAUCGUAUUUACACAUUGACCCCUUGGGCCUCGAGUGUGAUUUGGUGAAAACAUGUAAGGUGUCUUUGCAGUAUCUCCGACCCCAUGGAUAGUUGUUGAACGCAUCGAUAUCGUCAACAACUUGCAAUUGAAAAAUGUCGAUGGCAAUCUUCUUGUGAUGACACCUCAUCAUACUCUCGAGGAUGUAGACCAACCCAAGUGUCAAUCUAUCUAGCAUCUGGUCGCACCCCCUGAACGCGACCAUCAACUAGGGUAGAUGCACCCAUCCAUGUCCUUGGAAGUACGUCUUGUACAGCCUAUUUCUUCUCUCAAUGGCUACAUCGUCGCCAAUAAUCCUUAGUCCAGUAAUCAAGCUAAACUCAUACAUCGAGAAACUGACAACCUUGCCCUCGAGGUCGAAGUGGAAGGAAUCGCCGUCGACUGGCCUCAGAAGCCAACACAGAAGUGCAUCGAUGAUCUGUCCUGAGUACUGCACCUCUCUCAUAUGGUACAGUGGCCACGAGAAGAACUGUCAUAGCAUAUCUCCGUGAUGAUAUCGAGCAGCUCCAACACAGCAGUAAAACUCUCAAAGCUACUAUUCCAAGUAGCUUUCCCCGCCAUCCGUCUCAACUCCCCAUCUAAAUGAUACUCCAUCCUGUAAAAAUUCAAAUGUUAGAACAUUGAACAAGAGAUAAUAAAAUAACGCAUAAUCUCAAAAAAACAAUGGGAACCGAAUUCUUGACGCUAAUAACAAAAUAAAUUCAAUACAAAUGUAAAAAAUAAUUAAUUAAAUUAAAAUACAAAUAAAUGAGAUUUUCAGCAAAAGAAAAUUAUUAAUAUUUAAAGAAUACAAAAAAGUUAAAAAUUAAAGAUUAAAUAUAUUUUCAAAAAAAAUAAAGAAUAUAAAUAUUAUUUAAAUAAAUUUAAAAAAAAUUGAAGAAUAUAAAAAUUAAAUAAAUAAAUAACAUAAUUAUUAUUUAAUCAAAUGAAAAUUAAUCUUGUAUAUUACAUUUGGAAAAUAUAUUUACAAAAAAAUUUAAAAUUAAAUAAAUAACAUGGACAAUAAAUUGUUACUUUCAGAUAAUAUUCAAUUAUUAAAUUAUAUAAAAAAAGACAAUUAAAAAAAUAAAAAAAUAAAUAACAUAAUUAUUAAUAAAUUAAUUAUAAAAUAUAUUUAAAAAAACUAAAUAUAUAUAUAUUUUAAAAAAUUAAACUGUUAACAGUCUGAUUAUUAACAGUCGGCCCAAGACUAUUAACAAUCUACUAUUAACAGUUAACAGUCGGCCCAAUUAAUAAAAAUAAAUCUAAAAAUUAAAAAUUAAAUAAUUAUUCAAAAUUUCAAUGAUAAGAAUUAAUGAAAUUCGAUUAAUGAAAAGAAUAUUAUUUAUAAAAAAUUAUUAAUAAAAAUAAAAACGAAAUUUAAAAUUCGAUAAUUAUUCAAAAUUACAAUGACAAGAAUUAAUGAAUUUCGAUUAACAAAAAGAAUAUUAUUUAUAAAAAAAACUAUUAAUAAAACUAAAUAUGAAAUUUAAAUUUAAAAUUAAAAGAAUUAUUAAAUAUUAAAAUUAUAAAAAUUAAUUAAAUUCAAGAAUGAAAAAUUAUUAUUUAUCAAAAAUGAGGAAAUAAAAAUAAAUAUUCAAAUUAAAAUUUAAAUUAAAUAUCACAUUUAAAUUUUACAAAUAAAUAAACUAUUAUUUAUUAAAAACUAAUAAUUAAAAUUAUUUAAAAUGAAAUUCUUAAAUAUAAGUAACUAAAAAAUAAAGGCAGUGGGCCGACCGUAACAAUCGGACCGCUUAACAGUCAAUGGGCUGACUAAACAGUCAGCCCAAAUAAUGGGCCAACUGUUAAUCAGCUCAAAUUAAAAAAAAAAAUAUUAUUGGGCCGAGUCAUGGGCUGAUUGUUAGUCAGUCCAUGACAAUUGGGCCAACUGGCUGUUAACAGUCGGGUGAUUAGGCACCCGACUGUUAACAGCUGAGUUUUCCCCAAAAUGCCGGCUGCAAACGCAGUCGGCAUUUUUUCCGGCUUUUCUCCUCGAAAAAUCUCUAUUUUCGGCGAGAAAAGCUUGCAAAUCUCGAAAUCCACAUAUUAUUCUCCAAUUUAGACUCAUAUUCAUACUUCUACACCUACAUAAUCAAUAUUACAUUUCAAAAACCUCCACAAAUUCAACAUUCACACACAAUAUGAAAAUUAAAACAUUAAUCUGGUUAAUUAACAACUCGAAACUCACCUUAACAAGAAGAAGGUCGCUGGAGAUGAACUGAAAAUGUUUACCGAAUAGCUUUUCCCUGGUUUUAGCUGACUGUAAGCAAAUGGGAAAGUGACCGUCUGAUGGUAUUUUGGGAUUUUGACCUUUAAAAUCAAUUUUCGUUUUUUUUCCUCUAAAAACUGGUCAAAGGCUACUUUGGAACUACACAUGAGUUAUUGGGUCAUUUUCAAUGAUUUCCUCCCCUUUCCUCGUGUUUUCAAAUUUCUACUUCCGAUUUGUACCUUUUUUUUUCUAAUUGACAAAUUAAUUAUAAGUACGUUUAUAGAUAGUAAAUAGAAUAAUUUAAUUUAUAAUUUCUGAUUGGUUAAAAUUUGUAUAUUUUAUUCGAAAGAAUCAUUCAAUUAACUCUAAUAUAUUUUUCCAACUGAAAUUGUCUAAUUUUAGUUCGAAAAAUUUUAAUAUAGUUUCAGUUUAUUAUUUUCAUAUUACCAAUAGAAUUUUAUCAUUAAAAUUUUUUAAUUUAUUUUUUAGGAUUUUGGUUAUUUUGUAAAUUAAAGUUUUAAAAUAAUCUUUAAUUAAUAGUUAGGAUUGAUUGAAAUUAAACGUAUGCUGAAUUUUUAUUUUUAGUUUUGUUCUUUUUUACAACAAGCAAAAAAUAUUGCAAAUCCUUGUUGCAAAACACACUUGCUCGCAACAUUUAAUGAUUGUUGCAAAAGGUUAUAUAGUAAGAAUUUCAACAAUAUGUACUGAACAUUGUUAUAGAACAAAAUUUUAACAAGUUCAAAAAAAAAAAAAAAAAAGAAUUAAAACUUUUACAACAUUCAAAGAACGUUACAAAAAGCUAUAUAUUAAGAGUUUCAACAACGGUUAUUGAAUGUUGUUAUAGAACUAUAUUUUUACAACAUUCAUUAAAUGUUGUGAAAAAUUAAACUUCUUACAACAUUCAAGAAACGUUGAAAAUGGUAAUAUUGACAAAAUGCAAUUAAAAAAAAUAUUGCCAAAGCUUAAUUAAGUUAAUCAAUGGCAUUAUUCACUUAUUAAAAUGUUGCGAUAGACCCAUUUAGCAACAUUCAAUUCACGAGUGUUGCCUUUUGAGUAUCUUAGGGAAGGAUUAGGGAUACAAUAGUAAUAAUUUCUAGAGUUACAGGAGUACAAUUGUCAUUCACGAAUAAACUUACCAUGUACAACAAAAUGGUCUUUUUUUUUUUCCUUCAAUGUGCUCCUAAAAAGGUUUUUAUUGAUAGCAACAAGGUAAGUCGGACGUUCUCUUUUUUAAAUUUUAAGAGGCAGUAAGGAUAUUUUGAUCUUCAUUUUUCGUCCCAUUUAUUUAUUUAUUUAUUUACUUAUUUAUGUAUUAUUAUCUGUUUAAAUUUAAAUUAUAUUCAAAAAAAAUUUUUAAAAAAAUAUUAUGAGUCAUGGAUGGGUCUGUGACAGAGAUCAUGUUUCCCAAGCCCAUCCCUAAUAGGGAUUAUAGAAUUCCUGACCUUCGAUCCACAUCAUGCCCUGUCCCACAUUGUCCUACCUUGAAUAGUAAAUGGGGCGGGAUGCAUAACCUAUAGUCCCUAGUUUCGAAUUUUUAGUACUAUCUCUGAAUCAUUUUUGAUUAAUAUACUUUAUUUUAUUCUUAUGUUCUUCAUUUAAAUCAUAUUAAAAAAUAAAUAAAUAAAUAAAAUGACGAAUGAUGGUUUUUAUGUCUCAACCUACCCUACAUUCUGAAAAUUCGAAACGAAACAAGAAUGAUAUGAUAGCUCCUAUCCAUUGUUAUCCUUAAUUUCAAAUUUCCCGUUGGGCGGAGUAACUUGAAACUGGCGUUUUGUUAAAGAUUUCCUCAAAUAAUUUAGCAGAAAAUAAAAACAAUGAAAAAUAAAUCCACUUUAAAAUAGGGUCAUCUCUAAAAGAUAAAUGUAUUCUCCAUUGAUUCCCAUUUUUCACUUGAAACUCAUCUCUGUAGGAAGGCUAUGAUCCAAUCCAACCUUAAAAUUUCUCAAAUUAUAUUAAAAAAAAAAAUCACCGUACCUUAACUCUACAAAUAAAGUAGAGUUAACUCUACAAAUAAAGUGGAGUGUUGCCCAAAUAUCCAUGGCAGCAGCUACGCAGAGGCAACACUGAUGGUUCGCAGAUGGUGCAACCACAAAGGGCCUCGACAUUAUAGGGACACCAAAAAAUUUUAUUUGUAUAAUAAUUUUAAAAUUUUAAUUUUUUUUAUUAAAAGGACCAUGUUUUAAAAUAUCACACAGGACACCCAAAAUAUUAAGGUCAACCCUACAUCUAAGUACUGCUAUGCAACUUCUCCAUUUCCUAGGUAUUUGAUCAAUAAAAAUAGGGAAUGUGGCUCAAGGGAGUGACAAAAUUAUUAAUAAGAUGAGGCAAAUUAAAGAAACAAACAAAUGUAGGAAGUUGAAAUCUACUUAAGAAACAAAAUGUACUUUCCUAUUAGCCGGAAGGGACAAUAUGACAGAUACCAAAACAAGGCAAUAGCUUAAGAGAUUCAUAGAUUACAUAAUUAUAAGCCAGAAAAAAAUAAACAUUGAUGAUUUAUUGUAGUUGAUAAUGGGGGUUGACUAACGAACCUUAUGUAGAAACUAUAUCAUUCGCAGUCAAACCAUGAUCCCUGAAUUUGAAACGGGCAUAUAACGAUUUGCGAAAGAGAUAAUGGUGUUGGAUUCCCAGUGGAUAACGCACAAGAAGAAUCUGAUUUCCUGCGCACUGGGAUUGAACAUAGCUGCUUUAAAUGUCCCAUUACGAGAGAACAAAAACUCCUAGAAGCAUCUACAGAUUUGAAAUUUGAAGGAGUUAAAUUAGGGUAUGCAAAUUCUUUAAAGGAAAAACCAUAUGCGAGAACCAAUAAUAAGGCUAAAACACACAGAUCUAAUCCAGAUUUUGCCCUAGUCGGCAUGGGUGACUAGCUGUGACAAUUGACUUUGCAGAUUUGACGGCGAGGGGAAAUACAUGAAAUUGACCCAAAUAAAAGAGGCUCUUUUCUAAAAUGGCCCUUGUCUUUUCCAAACAUUUGGAGCUACCUAAAAUACCCUUAGACAAACAUUAAAAACAACCUAUUUCAUAAUAAAAAUCUUCUAUCUAAGUCCUUAAAAAAUUAACAAGUAAUUUUUCUAAAAAUUUGAAAGAAUUAUUAAUCUUUAUGAAUAAUUAUAAAAUGAAAAAACCCAAAUAUAAGAGAGGACCAUAUAAUAUAAAAAAGGUUGUUAAAAAUAAAAAAGAAAUUAAGAUUGGAAAAGAAAUUGAUAAGAUAGGAUAUCAAGAACAAUUAUAUGCAUCACAAGAAGUAUUAAAGUGUUUCAAAGAAAACUUAUUAGAAAAUUUUGCUAAAAGAAUUGUAAGAUCAAUAAUUAUAAAAGAUAUACAAGGUAUCAUAGAUAAAUUAGAAAAAAGGAAGAAAAAUAUCUUAAAAUACGAUAUACCUUUUAGAACAGACAUAGAUAUGAUAAUAGAUGUUGAUAUUAUAAAUUCUCAGACAUUACUAGACUUUGAAGAAUUACUUAAAAAUUUAUGAGAAGGCCAAUAAAAAAUAGAUUACCACAAAGAAUUUUUAGAAUAUUAGAUUUUUGUUCGCUCAUAGUAGCAUCAUCCCGUUGGUAUCAGAGCCAUAGAGAUCAUGAGAAAAUUAUAAAAAUAAAUUACCUAAAAAUAUUGAAAAUAAAUAAAAUUUAUGAUUUUUGAAAUUAUUGAAACUUAUAAAAAUAGACUAAGGUAUCAAGUAAAAUAUAGUUCUAAUAUAAAAGGCUAUAUAGAAGAAGAUAAUAUAGUUGGAACAUAUAGUAAAGACAUAAAAGAAGUAUUAGAAAUUUUUAGAGUAAUUAAAAAUUUACCUUUAGAACUAAAAGAAAAAAUAAUUAAAAAGAUAUUAUUUGAAGAAUAUAAGCAUAUAUAUAUAUUAGAAGAAAUCCAGAGUGAAAUAGAUUUCAUAGUAAUCUAAAAAAAAUAUAUUUUAUUAUGGAAAUCAUAAAAAUAAAUAAUUAUUAUUAAUGUAUUGAAGAAAAAGGAUGUUAUAUAUUUUUCAACCCUAUCCCUAAUAAAUUAAAAAUAAUAACAUUAUAUGUAACUAGGAAUUUACCUAGAGAAAUAAAGGAACAAAUAUUAUAUAAAUUAAUUGUAGGAUUUAUCAAAGAUAGACGUACAUAUGAAAUAAUUAUCGAAGUAUUUGAAAAUGAAUUAUACCAUAGAGAAAUAUUUGAAUCAUCAUAAAGUAUAAUGGAAGAAACUAAAAAUAUUUUGGAAAGAAAGUUAAGAAGAAUAAGAUUAAUAAAUAAUAAAAUUUGAGAUGAAUUAUUAAUACCUGAAGAUAUAACUAAAACUCAAGAAAAACAAAUAUUAAAAUUAAAACAAGAAAGGUAUAAAGAAAAAGCAAGGUAUUAUGAAAAAUUAAAAGAAUUAACAAAUAUUAAAGUUAUAAAACAAAAGUAUGAUAAAAUGAUAAGAGAUUGUAAAAAUGCUGAGUAUAUAGCAUUUUAUUAUUGUCAAUCAAAAAAUCGAUAAAAGAAAAUGUCAAUCAGUGAACAUAUGGAAGAAUUAAAACAUUUAAUAAGAACAUUAAUAAAUGAUGUACAAGAAAUAAAGAAUGAAAUAAAAGAAGCAAGAAAUGAUAUAAAUAUAUUAAAACUUGAAGUUAGAAAAUUAAAAGAAAAUGAAGAAAAGAAUAAUAGGAUAGAUAAAAAAAUUUAUAGAAAAAGAAAUAACCAGAAUAUGAAAAAAACAUAUUGAAAGAGAAAAUAUAAUAAUAGAAACAGGAAGCAUGGAUGAUGAGUUUAGAAAAAAUAUAUUACCUAAAAUAUUAGAAGAAAAUGAAUCUAGAGAAAAAAUGUUAAGUAAACAAAAAAUUAAAGAAAAUCAAGAUAAAGAAAAUGAAUGAAGAAUUAGAUCUACUUAUAGAUAAUUUUGAUCAUUUAAGUUUAGAAAGUAUAGAUGAUGAAUACCAAAAUCUGAAUGAAUACUGGAGGAGGGCCUAAUCCCGUAAGAACCUCUAAACAAGAAUUAAUAGAUCCAAAUGAAAGUUAUGCUCUGAUGUAUAAUAAAUCAUAUAGACAAUUUUAUGAUAAGAUAAGAGAUAAACAACUGUCUAAAGGAAAUAAAUAUAGUAAUAGAUUUGAAUUAAAUAAUAAUUAUGAUAAACCUGUUAACCAUGGAGGAACAAAAUUAGACUUAGAUUGUAAAAUAGAUACUAAGAAAGUUUUAAUAACUUGGGCAGACUCAAUGAUAUUAUUCUUUUUAUAUAAUAAAGAUGAUACAUGGAAAAAUACUAAAAGAAGAAUAGAUUUUUUAAUUGCAUCUUUUGAAAGAAAUGUUAGAAAUUGGUGGGAAUGAAUUAGUAGUGAUACAAAAUUAUUAAUAAAAAGAAAUGUACAAACAGAAAUAAUAAAGUCAGAUAAACUAGGAAUAGAAAGAUUAGUAGAAUAUAUUGCAAAUGAAUUCUUAGGAGAAAAUUGGUUAAGAAAUUAUGAAGAAGAAACAAUACGAGAAAAAGAUAAUGCAAGAGUUAAGUUAAUUAAUUUAACAAUUUGUGAUAUGUGUAAAAUUAAAUAAUAUACUUGUGAAUUCAAGGAUUACUAUUAUAUUCAAUUUUAUAGUAAUGAGAAUCAAGAAAUAUAUCAAGAUAUGUAUUACAAUAAAUUACUAGGAUCAUGGGGAAUAUAUUUUAAAAUAGAAUUUGAAAAAUAUAUUAAAGAAAAUAUAGGAAUACCUAGAACACUAGGAUCAAGAAUAAUAUUCUUAUUUGAAAGACUUGCAUAUAUAUGUCAACAAAGACAAUUAUUGAAAAAAUCAGGAAAAUUAACUAGAAUAUGUUGUGAAGAUAUGGAAAAACCUACAAGAUGGGGAUGUAAUUCUGAAAAAAGAAAUAAAAGAAAGUAUAAAAACAGAAAGUUUAAAAAAUAUAGAAACUUUAAGAAAAAAUACAUAAAACCUGGAAGGAAAUAUUAUUAAAAAAAAUAAUAUACAGAGAAAUAAACCUUAUAAGAAAAAUAAAAAAAACAAUGUAAGUGUUGGAAUUGUGGAGAAAUGGGUCAUAUAAGUCCUGAUUGCGCACAAAAAAAGUGAGAAUAUUACAAAAGGAUUAUUUUGAAAUAGAAAGUGAAUUAAGUAAAAUAUAUGAUAUUAACAUUAUAAUAAUCAGGAAAUAUUUAUAAGUGAAGCAGAUUCAGAAGAUAAUGGAUCAGAAUCUGAAUAGAGAAAUUGAAGAAAUAGAAAAUAAUAACAUAGAAAUCCAAGAAUAUGAGGGAAUGGAAAGUUAUGGAUUAAAAAUAACUUUUGACAAUAAUAAAUUUAAGAAAAUACAAAAGUUAUCCUUAGAUUUGAAAAUAGGAAAAUGGGAAAUUCUAGAUAGAAUAUGGAGAAGAGAAAUAAUAGCAAUAAAUGAAUACCAUAAGAUUGAAAAAACUAUAGAUGUCAAAACAACUCAAAGAACACAUAAAAUAAACAUUUUAACAAAAAGUACAGUAUCAGAAUUAUUAUCAAAAAUAAGUAAAAAAUAUAGUGAAAAGAUCCAAUAUGUUUAUUUAGCAGGAAUAUAAAUAAUGUUUAAAUCUUUAUUUAGGGAAGGAAUAGAUUCACCAUUAAUUGUAAGUUUACAUGAUGGAAGAAUUAUAAAUUUUGAAGAUGGUCAUUUAAGAACUAUAGAAGGAAAUUUAGCAUAUCAAAAGUUAAUAUUUACUUGUUCCCCAAAAUAUUGUGUCUCAUUGAAAGAUAAAAACUUUAAUGAAGUCUUAGGAUUACAUUUCAAAUUACAUAGAAAUGAUAUAAUGGAAUCAAGAGAUCAAAUUAUGAUUAUGGAAUAUAGAGCAUUAUAUACAUUUACUAAUUCUAAUUAUGGGAAUAUUUAUUCCAAUAAACCAUACAUAGAAAUUCAUAAGGAAUGCAAUGAUAUUGGUAGAAUAGUGAAACCAAACAAACAAAUAAAUCUUAUUCCAAAAGAAUAUGAAUUUAAUAUAACUAAAAAUAAGCCUGAAAUAACAGAGUUAAGAGAAGAAGAAGAUUAUAAAAUAAUAUUUCACAAUGGAAGGUUGAUAAAGAAAUCAAAAAGCCUUAAGACUACCGAAUAAAAAAGAAUAUUUGGGAGAAACUAGUGGUAUAAAAGAAAUAAAAUCUCAUGGAAAUAUUGGAAAUAUGAAAAUAGAAGGAAAAUAUUUCAACGGUAGAAGGUAUAUAAAAGGACCAAAUAUAUUGAUAAAUACAGGAGCUGGUGAAUGUUAUAUGGCUGCAAGUAAAAAUGAAGGAUUAAUGACUUACAAGAUAGAACCAUAUGAAUAUAGGAAUUUUGAUGAACAACUAUAUAUUACAGAAUUAAAGGUAAAGGUACCAAUAAAAAUAGGCGGGAUUGAUUUAUUAGUACCAUGUUAUUUGGUUGAAAGUAUGGAUAUUGAACCUCAUAUAUUAUUAGGAAUGAGUUUCUUAAAUGGAUUAGAAGAUUAUAGUAUAAAAAGAGAAGGCUUAGAUAUAACUCAUAAAGGACAAACUACAUUAUGUAAAAUAGGAAGUAGAUGAGUAAUCAAAUAAGUUUUCCAUUGGCAGUAUAUAUACAAGUUACUAUAGUAGAAACAAACAUAACAACUUGUGCCUUAAUUGAUAUAGGAAGUGAUAUAACAAUUUUCAAAAAUUUCUUAAUAAAAUCAUGGAAUAAAAAUAGUAAAAUAAAAAUAACAGGAGUGACUGGAGAAAGUACUCAAAUAAUUGAUAGUGCUAAAAAAAUUAAUAUAAUACUUGGUAUUAAACAAGUUAUAAUAAAUAAAGUAUACAAUUAUAAUAACCUAGAAUGUGAUAUAUUAUUAGGAAAUGACUUUAUCCAACAAUUUCAAUACUAUAAACAAAAUAAUUACAUGAUAAUGUUACAAAUACCUUGUGACAUCUAUUAAAAAUAUCAAGAGAAUUUAGAUCCUAGAGAGUUCAGCCAGCCCAGCGUGGUGAUAAAUGGGAAAAACGACCAAUAGUACAAGAUGAACUAAAAAAUAAAAAACUAUCAUAUAAAAAGAUCCUAAAAACAGAAAUAGAAAUAAGUAUGGAAAAAAUUAUAGAACAAUUAGAAAAGAUUUAUGGAGAAAACCCAUUAUUAUUUUGGAAACAUAUUAUCCUAAAACUAAAAUAGAAUUAACAGAAAAUGUUAUAAUAAGAGUUAGUCCAAUGAUGUAUACCUUACAAGAUAUGCAAGAAUUUAAAAUUCAAAUAAAAGAACUAUUAGAACAAAAAUUAAUUAGACCCAGUAAUUGACCUCAUAGUAGUCCAGCUUUUAUGGUUAUAAAACAUUCUGAGCAGAUUAGAGAAAAAGCUAGAAUGGUAAUAAACUAUAAGGAAUUAAAUAAAUAUACUAAAUUUGAUGGUUACUUUUUACCAAAUAAAAAAGUCCUAAUAAAUCUUGCAAAAGGAAAACAAUAUUAUUCCAAUUUGAUUGUAAAUCAGGAUUUUGGCAAAUAAAAAUGGAAGAAGAUAGUAUAUAAUAUACAGCUUUUAGUACACAUCAAGGAAAAUAUGAAUGAUUAGUUAUGAAAUUUGGUUUAAAAAAUGCACCACAAAUAUUUCAAAGGAAAAUGGAUAAUAUAUUCAAAAAGUUUAGUGAUUUUCUUAUUGUUUAUAUAGAUGAUAUACUAAUAUGCUCUAAUAAUAAAAAAGAACAUAGGAAUCAUUUAUUACAAUUCAUAAAUGAAUGCAAAAAGGAAGGAAUUGUACUUUCUAAAAAGAAAUCUAUAAUCAAGAAUAAGAAAUAGAUUUUAUGGGAUUAUCAAUAGAUAGAAAAAGAAUAAAAUGACAUACUCAUAUAUCUAAAAAGAUAGAAAGCUUUCCAAAUGAAUUAAAAUCCAAAGAAUAAAUAAAAAAAUUUUUAGGAUGUUUAAACUAUGCUAAAGGAUUUAUUGAAAAUCUCUCAAAAAAGAGACAUAAGAUACAAAUUCUACUUAGGAAAACAAAUACUAAAGGUAACAAAGAACAUACUGAAAUUGUUAAAUCAUUAAAAGAAGAAUGUAAAAAUUUAUCAAAAUUAAGGUUACCAGAUGAAAAAGAUAAUCUAAUUGUUAAUACUGAUGCCUCAGAUAAAUAUUGGGCAGUUAUAUUAAAAACAGAUUUAAAUGAAAUAUGCAGAUAUUCAAGUGGAACUUUUAACCAAGCAGAAAUAAAUUAUACUACUCAUGAAAAAGAAUUGUUAACAAUUAUUAGAGGAAUAAAAAAGUUUUCAUUAUUCCUUUUAUCUAAAAAAUUUAUUGUUGAAACUGAUAAUUCUCAUGUUGUAGGACUUAUUAGAAAUAAGUUACCUAUGGAAUCUCAAUAUAAAAGGUUACACAGAUGGCAAGCAUAUUUAUCAUUCUACAAUUUUGAUAUUAUUCAUAUUAAAGGAAUAAAUAACUAUCUUGCAGAUUUUUUGAGCAGGAAUAUCGAAUUUGGAGAUGGAUAAUAUCAAAAAUUUAUUAAUAGACGUCAACAGACGAAUGAAAUUCCUCAUGGAAGAAUCAGAAGAUAUGAAAAUUGGAAUUGAGCAAUUAGAGCAAAUGGCAGAAUCUAUCCAACAAAAUGUCAAAUUGUUGGUGGAAAUCUCUAAUUCUCAUUCCAAAUAUACCAAAGAAUUGAAUGACAGAAUUGUUGAUAUUACUUCACAAUUCGAGUCAUUAAAUACCAAACAAGAAAUACCAAUUGAUACAAUCUAAAAAAUACAAACAGGUACGCAGCAAGGAAGCAGCAAUAGACCCAGCAAUAUCAAACGAGAUAUAGCAAGUCCCCGGAAGGUAACUAUAAAAAAUGGUGAUGAGCAUAUAAGAGUUAUCAGAAUCAAAACUGAUGAAGAUGAUGAUACCCCUUUAUCAUCAAAAGAAGAAGAAUAUAGAUCAUUUGCCAAACUUGUUCAUGAAUUGGAAGAAAAUGAAUCAUAUUUUAUUGCAUCAGGAGAUCAUGUUUAUCCCAGAUUAAUAAUUAUCAAAGAUGCAGACCCUUUCAUGGUCAAAAUGGCGACAGAUUAUGAAUUUCUUGAUUUGAUCUAUCCAGUAAAAGAUUUAAAAGAAAUUGAAAAAUUUGAUGAUAUAUUCAGGGCAGAGGUUUCAAAAUUUGUCCAAGGGAGAUCGAUUUAUAUCAAAUUUUAUUCAAUAAGUCCCGAGGUUGAUGGAAGGAUAUAUUAUCCUGCUGAACAUAUUAUCACAAUUGGAUAUGUUGGCCGAGAUUUUCGUAUUGAAGUUGGCCGAAAUAAUAAACUAUUGCCUAAAAUCAAUAAAUCAUGGAUAAAAUCCCAAAGAGUUUUGGGGAUGAAAGUUCUUUAUAACAUUGCAAAAAACUUAUAUGAUAAAAAAUUCAGAUGCUUGUGUCAAUAUGAAGGAUGGACACUCCUUACGAAUAAUGGAAAAGAAAAAUCUACUAUUUUGAAAGAAUAUAUCUAGAAAUUUGAUACUCAUCAAAUGAAUGGAAGUUCUACAACAAUCCAAGAAUCAUGUAGAUUGAGGGAGUGCCCCACACGCAGACAAGAUUAAAAAGAUUGACAAAAGAUGAAUGGAAGGGGACCUACCACUACCAAAGCAUCUAGCCAGCUGCAUAUGGAGCCAAAGAUGGAGAGACAAUAAUAGAGGAAAAGAUGUCCCUUUGAUGAAAAAGCAAAAAAUGCAUGUGAAAAUGUAGACCCCAGGAGGAAAAGAAUAGAGAGGCAUGCGAGCCUUUUCAAAUUCUGAUGUAUGCAAUGAUGUAAUAGACCAAUAAUAGCAAGUUUGAGUCAUGUAUAAAUAGAGGUCUUUGGGGAAAGAAUGGAUCAUCUCGAAUUAGAAACCAUUCUCUUUCCUUAAACUUUCUUUAAAACCAAUUUUUCUGGAAACCCCUUGUAUACAAUAGAAAUCUUGUAUAAAUCAUUAUAGAAAUAAAAUCUCAAUCUUUUGAUAUCAGAAAAAUAUGAGUUUUUAAACUUCAUAUCCCAUAGAUUCUUGACAGAUUGAAGAAGAUAAUCUCUUUCUUACUUUAACAAAGGGGGAAUUUUCUUUACUUAAAAUCCUUAUUCUUAAUUCUAAGAAAAGAUACAGUGAGGGUAGGAAGCUGAAAUAGCAGAAUUUCCAUUAAGGCAAAAGACCGUUUGAGGGAGCAGUUUGCAGAUUCAGAGCCUGAAAGUCACUCAGUUCUAAGAAUACAAAUUUAAGAUCAUAAGUAAGGUAAAAUUAUUGUCUUUGUUAAAUUUAGAAAGAAUUCUUCUAAUAUCUUGAAAGAAUCGUAGGGAUUAUUACUUUUCAUGUUUGCAAAAAAUUUAUCUAUCAUGUUAUUAUUCAUAAAGCUUGUAAGGAAUUAUCUAAAUGAUACCAGGCUAUACAAUUAAAGGAUUAGAUAAUCUGUUAGAAAGACUGUUAGAAAAAAUAAAAAAUAUUUUUUCUCAACUAGAGACUAUGGAUAUAUCAUAUAAGGAAUAUGAUAAUCUUAAAGAAUUAUAUGACAAUUAUAUUACAGAUUAUACUAAUUUAUUAGAUCAAAAGAUGGAACUAUAUAUUAAAAUUCGAAACGAGAGAAAUAGAAGAAUUUUGGAACUAUUCCAAUAAAUUAGGAUAUUUUGUGCAAAAUAUGGCAAGCCAUUUCAUUAAGGGUAUUAUAGACAUUUUGGCAAAAAUGAAUAACGAUAGGCCAUUUAGAAAAAUUCCUCGACGGCGAGAGUAGAGGAAGAAGAGAUAUUAUAUUUGUCUUAAGAGAUUAGGGCUUCCACUUCCCCUUUCCUCUUGUUUUCAAAUUUCUACUUUUGAUUUGUACUUUUUUUUUAAUCUAAUUGACAAAUUAAUUAUAAGUAUGUUUAUAGAUAGUGUGUAGAAUAAUUUAAUUUAUAAUUUGUAAUUAGUUAAAAUUUGUAUGUUUUAUUCGAAAGAAUCAUUCUAUUAACUUUUAGGGUCAGUUUCAUUGUAAAGAUGAAAUUUGGAUGGAAAGAAAAUGAAUUUCAGGAAAUUGAAUUGUCUAGAAAUUAUUUUAUUGGGAAUUAUCAAUUAUUGUGUUUGAUUGAUAUAAUUUUUUAUGUGAAAAAUGUUAAAAUAAAAGUAUUUUUUGAUGUUCGUUUGACAUUAUUUUACAUAAAAAUUGUCAAUUAAAGGGAUAAAAUUUAUUGGUAUUGGUGAUAGAAUUUGUUCCUCUUGCCCAAAAAAAAAAAAAAAAAAAAAAGGGGCAAAAAAAAAAAUUAUUUUUUGGGGUNNNNNNNNNNNNNNNNNNNNNNNNNNNNNNUCAUCUAUCUUUUGGUGUUCAUUUGCUUUUGUUUUAUAUGGAAAUUAUCAAUUAAAGAAAAAUAUUUUUUUACAAUUAAUGAUAGAAUUUGUUUUCAAUGCCAAAAAAAUAAAAAAUAAAAAAUAAAAAUUGGCAACUUACCUAGAAAACCAAUUCCCCCCAUUCCUUGAAAACUAAGAAAAGUCCACUUUUCAAAAAAAACCAAGCAAAUGAAUUACAUGGAAAAUAUUUGCUAUCAAACACUAUCAAAAGGUGGAAAAUAGACAAAAUUUUCCAUUUUCCAUGGAAAAGAUGCCCAAUCAAACAAGGCCUUAAUAUAUUUUUCCAACAGAAAUUGUGCAGUUUUAGUUCGAAAAAUUUUAAUAUAGUUUCAGUAUAUUAUUUUCAUAUUACCGAUAGAAUUUUAUCAUUAAAAAUUCUUAAUUUAUUUUUUAGGAUUUUGGUUUUUUUUUAAAUUAAAAAUUAAAAAUAAUCUUUAAUUAAUAGGUAGGAUUGAUUGAAAUUAAACGUAUGCUGAAUUUUUAUUUUUAUUUUUGUUCUUUUUUACAACAAGCAAUAAAUAUAGCAAAUCCUUGUUGCAAAACACACUUUCUCUCAACAUUUAAUGAUUGUUGCAAAAUGUUAUAUAGUAAGAAUUUCAACAAUAUGUACUGAGCAUUGCUAUAGAAUAAAAUUUUAAACAGUUCAAUGAACAUUGCUAAAGGAAAAAAAAAAAGAGAAGAAUUAAAACUUUUGCAACAUAAAAAUAAAUAAAUUAAAACUUUUGCAACAUUCAAAGAACGUUACAAAAAGCUAUAUAUCAAGAGUUUCAAAAACGUUUAUUGAACGUUGCUAUAGAACUUUAUUUUUACAACAUUCAUUAAACAUUGCGAAAAAUAAAACUUCUUACAACAUUCAAGAAACGUUGAAAAUGGUAAUAUUGACAACAUGCAAUUAAAAAAAAAUAUAUUGCCAAUGCUUAAAAUUAAAUUAAACAAUGGCAACAUUUUUUACUUUUUAAAAUGUUGCAAUAAACCCAUUUAGCAGCAUACAAUUCACGAAUGUUGCCUUUUGAGUAUUGCAAAAGGCUAUUUUAAUUGUAGUGAAAAUUCGUGAUAUGUAUAUAAAAAUUCAUAUGUCAUUAAAUUAAUUUCGGUACACGUGAUAAAUGAUCAUACUUAAAAAAAUUAUUACCUUCACUAAACUUUGAAAAAUUAAGCUUUCGGACUGAUAACGUAUUAUGAAAAGAGAUAGAAAGAGCAGGGAGAAUAAAAGUCAAUAGACUUGUAUGUAUUAUAAUAAGAACUAGAGUCAUGUAUUCAUAAAGAAGGAUUAUGGAUACAAUGAUAAUAAAUUCUAGAUUUACAGAGGUACAAUUGUCAUUCACAAAUAAAACUUACCAUUUACAACAAAAUGGUUUUUUUUUCCUUCAAUUUGCUCCUAAAAAGGUUUUUAUUGAUAGCAACAAGGUAAGUCGGACGUUCUCUUUUUGAAUUUUAAGAGGCGCGUAGGACAUUUUGAUCUUCAUUUUUCGUCCCAUUUAUUUAUGUAUUUACUUAUUUAUAUAUUAGUAUGUGUUUAAAUUUAAAUUUUAUUCAAAAAAAAUAAAAAAAAAAUAUGAAUCAUGGAUGGGUUUGUGAUAGCGAUCAUGUUUCCUAACCCCAUCCCUAAUAAGGAUUAUAGAAUUCCUGACCUUCAAUUCACGUGGCGCUUUCCGUCCCACGUUGUCCUACCUUGAAUAGUAAACGAGGCGGGAUGCAGAACCUAUAGUCCCUAGUUUCGAAUUUUUAGUACUAGCUCUGAAUCAUUUUUCAUUAUUAUAUUUUAUUUUAUUGUUAUGUUCUUCAUUUAAAUCAUAUUUAAAAAAAUUUAAUUAAAUAAAUAAAAUGAUGAAUGAUGGUUUUUUAUGUCUCAACCUACCCUACAUUCUGAAAAAUUGGAACGAAACAAGAAUGAUAUGAUGGCUACUAUCCAUUGUCAUCCUUAAUUUCACAUUUCUUGUUGGGCGCAGUAACUUGAGGCUGGAGUUUUGUUAAAGAUUCCUCAAAUAAUUUAGCAAAAAAUAAAAACAAUGAAAAAUAAAUCCACUUUAAAAUAGGGUCAUCUCUAAAAGAUAAAUGUAUUAUCGAUUGAUUCCCAUUUUUCAGUUGAAACUCAUCUCUGCAGGAAGGCUAUGAUCCAAUCCAACCUUAAAAUUUCUCAAAUUCUUUUAAAAAAAACUUUUUUCACCGCAUUUUUAACUCUACAAUUAAAGUGGAAUAUAUUUCAAAUGACAGAAUGAAACUUAAUUGAAGGAACUCGUUUUAACAAUAUUUGCAGUGAACCAUAAAUUUGAUCAUGGGCCACAAUUGCAUGACUAUUUGUUUGAACUCAUGAAGUUCGUUCUAUAAAUCAUGAUAAAGAAUUCAUCUAGCGACAAAGGCAUGCUUUGGAUCAACGAAGCUUCUUUCUUAGCUAAGAGUCUAUAGCAUUUGUUUUUCAAUAAAAAGUGUGUACAAUUUGAUCAACUCGUCAAUAAAUAUUCCAUACAAGUCUUCAAUUCGACGUAUACGCCUUUUAAAAUUGUAUUUAGUCAUAAUUUUAUGUUCCAAGCAAAUAAUUUUAUGAUUUAUUCUUCUCAAUAUUAGGAUUUGGGGUCAACAUUGUUAAGAAGGACAGCUCAAACUUUUAUAAGUUGGUCUAUGUUUUCAUCUUUUUUCGAUAUGAAAUUUUAUCCCUUGACAAUCAAGUUAUUAGUAAGUUCUGGAUCCGUAAAAUGAAACCUUAGCAUGUCAUUAAGAAAUCCAUUCGUUAAUAGGAUUCAAUUAAGCUACUGUUGCCAAUUACGAGUUGAUACAUGGUUAAAUGACAUUCAAACACUUGAUAUACUUGAUAACUUGUUAAACUGUUGAUAUAGGUUGCAGUUUGAGAGUUCUGAAGUAGUAGAACGAUAUAAUGACCACUUUUCGAGUAUUAUUGACAUUAAUAUUUUUCUUAACUUCCAAUGAAUUUAAAUGAAUAAAUCUAGAGAUCAUAGUAAAUAUGAGGCUUAAGGAGAAUUUGCAAUGAUUUCAGCUACGUUUGAAAAGUCAAUAGGGUCAAAUUCAUCAAUGACAACCCAACUUUAUUUAAAUAAAUUCACAUAUUCGACGUUAAUUUUAAUAUUUAAAUAAAGUGAUCAUUUGACAUCUUACUAGUGCUACCAAAGAACGUGUGAACCAUAAUAUUAAACACAUCUGAUUUGUUUAUUGUACAAUGUAAAUGGAUAUAAAGACUUCAAGGGGCAUCGCAUAACAUAUUCAAAGUUUCCAAAUAAAUAAAGUCAUCAUGUCCUCAACUCGUCAAAAAGUUAAUACCUUUAAGGUAUCUGCCAAAGAAAGGCAUGAAAAUUGACACCCCCACUAUCUAUAUACACCAUUUGACACUUACCUUAACGAUUAAGAAUAUGUCUAAUCAUCAUUUACUAAAACUCAUAAAUAUGUUUGUGAGUUUCAAAUUUUAUUUUCAAUCAUACAUUUCAUUGAAUUCACAACUUUUUAUCCUCUUUUCUAUCAAGCCUGACCAAAGCCACUUAGGUAACAGCCCAAGGCCUUGGAUAUUCGAUGGAGAAUAAAUCUCCCUGUCCCGGGUUGGGGACAUGGAGGAAGGGUUGGGGACAGGGAGGAAGACAUGCGGCGCCCCUGUCCCUAACCCUGUCCCCAACUCGGGACAGGGAGCAGGGCUCUUCGAGGGACCUCAAAAAUAAACAAUUUGUUCUCUGGUUCUUGCAGAAAGUGGAAAUAUAUCUUGUUAUUGCACAAUGCAUAUUAGUGCAUGACAAGAAUGACGUGUAUGAUUUGCCAAAGAAAUGAAGGUACUUUCCUUGGUUUCCUCCUUCUGCUUUAUUUCCAGUCGUCAUCCAUUUACCAAUAUGAGUUGAUUUCCUUUCCUAGAAAAUAUGCUCAUGCCAAUUUCCUAAAUUUGUGGAUUUAAUUGAAACCCAAAAAAGUUUGACCAUAUUUUCUUACCUUCAUUUCAAUCCAUGAGAAUCUUUGUCAAAUCUUUAAUUUGUGGAAUCACACACAUUGAAAGAACAUUUUAGUCCAACCUAUCUUUUCCGUUCAAUCUCAUCUUUGCAUUGACAUACAUUAUGUGUUGGUUGGACAAUACUGGAGAUUAUAAAAUAAAAUAUUAGACAGCAUUAAAGAAUAAACAACUAUCACAAAUUCACGGCAUAUUUAAAAGAUGCUGCCAAAGAAAUCCAUUUUAAGGAGCUUUUAAUCACUUCCAAACAAGCUUUUAGCUCUGAACAUUUUUCAUUAGCUCGAUUUAUAGUACUAAUUAAACAAUAAAAAGACGUUAAAAUUUUUUCCAUAGUAAUCUACAUUUUUGUCCAGCACUAAGCAUGGCUCCUAAAUAUGAUAGUAAACAUGUGGGCCUUUCCUGUUUAAUAGGAAUCCUCAUCUGAGUAUGUUUCCUCAAGGAUCAAUAGACAAUAGCUAGUUUUUUUUUCACAUUUUACUCAAACUCGUGUAUUUCAUGUUGAACUGCCUCAUAUAGAAAUUCCGAGAGAUUAAGUUAUGAGAAAAAAGUUAUGUUUAAGGGCGAUGUAUUUACUAAUAUCAUACCAGAGGGCCUCAUCAUAAUUAUUUGCUAGCCUUGAGAACCUGACCCCAAUAGCCCCUUUUCUACGAACCACCUUGGUGAGCCUUUCUUCGUCAACGAAUCUAGUUCACAGAUUCGCCUCAUUUUCUCCAUCAACAAGCCUAGUUUGCAGCUUUGCCUCACCAAGUGACUCCAACGAGGUACAUCAACGAGCCUGGAAGUUGUUACUAUGUAGAUGAAUAUGUGGAUCCCUAGAUUCUGACAUUUGCUCAGCAUCUUAGCACUUUGAGGAUGACAGUAUUCAAGCAGCCCAGUUUCACACCUAACAACUUGUUAAGCAAGAGGAAACCUCUUUCAAUGUGGAUGAGGAAUUUAAUUCAGCAACAUAGGUGGUGUACUCUAAGCUGCCUGCAAGGAGCCACGAUCUGAAUUUCUAGAGAGCAUGUUGAAACCAAUACUGAUCUCGGCAAGUUUUAAUAAAUAUUUUGGGUUUCCUUCCGACUCCCAUGACCAGUCCCUCCAUUGUGGCACAAUUCUGGUGCCUGUCCCGCACCAAGAGUGCCUCAACAGCCGAAGCUGGAGGUGAGGGUGCGUUGGAGCUGCCUCGACAAUAGUUGCUAGAGGCUGGAGGUUGCGGUGUACCCAGAAGCCUCAAAAGUCAUAGUUGGAGGUUGAAUUUUGGUUUAGACAAUUUAUCUAACAUCUCAUGGACGAAGUAGCACUGAGAUUUUAUGAGAACAAACAAAGGCUGCCUCUAAUUCCGUGCUCAACAUAAUAUCCCAAUUAUGCUCGUUUUAGAAUAUCUGCGUAGUGCGUCCUACGUAGGCGAAAGACAAGGAAGAGACAGUAUUCAUAACGAUGGAGAGGUGCCCCCUGGUUCAAUGCGAGGCUUAAUUGAAUAUCUCCAGUAUUUGAGAAGAAUCUAAAAGACUUUCAUACAGCAGGAGGCGGCCCAAGGCUCUUACCACCAAUGCAGGAAGAUUUGCAGCCAUCGGAAGCGACUACCACUGCGCCUGCCUCUACGGCAUUCAUCGGAUGCUACGGGAGCCUUGGUGGCGGUGAGAGCACUGGGGCCAGAUCUUGACCAAUGGGGAUCGAGAUCGAGUGGCACAUAGGUCGCAAUGCUGCUGCGACUACGAGAUGUCGUAGCUGGACUAUUUUAACGACAAUGGCUUGAGGCUUACGCCGUGGAGAUGCAGUCCACGAACUGCUGCUUAGGCUUGAAGACUUUGAAAACGGGAAAAUGAAAGUGAAAGUUCUAUAACUUUUAAGUUUUUAUUUUUCAUUUAGGGGGUGUUUGAGAGUCAUUUGUAUGUAAAAAUGUAUUUUAGAAUAGUAAUUUGAUGGGAAAUGUAUAGUUGAAAAAUAAGGAAAAAAUUUUGAUUUACGUGUUAUAUUAUUUUAAUAAAGAAUGUGUAAUUGAAAAGAAGAGAGAAAAAAUACAUUUUAGAAAAAAAUGGGUACCAAAUGGGGGCUUAAUUUCCCUUAUUCUGGCCAAGGGCUCAAUUUGUAAAUUGAAAAGUAAAGAGCCAUUGGACACAUUAUUAAUUUAGUGGGUUAGCGACGAAAUUAUGCCAUUCUAUAUUUUAUUAAAUAGCGUAUAACAACGUAUUUUUUCAUUAUAUUUCAAAUAAAUAAAUAAAUAAGUACGAAAAAUAUAUUUCCCUAAUUUCAAAGUAGAGAAACAAAAUUUUUUGACGUAAAAUAUUAUCAAGGACGAAAUGUAUUAAUUAGGGCUUGUUUGAGCCACAUUAUUUUCAAAAAAAUACAUUAUUUAAUAGUGAUUUGACAUCAUUUCAACCAUAAAUUUUUCAAUAAAAUAAUAUUACACGUAAAUUUAAAACUUUUCAUUAUUUUUUAACCAUACAUUUUUCAUCGAUUUGACAUGAAUAAUGCAUUUUUCCUAGAAUGUGGCUCAAAUAUGGGCUUAAUUAAAAAGUCGAAUAUAAGAGUUUGACGAAAAAAAUUGCAAUAAUAAGCAAAAAUUAAGAACCUUAACUAUAAUUAAAAUGUAGUGUAGCUAAUAAAAAUUGCAAUACCAAUAUUACCGUCCUAAAAUAAAACUUGGCAUCCCUUAGUAGAGACAGAAAAAAAUGAACAAACCACUCGAAAGGGUUCUUUCAUCCUAUCCGAAACUUUAAGAUAUGUUUUUUUAUAUGCUAGCAGAAAUAUAAUACAAAAGAGGCAAAUAAUAGAAAUUUACUACUUUAAAACAUAAUUGUUCUUUCCAAGUACCUAUAUUUAAUUAUCCGCAAAGGGCCAACUGAUUCAAAGCUCCAAAUUUGCAUAUGGCUUAAAUUUGCUGAAUUUGUUCUAUCUCCUACAAUUCUAAGUCUGCUUCAUCAACAAUGUUUGUUGUUGUUGUUGUCAUAAAUAUGGUAUGAACAGGAAUCAUUGGCAGCACAAGUUGAACACUCAGCUUAAAACUCCUCCACGUGCCAGAGAUAUAAACAGUGCAUAAGAAGAGCAGCAUAAUUAUGGAGUAGGUAUACCAAAAGAUAUCUCGUGGGAAGAAUUAGGGGUGUAAGCGAUCCUAUUUUACCGAUUUUUGACAGAUUUUCAAACCAAACCGGUUUGAAAGAAACCCAAACUUAAACCAAACCAUUUUAAACGGUUUGAAAAAAACUCAAACCUAAACCUAACGGUUUGGUCUGAUUUUAAACAGCCGAUUUCGUCAUAUAUAUUUUUUCCGUCUACUUUUAUAUCAUUAAUUCAUUGAAUUAAAUAUAUAUUUAUAUCUUACUAGUAAUAAAUCUAAGACAAACUAAACCCCUGUUUGAACCAAAUUUCUGGAACAAAAAAAUGAAAAUUUGGAUCAUUAUCCCACAAGUCCAGCCUCCUUUGUUGACCUGUUAUUUCAUGUGUGGGACCCAGCCUCCUCUCCAACGAUCAAUUUUCUUGUUACGAUGAUAUGGAAAAUAUGGCUCAAACGAGACUAAAUAUAUCUACUAUAAAUUUAAAUACCAACUAGAUCAAAGAAAAAUUACAAUAAACUAAAACGUAGUUUUUUUUUUUUUGUUCAUCUUUUUUAGGCUAAUAACGAUAUAAUAAUGUUACAGUACAAGUCUAUUAAAUUAGAUAUAAGGGCCAAAAAAUAUAAUGAUGUUCAAUAAGACCUCUUGAUCAUCAUAUCUGAAUAAAGGAUACUGAUUAGACAAAGAGAAUAACCAACCACAAUAAUAAAGCAAUUGUUUAUAAUAUCUAAACAUAACAAUUACACAAGUUUACGUUUGUUUGAUGUUACGAAACGCAUUUAAUUUCAGAUUCUUACCUUAAUUUGUUCCAAAAAAAAUUAUUGAUCUGAAACUUUAUUCGUAGCAAAUAUUAUCACCGAAUGUUUAGGAUCUCUUUGUCUCGGAUUUGGUAUAAUAGAUUACUAUUCAACUUUGAAGAGGCGUGAAAAAUCUAAAAAAGAAGUGUGUGGUGCCGAUGGCUCAAGACUGUGUUGGAUGUCGGCUGGGAGUUCAUUUAAAUUUUGAAGAGGAAAAUGACUUUUGAUAAAUUAUGUUAGUCUUGAGAUUAUUAUAUAUAUAUAUAUUAGGAUUAUUGGAUGAUAAUAAUAAUAAUAUAUCUGUAUUAGAAAAUUAGAAAUUGACUAAAAUACCCACAAAUGACAAAACUAUUAAAUUUUACAUAUUUGGAUGAAUUUCCAAAAAAAUUCAUUUCUUCAUUUUUUUUAUUUUUAUAUAUUUUUUCGCCGGUCCGAUUUGGUUUUAAACCGCAAUUAAAAUUCUCAAACCUAAACCAAACCAUUUUGACCGGUUUGGUUUGGGUCAAAACCAUUUCGUUGAUCGGGUUCACGUGGCACCAAACCGACGGUUUAUAAAAUGCGAUUUCGAUUCAAUUUUUCGAUUUGUCGAUUUUUGCUUACAGCCUAAGAAGAAUAGUGAGGCCAAGAAACAAACCAAUAGGGAAAGAGUAAUUCUUGACUUGAAUGCGUAUGUAUCCCCUAUCAACUUGAGGUGUCAAUGAGAUUUCAUGGAAACAUCCACUAGUGUGAAAAUGAAAACAGUUUCAGAAAAAAAUGGAUGUUUCCAUGAAACUUCCAAUUUUCUUAUAUAUAGGGAUAUAUCAUGCUGCUCAAUGCAAGCAUCAUUAAUGAAAACAGUUUCAGAAAAAAAUGGAUGUUUCCAUGAAACUUCCAAUUUUCUUAUAUAUAGGGAUAUAUCAUGCUGCUCAAAGCAAGUAUCAUCUUCAUAUUCAAUUCAUCACUUCUCCUUAAUUUCUCUCUCUAACCAAAAUCCAAGCAUUCUGCAAUCUAUCCAACCAAAAACCAAGAAUUCUUCAAUUCAUCACUUCUCCUUAAUUUCUCUCUCUAACCAAAACCCCAAGAAUUCUGGAAUUCAUCACUCUCUCAAACCAAAAACCAAGAAUUCUGCAAUUCAUUACCUCUCCUUAAUUUCUCUUUCUUAACAAUCUUUCAGGUAAGAAUAAUGUCAUACUUUGAUCUAAGACACGCUACCCCAUUAGUUGUAAACAUACUGAAAUCAUCUAUAGCCAUGCCUUGGGAAUGGGAUCCAUUUGGUAUAGUAAUUGAAAACUUCACAUGGGUCAAGUUUUGGCUUCUCACUAGCUUUUUUCUUUCUCUUCUCCUUCAUCUCCAUUGAAAUCCCAUUGGCAUCUCAAGUUGAUAUGGGAUGCAUACGCAUUCAAGUCAAGAACUACUCAGUUUCCCUAUUGGUUUGUUUCUUGGCCUCACUAUUCUUCCCACAAGAUGUCUUUUGGUAUAUCUACCCCAUAAUUAUGCUGCUCUCUUUAUGCACUACUUGUAUCUCUAGAAUAUGGAGGAGUUUUAAGCAAAAUGUUCAACUUCUGCUGCCAACAAUUCCUGUUCUUAACAUAUAUAUGACCACAACAAUAAAUAUUGAUGAGGAACCCGACUUAGAAUCGCAUGAGAUUGAACAAAUUCAGCAAGUUUAGGCCAAAUGCAAAUUUGAAGCUUUGAAUCAGUAAUUAACUAUAGUUAUAUGGAAAGAACUAUAAUGUUUUGAAGUUGUAAAUUUUUGUUAUUUGCCUCUUUUGUAUUACAUUUCUGUUAGCCUAUAGCGAAUAUAAUUAGAGCAAAAAAACGUGUUUUAGAUUUUCAGAUUUUUUUUAAUUAUUUUUUUGCCUCUAUCAAGGGAUGUCAAUUUAUAUUGGUACUAUAAUUUUGAUUAGUUGCACUACAUUUUAAUUGUAGUUCUCGUUAUAGCAAUCAUUUUCUUAAUUUUUUUCAUCAAAUUUUUAUCUUCAACUUUUCAUUAAUUAAUACAUUUUGUCAUUAAUGAUGAUUUACUUCAAAUAUUUUGUUCUAUGCUUUGAGAUGACGAAAAAUAUUUUUAGUACUUAUAUAUUUAUUUAAAAUAUGAUAAAAAAAAAAAGUCAUCGUACGCUAUUUAUUAUAAUAUAGAAUGACAUAUAUACCGGUUUGGAUCAAUAACGUUCACUUCAAUUUUCUACUUUUCAAAGUCUUCUAGCAUGAGCUGGAGAUUUUGCAGUCGACUGCAUCAAGCCUCAGGCCAUAGUCGUUAAAACAGUUCAAUUACGACAGGGCUACAUGCCACUCCAUAAAGAUCUGAACACUGGGCCAAGAUCUGGCACCGGUGCUCCCACCGCCACCGAGGCUCUUGUAGCAGCGGCGUUGCGACCUACACGACACACAAUCUUGAUCCCCCUUGGUCUCGGCGGACCAAGUACGACUCUUCGUGUUAGACUGAACACUGGGCCAAGAUCUAGCACUGGUGCUCCCACCGCCACCGAGGCUCCCGGAGCAGCUGCGUUGGACCUACAUGCCACUCGAUCUCGAUCCUCAUUGGUCUCGACUGACCAACCUGGGCCAAGAUCUGGCGCGGUGCUCCCACCGCCACCGAGGCUCCCGUAGCAGCGACGUUGCGGCCUACAUGCCACUCGAUCUUUAUCCCCCCUGGUCUCGGCAGACCAUGAAAUAAAUUGUAAAUUGGAGUAAUUUAUUGAAGUCAUAUAUUGUCCUUGAGAUGAUUGCUCUUUUUUGGUUGGCUUCAAUUUCUACAGGUUUCCAAUAUUUUUCCCAUUGAGAACGCCAGUUUGUGUGACACCAAAUACUCAUUUGGAGGUCCAUUUUUGGUGUUGUUGUGGUUCUACAAGGUAACUCGCUUAACUGGUGGGUUAGCAUAUUUUGUACGGGAAAAGCUAGGAAACCCAUAUUUGUGGGGUUUCUGUCACCGCCUCCCUGUUUUCCCCAGCUUUUCCAUUCUGUAUAGCAUCUAUUGAUCCUUGAUUGUGUACUGAAAAUGUUAAAAAGUGAUUGAAAAGUGACAAAAAGUUCAAAUUAAAUUUGCCCCUGUUUGAUCCCCAUUUUUAUCCAUAAUGCAUUUUUUCCAUCACAUCAACGUGGGACCAACACGCCAUUUUUUAUUGCAAAUUUGAAUUCAAAAGGCAUAAAAUUUCAACUUUACCCUUUGUAUCAAAACAAUUCAAAAAGUUACCAAAAAUCUGUUGAAAAGUCAAAGGACAGGUAAUGGAAAAGAAAAAGCCAUUUUCUCUGUGCAAGUUACAUAGGCUAUCAGAACAAUAAUUGGCAACGGUCCCAAAAUUAAUUUUUGACCGAAAUUAAUGGCCCCCAAACAGCCCCAGAGACCAAUAAUAAAAUAGAGUUGGUGCUAUUAACUGGUCAGAUAAUCAUCUCCACUUUGGAAUCCUAAAAUAUUAUCUGUUGCAAUGUAUUUGUGAUGUUUAAUUUAAAUAAUAUGAUAAUUAUCUAAAUAAAUUUUUAUGUUGGAUAGCCUCAAGUAAUGGAUAUACUGACAAUUUGUAUACUUGCUGCGGAAAAUGAUUAUUAUUAUUCUCUCACAAGUUUGAUACGAAAGGUGAGUAAUGUCUUCUAUGCACAACUCCAUUGGUCACUCACACUGGGUCGGGGUUAAGGGUUUUCUUGGCAAUGCUGUGGCAAAAGGAUCCAUUGCCAGAUGCGAGCUAGAGCAGAUGACCCAAAAUCUGUUGUAUACUGGUUAAAUUAAGAGUAUAAUUUUGAAUGCAGUUCUGGACAACCACUGAAUAAAGUGAGUAUGCAACUUCCCAUUUACCGGCUUCAUUGUUCAAACUAUAAAGCUUUACUGUCUUUUUUUCUGUUCCAAUUUUCGCUGUUCGUCCAAUUUGUGGAUAGUCUUUUUACUCAUUAUCAUGUUUGCCCUCUCACCAAUGCUGCCCUACUGCAUCACGGUGUAAUGCACUAUCCUUCGUUUCAAACCAUCCUUUUAACUCUACUCGUUGGGAAGAAAUUGAAUAUUGUUGAAGAUUACUUUUGUUUAUUUAUAGUCAAUGUGGCAAUCUCUCUCCGGGAGCCUGGAGGCUCCAUUUUUGUCACGAAGUUUGGAUAUGUUAUAUUAUAAAAUUAGAGAGUAAUUGAGUUUAUAUUAAAUCUUCUCAUAUAUAUAUAUAUAUAUAUAUAUAUAUAUGAGUUCUAUACAAGAUAUCAGACCUAUGAAUCUAUUUUAUUUGUGAUUAUUCACAGAUGGCAGAAGUAUUAGACAUUGGUUACUUGUCGAUAUAUAAAUACAUACCUUAAUAAAUAAGACGGUGCAACGUAAAAGUCGGGACUCAAUUCCUUUCUUUUAUUUCCUCUAAAAAUGUUCCUCUGUGGCACAUCACUACCAAAUCCAUUACAGAAGUGGACUUGCAAGUAUGCCUCCGUUAGCACAUUACUCAUCAAAAUCCGAGUAACAAUCUACUCCAUCAGAGUCAAAAUUAUGGGUCUCAUUCCCAAUCCUCGACUUCAACACAAAGCAUAGAAUAAAGAUAUACUAGGGCUCCCUUUGAGAGGAAUUUUGAGAAUUGAUUUUUUGACCGUUAGAAGAAAAAUGAGGUCCACCUGUGAAAAAAAAAAGUCAAAAAUUACGGUUCGAAUAGUGAAAUAACAAUCAAAAAAUCAAUUUUUUGGAGUAAAAAAUCCUUCCUAAACAGGCUCUAGAUGCCGUUAUAAUGGAAUUUAAUAUAAUAUACCAUUGCAAUGGUAGUUGGGAAACUACAUCACCUUAUCAAAAAAAAAUGAAACAGCAUGUGACCAUUACAAAUUUAAAGGAAACAACGGGUGACUAUUAAAUCACCUUAAAAACAAACUGAAGUUUAAAAGUACCUAAUAACAAAUCUACUAAUUUGAUAAUUCGAAAGAAUAACGAAUCUACGAAUUUCAUAAUUCUAAAGGAAAAAGAGAGAGAGAUACAAAAAAAGAAUAGAUAGAGUCAAGACUCAAGUUUGUAAGUUUGUUGCAGUAAUGGAUACAUAUUUAUAUAGUUUAAAAGGAGAGUUACAAUCUAAAUAAAAUAGACCCUUACAGAGUAAAUAAGAUUUAUCUAAGUAUCUUGAUAAGACUAAAUAGGCAUCAAUAAUUAUCUCAUAGUUUUACAAUAUUCUCUUCACUAAAAACCUAGUUUGACAAAAACUCAGUCGGGUCAAAACUACCAACACAAACAAAAAAAGUGUACAAAAAAUUACAACAAAAUUUGUAGUAAUAAAAUAUUGCCUCAUUAAUACCAUGUCAUGAAAAUCCAAUGAGACAAAACUUGAUUGAAAAAAAAAAAAGAAAAAAAGAGAAAAAAAAAGAGAGAGUAUAUCUACUCCUUUGAUUUCAAUAAAUAAAAAUUCUUGUAUUGAGUCAUCUAUGUCUUGUACGUCAUUAUUUUAAAUAUUUCAAUUCUGGUAAAAUAUGUUUCGUUUUGUCUUGUUAUAGCAUAAAAGUAAUAUUGUCUUCAUAGAAGAUUUUUAUAAAUCUUUGUUUGAUUUUAGACAACAUGAUGGCUUUUGAAAUGGCAAUAAUAAGCAAAAAUUAGACCUUAAUUUUUAUCAAUCUUAGAAACACGAGUCUUGAUUUUUAGACCUUCUUAAUUUGAAAUGGCUUUUAAGAACCGAACCAAGUAUGUUGCAUAAUACAAGGAUGACUUCUGGCUAAGGAUGGAAGGCCAACCAAAAUUAGAUACUUUGACUAAAAAAUUGCAAUAAUAAGCAAAAAUUAAGAACCUUAACUACAAUUAAAAUGUAGUGUAACCAAUAAAAAUUGUAAUACCAAUAUAACCGUCCUAAAAUAAAGCUUGGCAUCCCUUAGUAGAGACAAAAAAUAAAAAUAAAACCACCCGAAAGGGUUCUUUCAUCCUAUCUAAAACUUUAAGACAUGUUUUUUUAGCUCGAAUUACAUGGGCUAUAUGCUAAUACGAAAGAGGCAAAUAAUAGAAAUUUACUACUUUAGAACAUAAUUGUUCUUUCCAAAUACCUAUCUUUAAUUACCGGCAAAGGGCCAACUGAUUCAAAACUCCAGAUUUGCAUUUGGCCUAAAUUUGCUGAAUUUGUUCUAUCUCCUGCAAUUCUAAGUUUGGUUAAUCAUCAAUGUUUGUUGUUGUUGACAUAAAUAUGGUAAGAACAGGAAUUGUUGGUAGCAGAAGCUGAACACUCAGUUUAAAACUCCUCUACAUGCUAGAGAUACAAGCAAUGCAUAAGGAGAGCAACAUAAUUAUGGGGUAGAAAUACCAAAAGAUAUCUUGUACCAGUGAGGCCAAGAAACAAACCAAUAGGGAAACUGAGUAAUUCUUGACUUGAGUGCGUAUGUAACUCAUAUCAACUUGAGGUGUCAAUGAGAUUUCAAUGGAGAUGAAGGAGAAGAAAAAGAAAAAGCUAGUGAGAUGCCAAAACUUGAUCCAAGUGAAAUUUCACAGCACUCUCCCUUUCAGAAUGAAAGGGAAAAGGGACAAUAACAUUUUCUUAUGAAAAGGGAAAAAGGAGAAACAACAUUCUCCCUUUUCGUAUGAAAAGGGAAAAGGGAGAGUAACAUCUAAAGGUAGAAUCAUAGCACUCUCCCUCGCAGGGAUUCUCCUUUUUCAUAUGGUGCCUAGUGGCACCCCUGUUUCAACUGGGCAACCUCAGUCCGAUCCAAAUAAUAUAGCCCCCCCCCCUUUUUAGUUAUCCAAUUUGUGCUUCAAUACCGUAUCUGGCUUGACUUUAAUUAAGACUCAUGUUUCUAAGAUUUUCUCGAUCAAUCAUUCGCUAAGAAAGUUAAUUGGCGGACCAAAAUAAACUUAUAUUCUCAUCAUUCUUUAAUAUCUAUGUUUAAAACAAUAUUUUAUGGGAAUAUUAUAUUAAUACCUUUGAACAAUAUUUUAUUUUUUCUAAAAAAUCGCAAAUUUUUAUUUUGAAUAUUAUAUUAUUGAUCUCGAAAUAUCGUAAUGUUAUACAGUAAUAUUCUUUAACAAUAUUCUGUAGUUAUUCUUGGAUAAUUAUGAAUUUAUACACUUCAAUGUAAAAUAUUGUAUUGAUCUUGAAUUUUAACUAUACUGCAUUUAAAGAAGCAAAAAUUUAUUUAUAUUAAUAUUAAAGAAGAAUAUUGCUUUGAUACUCUAGAAGAGUCAAUAUUGCAUUAUGUGGGAGAAUAAACUUCCUGGAAAUAUGCUCAAUAUCAUUUGAUUGAAUAGUUGACCCACUCCUUGUUGUUUGAAGAAACCCUCCACUUCAAUACUAUUGAUAAUAACUUAGUACUAAAUUAGUAAGAAACCUACCAAGUUUCUAAAAUAUUUGUCAUGAUUGAUACUAUAUCGACAUUGGUAUAUUUGAAAUAAACAUUGCAUUGAACAAGAAGUUCAAUUAUUGAAUAUAUUAUUGCUUGACAUUAUUAUUUGGUUCAUCACUUGAUCAAUAAUAAUGCAAAAUUAAGAAUUCAAAUGAAUAUUCAGAAGAACUAUAAAUUCUUCAAUCUAAUGAAUUCCUAAAUAAUACUUUUUCCAUGUGUUACGAAUUGGUCUUGAUCAUCACUAGAUAAAGUUAGAACUAAAUAUCAAUAAUCUUGAAAUUAAAUAGGGCAUGUUGACCAUCUAGUUAUAAUUGUGUGUGAUAAAUAUAUUUACUAGAUGAUUGCAUUGUGUUUGCACCUGAACUUUGCAAAUUCUUUUAUUAAAUUUUAAAUUAUUAGCUUAAAUUUUAUAUUAUACCAUCAAGACAAUGUAUCAUGUCAAUGUUAGUAAAUCUACAUCCAAAUUAAUAUUUUGAUAAAUGUUGAUUGGGAUGACAAUAAAUUGUUUAACACAAUUGAUUGUUAAAUACCUCCAAUUAAUUUCUUAACUAUUAUUGUUAAAAACAAAGUACUUUCCAUUUAUGUUUAGAUAAUGACACAUUAUGCACCAAGCCAAUGUCAAAGUUAGAGCCUAACUUUUCAUUUAUGGUUAGAACCUAAUAUUUUUCAUCUAAUGAUUUUCUAAUGUGCAAUAUAUAUACCAUAGUGCAAUGGGAUAGUUAUUAAAGAAUGAUGAGAAUUUAAUUUUAUUUUGAACCCUUACAAAAUAUUCUAAACUCUCAAGGUUGAUAUUUUAUAACACAGUUUGCUCACGUCAAUUUAAUUAAAUAAUUCUCUCAAUAUUAAGGGAAGAAAUUGGUAGCUGAAAAUAUUACACAAUGCAUCAUAUUAUGCUGUCUAUAUCCUUGCACUUGAUAAUCUGAAAAAAUAAUUCAAUUGCAAAAUACAUUUCUGGCAUAUAAGAAAUUACUAAAAUCUCAUAUACCAACUAUAGACAUUCAAUGCCGUAUUGUUAUCUUAGAAAGACUAAACUAUUGCAACGCAUAAAUAAUAUGUUGAAACUUUGUGACAUUUGAUUCUUAAAAAAACAAAAAAGAAAAGAGAAAAAAGAAAAAAAGAAAAAAAAAACAAGAAGAAGAAAAGAGGUUUAUCCUAAUUAGGAAGCGUAUAUUCUUGGACGUCUCUCAUUAAAUUAUGUCAUUAUGAAAAAGAAAUAGAAUUGAAAAGAAAAGAAAAAGUUGUCGACAAUACUUUUGUACAUAAUAUACCACUUCAUAUUAUGAAUAGCAAAUAUAUCGAAAUAAAUUUGUUGAGCAUAUUGAUUGAAGAAAUGAUUAGCAAAAUUAAGAAUGCAAUCUUAUUAAAACUGAACUUAUUAGGGAAACCAAAAGCAUUUGGACCUAAAGUUCGAGGACCUAAAUGUAUAUACCCAUGCAAAAAGUAAAUAAGAAAAAUGAAGCGUAAUAUGUAAUGCACGACUUUUCAACAUAAUAAAUUUCGCCAUAGUGAAUGCAAUCACAAGUCAAUAUAUUGUUAUCAUCACGAUGCAUGAAAUUUGAAAUGUGAUUGGCAUCACUAUUAAUGUUAUCCUUGAAGAAUUUAAUAUGACUGAAACAUAUAAUUCAAGUAAUAUUAUUUUGAGGAGGAAUAAAUGUGUUGUACUUUUUUUUUUUUUUUUAAAUCAAGAUUUCGUCUCAUUGAAUUUCAUGAUGAGAUUUCUAAUGAGACAACUUUUUUAGUAUACUUUAAAGAAAAAUGUACUAUUUUUCCUUUAUUGGGAUUUUUUGCACAUGAUUUUUCUAGUAUGGUUUUAACGUGGCAUAUUCUUUGUGUAAUAGAUGUCUAAAACCCACUAGACAUUUACUCUCAAAAUAAUAUUCUUAUAUGUUACAAAUUGCCGAUGACUCUAGAAGAGAGCAAUAACACAAUCUAAUUUUCAUUGGAUCAUCAUGUUGUCUAAAAUCAAACAAAGAUUGAUAAAAAUCUUCUAUGAAAACAAUAUUACUUGUAUGCUUUAACAAGACAAAAUGAAACAUAUUUUACCAGAAUUGAAAUAUUUAAAACAGUGACGUACAAGACAUAGACGGUCGAUACAAGAAUUUUUAUUUAUUUAAAUCAAAGGAGUAGAUGUACACUUUUCUUUGUCAAUCAAGUUUUGUCCCAUUGGAUUUUCAUGACACAAUAUUAAUGAGGAAGUAUUUAUUAAUACAUAGUUUGUUAUAAUUAUUUGUACACUUCUUUCGUUUGUGUUCGUAGUUUUGUCCCACUGAGUUUUUGUCAAAUUAGGUUUUUAAUGAGGAGAAUAUUGUAUACAACUAUGAGAUAAUUAUUGAUGCCGAUUUAGUCUUAUCAAGAUACUUAGAUAAAUCUUAUUUACUUUGUAAGGGUCUAUUUUAUUCAGAUUGUAAUGCUUCUUUUAAACCUUAUAAAUAUGUGUCCAUUAUUGCAACAAACUUACAAACUUAGUCUUGACCCUAUCUAUUCAUUUUUUGUAUCUCUCUCUUUUUCCUUUAGAAUUAUGAAAUUAGUAGAUUUGUUAUCCUUUCAAAUUAUCAAACUAGUAGAUUUGUUAUUAGGUACUUUUAAACUUCAGUUUGUUUUUAAGGUGAUUUAAUAGUAACAUACUGCUUCUUUCUUUAUAAGGUGAUGUAGUUUCCCAACUACCAUUGCAAUGGUAUAUUAUAUUAAAUUCCAUUAUAACGGCAUCUAGUAUAUCUUUAUACUAUGCUUUGUGUUGAAGUCGAGAAUUGGGAAUGAGACCCAUAAUUCUCUCUGUUGGCGUAUUGUCACACGGAUUUUGAUGAGUAAUGUGCUAACGAAGGCAUACUUGCAAGUCCACUCCUGUAACGGAUUUGGUGGUGAUGUGCCAAAAGAGGUACAUUUUCAGAGGAUGUAAAAGAAAGGAAUUUGAGUCUUUCGUGUUGCACCGUCUUAUUUAGCUUCCAUUUCAGCCCCUUCUCAUUUUCUGCCAAUUGCUGAAGUCGUGUGUGCUACCUUGACCGUUGGAAAUACAUUUACAAUUUCACCCUUCUUCUCAACUUGCCGAUUCCUAAUUCAAAACUAUUAUAAGGGCAGUAUUGUAAUUGGUGUUGGCUAUGAUAGUAUUAUUUUAUUGUAAAUUCCACAUCCAAAUGACAAACUGGACGGUUCAAUGAAGUAAUAGACACGUUGAUCUAUCAAUAUCCAAUUGGACGAACGGUGUAAACUAGGAACAGAGAAAAAGACAGUAUAGCUUUAUAGUUUGAACAAUUGAGCUGGUAAAUGGGAAGUUGCAUACUCACUUUAUUCAGUGGUUGUCCAGAACUGCAUUCAAAAUUAUACUCUUAAUUUAACUAGUAUACAACAGAUUUUGGGUCAUCUGCUCCAGCUUGCAUCUGGCAAUGGAUCUUUUUGCCACAGCAUUGCCAAGAAAACCCUUGAGCCCGACCCAAUGUGAGUGAUCAUUGGAGUUGUGCAGAGAAGACGUCGCUCGCCUUUCGUAUCAAACCUGUGAUAAUUAAAUCAUAUGAAAUAAUAUCGGGUGCGACAUAGAGAGUUAAGUAAUUCCCAACCUAUAUUCUCUGUUUCUUGACCAGUAUUUUUCAGCGUAUCCUAGGACCAAAAGGACAUUCCAAAAUUAGAUGGAUCAAAACCACCAACCAAAAAACAAAUCUUGAUUCACUUUGUGCCCAUAGAGAUUAAUGAUAAUCUUCAGCAGCAAGUAUACAAAUUGCCAGUGUAUCCAUUACUUCAACGGAAAUUCUUCCUAAAAGAAGAGGAAGCUCGAUUGUCACAUACCACUAACAACUCACCAUCUUUAUUUAGACUUUCAAUGCCAGGGCAGAGCAUGAAGCAAAAUGGUAAUAACCAUAUACAUAAUGAAGGAAUGAUCCAUGUAAGAAGCCUAUGUACUUAAUAUGCUUCAAGUGUCAGGGUAAAGUAAAAAUAAAAAACUACUAGCGUCUACACCUCAGAAAAGUGUCAUCCUAGUACAACUAACAAUUGAAUAUUCACCAUCCCGAAAGACGUUGAACCGACCAUGCUAAUGAAUUUGCCACUCGCUUAAAUGUCCAUUUACCAGUAUAAUAUAAACAACACUGAAAGUUUAAAUGAGGUACAGGAAUUACCCUGAUGAGCCUGUAUUUUGGCUCGUAUUUCUUUGCACUCUCAACAGAAUCAUAGAUCAAGCCAAAACCAGUGGAAUUGCCUCCACCAAAGUGCGUCCUGAACUUAAAAACAAAUAUGGCAUUUGGAUCUUUCACUUCAUACAUCCUUGCCAAUUUCUNNNNNNNNNNNNNNNNNNNNNNNNNNNNNNNNNNNNNNNNNNNNNNNNNNNNNNNNNNNNNNNNNNNNNNNNNNNNNNNNNNNNNNNNNNNNNNNNNNNNNNNNNNNNNNNNNNNNNNNNNNNNNNNNNNNNNNNNNNNNNNNNNNNNNNNNNNNNNNNNNNNNNNNNNNNNNNNNNNNNNNNNNNNNNNNNNNNNNNNNNNNNNNNNNNNNNNNNNNNNNNNNNNNNNNNNNNNNNNNNNNNNNNNNNNNNNNNNNNNNNNNNNNNNNNNNNNNNNNNNNNNNNNNNNNNNNNNNNNNNNNNNNNNNNNNNNNNNNNNNNNNNNNNNNNNNNNNNNNNNNNNNNNNNNNNNNNNNNNNNNNNNNNNNNNNNNNNNNNNNNNNNNNNNNNNNNNNNNNNNNNNNNNNNNNNNNNNNNNNNNNNNNNNNNNNNNNNNNNNNNNNNNNNNNNNNNNNNNNNNNNNNNNNNNNNNNNNNNNNNNNNNNNNNNNNNNNNNNNNNNNNNNNNNNNNNNNNNNNNNNNNNNNNNNNNNNNNNNNNNNNNNNNNNNNNNNNNNNNNNNNNNNNNNNNNNNNNNNNNNNNNNNNNNNNNNNNNNNNNNNNNNNNNNNNNNNNNNNNNNNNNNNNNNNNNNNNNNNNNNNNNNNNNNNNNNNNNNNNNNNNNNNNNNNNNNNNNNNNNNNNNNNNNNNNNNNNNNNNNNNNNNNNNNNNNNNNNNNNNNNNNNNNNNNNNNNNNNNNNNNNNNNNNNNNNNNNNNNNNNNNNNNNNNNNNNNNNNNNNNNNNNNNNNNNNNNNNNNNNNNNNNNNNNNNNNNNNNNNNNNNNNNNNNNNNNNNNNNNNNNNNNNNNNNNNNNNNNNNNNNNNNNNNNNNNNNNNNNNNNNNNNNNNNNNNNNNNNNNNNNNNNNNNNNNNNNNNNNNNNNNNNNNNNNNNNNNNNNNNNNNNNNNNNNNNNNNNNNNNNNNNNNNNNNNNNNNNNNNNNNNNNNNNNNNNNNNNNNNNNNNNNNNNNNNNNNNNNNNNNNNNNNNNNNNNNNNNNNNNNNNNNNNNNNNNNNNNNNNNNNNNNNNNNNNNNNNNNNNNNNNNNNNNNNNNNNNNNNNNNNNNNNNNNNNNNNNNNNNNNNNNNNNNNNNNNNNNNNNNNNNNNNNNNNNNNNNNNNNNNNNNNNNNNNNNNNNNNNNNNNNNNNNNNNNNNNNNNNNNNNNNNNNNNNNNNNNNNNNNNNNNNNNNNNNNNNNNNNNNNNNNNNNNNNNNNNNNNNNNNNNNNNNNNNNNNNNNNNNNNNNNNNNNNNNNNNNNNNNNNNNNNNNNNNNNNNNNNNNNNNNNNNNNNNNNNNNNNNNNNNNNNNNNNNNNNNNNNNNNNNNNNNNNNNNNNNNNNNNNNNNNNNNNNNNNNNNNNNNNNNNNNNNNNNNNNNNNNNNNNNNNNNNNNNNNNNNNNNNNNNNNNNNNNNNNNNNNNNNNNNNNNNNNNNNNNNNNNNNNNNNNNNNNNNNNNNNNNNNNNNNNNNNNNNNNNNNNNNNNNNNNNNNNNNNNNNNNNNNNNNNNNNNNNNNNNNNNNNNNNNNNNNNNNNNNNNNNNNNNNNNNNNNNNNNNNNNNNNNNNNNNNNNNNNNNNNNNNNNNNNNNNNNNNNNNNNNNNNNNNNNNNNNNNNNNNNNNNNNNNNNNNNNNNNNNNNNNNNNNNNNNNNNNNNNNNNNNNNNNNNNNNNNNNNNNNNNNNNNNNNNNNNNNNNNNNNNNNNNNNNNNNNNNNNNNNNNNNNNNNNNNNNNNNNNNNNNNNNNNNNNNNNNNNNNNNNNNNNNNNNNNNNNNNNNNNNNNNNNNNNNNNNNNNNNNNNNNNNNNNNNNNNNNNNNNNNNNNNNNNNNNNNNNAUAUUGAUACAAGAUAUCACUUCAUAAGAGAAAGUAUUGCAAAGAAAGAAGUGCAGCUGAAAUAUGUAACCUCCCAGGAGCAGAUCGCUGACAUUCUCACUAAGCCACUCAAGCAUGAUGUGUUCCGCAAGUUAAGAACUCUACUUGGAGUGUCAAAAUCAAGUUUAAGGGGGGAUGUUGAGUAGUAAACUUGAUUUUUGGACUAAAUAAUAUGGGCUUAAGGAUUUUGCUUAUAGGCCCAAAUCAAUUAAAAGACCCAACAUGCAUAGCAUUUCUAGAAGCAUUAUCUAGAAAAAUCUAUAUAAAUAUCUACUAGAAAUAUCUAUAUAAAUAUCUAAGUAAGAUAUGUAGUUUUAUAAAGAAUAUCUAGAGAAUUCUAGGAAAAUAUCUUGAUAUGUGGUCUAGGUGUCUCUAGAAAAUAUGUGGACUAGAAUCUUCUUGUAAACACUAUAUAAAGGGGUAGUGCCCUCCAUUUUGUAACAAGCCAAAAAGUGUGUAAAGUCUUGAAUUUGAGAAAUACAAGUUUCCUCUUUUUUCACUUCCUUCUUCCUAUUAGUGUUGUCCUCUUAAAAGCCUUAGUCAAUCCAAGUUAGUAAACCCAUCUUUCCUCCAACAAGUUUUACUUCUAUAACCCACUGAUUUUACAGUUAACCUUUUCGGAAUCAGACAUGGACCCAGACGAGUACAAAAUAUAAGGACUUCUCGAUUCUCUGACAUAUAUACUUCAUUCCAUAUCUUACGUAAAACAACGAAGGUAGGAAAUAAAAAAAAAAGAAAAAAAGGGAAAUGAUGCAGAAAAAGCAUAAAACUAGCACUUAAAGGAAUAAUGCGAAUAAGUUGAAUUUUCCAUACAAAAUAGGCUAACCCACCAGUUAAGCGAGUUGCCUUGUAAAACCACAACAACGCCAAAAAUGGACCUCCAAAUGAGUACAUGGAGUCACACAAACUAGCGUCCUCAAUGGGAAAAAUAUUGGAAACCUGUAGAAAUUGAAGCCAACCAAAAGAAAGCAAUCAUCUCAAGGACAAUAUAUGACUUCAAUACAUCACUCCAAUGUACAAUUUCUUUCAUGGUCUGUAGAGAUCAAGGGAGAUCGAGAUUGAGUGGCAUGUAGGUCGCAUCGCCGCUGCUACAGGACCCUCAGUGGCAGUGGGAGCACCGGGGCCAAAUCUUGGCCCAGGUUGGUACGCCAAGACCAAGGGGCACCGAGGCCAGAUCUUGGCCCAGGUGGGUCCUCCGAGACCAAUGGGGGUCGGGAUCGAGUGGCGCGUAGGUCGCAACACCGCUGCUACCGAGGCCUUGGUGGUGGUGGGAGUACCGAGGCCAGAUUUUGGCCCAGUGUUCAGUCUAAAAUCGAGAUCAGGGGAGAUCGAGAUGGAGUGGCAUGUAGCUCCAUCAUAGCUGGAAUGUUUUAACGACUAUGGCUUGAGGCUUGAUGCAGUCGACUGCACGAUUUCUAGCUCAGGCUGGAAGAUUUUGAAAAGGAGAAAAUGGAAUUGAACGUUAUCGAAUCCAAACCGGUAUAUAUUUCAUUCUGUAUUUUAAUAAAUAGCGUACAACGAGAUAUUUUUUUUAUCAUAUUUUAAAUAAUAAAUAAUUAAUUACGAAAAGUAUUCUCUCCUCGUCUCAAAGCAUAGAACAAAAUAUUUGAAGUAAAUCAUCAUUAAUGAAGAGAUGUACUAAUUAAUGAAAAAUUGAAGAUAAGAAUUUAACUCCAAAAAAAUAAAAAAAAAUGAUUGCUAUAACGUGAAGUACAAUUAAAAUGUCAUGUAACGAAUAAAAAUUGGAGUACCAAUAUAAAUUGACAUCCUUUGAUAGAGACAAAAAAUAAAAAAUCUGAAACAUGUUUUUUUUGCUCGGAUUAUAUUAUAUUGGCUAUAUGCUAACAGAAAUGUAAUACAAAAGAGGUAAAUAACAGAAACUACUUCAAAACAUUAUUGUUCAUUUAAUUAUUGAUUCAAAGCUCCAAAUUUGCAUUUAGCCUAAACUUUCCGAAUUUGCUCCAUCUCUUGCGAUUCUAAGUCUGGUUCCUUGUCAAUAUUUAUUGUUGUAGUCAUAUAUAUGUUAAGAACAUGAAUUGUUGGCAGCAGAAGUUGAACACUCUGCUUAAAACUUCUUCACGUACUAGAGAUACAAGCAGUGCAUAAAGAGAGCAGCAUAAUUAUGGGGUAGAUAUACCAAAAGACAUCUUGAGGGAAGAAUAACGAGGCCAAGAAACAAACCAAUAGGGUAACUGAGUAAUUCUUGACUUGAAUGCGUAUGUAUCCCAUAUCAACUUGAGGUGUCAAUUGGAUUUCAAUGGAGAUGAAGGAGAAGAGAAAGAAAAAGCUAGCAAAACUUGAUCCAAGUGAAGUUCUCAAUUACUAUACCAAAUGGAUUCCAUUCCCAAGGCAUGGCUGUAUAUGGUUUCAAUAUGUUUACAACGAAUAGGAGUAAUUGGAAACUUCAGUUGGAUCCAUUUGGUAUAGUAAUUGGAAACUUUAGUUGGAUCAAGUUUUGGCUUCUCGCUAGCUUCUUCUUUCUCUCCUCCUUCAUUUCCAUUGACACCUCAAGUUGAUAUGGGAUACAUACGCAUUCAAGUCGAGAAUUACUCAGUUUCCCAAUUGGUUUGUUUCUUGGCCUCAGUAUUCUUCCCACAAGAUGUCUUUUGGUAUAUCUACCCAUAAUUAAGCUGCUCUCCUUAUGCACUGCUUGUAUCUCUAGCACGUGGAGGAGUUUUAAGUAGAGUGUUCAACUUCUACUGCCAACAAUUCUUAUACUUAACAUAUAUAUGACUACAACAAUAAAUAUUGACGAGGAACCAGACUUAGAAUCGCAGGAGAUAAAGCAAAUUGAGCAAGUUUAGGCCAAAUGCAAAUCUGGAGCUUUGAAUCAGUAAUUAAAUGAACAAUAAUGUUUUGAAGUAGUUUCUGUUAUUUGCCUCUUUUGUAUUACAUUUCUGUUAGCAUAUAGCCAAUGUAAUUCGAUCAAAAAAAAUGUGUUGCAGAUUUUUAGAUUUUUUAUUUUUAUUUUUUUGUCUCUACAAGAGAGAAACUUGGGUGGGGCGGUCGCACCAUCCACGUGGUACGAUUGCCCAACCCCGAGGCGCCAGCUCUGUAGAUGGCCCACAUACCCCCGGCCACCGCACCGCCACGUGGUGCAACCGCCCUACCUAAAUUUUUUUCCUCUAUCAAAGGAUGUCAAUUUAGAUUGGUACUACAAAUUUUAUUCGUUUCACUACAUUUUAAUUGUACUUCGCAUUAUAGCAAUCAUUUUUAAAUUUUUUUUGUCAAAUUCUUAUCUUCAAUUUUAAUACAUCGUGUCAUUAAUGACGAUUUACCUCAAAUAUUUUUUUGGGCGACUUUUGCGACAAUUUUCCCAUCGAAUCCCUUGGAGUUACGGGGAGAUGUUGGGUGUAAUUGAAGAGAAUAUUGUCGACUUUCCAACGUUAUCAAAAUUUGACGAUAAUCCAUGGUCAAAAGUGGCCGAAAUGUUGCAACAAAAGCAGCCCAAAAAAUUGAAAAUGUGGUUUUAAACUUCAGUGACCGUUUCUGUAAAUUUUUAAACUUCAAUGACCAUUUCUGAAAGUUUUUAACUUCAAUGACCAUCUCUAAAAGCGCCCUGAAACUUAAGUGACCGUUACUGAAAGUUUUAAACUUUAGUGACCGUUUUGUAAUUUUUGCAUAAGUUCAGUGACCGUUUUUGAAAUUAAUCCAAAAAAGUUUGCAUGUAGAGUUUCAUGUUUCUUAAAAUGUACAAACGAAUCUCACGAAAAACAAUUUAAAACAUUCUAAUUAAAGAAAAAUAUUUUAUAUUCUUAAUUAACCCACCAACUCCUACACCCAUCCCCUACAUUCCACCACCACUACAAAAUUAAUCAAAGAUAUAAUUAAAAGUAUAAUAAAAGCAAAAUAAUAAUAAUAAUAAUAAUAAUUAACAUAGAAAAAUAAAAAUAAAAAAAUUUAUGGCCCCAUUCGACCCCAUUAAUUUUAAUUGUAAUGGGGGAAAUAGAGUUUUUUUGAAAAAUGAAUGGUUGUAAAAGAAUAAAAAGUUUUCGAUUUACUUCCAAUAUUAUUUUAUUGAAAAUUGUGUGAUUUAAAAUAAGAAAGAAAAAUUUAAUUUAAUUUGAUGAGAUGUAAUGGGGGGCAAACGAGGGCAAUAUAAAAACGAAUGGCGCUUAUUCCUCAUCAAAUAAUUUUUAAACUUUUAAUUCUUUUUUUUAAUUAUUUGAUGGUGGUGUUGAUGGAGGAGGAUAUGCAUAGGGGUUGAGAUAGGGAUAGGUGGUUAAUUGGAAAAAUAAUUUUUUUACUAGAAUGUUUUAAAUUGUUUUGCAUAAAAUUCAUUUGUAAUUUUAAAAAAAAUUAUAAAAUCUAGAUACAACAUUAUAUAUAUAUGUCUAUCUAAAGACGAUGAUAAAUUAGUCAUUUUAUAAUGUUAUAAUAGAAAAAAUGGAUGGUAAGGAUCUUUUAAGCAAAGAAAUGUUGAUCUAAGUGUUCAAAUGUCAAAAUUGAAAUGAUAAGAACUAUUCACGCAAUUAAAGCAAACGAUAGGCACGUUUUUGCUCCAAAUUACACAUAUUUAACUGAAAGAUUUAAUGAAAUAUGAUGGAAAGCACCGAUUCUGCAAGAAACGUUUGAAAUAAGAGUGUAAAUGGCAAGUUUGAAACAAUAUGGACCAUUUUCACAAUGAGUACAAACGAUUGGAAUGCCUUUUGCUAAUUACCCUAAAGUAUAUUUACUCUCUAGAUAUCAAGGGAAUUUAGCCGUUGUCUAACACCAAUUAAAAUUUUAAUAUAUUUUUCUCUUUUCUUUUCAAUCAUGUAUUCAUCAAUAAAAUAAUAUUACAAGUAAAUCAAAAAAUUUCCUUCUUUUUUAACCACAAAUUCUUCCAAAAAAUACUAUUCCAUAAUACAGAUUACCAAAAUUUCUCAUUAUAAUGGAUGUAAAACAAAGGCUUAAUAUAAACUAAUUUACACUUUACUUUUAUAAUAAAUAAUGUUAUUCAUAGUGAAAAUUAUUGAUAGUCAUCCUUCAUAACAUACACAUGACAAUGUGUUAUUUGAAUUUUGAUGCAUAGGACGAUAAAAAAUUAUCAUAUUAAUGUAUCAAAUAAUGUCAUGUGUACGUCACGUAAGAUAGCUAUCGAUAGUCCUCACUAUGAUUAUCAUUACUCUUUUAUAAAUAUAACAUGUCCAAACGUGGCGACAAAAAUGGAGCCUCCGAGCUCCUAUAGAGAGAUUGCCGCAUUGACUAUAAAUAAACAAAAGCAAUGAAACUAUUGUGAAACAAUAAAAAUUUUCAAAAAUAAUCAAUUCUUCUCGACGAGUAGAGUUAAAAGGCUAGUUUGAAACGAAAGAUAGUGCAUUGCACCGUGAUGCAGCAGGGCAGCAUUGGUGAAAGGGCAAACAGGGCAACAUCUGUGAAAGGUAGUAAAAUAAAGGGAACCACCAUAAGAGAGGAGAAUUUGAUUUCAGAAUUUAAAAAUCCCAGCCUCUUAAUAAGUAUAACGAAAGGAGGGCAAGAGUAAAAAUGCUUAAACGAGAAACUUAGCUUGAACUAAACUGCUCUAUAUAGUAGAAAAUGAUGGAGUUAAAUGUUUCAUUGACCACCAAACUUUACACUAGUCACGAUUUAUUCACCGAACUUCAUUAAUUGUCUCAUUGGCCACUGAACUUUGCUCCGUUCAACUCCAUCACUCACCCGUUCAAAACCGUUAAUAGACGUGCUGAUGUGGCGAAUGGAAAAAUGACGUGGCCGGUUAACUCCUUCCAAGUAGUAAGUGAUUUGCCAACUAAGCUUCCACGUUAGUAAUGGAGCAUCCAAACACGGCAUUACCAAUUUCAUUUCACACGACUUUACAGAAUUAUAACCCAAUUAGUGUGAAAUCUCUCUCAAAUUACUUCCUCCCAUUCGCGAAGAACCCUAAGUAUCUGAACCAAGAUUCUCCAAAAAUCUCUCAAAUCCUAUCAUCCUGAAAUCCAUUUCUAUAAAAUCUCACAUGAAGUCUCUGUAUUCUGAAAAUCCAUUCAAUUCAUUCGGGUAAUUUCCCAUGAUAUGGUAGGACACGAAUUGAUGAUUUUUGAAUGGAAAAUUGGUUUUGUUCAUAACUCAUUUUAUUUUUGGUUUGCAUCUUCGUCUUUCCGAUAAUGGUCAAGAACACACUACUUUCUAGUCGUUAAUGGAGGAAAAACAUGUUUAUACCAUUCCUCUCCAUAAUCCAAUUAACACUCAUUUUGGGUAUUCUGCCAAUGUGAAUGUUGGGUAUUUUGUGUUUGGCUCUAAUAAAGAUAGCUCAUUGUUGAAACAGGUGACUGGAAAAAAGGCCCUGUUGAUGAAACUACUUUGACCGUUGAAGGAUUUGAAUCCUGAUGGAACUACUUUGCUUGUUGAUGAAAUGAAUAACACUAAAUUAAAAUUUGGUAGUAGGUGUGUUUUAGGUACUGAAUUUCAGAAAAAGCCUCCUAUUUAAACUCUCGAAUGAGAUGAAGGGAUUAAAGAUUGUUAAUUUUGCAGUGUUGCUGAGAAGAGUAAAAAAUUUGGCAGCAAUUCAUCUGUCUGUCACUGCCAAUAACAUAUUCAUGUUUGCAAUCAAUGGAAGGGGGGUAUCCGUUGCCUUUGUCCACCAUUUAUGGUAAUAGGAACUGGGACUGGUUGUGCUUGGAAACAGCUACAAUUUGCUUCAUUAAAAAUUCUGGUAAUUUGUUCUAUUUUACUGUAUUAUUUUUUAUUGCAUUCCCAGUUCUAUCAUUAUUUGUUUAUUUAAUUAAUGUUUAAUGACACAUCUUUAUGCUUUUUGUCCUUCAUUUAUCUCAGUUAAGUAGAGCCAUAUACCACACCAACAAUUUGAAGCAGAUCAAGGAUGGAACAAUUGUGAAGCACCUCUAUACUAAAGUUUUCAACCGAUUUCGUAUUUUGUAAUGUCCAAAGUUUUGUUUUUGGCAUGUAAAUUGAAGUCAGAUUGGGAUGGUACAAUGUUGUUGUUGAGAUAGAACAUAUUCACAUUUAUGAAAUCAGUGGGUUGCUGCUUCCAUAACUAUUUUAAGCACUAGACGUUGAGAUGAAUUAUGUUUAAAGCACUACAUGAAAUCAGUAUGUUGCUGUUGCCAUAACUAUAUUAGCUUUCGACUAGUUGAAGAAUGAGGUAUUAGAACAUCGUGGAACUUGUACGAAAGCAAGUCUUCGAAGUCUUAACUGCAGCAGUAAUGUAAUUAGACUACAAAUAUUAUAGUACUGUAACUAUCUUCAAAUGAUUCUAUAAUAUCUUGAUGAAUGAAACUAACAACAUCAACAAGCAUACCUACACAUGGUAAAAUAUCAAAUCAAAUCAAUUCAAUUUCCCGAAUAAUGGUAAGAUCCCAGGUGAACAAAAUCAAUUCAAGCUUUAUAAGAAGUGCAUACAACGGCAUAACUAAAAACACAUUACGAAUACAAUAACAUUGGUCCAACUUGAUGAAUAUUCUAACAUUUUUUAAAUCAACAACAUAGGCAGUCUAAUUUCACGGAGUUCUUCCCUUCUAUUUCCCGUUCUUUUCUACAUGACCUUUACCCUUGCGGAUAGUAACAUUGAAUGAGAUUUCCACUUCCUCUUGUUCGAUUAUGUGAAUCCUUCAAUACCCAAGACAAAUCUUCAAUUGGAAUGUCGGGCUGAGAGUUACCCGAACAAACACAUCGGUUUUCACCACUGGACUCACCCUCAAAUUGCACAUAUUCUUCCAUGCCAUGGAAACCUGCCAUUGCAGCCACGAACAGUAAGACAGUCAUAUGGUUAUCGUAAUGAAUUGGCAAUACACACACCAACAUUUAUGCUUACUACUCAUAAUUAACAUCUAGGAACUUGAAGGUAUGAGGGCAAUAUUUAAUGGAUGAGCUGUUUGUUUAUACUCUAGCACAAAAUUUCCAAACGAAAAUCAACAACGUGCUUAAUCCAACUUUGUGAAUAGCAUUAAGUUGUAAGCAUGGCAUUAAGAGUUCAUCAAGCUUAGAAACAUCUAAUCUCGUUCGGCAUAGUUAAUUCUGUCAUAAAAUUACAACUCAUUAACAUUUGGACAGUAACAUAUGAAGAAGAAAAUAUUCAACUUUAACAUUCAAAAUGUACUGCAAUUUCACCGUCUCACAUUUAAGGUGCUAAAUGUGAAAAUUGUUAAUAAGAGACUCAACUUUAUCAAAAACGCAAAACCAAAAAUCAUGCAUUUUCUAUUAAAGUUUGACAGACUCAACGUUAAGUGCUUGGUUUCACAUCAAUUAAACAUUGCAGAAACUUUUCCAAUUGAGUUAUCGCACAACUUCAAUUUUUUUCGGGUCGUGUCAUUAUAAUAAAAAAAAGCACAGAAAUAAGAACCAAGAAAUCCAUUAUUAAAUAAAGCCAAAAAUGAGUUAUUUAUCUAAAUUUCCAAAACAGAGGCAGAAAAAAAUUAUUCCACUAAGCCCACUAAAAUGGCGGAAUUACCUUCAUCAGAACCGUCCAUGUGUAUGCCUUCAAGUGUGUAGAACAAUUGCGGAUUUUUAGCUCACAUACUUCGCAAUUUGAUCGGGGCUAGGAUUCUUGAGCUGAAUUUGGGGAUCACGACAUAGAAGAGUGGCCUAUUGUUUGUUCACAUACUUUCGAUUCAAUCUUGCAGGUUGGGUGCUUGAGUUGCAGUUGGGAUUGCAACCUAGAAUAAUGGUCUAUUCUUUGUUCCCAUACUUCACGAAUCCAUUUUGAGGGUUAGGGUUCUUCAGGUGAACGUUGGGGAUCAAUUGAUUUGAGGAAGAAGCUUAGUUGAGAUGAAAUUAGGAUUCUUCGUGAAUGGGAGAGGAGCAAUUGAUUUUGAAGGAGAAUCUGAUUUGGCAUUUAGCCCCUGUUUGAUCUCCAUUAAAUUAAAUUACAUUACAUUACAUUUUUCUCUCUCCUAUUUUCAACCACACAAUCUUCCAUAAAAUAAUAUUACACGUAAAACGAAAACUUUUCUUCUUUUUCAACCGUUCAUUUUUCUAAAAAAAUACUAUUUUUCCCAUUUUCAUUUUCAGGUAAUGGGGGUCAAACAGGGGCUUAAUANNNNNNNNNNNNNNNNNNNNNNNNNNNNNNNNNNNNNNNNNNNNNNNNNNNNNNNNNNNNNNNNNNNNNNNNNNNNNNNNNNNNNNNNNNNNNNNNNNNNNNNNNNNNNNNNNNNNNNNNNNNNNNNNNNNNNNNNNNNNNNNNNNNNNNNNNNNNNNNNNNNNNNNNNNNNNNNGAGUUCAUCAAGCUUAGAAACAUCUAAUCUCGUCCGGCAUAGUUAAUUCUGUCAUAAAAUUACAACUCAUUAACAUUUGGACAGUAACAUAUGAAGAAGAAAAUAUUCAACUUUAACAUUCAAAAUGUACUGCUAUUUCACCGUCUCACAUUUAAGGUGCUAAAUGUGAAAAUUGUUAAUAAGAGACUCAACUUUAUCAAAAACGCAAAACCAAAAAUCAUGCAUUUUCUAUUAAAGUUUGACAGACUCAACGUUAAGUGCUUGGUUUCACAUCAAUUAAACAUUGCAGAAACUUUUCCAAUUGAGUUAUCGCACAACUUCAAUUUUUUUCGGGUCGUGUCAUUACGUAAUAAAAAAAAAAGCACAGAAAUAUGAACCUAGAAAUCCAUUAUUAAAUAAAGCCAAAAAUGAGUUAUUUAUCUAAAUUUCCAAAACUGAGGCAGAAAAAAAUUAUUCCACUAAGCCCACUAAAAUGGCGGAAUUACCUUCAUCAGAACCGUCCAUGUGUAUGCCUUCAAGUGUGUAGAACAAUUGCGGAUUUUUAGCUCACAUACUUCGCAAUUUGAUCGGGGUUAGGAUUCUUGAGCUGAAUUUGGGGAUCACGACAUAGAAGAGUGGUCGAUUGUUUGUUCAAAUACUUUCGAUUCAAUUUUGCAGGUUGGGUGCUUGAGUUGCAGUUGGGAUUGCAACCUAGAAUAAUGGUCUAUUCUUUGUUCCCAUACUUCACGAAUCCAUUUUGAGGGUUAGGGCUCUUCAGGUGAACGUUGGGGAUCAAUUGAUUUGAGGAAGAAGCUUAGAUGAGAUGAAAUUAGGGUUCUUCGUGAAUGGGAGAGGAGCAAUUGAUUUUGAAGGAGAAUCUGAUUUGGCAUUUAGCCCCUGUUUGAUCUCCAUUAAAUUAAAUUACAUUACAUUACAUUUUUCUCUCUCCUAUUUUCAACCACACAAUCUUCCAUAAAAUAAUAUUACACGUAAAACGAAAACUUUUCUUCUUUUUCAACCGUUCAUUUUUCUAAAAAAUACUAUUUUUCCCAUUUUCAUUUUCAGGUAAUGGGGGUCAAACAGGGGCUUAAUAAAAAGAUUUUGUUAAAUCGUGUUUGACGAAAAUUGCAAGUCGUGUUGGUAAGGUUUAAGGCUUUUUUGCUGUCGUGGGAGCUGAUUUGGUGAAAGAGUUAUUAUUUGUAGUGAUUUAACUGGCCAACUCAUUUUGCCGUCUUCCACAUAGGCACGUCUAUUAACGGUUUUCAUCGGGUGAGUGAUGAAGUUGGAUGGAUCAAAGUUCAGUGAUCAAUGGGACAAUUAAUAAAGUUCGGUGACCAACGAAACAUUUAACUCAAAAAGAUGUUACAGAUUUAAAAACUACGAUAACGAGUAAAGAGUCUAUAAACCAGAGUAAAACACUUUGAUCUAUCAAAUAUCCAAUUGGAUGAACAGUGAAAACUGGAACCGAGAAAAAGAUAGUAAAGCUUUAUAAUUUGAAUAAUGGAGCCGAUAAAUGGGAAGUUGCAGACUCACUUCAUUCAGUGGUUGUCCAGAACUGCAUUGAGAAGUAUACUCUUAAUUCAGUUGGUGUACCACGUUUUCUUCCGAAAUUUUCAAGAUUUUAUACUUUCUUAUUUUGUAGGUUUUUAGUUAAUUUCCUUAUUUCAAAAUCAUACUUUUAAUUAUCUGUGUUUAUUUUUAUUGUUAAAAUUAAAUUAAUUAAGGUUGUGUAAUCUAAAGAAUACAUUCCUCGAGGGAUCGACAGCUUGGACUCAAAAGAUCCACUUUAUUACUUGAACGCGAUCCGUGUACUUGCAGUGUACAAUUUUAGGGAAACAGUAACAAGUAAUCAAAAUUACAGGGAUGUUACAAGUAAAACUUGACAAUAAUACCGUAAUCAAGGAAUAGAAAGUCUUUCAAGCUAACGUUCAAGCUGAGCCACCAUAGCUUGGCAAUCCUAAAACAGACAUAAAUUUAGAUAAGAGUAGUUCUUAUUAUAUAAUUCAUCAGCAGCAAUCUUAAAACGGACAUAAAUUUAGUUAAUAGUAGGUCUUAUUAUAUUAAUUCUUCAGCUAAUAUAUAAUCAGUCCUUCCUAUAGCUUACUAGUUGAGUGUGAAAGGGGAUAGCAAAACAAAAAUAAAUUACUUUACAUUAUUAUUAUACAAAAUGGCUACAUUUUUGGCAGAAGGGAGAAAAAUACUAGGCAACCCUUUCAUUUCUGAUUAAACAGAUAUACCAUAAAAGAAUAAUUGACAUUCCUUCCCCUUUCAUCAUCCAACUGAACUUUCUUUAAGAAAAAAAAUAUCUUAAGUUAAAAAUCCAUGAGUAACAAAGAAUUUUUUCUGUUGUUUUUUCUCCUCUUUGCCCACUGUUUUUCCCGUCUUGGAUUUUCAAGUAAAUUUUGUGCUCUUGUUAUCAUUUUAUAUUGUCAAUUCUUGCUUUUUCGUAAUAUGUAAUUUGGAAAAAAAAAAUAGCCUUGUAAAAUAGGUAGUCCUGGUAAAGUUAGCAGUGAACAAAUAUAAUAUGAAUGUGAAAAACCAAGUGACAUCAAGCCAAAAAGCAGCUCGAUGAACUAUGUAAAUUUAUUAUUAUUAUGAUUAUGGUUAGUAGAUCUGUAGUAUGCUACAAAUACCUAGAUAUAUAAUUACUAAAGUCCAAGGUAAACCCAAUUUAUUUUCACUUGCAAUUCAACUUACAUAGUGAAUAAUUAUUCAUUAUCAACAACUUCUACAUCAUUAUAGAAAAAAUGAGAUAUCUAGGAACUAGGUAUUUGAUCAAUAAAAAUAGGGAACAUGGCUCAAGGGACUAACAAAAUUAUUAAUAAGAUGAGGCAAAUUAAAGAAACAAACAAAUGUAGGAAGUUGAAAUCUACUUAAGAAACAAAAUGUACUUCCCUAUCUGUCGGAAGGGACAAUAUGACAGAUACCAAAACAAGGCAAUAGCUUAAGAGAUUCAAAGAUUACAUAAUUAUAAGCCAGAAAAAAAAAAUAUUGAUGAUUUAUUGGAGUUGAUAAUGGGGGUUGACUAACAAACCUUAUGUAGAAACUAUACCAUUCGCAGUCAAACCAUGAUCCCUGAAUUUGAAACGGGCAUAUAACGAUUUGCAAAAGAGAUAAUGGUGUUGGAUUCCCAGUGGAUAAUGCACAAGUAGAAUCUGAUUCCCUGCGCACCGGGAUUGAACAUAGCUGCUUUAAAUGUCCCAUUACGAGAGAACAAAAACUCCCAGAAGCAUCUACAGAUUUGAAAUUUGAAGGAGUCAAAUUAGGGUAUGCGAAUUCUUUAAUGGAAAUACCAUAUGCGAGAACCAAUAAUAAGGCUAAAACACACAGAUCUAACCCCGAUUUUGCCCUAGUCGGCAUGGGCAACUAGCUGUGACGAUUGACAUUGCAGAUUUGACGGCGAGAGUAGAGGAAGAAGAGAUAUUACCUUUGUCUUAAGAGAUUAAGGCUUCCACUACCCCUUUCCUCUUGUUUUCAAAUUUCUACUUUUGAUUUGUACUUUUUUUUAUCUAAUUGACAAAUUAAUUAUAAGUAUGUUUAUAGAUAGCGUGUAGAAUAAUUUAAUUUAUAAUUUGUAAUUAGUUAAAAUUUGUAUGUUUUAUUCGAAAGAAUCAUUCUAUUAACUUUUAGGGUCAGUUUGAUUGUAAAGAUGAAAUUUGGAUAGAAAGAAAAUGAAUUUCAAGAAAUUGAAUUGUCUAGAAAUUAUUUUACUNNNNNNNNNNNNNNNNNNNNNNNNNNNNNNNNNNNNNNNNNNNNNNNNNNNNNNNNNNNNNNNNNNNNNNNNNNNNNNNNNNNNNNNNNNNNNNNNNNNNNNNNNNNNNNNNNNNNNNNNNNNNNNNNNNNNNNNNNNNNNNNNNNNNNNNNNNNNNNNNNNNNNNNNNNNNNNNNNNNNNNNNNNNNNNNNNNNNNNNNNNNNNNNNNNNNNNNNNNNNNNNNNNNNNNNNNNNNNNNNNNNNNNNNNNNNNNNNNNNNNNNNNNNNNNNNNNNNNNNNNNNNNNNNNNNNNNNNNNNNNNNNNNNNNNNNNNNNNNNNNNNNNNNNNNNNNNNNNNNNNNNNNNNNNNNNNNNNNNNNNNNNNNNNNNNNNNNNNNNNNNNNNNNNNNNNNNNNNNNNNNNNNNNNNNNNNNNNNNNNNNNNAAAAAAAAAACCAAGCAAAUGAAUUACAUGGAAAAUAUUUGCUAUCAAACAAAAGGUGGAAAAUAGACAAAAUUUUCCAUUUUCUAGGGAAAAGAUGCCCAAUCAAACAGGGCCUUAAUAUAUUUUUCCGACAGAAAUUGUGUAGUUUUAGGUCGAAAAAUUUUAAUAUAGUUUUAGUAUAUUAUUUUCAUAUUACCAAUAGAAUUUUAUCAUUAAAAUUUCUUAAUUUAGUUUUUAGGAUUUUGGUUUUUUUGUAUAUUAAAAAUUAAAAAUAAUCUUUAAUUAAUAGGUAGGAUUGAUUGAAAUUAAACGUAUACUGAAUUUUUAUUUUUAUUUUUGUUCUUUUUUUACAACAAGCAAUAAAUAUAGCAAAUCCUUGUUGCAAAACACACUUUCUCGCAACAUUUAAUAAUUGUUGCAAAAUGUUAUAUAGUAUGAAUUUUAACAAUAUGUACUGAGCAUUGCUAUAGAACAAAAUUUUUACAGUUCAAUAAACAUUGCAAAAAAAAAAAACGAAGAAUUAAAACUUUUGCAACAUUCAAAGAACAUUACAAAAAGCUAUAUAUCAAGAGUUUCAAAAACGUUUAUUGAACGUUGCUAUAGAACUUUAUUUUUACAACAUGCAUUAAACAUUGUGAAAAAUAAAACUUCUUACAACAUUCAAGAAACGUUGAAAAUGGUAAUAUUGACAACAUGCAAUUAAAAAAAAAAUAUUGCCAAUGCUUAAUUAAAUUAAUCAAUGGCAACAUUUUUCACUUUUUAAAAUGUUGCAAUAAACCCAUUUAGCAACAUACAAUUCACGAAUGUUGCCUUUCGAGUAUUGCAAAAGGCUAUUUUAAUUGUAGUGAAAAUUCUUGAUAUGUAUAUAAAAAUUCAUAUGUCAUUAAAUUAAUUUCGGUAUAUGUGAUAAAUGAUCAUGCUUAAAAAAAUUAUUACCUUCACUAAACUUUGAAAAAUUGAACUUUCGGACUGAUAACGUAUUAUGAAAAGAGAUAGAAAGAGCAGGGAGAAUAAAAGUCAAUAGACUUGUAUGUAUUAUAAUAAGAACUAGAGUCAUGUAUUCAUAAAGAAGGAUUAUGGAUACAAUGAUAAUAAUUUCUAGAUUUACAGGGGUACAAUUGUCAUUCACAAAUAAAACUUACUAUUUACAACAAAAUGGUCUUUUUUUAUUUUUAUUUUUCUUCAAUUUGCUCCUAAAAAGGUUUUUAUUGAUAGCAACAAGGUAAGUCGGACGUUCUCUUUUUUGAAUUUUAAGAGGCGCGUAGGACAUUUUGAUCUUCAUUUUUCGUCCCAUUUAUUUAUGUAUUUACUUAUUUAUAUAUUAUUAUGUGUUUGAAUUUAAAUUUUAUUCAAAAAAAAAUUUAAAAAAAAUAUUAUGAAUCAUGGAUGGGUUUGUGAUAGCGAUCAUGUUUCCUAACCAAAUGCCUAAUAAGGAUUAUAGAAUUCCCGACCUUCAAUCCACGUGGUGCGUUUCGUCCCACAUUGUCCUACCUUGAAUAGUAAACGAGGUGGGAUGCAGAACCUAUAGUCCCUAGUUUCGAAUUUUUAGUACUAGCUCUGAAUCAUUUUUUCAUUAUUAUAUUUUAUUUUAUUGUUAUGUUCUUCAUUUAAAUCAUAUUUAAAAAAAUUUAAUUAAAUAAAUAAAAUGAUGGAUGAUGGUUUUUUAUGUCUCAACCUACCCUACAUUCUAAAAAAUUGGAACGAAACAAGAAAGAUAUGAUGGCUACUAUCCAUUGUCAUCCUUAAUUUCAAAUUUUUGUUGGGUGAAGUAACUUGUGGCCAGAGGCGGUCUUGAGGGCGCGCGAGUUGAGUGACCGCACAGAGCCUCAAAUUUGUAGGGGCAUCAAAAAAAAUUUUGUUAUAAUUGUAUAUUUAUUUAUAAUUAAAUAUUUAAAAUAUAAAAUUUUUAUUAUUAUGCAAAAGAUAUUAAAAUUAAGAAUAAUGUGACUAACUAGUUAUAAUUUCCUUAAAUAUAAUAUUCUUAAAUAGUGUUUCUACCUUAAAUAAUGUGAGAGAAAAGAAAAAAGUCAAAAAGAGAUUAGGCCGACUAGAGAACUGAGAGAAGAGAGAAAAAUUGAGCAAUUGCCUUUUCCAAUUGUUUUUUAAAGAGAAGAAUUAAAGAAAACAACCAUCUUUUCCAAUUGCCUCAAAGAUAAUUGAGGCAGAGAAGAUAGAAACCAACCGUUUUUUUUUUUUUUUUUUUUAAAAAAUUUGAGAAGAAAAAACACCGUUUUUUUUUUUUUUUUUUUGAAGAAAUCAUCUUUUUUUCCAAUUAUCUUUAAUCUGGCUCCAAAAAAUUCUCUCUUUUCUUUAAGCAACGACUAACGAUUCAUAUUUUUCACUGAACUCUCACUAAAAAUUUGAAUUACAUGAUAUCUUUUCUUUAUUAUCUUUUCAUCAAUCUUAUUCUAUGAUUUCACUGAUUUGAAUUCUUUUUGCAAGAACUUGUUAAAAUUUGAAUUCGCUUUGCCUGAACGUGGGGACUGAGGAUUGAGAAAGCACGACAUAAUUUUCCUCCGGAGAAGUCGAACACUUACAAGUGAGUUUUUGUUUCUUUAUCAUAUUUUUCUUCAAUAAUUUCUUUGAAUAUUUAAGAAAAUAUAAAUUCUUUUUUAAUAUUUUUUUUCAACGUUCUGAAGAUGGAUUCAUCGUUUAUAAUUUAUAAUUACUAAUUUAAUAAGUGAAAUCAAUUAAUUGUGAAGAGAUUUACUGUUAAGUGAAAUCAAUUAAUUGUGAAAAUGGGUUCACUGAUCAUAAUUUAUAAUUACUAAUUUGAUAAGUGAAAUCUACUAAUGAAAUUGAUUCAUUGAAUGUUUAUUACUCUCUAACUCUCUUUUCAUUAAUUGGUGAUACACGGGUUUUCGAAGAAUCAAGAUUGAUUUAAUUCCUGUUGCUGUUGCAUCUGCUGAAAGAAAAUUUUCGAAAUUGAAGUUAUUAAAAUCUUAUUUAUGAUCAACCAUGUUACAAGAACGAUUGAAUGGAUUAGUUUGAUAUCUAUUGAGCAAGACUUUCUAAAAAAUAUAGAUCACGAAAGUUUAAUUAGUGAAUUUGCUUUUAAAAAUGCGAGAAAAAUUAUUUUUACAUAAUUUGUAUCAUUUCAAGCUUUACACUUGACUUGAUUUAUAUAUUUGUUUCAAGGUUUGCUUAUAUGGAAUUGCACGAAGAGGUUAGUGGUUUGGAUGGUUCUUUGUUGAUGACAUAUGAAUUUUGAUGAAGUUCGAGAGAUGCUUUUGAGUUUUAUUUAUGUUUUUCUUGUUUGUGUAUGUUAAAAAACAAAUAUUUAAAUAUCAUAUUUUUGCAAUGAAAUAAUAGUAUUGAAAUAUUUUUUUUUACUAUAUGUUUUAAUCACUUGAAGAGGGUACCAUUUUAAAAUUUCGCACAGGGCAUCCAAAAUCUUAGGGCCGGCUCUGCUUGAGGCUGGCGUUUUGUUAAAGAUUUCCUCAAAUAAUUUAGUAGAAAAUAAAAGCAAUGAAAAAUAAAUCCACUUGAAAAUAGGGUCAUCUCUAAAAGAUAAAUGUAUUAUCCAUUGAUUCCCAUUUUUCAGUUGAAACUCAUCUCUGUAGCAAGGCUAUGAUCCAAUCCAACCUUAAAAUUNNNNNNNNNNNNNNNNNNNNNNNNNNNNNNNNNNNNNNNNNNNNNNNNNNNNNNNNNNNNNNNNNNNNNNNNNNNNNNNNNNNNNNNNNNNNNNNNNNNNNNNNNNNNNNNNNNNNNNNNNNNNNNNNNNNNNNNNNNNNNNNNNNNNNNNNNNNNNNNNNNNNNNNNNNNNNNNNNNNNNNNNNNNNNNNNNNNNNNNNNNNNNNNNNNNNNNNNNNNNNNNNNNNNNNNNNNNNNNNNNNNNNNNNNNNNNNNNNNNNNNNNNNNNNNNNNNNNNNNNNNNNNNNNNNNNNNNNNNNNNNNNNNNNNNNNNNNNNNNNNNNNNNNNNNNNNNNNNNNNNNNNNNNNNNNNNNNNNNNNNNNNNNNNNNNNNNNNNNNNNNNNNNNNNNNNNNNNNNNNNNNNNNNNNNNNNNNNNNNNNNNNNNNNNNNNNNNNNNNNNNNNNNNNNNNNNNNNNNNNNNNNNNNNNNNNNNNNNNNNNNNNNNNNNNNNNNNNNNNNNNNNNNNNNNNNNNNNNNNNNNNNNNNNNNNNNNNNNNNNNNNNNNNNNNNNNNNNNNNNNNNNNNNNNNNNNNNNNNNNNNNNNNNNNNNNNNNNNNNNNNNNNNNNNNNNNNNNNNNNNNNNNNNNNNNNNNNNNNNNNNNNNNNNNNNNNNNNNNNNNNNNNNNNNNNNNNNNNNNNNNNNNNNNNNNNNNNNNNNNNNNNNNNNNNNNNNNNNNNNNNNNNNNNNNNNNNNNNNNNNNNNNNNNNNNNNNNNNNNNNNNNNNNNNNNNNNNNNNNNNNNNNNNNNNNNNNNNNNNNNNNNNNNNNNNNNNNNNNNNNNNNNNNNNNNNNNNNNNNNNNNNNNNNNNNNNNNNNNNNNNNNNNNNNNNNNNNNNNNNNNNNNNNNNNNNNNNNNNNNNNNNNNNNNNNNNNNNNNNNNNNNNNNNNNNNNNNNNNNNNNNNNNNNNNNNNNNNNNNNNNNNNNNNNNNNNNNNNNNNNNNNNNNNNNNNNNNNNNNNNNNNNNNNNNNNNNNNNNNNNNNNNNNNNNNNNNNNNNNNNNNNNNNNNNNNNNNNNNNNNNNNNNNNNNNNNNNNNNNNNNNNNNNNNNNNNNNNNNNNNNNNNNNNNNNNNNNNNNNNNNNNNNNNNNNNNNNNNNNNNNNNNNNNNNNNNNNNNNNNNNNNNNNNNNNNNNNNNNNNNNNNNNNNNNNNNNNNNNNNNNNNNNNNNNNNNNNNNNNNNNNNNNNNNNNNNNNNNNNNNNNNNNNNNNNNNNNNNNNNNNNNNNNNNNNNNNNNNNNNNNNNNNNNNNNNNNNNNNNNNNNNNNNNNNNNNNNNNNNNNNNNNNNNNNNNNNNNNNNNNNNNNNNNNNNNNNNNNNNNNNNNNNNNNNNNNNNNNNNNNNNNNNNNNNNNNNNNNNNNNNNNNNNNNNNNNNNNNNNNNNNNNNNNNNNNNNNNNNNNNNNNNNNNNNNNNNNNNNNNNNNNNNNNNNNNNNNNNNNNNNNNNNNNNNNNNNNNNNNNNNNNNNNNNNNNNNNNNNNNNNNNNNNNNNNNNNNNNNNNNNNNNNNNNNNNNNNNNNNNNNNNNNNNNNNNNNNNNNNNNNNNNNNNNNNNNNNNNNNNNNNNNNNNNNNNNNNNNNNNNNNNNNNNNNNNNNNNNNNNNNNNNNNNNNNNNNNNNNNNNNNNNNNNNNNNNNNNNNNNNNNNNNNNNNNNNNNNNNNNNNNNNNNNNNNNNNNNNNNNNNNNNNNNNNNNNNNNNNNNNNNNNNNNNNNNNNNNNNNNNNNNNNNNNNNNNNNNNNNNNNNNNNNNNNNNNNNNNNNNNNNNNNNNNNNNNNNNNNNNNNNNNNNNNNNNNNNNNNNNNNNNNNNNNNNNNNNNNNNNNNNNNNNNNNNNNNNNNNNNNNNNNNNNNNNNNNNNNNNNNNNNNNNNNNNNNNNNNNNNNNNNNNNNNNNNNNNNNNNNNNNNNNNNNNNNNNNNNNNNNNNNNNNNNNNNNNNNNNNNNNNNNNNNNNNNNNNNNNNNNNNNNNNNNNNNNNNNNNNNNNNNNNNNNNNNNNNNNNNNNNNNNNNNNNNNNNNNNNNNNNNNNNNNNNNNNNNNNNNNNNNNNNNNNNNNNNNNNNNNNNNNNNNNNNNNNNNNNNNNNNNNNNNNNNNNNNNNNNNNNNNNNNNNNNNNNNNNNNNNNNNNNNNNNNNNNNNNNNNNNNNNNNNNNNNNNNNNNNNNNNNNNNNNNNNNNNNNNNNNNNNNNNNNNNNNNNNNNNNNNNNNNNNNNNNNNNNNNNNNNNNNNNNNNNNNNNNNNNNNNNNNNNNNNNNNNNNNNNNNNNNNNNNNNNNNNNNNNNNNNNNNNNNNNNNNNNNNNNNNNNNNNNNNNNNNNNNNNNNNNNNNNNNNNNNNNNNNNNNNNNNNNNNNNNNNNNNNNNNNNNNNNNNNNNNNNNNNNNNNNNNNNNNNNNNNNNNNNNNNNNNNNNNNNNNNNNNNNNNNNNNNNNNNNNNNNNNNNNNNNNNNNNNNNNNNNNNNNNNNNNNNNNNNNNNNNNNNNNNNNNNNNNNNNNNNNNNNNNNNNNNNNNNNNNNNNNNNNNNNNNNNNNNNNNNNNNNNNNNNNNNNNNNNNNNNNNNNNNNNNNNNNNNNNNNNNNNNNNNNNNNNNNNNNNNNNNNNNNNNNNNNNNNNNNNNNNNNNNNNNNNNNNNNNNNNNNNNNNNNNNNNNNNNNNNNNNNNNNNNNNNNNNNNNNNNNNNNNNNNNNNNNNNNNNNNNNNNNNNNNNNNNNNNNNNNNNNNNNNNNNNNNNNNNNNNNNNNNNNNNNNNNNNNNNNNNNNNNNNNNNNNNNNNNNNNNNNNNNNNNNNNNNNNNNNNNNNNNNNNNNNNNNNNNNNNNNNNNNNNNNNNNNNNNNNNNNNNNNNNNNNNNNNNNNNNNNNNNNNNNNNNNNNNNNNNNNNNNNNNNNNNNNNNNNNNNNNNNNNNNNNNNNNNNNNNNNNNNNNNNNNNNNNNNNNNNNNNNNNNNNNNNNNNNNNNNNNNNNNNNNNNNNNNNNNNNNNNNNNNNNNNNNNNNNNNNNNNNNNNNNNNNNNNNNNNNNNNNNNNNNNNNNNNNNNNNNNNNNNNNNNNNNNNNNNNNNNNNNNNNNNNNNNNNNNNNNNNNNNNNNNNNNNNNNNNNNNNNNNNNNNNNNNNNNNNNNNNNNNNNNNNNNNNNNNNNNNNNNNNNNNNNNNNNNNNNNNNNNNNNNNNNNNNNNNNNNNNNNNNNNNNNNNNNNNNNNNNNNNNNNNNNNNNNNNNNNNNNNNNNNNNNNNNNNNNNNNNNNNNNNNNNNNNNNNNNNNNNNNNNNNNNNNNNNNNNNNNNNNNNNNNNNNNNNNNNNNNNNNNNNNNNNNNNNNNNNNNNNNNNNNNNNNNNNNNNNNNNNNNNNNNNNNNNNNNNNNNNNNNNNNNNNNNNNNNNNNNNNNNNNNNNNNNNNNNNNNNNNNNNNNNNNNNNNNNNNNNNNNNNNNNNNNNNNNNNNNNNNNNNNNNNNNNNNNNNNNNNNNNNNNNNNNNNNNNNNNNNNNNNNNNNNNNNNNNNNNNNNNNNNNNNNNNNNNNNNNNNNNNNNNNNNNNNNNNNNNNNNNNNNNNNNNNNNNNNNNNNNNNNNNNNNNNNNNNNNNNNNNNNNNNNNNNNNNNNNNNNNNNNNNNNNNNNNNNNNNNNNNNNNNNNNNNNNNNNNNNNNNNNNNNNNNNNNNNNNNNNNNNNNNNNNNNNNNNNNNNNNNNNNNNNNNNNNNNNNNNNNNNNNNNNNNNNNNNNNNNNNNNNNNNNNNNNNNNNNNNNNNNNNNNNNNNNNNNNNNNNNNNNNNNNNNNNNNNNNNNNNNNNNNNNNNNNNNNNNNNNNNNNNNNNNNNNNNNNNNNNNNNNNNNNNNNNNNNNNNNNNNNNNNNNNNNNNNNNNNNNNNNNNNNNNNNNNNNNNNNNNNNNNNNNNNNNNNNNNNNNNNNNNNNNNNNNNNNNNNNNNNNNNNNNNNNNNNNNNNNNNNNNNNNNNNNNNNNNNNNNNNNNNNNNNNNNNNNNNNNNNNNNNNNNNNNNNNNNNNNNNNNNNNNNNNNNNNNNNNNNNNNNNNNNNNNNNNNNNNNNNNNNNNNNNNNNNNNNNNNNNNNNNNNNNNNNNNNNNNNNNNNNNNNNNNNNNNNNNNNNNNNNNNNNNNNNNNNNNNNNNNNNNNNNNNNNNNNNNNNNNNNNNNNNNNNNNNNNNNNNNNNNNNNNNNNNNNNNNNNNNNNNNNNNNNNNNNNNNNNNNNNNNNNNNNNNNNNNNNNNNNNNNNNNNNNNNNNNNNNNNNNNNNNNNNNNNNNNNNNNNNNNNNNNNNNNNNNNNNNNNNNNNNNNNNNNNNNNNNNNNNNNNNNNNNNNNNNNNNNNNNNNNNNNNNNNNNNNNNNNNNNNNNNNNNNNNNNNNNNNNNNNNNNNNNNNNNNNNNNNNNNNNNNNNNNNNNNNNNNNNNNNNNNNNNNNNNNNNNNNNNNNNNNNNNNNNNNNNNNNNNNNNNNNNNNNNNNNNNNNNNNNNNNNNNNNNNNNNNNNNNNNNNNNNNNNNNNNNNNNNNNNNNNNNNNNNNNNNNNNNNNNNNNNNNNNNNNNNNNNNNNNNNNNNNNNNNNNNNNNNNNNNNNNNNNNNNNNNNNNNNNNNNNNNNNNNNNNNNNNNNNNNNNNNNNNNNNNNNNNNNNNNNNNNNNNNNNNNNNNNNNNNNNNNNNNNNNNNNNNNNNNNNNNNNNNNNNNNNNNNNNNNNNNNNNNNNNNNNNNNNNNNNNNNNNNNNNNNNNNNNNNNNNNNNNNNNNNNNNNNNNNNNNNNNNNNNNNNNNNNNNNNNNNNNNNNNNNNNNNNNNNNNNNNNNNNNNNNNNNNNNNNNNNNNNNNNNNNNNNNNNNNNNNNNNNNNNNNNNNNNNNNNNNNNNNNNNNNNNNNNNNNNNNNNNNNNNNNNNNNNNNNNNNNNNNNNNNNNNNNNNNNNNNNUUUUUUGUGUAUUAUAAUUUUAAAAUUUAAUUUUUUUUAUUAAAGGGACCAUGUUUUAAAAAUAUCACACAGUACACCCAAAAUAUUAAGGUCAACCCUACAUCUAAGUACUACUGUGCAACUUCUCCAUUUCCUAGGUAUCAAAAAAUCUUCACCUCUAGUCCUCUACAACCACGUAUUAUGUUAAUUGCUGAAGAUUAUAUUUACGGUCUGUUUAAGCCACAUUAUUUCAAAAAAACAAAUUUUUAAAUAAUGAUUUGACAUUAUUUCAAUCACACAUUUUUCAAUAAAAUAAUAUUACACGUAAAUAAAAAAAAUUCUUUAUUUCUUAACCACACAUUUCCCAUCAAUACAUUAUUCAAGAAUGCAUUAUUACCAAAAUAAUGUGGCUCAAACACCCCCUCAGUAGCAAAUAUAAUAGAAUAAAAUUCUAUGACAUACUUAGAUGAAAAUUAAUUCAAUACAGCCUGGCGCUCAAGUCAUGCGAUAAAGUAUAUUGGGUGUGGAAGAGAUAUAGAUACGGUUUACAAAAACUUUCCUUCAAAGGAAAGGGCAGAGUAUUUAUAGGUGGAAGAAGCUCUAUCUGAAUGCUUAACACGUGACUUUAUUUUAAUACCUCAUUUGUCAUGCUUAAUUAUGUCAAUUUAUAGCCAUCAUAGGUAUGGCUUUCCAUAGUCAGAGUAUAAGCUAAAAACGAAGUAUCGUUGUUGUAGAGUUGUUACAUCAAUUAUUUUGUACGGUGUACUUUGGGCAACUUUGUCAAAGCGAGGCUUGUAGUAGAUGUUCAUCACCUAGAUAUAUACUGCAGUGGAGAGGUGAUGCAUCGCCUCGAAUAACAAUAACAUUCUAAACAAUGCAUCUAAAAGUAUCUCAUGAUCGUAUCAAAAAAGGCAUGAAGAGGAGACGAUGGGAAUUUGAGUGUUUCCCUUGUAUAGCCUCUUCUUAUUUGGCUGUCAUGUGGCCCACAUUGUAGAAAAAUAUGUAACAAUAUCACUUUUAACAAAAUCUAUUCUCAAACAAUGGAGCUUAAAUAGGGUUACCAGUUUUAUGUUACUGAAAUUUUUUUCAAAAGCUUUGUUGAAAAUUAAUUUUUUUUCUUUUUAUUAUUUUUUUAUUUUUAGGAGAGUUAGCGGCUAGAGAAUAAAUGUAUGUAAAACAAAGUUGUCAGAAUCAAAUGCUAAGAGAGCAAAUCUCUUUGCAAGAAAGAAGGAAAGGAUAAGGCUGCCAAAAUUAUGGUGAUGAUGGAAAUGGAAGCAAGAAUAUUCAUAAUAUAAGUGAAUUUCUUGGUCAUCCAUGCGGGAUUAAAGCUAUUUUGAACACACGGCCUUCGUGAAGUUAUCAAUCCCUCAAUUCUAUUGUUUACUGGUGCAAAUUCAUUUUUUCCCGUGUUAAAAAUUUUCCUUUUUGUUAAAGUUGAAUCUCAUCGUCUAAUAACAUUAGCUUAUGGGGAUAGGACAAAUUUAUUUACGGAAUUUCUGAAGAUCCUUGAGUAACUUGGAUUCAUUUUUCAAUUUAUGAGAUGUGCGUAAUUUUGCUCAUCAAACCACAUCAUCUAAAAGCUUAAGCUAGCAAUUAGGACACAAAUUUAUUUAUUUAUUUAAAUCUUCUUCGACAUUUUGGACAUGAAAUGUGAUUCCUACAACAAAUGUGCACACCUCCAAUUUAUUAAAUGAUAGACUACGAAACUGUAUUUUGAGUGGCAAUUGGUACGCAAGAGUGGUUAACUAAUGGAUUUGUAAUUUCGACAUCUAAGUUCUGCAAGGCCAAUACAAACCGAUAGAUAGAACAUUUAUUUUUGUCUGCAUUAAGCAUCACAGGCUCAAUAACCGAGAAUUGCAUCCACUUUACACCUGUUACAAUGUGGAAGCGGAAUUGUCCAGAAAUUAAAUAAAAAAAAUUUAAUUAAAUAAACAAGAUCGUUUAUGUAACAUCCCUAAAAUAUUUUUAGGGAAAAAAAUUAUUAUCUAUUCUAUAUAUUAUAUUUGAUUAUUUUGAAAAUGACGGACUUGGAUGAAGUAUAUUUUAAAUUAUUAUAUUCUUGAGGCAAAUAGUUGGAUUUUGAUAGAGUGAUGAUAAGUAUAUCAAAUUACACUCGUUGGAGAGCCCGUAUUUAAUUAUGUAUUUUAGGCUCGAGAAAAAGUUAAUUCUAAUAAGUUUGGCUCAAGAUAUUGAAGGUUGUAGAAGUUGUUAUUUAAUUGGAAUUAGAAUUUACCAACUUUUAAAAGGGGUAGCCACGUGUGCUCUUCUAUAGAGAUAAGGUGGUGGAUAUGAGAUUGUAGUUAAUUGUUAUUUUAUCACAUUUUGAUGACGAUUAAUGUAAAUUGAUAAUUAUAAUCCGAUUUUGAUAUAAUUCAACUCCGGAUAUUGUUACUAAAUUAAAUUAAAAUAUUAGUCCUUACGUUUAUUUUACCUGCACUACAUGAGUGGAUAAGGUGAUUGGGAUACUUCUAAUUAAGCAAAAUCCAAAUUAAAACUAAUCUAGAACUUAUCAUAUGAAUUAGAUAAAUUUUCCAUCUCCUGCUUGGCCAUGCGUUUAAAGAUUUAUUGGUUUUAAAAAUUAUUUUCACCAACUAGAGAUUUUACAGAGAUGAGAUAAAAUUUUAUGAAGUCAUUUUUAUCCUAUAUUUUGAUAAAGGAUAAAGGUUUAAAUGUAAUCUUAUAUGUGAGAUAUUCAAGUACUAUCAUACAUGUGUCAUAUCAUGGUUUGGGUUAUCAAAUUUUAAAGUUUAUCCAAGUGGUACACGUUUUCCCCACCGUCAAAAUUGUACCAUGACUCAACUACCAUUUUUUUACUAUAAAUAAUGUGCAUUUGUACCUUGAUUUUCCACCAAGAAAUUUUUACAUAUCAGACAAUAGAGAGAGAGAGAGAGAGAGAGAGAGAGAAUAAUUUCGAAGAUUCAGUCACCAAAAUUUUGAUGCAAUCGAGAAAGUAGAAUAUGGGGGUGUUUGAUAGACAUUUUUAUGUAAAAAUACAUUUUAGAAUAGCAAAUUGAUGUGAAAUGUGUGGUUGAAAAAUGAAGAAAAGUUUUUGAUUUACGUGUAAUAUUAUUUUAAUAAAGAAUGUGUAGUUGAAAAGAAGAGAGAGAAAAAUACAUUUUAAAUAAAAUAUGAAUGAAUUACCUGCAGACAUUCGUUUUUUAAAAGAAAUAUGAAAUCCUACAGGAUUAUAAGAAGGCCUAAGAUGGGUGUCACUUGGUCACGAAAUUACUCCAUAAGAUCAAAGUGGUAUGAAAUGCAUAAUUUUUAUUGUUAUAUAUUUGUAUAUGAAAAUUGCACGUAUCUUAUUGGGUGUUUUUGAAUACUCACUCUUACAAAUUUUUAAAGGUUAGUUCAAUUUAAUUGAAGUUGUGACGAAUUGGUGACGCAGACAGCCAAGUGACUCGAAGAAAGGAAAAAGAAAUUAAAUAUUUAGUUUCCUUUUUUUUCUGUAAUUCUAAAUUAUUUGCUAGUUUUAUUUGCUCAAAGACUCUUUUGGUUAUUUUAAAUUGAUAUUUAUCGUUGAAAAUAAAGAAUUUCCUUUUAUUUAAAUCGUUCCACAAUUAUUAUAAAAGAAAACAGCGUUUUUCUUAACAUCCCGGCGUUUUUGGAAAUUUGGGACGUUGCAGUUUAGAUGUCCACGUAUAUGUUAAAUCAAGGAUAAAGAAUUUGAAUUUUUACCUAAAUUGAUGACUAAUUAUUUAAUUAAUUCAAAUCACGAAAUUCCACCUUUUUGGAUCAUAGACUUCUAGCUUUUAAUUGCAAGAACUUGAUACAUCAAAUCUCCAAGUCUUCUAUUGUAUUCUCCAAAAUCAAAACUACACCAAUGAGUGGACGUUUUUUUUAAUUAUAUCAAGAAACUAAUUUUUAAACUGACAAUUGAAUAAAAGCAAGAAAAAUAAUAUUUUCUCUCUUUUUUCCUCUCUUCAAUUUGAACACUAUGGAUUUAUGUAAAAUGAUUAGAAAUUCUAGGUUCUAUAUAAUCUCUAAUUAUAGAGACAGAAUAGUUCUAAUUCUUGUACAAUAAUAAUUUCACAUUCAAAUAAGAGUUCUAAUUAAAAUCUAAGUAGGAGUUUUACCUAAAGUCCAAAUUCAAUUAGUACACAUUUAAUUACAUGUGUAGUCCUAAAACUUUAUAAUUAAGUUUACAAAUUUCAUAAUAAUUAUAACUAAGUACAAAAUUUUAUUGUAAUUACAGUUAAUCUCAAAAUUAUUACAUUUACUAUAAUUCAAUUCCAAUAAUUUAUGGAGCUGACAUAGGGACCUGAUAUAACAUAUAUUAUCCAAACUCCAAUAAUUAGAUAUGUCUAGUAGACUUUAGACCACACAAUCUAAUUAUUAGUCUUUGCUUUUUCCACCAAAGACACAGAAACCAAUAAAUUUGUAAUGAUUUCCUCUAACCUGUUGUAUAUGUAUUUUAUCCUCGUCCGAGAUUUAAUAAUUAGGUACGAGCAUAAAUGACUGUUUUGCCCUUUUAUUUAUUAUCACUAGCUUAAGUAUCAUUUUCUUCAACGAUUAUGUAAACUAAUCACAGAUGUCGAAGUUUAACCGUCGCUAAACACUUAGCUCAAAUUUUAAUCAUUCAACAGUAAAUACUUAAGUAAUCACUCUACCCAUUUUUCAAGGUGACGAUUCUCGACACGAAUUCAUGUUCUCUACCUUGCUUAUUUUCAAAUUCUUAGCUCAUCAAGAUAUUUAACCAAUCAAAUUAAUAUCACCCAUUGAUGAUCAAAGAACCACUAAAAUCACGAAAAAAUAUACAUAACACUAUUAAGGGAUUUAUAUGAAAUACACAGCGAUCAAGUGAAAUUUAAUUCUUUGCACGGUUAUGCUGUAGGAAUUAAAUUUGACACGUGAUCCGUUCAAUAGACUACAAGUGUACUAGUACCACCUUUAACUAUUUUUGUAAUAAGGACAAAUCACAAACGUGAAUAGUGAAUCGAUCAAUAUUACAACCUUCCAGUACAAGGUGUCAACCCUUAUACAUUGAUUAUGAACAAAUUAUUUAUGAUCAAAAUAUAAGUUGUGUCACCCUAUAUUUCUCAACGCAAGUAUCCAAUUUAUAUUAUCACAAGUGAUUAUAGGCACUUUAAUUCACAUGCUUAAUAAUAAAUAAAUGUAAUAAAUAAAAUAAACACAUUUUUAUUUAAUAUAACAAUAUUGUUAUUUUUACAUCAGCAAAACUAUACUUGAUAUAUUUGAUAGGUUGAUAGGAUUCAAACCUUAGCAUGCCAUUUAGAAAUCCAUUCGUUAAUAGGAUUCAAUUAAGUUACCGUUGCCAAUUAUGAGUUGAUGCAUGGUCAAAUGAUAGCCUCUGUAGCUUCACACACUUGAUAUAUUUGAUAACUUGUUAAACUAUUAAUAUGGGUUGCAGUGAGGGUUCCGAAGUAGUAGAAUGGUAGAAUGACCACUUUUCAGGUAUUAUUGGCAUUAAUAUUUUUCUUAAUUUCAAUGAAUUUAAAUGAAUUAAUCUAGAGACCGUAGCAAAUAUGAGGCUUAAGGAGAAUCUGCAAUGAUUUCAAUGAUGUUUGAAAAGUCUGUAUCAUCAUGGACGGUUAAUAUCUGGGAGAUUCAAGUAUAAAAGUUUUGCAUAAUUUCAUUGAAUAUGCCUCUAGCUUUCAUACCUAGAAUAUUAUGCUUGAAUGCUUAAAAGAUUUAUCCAACUUUAGGGUUUCAUUGUAUUGUAUAGAGUAGCCGCUUAAAUACUUCUCUCUUGUACUCAUAUUUGAUAUAGAAAAAAUUAUUUUCUUACAUUUUUGUGAAUUACAAGUACCAGAGAGUGCAAAUGAAGUAAACCCAAUUUUACUUGUGGGUCAUUUGGCAUUCACAUAUUAUAACUAUUUUACUUGUGGACUAAAUUACGUAUACUGAACUAGAGAAAAAAAUCGAUUUGAAUAUACGGAGACCAAGAUCGAUCUAUCCUAAGAUAUCAGGACUUAUUAUUAAUUAUUAAGAUAUUUUUCCCAAAAUCAAUAUUGCUAGAUUGAGUUUUAACUAUAUAGGGAUUUAAUUCCCAAAAUAAAUUACACACAUCUACAUUGAAUUCCCAAAAUAAAUUACAUUGAACAAGUAAUCACACUCCAAUAAUUUCCUGAAACCAUCAGUCUUCAUAAUUUCCUGAAACUAACUCAAAUCUCCACGCAUUAAAGAUUGGGUCAAUAUGUUAAAUAUUGUAAAUAAAUAUGAUUAAAUAGUUAAAAUUAAACAUAUCUGAUUUGUUUACCCUACAACGUAAAUGGAUAUAAAGACUUCAAAGGGGUAUAACAUAUUCAAAGUCUCCAACUAAAUCUAGUCCUCGUAUCCUCAACUUAUCAAAAAGUCAAUACCUUUAAGGUAUGUGCCAAAGAAAGGCACGAGUGUUGACAACCCCACCAUCUAUACAUUUGACACUUGCCUUAAUGAUUAAGAAAAUGCCUGAUCAUCAUUUACUAAAACUCAUAAAUAUGUUUAUAUCAUCUACUAAACUCAUUUUUUCAAAAUUUAUUUUCAAUCAUACAUUACAUUUCGUAGGAUUCACAACUUUUACCAAUUUUCCCAUCAAAUCUUACCAAUUAGGCAACGGCCUAAGGCCUUAGAUAUUUGAGGGACCUCAAAAAUAAACCAUUUGUUCUCUGGUUCUUGUAGACAGUGGGAACAUAUCUUGUUAUUGCAAAUUAUUGCAUGACAGGAAUGACCUUUAUGAUUUGCUAAAGAAAUGAAGGUACUGUCCUUGGUUUCUUCAUUUUGCUUUAUUUCCACUCGUCAUUCAUUUACCAAUAUGGGUUGAUUCCCUUUCCUAGAAAAUAUGCUCAUGCCAAUUUCCUAAAUUUGUGGAUUUAAUUGAAACUCAAAAAAGUUUAACCAUAUUUUCUUACCUUCGUUUCAGUCCAUGAUAAUCUUUGUCAAAUUUUUAAUUUGUGGAAUCACACACAUUUAAAGAACAUUUUAGUCCAACCUAUCCUUUCCAUCCAAUCUCAUCUUUGCAUUGACAUACGUUAUGUGUUAGUUGGACAAUAAAAGAAAAUAUUAGACAGCAUUAAAAAAUAAACAACCAUCACAAAUUCACGACAUAUUUAUAGAAUACUGCCAAAGAAAUCCAUUUUGAGGAACUUUUAAUCAUUUUCAAACAAGCUCUUAGCUCUCAACAUUUUUCAUGAGCUCGAUUUAUAGUACUAAUUAAACAAUAAAAAGAUAUUAAAACUUUUUCCAUAGUAAUCUACAUAUUUGUCCAGCACUAAGCAUGGCUCCUAAAUAUGUGAUAUGACAGUAAACAUGUGGGCCUUUCCUGUUUUAAUAGGAAUCCUCAUCUUUGAGAAUUAUGUUAGUUGUUAUUAUGUCCUCUGAGCAUGUUUCCUCAAGAAUCAAUAGAAAAUAGCUAUUUAUUUUUUUUUUAUUUUUUCAUUUUACUCAAACUCGUGUAUUUCUGCCUAGUAUAGAAAUUAAAGAAGAUUAAGUUAUGAGAAAAAAGUUAUGUUUAAGUUCUUCAAGGAUCAAAAGGUGAAAAUAUCAUACCUGAGGGCCUCAUCAUAAUUAUUUGAUAGCCCCGAGAAACCGACCCCAAUAGUCCCUUUUCUAGGAACCACCUUGGUGAGCCUUUCUUCGUCAACGAAUUUAGUUCACAGAUUCGCCUCACUUUCUCCACCAACAAGCCUAGUUUGCAGCUCUGCCUCACCGAGUGACUCCAACAAGAUACAUCAAGGUUAACAAAAUGUAGCUCACAUGUAGCAUCCAAGUUGGAUGAGGUUCAAUCAUUUUGAGCCACUUUCAACGAGCCUGGAAGGUUGUUACUACGUAGAUGAAUAUGUGGAUCGCUAGAUUCUGACAUUUGCUCAGCAGAUUAGCACCUUGAGGACGACAGGAUUCAACCAACCCAGUUUGACACAGAACAACUUAUUAAGCAACAGGAAAUCUCUUUCAAUGUGGAUGAGGAAUUUUAUUCAGCAACAUAGGUGGUGUGCUCUAAACUGACUGCAAGGAGCCACGUUCUUAAUUUCUAGAAACAAUCUCGAAACCAAUACUAAUCUCGGCAAGUUUAAUAAAUAUUUUGGUUUUCCUUCCGAAUCCCAUGGCCACUCCGUUGUGGCACAACUCUGGUGCCUAUCCCGCACCAAGUGUGCCUCAACAGCCGAAGCUGGAGGUGAGGGUCCGCUGGAGCUGCCUCGACAACAGUUGCCGGAGGUUGGAGGUUGCGGUGUACCCAGAAACGUCAAAAGUCAUAGUUGGAGGUUGAAUUUUGGUUUAGAUAUUUUAUCGAUCGCCUGAUGGACGAAGUAGUGCUGAGAAUUUAUGAGAACAAAUAAAGGCUGCCUUGCACAUCACAAUAUCCCAAUUGUGCCCGUUUUAGAAUAUCCGCGUCCGACGAAAGACAAGGAAGAGACAUUAUUUAUAAAAAUGGAGCGGGGUCCCAUGGUUCAACGCGAGGCUUGAAUUGAAUAUCUCCACUAUCUGAGAAAAAUCUAAAAAACUUUCAUACAGCAGGUGGCGGCCCAAGGUUCUUACCACCAGUGAAGAUUCGGAGCCGUCGAAAGUGACUACCACUGCGACUGCAUCCAACGGAGGCUACGGGAGCCUCGGUGGCGGUGGGGGCACCUGCGGCAGAUCUUGGCCUAGUGUUCAGUCUAACACGAAGAGUUGUACUUGGUCCACCGAGACCAAGGGGGAUCGAGAUCGAGUGGCAUGUAGGUCGCAACGCCGCUGCUACGGGAGCCUCGGUGGCAGUGGGGGCACCAGGGCCAGAUCUUGGCCCAGUGUUCAGUCUAACACGCAGAGUUCUACUUGGUCCACCGAGAUCAAGGGGAAUCGAGAUCGAGUGGCAUGUAGGUAGAAACGCCGGUGCUACGGGAGCCUCGGUGGCGGUGGAGUUCAACACCGAGACCAAGGGAGAUCGAGAUGGAGAAGCAUGUUGGUCCGUCGUAGCUGGACUGUUUUAAUGACCAUGGAGGCGAUUCUCAUCAGUAGGAUUUUGGUGAAAAUUUUGACAGUUACACAGCGAAAUUUGUGGAGAUUUCCAUUUGUACCCGAAUGUGAGUGAGUGAGUGGUCGGACCCCGCAAACUUAAUGGCGUAGACAGUCCAAAUUAUCCCCAAAAUCGAAUAGCUUCCAAAUAAACGCACAAUUAAUUCAUGACACAUUAAUUUAGUGGGUUAAUGAUGAUAAAUUUAAGAUAACAUAUUAAUUAUUAAUGACAUGUCAAGAAUUAAUUAGAUAGAUAGUAGAUCUCGACUCUAUUUUCCAAAAAGGUAUAUAGUAUGUCAUUUAUAUAUUUUAUUACAUAGUGUAUACCAACUUAUUUUUUCAUUAUAUUUUUAAAAAAAAAAAAAGUAAGAAAAAUAUUUUCCCCUCACUUCAAAGCAUAGAACAAAAUAUUUUGAUAUAAAUUAUCGUCAAGGACGAGAUGUACUACCUAAUGAAAAUUUGAAAAUAAGAAUUCCACGAAAAAAAUUAAGAAAAUAAUUACUAUAAUGAGCAAAAUAAAAUGUAGUGUAAUUAAUAAAAAUUAUAGUGGCAAUACAACCAUCCUAAAAUAAAACUUGACUUCCCUUUGUGGGGACCAAACAAACCACUGGAGAGGUGAUUCUUUCAUCCUAUAAUAAAACUUGACCUCCCUUUGUGGGGACCAAACAAAUCACUGGAGAGGUGAUUCUUUCAUCCUAUCUGAAGCUUUGAAACACUGUGUUUUCCUCGAAUUACAUUUGCUAUGCGCUAACAGAAAUGCAAUACAAAAGAGGCAAAUAAACUACAUCAAAACAUUAUUGUUCUUUCCAAAUAACUAUAUUUAAUUACUAACUCAGCUCCAGUUUUGCAUUUGGCCUAAUCUUGCUGAAUUUGUCUCCUCACCUGCGAUUCUAUGUCGGGUUCCUCAUCAAUAUUUAUUGUUGUGGUCAUAUAUAUGUUAAGAACAGGAAUUGAUGGCAAUAGAAGUUGAAAACUCAGCUUAAAACUCCUCCACAUGCUAGAGAUACAUGUAGUGCAUAAGGAAAGCAACAUAAUUAUGGGGUAGAUAUUCCAAAAGACAUCUUGUGGGAAGAAUAGAGAGGCCAAGAAACAAACCAAUAGGGAAACUGAGUAAUUCUUGACUUGAAUGCGUAUGUAUCCUAUCUCAACUUGAGGUGUCAAUGGGAUUUCAAUGGAAAUGAAGGAGAAGAGAAGGAAAAAGCUAGUGAGAAGCCAAAACUUGAUCCAAGUGAAGUUUUCAAUUGCUAUACCAAAUGGAUCCCAUUCCCAAGAUGUGGCUGUAUAUGAUUUCAAUAUGUUUAUAACGAAGAGGGCAGCGUGUCUUAGAUCAAAGUAUAACAUUAUUCUUGGGUGAGAGAAUUUAAGGAGAAGUGAAGAACUGAAUAUGAAGAAGAUACUGGUGAGAGAAUUUAAGGUAAUAUGAAAAUGAUACUCGCCUCUCUCUCUCUCUCUAUCUAUCUAUCUAUCUGUCUAUAUAUAUAUAUAUAUAUAUACACAUAUAUAUAUAUACACAGACAUAUGUAUGUUUCUAGGAAACUUUACAAAUAGACGCGUGUAUGUUUCUAGGAAACUUUAUAUAAACGUACGUGCGUUUCACUCUCAUUUGGAUGUUUUCAGGAAAAUUUACAAAUAUAUAUAUAUAAACGUACGUUUCACUCUCAUUUGGAUGUUUUCACUCUCCUUUGGAUGUUUGAUGUUUCUAGGAAACUUCUCUCUCUCUCAAUAUUCCAGUACAGUAUGUGUGCAAAGUCAAUUUUAGCAUAGAACAUUAUGUAAAAGAUAAGAAACAAAACAUAGAAGGAUUUUAAAGCACCUCACGUUGGAAAACAAAGCGUCACACUGGAAUCUUUGUCUCGCAGGAGAAACAAUUCACAAAUUUGCAUGUUCCAAGCACGCAAACAGGAGAACAAGCCACAAGGUUACUUGGAUAUAUGUAAAGUCUGCCUCCGGGACAUAGUCUAGUGGUACAAAUGAUAGGAGUGAGGUUAUCUCACGCCUUGCUGGCAGUCGCAGUGUGGGGGUUCGAUUCCUGAAACAUGGAAUUGGACUCCUUAUAAGCGCAGUGUACAGGCAAUUCUUGUUCCCUGGCCUGUUGGGGCACAUCCUGCGAUUUACCUCCCUCACAAAGCUCUAGGGACGGGACGGGACGGUGGGGGCCCUCAAGGUUGGGGUUCAACCUUUAUAUAUGCAACGUCUAUAAUCCAGUAGUCUGUCUUCUCUUUAAAGAAAAAAAAAUGCUGCUCAAAUAGGUGUAGCAUAGGUGUGGAGUCAUGACUCAUAAGCCAAAACUAUUGUCAUCUCUUCGUAGUUAAUUAAUUAAAUCUUCUUUUCUUUUCCAUCAUUGCUAGAGAAAUAUAUUUCCAAAAGCAUUAAUUUUGAAUCAUAUCUUAUCUUCCGUCCCUCUAGUUCUCUAUUUGAAGCCAAAGAAAGAAAAUGAUGUCAACUGGUAGAUAGAAAUGGCUAAAAAUUCCCUUCAAACCCAUCUCCGUGGACCCUGCUCUAAAUUGGGUGGGUAUUACCCUCUUAUUCAGCUAUUCAGGUAGGGGAAUUUCGUCCCGAGACGGGUUGGGUAACACCCGCCCCCAUGCCAUUUAAUUUAAUUUAAUUUUUUUUUUAAAAUUCAAUACUUUAAAUGAAAAAUUUUACGAAAUGUCAUUAAUUCUAAUAGAAUAUAACAAUUAAAAUUAUCUAAAGAAUAUGAUAAAUAAUAAAAAUCUUAGUUUAGAAAAUAUAUUCGAAUAAGUUAACUUUUAAAAUAAAUUAAUUAAUUUAAAAUUUUAAUAACUAUAUUAUUAUCUCACUUUAAUGAAUGGGGACAAUAAAAUUAAUUAUCAAAAAUCAAAUAAAAAAAUAAAAAAAGGGUACGUGAACGGGCCAACACCCUAUCCUGCCCUGCCUUUCAUUAUUAUUUUGCAAAUGAAUCCUAAUAAAUUAUUAAAAGGUUAUUUAACACAUAACAUCCCUAACUUUCAUUAUUAUUAUGCAAAAUAUCCCUACCUUUUAUUUUUUAAUAUUUUCACCCUUAUUUUUAUAUUUCAUUGCAAAAAGCAUUAUUUUCAUCUAUUUUUUCAAUUAAAAGCUGUAAAAUAACAAAAAUACCCUCCUAUUUAAAUAAACAAAAAUAAAGAACAAAUUGUAACUAUACUCCCAAAAUUUUCAAAAUAAACUACAAAUAAUUUUCAAAUAAAUAAUUAAAAAACAAAAAUCACUUUUUUAAUUAUUUAUUUGAAAUUGAUUUGUAUUUUUUUUGAAAAUUUUGGAAAUAUAAUUGCAAUUUGUUCUUUAUCUUUCUUUAUUUUUAUUUUUAUUUAGCUUACUUAAAUAAGAGUGUAUAUUUGUUAAUUUACAGCUUUUAAUUGAGAAAAUAGAUGAAAAUAACGAUUUUCGCAAUGAAAUAUGAAAUAAGGGUGAAAAUGUCAAAAAAUGAAAGGUAUAGAUAUUUUGCACAAUAAUAAUGAAAUGUAUGGACUUUUUUUAUUAAUUACCCUUUUAAUAAUUUAUUUAAACUCAUUUGCACUUUUUAAAAAAAGUUUAAGAGUAUAAUUGUAAUAUAUUCUUUAAUUUUUCUUUCUUUUUUAUUGUUUUAUUUAAAUAGGGAGUAUAUUUAUCAUGUUACACGAGAAAUUUGAUGAAAAUGAUGAUUUGCGCAAUAAAAGGUGAAGGUAGGGGUGUGCCAAAAAAAUAAAAGAUAGAGACGUUUUACACAAUAACAUUAAAAGAUAAAGAUGUUUUGUGCUAAUUACCAUUCCUAGAAACAUCCAAAUGAACCAAAGAUGGUUGGUGUUAAAGCACAAAGGGAAAAUUUCAUAUAUUCUAGCGUAAGUAUAGGUGAUUUCAAAACUAAGAUGACAAGUUUGAAUUUGCAAAAAUCAGAAAUAUGGUAGUAACAAUCAAUUAGUUUUCUAAAAAUCAACGUCCAUUUACCUUCAAAAGCCGGAUUCCAUAUAUUAUCCCAUAUGGAGGGAGGGAGGGAGAGAGAGAGAGAGAGAGGGAGAGAGAGAGUUAGUCCCUAAAAUCAAGCAUUCAGAUUCAACUCCCUAAAAUACUGAAUACACAUUAAAUCCCUCAACUACAUAAUUAAUUAAUUAUAUAAUUUAUUAAUUAUAUAUAUUAAGGUCACAUAACUAUGCAAUUUGAUCACAGAUUCUUAAUUUAGUUAGUCACAUAUUAUUUUCUGAUCAUAAAUCAUAAUUUUUAAAUAUCAUAAAUUAUUUUACGGUUACAAUUCAAAAUUUUAUAUGUCACAAUUUAUUCAUCGAUCACAAAUCAAAAAUUAAUACGUCACAAUUUAUGUAUCGGUCACAGAUCACAAGGUCACAACUUAUUAGACGGUCAUAAAUUAAUAUUUUUUAGGUCACAUUGGCCACAAUUUAUCUUCAUCCGUCACAUAUUGUUUAUUGGUCACGGAUUAAUCAAUUCAAUGGUCACAAUCAAACAAAUAAUAUGUGACCACCCCAACCUUUAUGAAAACCACUGCCUCCAAUAGUAUCACUGUCAUCAUUGCCUUCAGAACCACCACGAGCACCGACAGCAACAUCGUCUCCUCCCUGAUGUACUCCUGCCCAAUGCUAGAUCGAAACCUAGAACUUAGCCAACAUCACCAACAACUCACAUCACAGCCAUUACCAUCGCCAACAUCCCGACCACCACAGUCUCACCACCAUCAUGAUUAGCAUUGACGUCAUCGCCACACCACCAUAGCAAACCACCACAAAAAAAAAAAAUCACGAUGAGCAGUAGCACUUUUGGGGAGGAAAAGUCGCGCUGAAACGGCAUUUUUCGAAGAGAGAGAGAGAGAGAGAGACGGGUGGAGAUGAGAGAGGAGAAAUUGGAGAGGAAAAGCUGUGCUGAAACGACAUUUUUCUGAGAGAGAGAGAGAGAGGACGGGUGGAGAGGAGAGAGAGAAAAUUGGAGAGAGAAUAUAAUUAAAUGGAGAUGAUCGGUGGAGAGAAAGGACGGGUAGAGAGAGAAUACAAUUAAUUGGAGAGGAGAGGAAUUGGAGAGAGAAGACGGAUGAGGGGAGAAAUUGAUUUAUAUAAUUAAUAUUUAAAUAUAAAAAAUUUGAUUUUUGAAAUGUUAAAUUACUCAUCUUAUUUUUGAACCCUAGAUUUUAAUUCUAGGGCUUUUUGUAAUUACCACGAGCACAAUUUGGCAAUGUUGUACCGGUUCGACCAAUAAAAUGUGGACUGGCCCAAAACAUUGCAAAUUGGACGUCAUAAAUAGUUCCAAAGCACUAUCACCUGUUGACGCUUUCAUAGGUCGACUUGAAAAUGAUGCACAUGCAAUUAGGAGUGGGCGCGAUCUGAUUUGGUUCGAUUUCCGUGGGCGAGGUCCGAUUUGGCUCGAUUUGAAAGGAAAUCGAACCGAACUAAAUACCAAUGGGAAUUUUAGAAAUGAAACCGAACCGGAACCGAACCAAUCGGUUCCGAUUCGGUCCGAUCUGGUUCUUUACAUUGAAAAUGUCAAAAUAAAAUGUUCACUAAUAAAAACUUUAAAAAUGCUACCAAUGUGAUACUUUUAACAAAAUAUAGAAGAACCAAACAUACUAUUCAAAGAUCUAUUUAGGUAUAGAUUUACAAAGUGAAAACAAAAUAAUAAUCAGGUAAUCAAAGUGAAAACAAAAUAAAAAUUCCGUAUCUUAUAAAUGAAAUUAUAUAUUGUAAAUAUUUAUUUAGAUAUAGAUUUACCCAAUAUGCUAAUUUGGUUUGAAAAUCAAUUAAUCAAGGAAUUAUAAGAAGGGACAAGGAAAAGAGUCUAAAAUUAAGAAGGAACCCAAUUAUUUUUUAUAAAGGUGUUGGAGAUUGAAUCAUAUAUUUUACCAAAAAAAAAGAGGAAAAAAUCCAAUGAGAACCGUCUGGUCCCCGCAGUUCCCGUACUAGAAUCGGGAACCAAAUCGGAACCGAUCGAUUCUUAAAAAUUUGUCUCGAAAUCAAAUUUUUUUAGAAGAUCCAAAACCGAAUGGGCCAGUUCUAAAUGGUUCUGGUCCGGUUCCACCAGUUCUGGGAAAAAGCGUCCACUCCUAUAUGCAAUGUCAAUAAUCCAGUAUCCAAAAAGAUGCCGUCAAUUUUGAUUGAAAAUGGUAAAAAUUCAAAAUCAGAGUAAUUUUGGACUGAAGAUAUGGAUUAAAGAGAGCUUGAGAUAUGUGGAAGACUAUUUCAAGGUGUGGAGUCAUAAGCCAAAACUAUUGAUGGUCGUCUCUUCAUAGUUAAUUAAAUCUUCUUUUGUUUUCCAUCAUUACUAAAGAAAUAUGUUUCCAAUAGCAUUCAUUUUGAAACAUAUCUUAUCUUCCGUCUCUCUAAUUCUCUAUAUGAAGCCAAAGAGUAGGGAUAGCAAAAAACUCCCUUUAAACUUGAUAUCCGCAGGCCCCGUCCCAAACUAGGUGGGUAUUACCCACUUAAUCAACUAUUCAAGUUGGGUUCGGGUCGGGAAAUUUUGCCCCGAGGCUGGUACGGUUAACACGCACCUCCGUCCAACUUAUUUAUUUAUUUAAGAAUUCAAUACUUUAAAUCAAAAAUCUCGCGAAAUUUCAUUAAUUCUACUAAAAGACGACAAUUAAGAUUAUUUAAGGAAUACGAAAACAAUAAGAACCUUAAUUUAUCAAAUAUAUUCUAAUAAUUUAACUAUUAAAAUAAAUAAAUUAAUUAAAAAUUUAAUAACUAUAUUAUUAUCUCACUUUAAUGAAUGGAGACAAUGAAAUGAAUUAUCAAAAACUAAAUAAAUAUAAAUAAAAAAAAGUACGUAAACGAGACCAGUCCCGCCUCGCCUUAAACAAGUAACGGGGCGAGAAAUUACCCAGCGGGGCGGGGUCAUUGCCAUUCCUACUAGUAGAAUAGUUUCUCUUGCAGGCACAGAAAACUAGUAAUAUUAUCAACGUCAGAUUUUUUUCCUCCUUCAAAAUUUCCUUAUGUUCUCAUUUUUUAGUAAAAUAACAAACUAAAAUGCCAUAAAAAUAUUUAAUCGACUCAAUUAUUAACUCUUUUCUUUAUUUUUUUAUCUCAUUUAUAUUAAUAUUAGAAGUGGAUCGAAUAAGAUUUAAUUGUAAUCAAGUUUAUUAAUUAAUUUUUAUUUCUAUAUAUAAGUCAUUUUGAAAAAAUAACAUAUUUUGUCAAAAAAUACACACACACACACACACACACAUAUAUGUUAUUAAAGAUUCGACUUCGAUUUAAUCUUUCAAUCCUUGACCCUUUAACUUUUUCGGAUAUAUGGCUAGGUAUUUUUUCACAAUAUUGGAUAUUGUAAUUUUUUUUUCCAUAAUCACCAAUAUUGUCCAACCAACACAUAAUGAAUGUUGAUUCGUUGAUGCAAAGAUGCCAUUGAAUGAAAAAAAUGGGGUGGAUAGUAUGUUCUUCCAAUAAACACGGUAUUAUACAAUUCAAAGAUUCUCAUUCACCUGAUAUGAAGUCAAGCACAUGUGGCCAACUUUUUGAACUUAUAUUGGUAAAUGAACAAUCAUGCUACUUGUACAGUGAAUUUGACAAUGUGUGAGUUGACAAGCAUCAUAUUCAUUGAUUUGAAAAAUUGUUUCUGAAUUCAAUUGUUGGGAUCUUUACACUUUACAAAUUUUCAAACUCAUUGUACAAAUAGAUUAAUUCUUAUACGAAUGACUGCGUGGAAAUAAAACGAAAGGAAGAAACCAAGAGAAGUACCUUCAUUUUCUUGAGCAAAUCAUAACCAGCAUUCCUUUCACACGAAAAUUUGUAGAGGAGUGCUUCAAAACCAGGGAUUAAAUCCUGGGUUUCAAUUCUAGGCCGAGGUGGACAUCCGCUCUUGAUCAUCAAUCACGCAAGGCUCGCACAGUUUCGCAUUGGGGGCCAAGGAAACCCGGGAUUUUAUCCCUGUUUGAGCAGCAAUUUCCUAAUUUGUAAUACAAGAUUUCAGAUUUGUAACGAAUUUAAUUGAAUGAUGAUGAUUUGUCAGUAAAUAAUGUAAUUAAAAUUGUAUAUUAAAGGAAGAAAAUUAUAUAAGUAAUCAAACUAAAAUUAUAAAAUAAUGUUUUAUAUUGGUUAUGUUAUAAAUAAUUUAAAUUAUAAAACGAUUUAUUGAGCAAUAGAUGAAAAAUAAAAGAAGUAAUAAAGAAUAAUUUUUUUGUCAACAAUAAACUACCAAAGUAACGUCAAUGAUUGCCAGAGACAUCAUGAUCAAUAACUGCUUACCGAAGUGGGUUGGUGAAUUAGGAAUCACUUACGGUAUUGAUGAUAUUUUAUCUCGAAUUCUGCCGGAUACCGUAAGUGAUCAUUAAUAUUUGACAAACUAAAUUUUUUUAUGAUAGUUUCGUCAAUAAAUAAAGUAGUUAAAAUUUAAUAUUAACAAAUAAAUAUUAUGUUGUUAAUACAAUUAAAACUUGAAAAUAACAUAAAAUUAAAAAACCAAAGAUUUCUUAAGUUACUUCAAAAUAAUAAAAGAUGUAAAAAGAUGCUUCCCUACAGCAUAAUUAAUGACCAAAGCACUGUCGAUGAUUGUCACUUACAUAAUUAUCAUCGAUAAAUGUGGACGGAGAUAGAGAUGUGCCGACAAUCAUCGAUGGAAUCGUCGUCAAAAGUUCCAUCCACAUUAUGUAACGAAGUUUUCGUUGAUGAUUGUAUGUUCCUUUAAUUUUAUUAUUAUCAUCAUGGUAAUUAUAUGUCUUUUCUUUUUUCGAAUUAUUGAAGUAGUAGAUUUGUUAUUGGGUGCUUUUAAACUUCAGUUAGCUUUUUCUGUAAAAUGCCAUAUAGUGGAUGUUAUGUUAUCUGCUUGAAUUUGUAAUAAUCACAUUUGGUUUCCUUAAAGGUGAUGAAGCUGAAGUAAUUUCCCAACGACCAUUUAAUGGUAUAUUACAUUAAAUUCCAUUAUUACGAUAUCUGGUAAAUCUGUUUAUUUUCCAUUCUUUUCCCAUUAAAAUGAAAAAUAUGAUUAUUAUCCGUCACAUCGAGCCACUUGUGUAGAGUCCAUAACAACUAUAUUUUUCAUUCUCAUUCUUACAAAAAUGAGAAACAAAAUGGGCUAGAUGUCUGUUUUACAUUGAAGUCCAGGAUUGGAUAUGAGAACACCCCCUCCCCCCCCCUCAACUAAUCAGACGCAAGCCCCUCCUCGGGCGGAUUCCUCCUUUUGCUCCUCAGCCUACGGGGUAUUAGCAGCCGUUACAAAAACAAAAACAAAAAAACUGUUACAAAUGAAGUGGAUGUUGAGAAUUAAAAAUUCUUAUUUUAUUCUACCAAGAGCAGUCAAUUGAAGAAAUAAAAAUAAACACUCAAAAGCAAGCAAAAUUUAUAGAGUUUCGCCUCAACGUGAAACUACGUCUUCUUCUGUCGGUACAGUAACCCACUAUGAUGAAAAGAAGGUUUACAAAAGCACUCUCUCUCUCUCUCUCUCUCUCUCUCUCUCUCUCUCUAUAAUAAUUAUAAAGUCGAACCACGGCCCCCUAUUUAUAAAGCAUAUAAAGGCAAAAUCGAAUUUUACAUUAACUCCAAUUCCUUAAUAAAAUUUUACAAGAAUACAAAUAUCUAAACAAUUCUUAGAUUAAAUUUUGGUUAGGGUAUCUCCACCCCCCACCCUCGGGGCCUCCUGCUCCCUUCCAACUCCCACGGCAACCUCACCACAGAGAUUGAUCAAUGCCAACUUCGUGAAAUAACAAUAAUUAUAAUCGAUAAUAAUUAAACUCCCUAACUUAACAGUGAAUGAUCACUCGAAUUCGGCAAGUGAUGUGGUAAUGGUACAUGCAAGUACACUUCUACAACGAAUUUUGGUGGUGAUAUGCAAGCGGAGGUAUGUCUUUAGAUGAAUUAUAAGAAACGGAUCGAAUAUUCGAAUUUUUGUGUUGCAUUGUCUUAUUCAUUAAAGCAUGUAUUUAUAGACCAAAAAAGCAAAGCGAAUUCCAUUUCAUAUUUGAUUAACUCAAUAGGUAAUGAAAUUCAUUAAUUUGAUUUUCAAAAUUAGUCCUUUGUUUAGACAAGUUGAUUCAUAAAGUAACGUGUGUCAAGUACUUCUAUCAUGUGUUCAUACAUGGACCAUUGAAGGGGCGAACAAGGCAGUGGAAUGAGAGGGACCACCAUAAUAGAGGAGAGUUUGAUUUCAUAAUUUGAAAAAAAGGGGCCGAAGUAUAAAAAAAGGUGGGCAUGAGUAAAAAUGCUUAAACGAGAAACUUAGCCUCAACUGCUUUAUAUACUACAAAAAGAUGUUACAGUUUAAAUAACAAGCUUUACAAACUACGAUAACGAGUAAAAAGUCUAUGUACCAUUUGUGCAACACGAGUAAAACACAUUGAUAUAUCAAUAUCCAAUUGUACGAACAGCGAAAGCUAGAACAGAGUUUGGGUUAUCUACUCUAGCUUUCAUUUGGCAAUGGAUCCUUUUUGCCACACAUUGCCAAGAAAAACUUAGAGACCGACCCAGUGUGAGCGAACAUUGGAGUUGUGCAUAGAAGACGCACUUGGAGAUGUCACACGCCAUUCGUAUCAAACCAGUGAUAAUUAAAUUAAAUGCAAUUAAUAUCGGGUUAGACAUAAAGAGUUAAGUAAUUCCCAACCUAUAUUCUCUGUAUCUUGCCCAGUGUUUUUAUGCAUGUCCUAGGACUAAAAGGACAUUUCAAAAUUAGAUGGAUUAAACCCACCAACCUAAAACAAAUUCUAAUUCACUUCUUGCCCAUAGAGAAUAAUAAUAAUCAUUUUCAGCAGCAAGUAUAUAAAUUGCCCGUAUAUCCAUUACUUAAGGCUACGCAACAUAAAAAUUUAUUUAGAUAAUUAGGAUAUAAUUUAAAUUAAACAUUGCAAACACAUUGGGACAGAUAUUAUUUAUCUUAGGAUUCCAAAGUGGAGAUGAUCAUCUGAGAAGUUAAUAGCACCAACUCUACUUUAUUAUACGUCUCUUAGUGCAACGCAUGACCGAGAAUUCUACAAGUGCAAGAUUCAAUUUAAUUUGAGCUUUUAUCUCAUUUCAAUCGCUUUAACAUUUUCAACACUACAUAAUCAAGAAUCGAUGGACCUCCAAAUGAGUAUUCCGUGUCACGCUAACUGGCGUACUCAAUAGGAAAAAUAUUGGAAACCUGCAGAAAUCGAAGCCAACCAAAAGAGAACAAUCAUCUCAUGGAUAAUAUAUUCACUCCAAUGUACAAUUUCUUUCAUGGUGCAUUUUAUGCUUUCAUAGAACUUUUUCGAUUGAAUUUUCAAUUUUUCUUUAUUGUGCGGUUGGGGGAGAGUAGGAGGGUGUCUUAUAUUUUAGUGGCUUUAAAUAGAAUCUUUACUAAUGAAUAUGGGAUCAACGCAUACCAAAACCAACUGUACCUAUAGAUACGAUAAUAGGCAGAAAUAUUUGUCCAUAAUUUUGCAUGAUUAGCAUUCAUCAUAUAGCAUUACCUUAGAUUUUUGGAAAUAUUCAUGAAAGAAAAUAUUUGGUGUUGCUGUAGAUAGUUCAAUAAACCAUUUGACACAAACACCAACUAAAAGAAUAUCUCAAUGGUCGCCAUCUGCUACAUGAUGUCAUUGGAAGUAUAUUUUCUUGAUUAACAAAAUCAACAAUUUACGCUUUAACCUCUCUACAUUCCAGGAUAUGUUGUUCUUGUCCAUUAUGUCAUCUUUUCCAACACCGAUUUGACUGCAUGAUUGCCAACCAUGGCCUUGGCUUGGAAAAUGAAACACUUUGUCAACAAAUAUGAAUACGACGCAACUGAUAAAGCAAUUGAUAUUAGCCUUCUUCAUCACUAUGGGCAAAGCUUGCAUUGAGCCCAUAAUUGGCUAUAAUUAUCAUAUGGUGACUGAUAAGUGUGUUUUUGCACCCUCAUUUAAUGCCUAAAUAAAUUUAAAUAUUGAUUAAUUGAGCAAAUUUUCAUUCACAAUUAUGUAAUUAUUGCAUUUGUAAGUAAAAAUCACCCAAGGUAAUAGAAGAGGUAAAAGGAAGUGAGAAGGGACCAAAAGCGUACAAAAUUGUGAAGUUGGGGUCCAAAAUGCAUAAGUGCCAAAAGUUCAAGGACUUGGGAUUGCAAAUUUUGGAGGGCGUAAUUGAAAGAAAAGUCAAAAUUUGAGGACCAAAUUGUCCAGUCCAAAGUUGAGGGAUAGUGUGCAAAUAUGGGAGGACCUGAACUACAAAUAAUGAAAAAUGGGAAGUAAUGCCACUGGCACCACUAUAGCAGCACCGCGGCAACGAACAGGACCUAUUUGGCUAUAUUUUUGUAAUUGGGGACCAUUUUGCAAUUAACCUAACAUGAUUUUUGGGCCUUUUAAAAGGAAAAUUCAACAAUGUUUCCCCUAUUUCUCUCUUGAACUUGAAGAGAACCCUAGCCUCCUCUUUCUCUUUCACUUUCCUUUUCAGUUUUUCUUUCUUUUUCUUUUCUUCUUCUUCUUAUCUUUUCUUUGGUAAUUUUUGGGGCACAAUCUAGAGCACAAGGAGAUUUGAUUAAGGAUUUGACAAAAGCUUUGGGGAAAUCAAGAGCAAGCUCAAAAAAGGGUUUUAUCUACAACUUGUAUUUUCUCAAUUAUUUUGUCAAACUUGCAAUGUAUUGUACAAAAUAUUCUCCUUUUUAUCAUUUGUAUGAAAUGGGCAAGUUAUUUGUGUUGGGAUUUAUUGUUGUAGUUUAAUCUAGCCUUGAUUAAUUUUAAUAUUUGCCCUUUGAUAUUGAUUUGCUUAUUUUCAUGUGUUUUUCUUCUAUUGUAUUUCAUGCAUUUUCAUUUAUGUGGUCAAUGUAUGAUUGUGUUUAGUGAAUUUUAUAUCGUUCAAGAGAAGAUUGUGCAUUUUAGACCAAAUAGUAGAAACCCUGAGUUUGUGUAGGGGAUAGAGAUAUACCCCUAACCCUAGGUGACCCAAUGAGCUAUUUUUACAAACAUUUAAUGCAAUUGUUUAGUUUUAAUCUAUAUAGAGAUAUAAUAGGGUUAAUUUCGUUCAAGAGAAGUAAUUAAUUAAAAUUAAAACAUCGCUCUAACAUCGUAAAUGAGUAACUUUUUAAUUGACUUGUGGUGAAAUUAAUUAGGCGACGGUUAAAUGAAACCAUGAAUCUCAACUACGUUUUCUUCCAAGAUUUUCAAGAUUUUUAUGUUUUUUUAUUUUGUAGGUUUUUAGUUAAUUUCCUUAUUUCAAAAUCAUAUUUUUAAUUAUGUAUGUUUAUUUUUAUUGUUAGAAUUAAAUUAUUAAUUACGGUUGUGUAAUCUAAAGUAUAUAUUCCUCAAGGAUCAACAAUCCGGACUCAAAAUGUCCACUUUAUUACUUGAACGCGACUCGUGUACUUGUGAUGUAUAAUUUUAGCGAAAUAGUAACAAGUAAUCAAAAGUACAAGGAUGUUACAAGUAAAGCCUGACAAUAAUACCAUAAUCAAGGAAUGGAAAGUCUUUCCAAUUGAAACUAACGUUCAGCUUGAGCCACCAUAGCUUUGCAAUCCUAAAACAGACAUAAAUUUAGAUAAUAGUAGUUCUUAUUAUAUUAAUUCAUCAGCUAACAAAUAAAUCAGUCCUUCCUCUAGAUUACUAGUUGAGUGUGAAGGGGCAAAGCAAAUCGAAAAUAAAUUACUUUACAUAAUAAUUAUACAAAAUGGCUAAUUUUGGGCAAAAGGUGGAAAAAUACUAGGCAACCCUUCCAUUUCUGAUGAAACAGAUAUACCAUAACAGAAUAAUUGACAUUCCUUCCCCUUUCAUCAUCCAACUAAACUUUCUUUAAGAAAAAAAAUCUCGAAGUUAAAAAUCCACGAGUAACAGAAUUUUUUUCUGUGGUUUUUUCUCCUCUUUGCCCAUUGUUUUUACCUUCUUGGAUUUUCACGUAAAUUUUGUGCUCUUGUUAUCAUUUUAUAUUGUCGAUUCUUGCUUUUUCUUAAUAUGUAAUUUGAAAAAAAUAAUAAUAAUAAAAUAAAAUUAGGCUUGUAAAAUAGGUAGUCCGGGUAAAGUUAGCAGUGAACAAAUAUAAUAUGAAUGUGAAAAACCAAGUGACAUCAAGCCAAAAAGCAGCUGGAUGAACUAUGUAUAUGUAUUAUUAUUAUGAUUAUGGUUAGUAGAUCUAUAGCAUGCUACAAAUACCUAGAUAUACAAUUACUAAAUUCCCAGGUAAACCCAAUUUAUUUUCACUUGAAUUCAACUAUACAGUGAAUUAUUCAUUGUCAACAACUUCUACAGCAUUAUAGAAAAAAUGAGAUAUCUAGGAACUAGGUAUUUUAUCAAUAAAAAUAGGGAAGGUGGCUCAAGGGAGUGACAAAAUUAUUAAUAAGAUGAGGCAAAUUAAAGAAACAAACAAAUGUAGGAAGUUGAAAUCUACUUAAGAAACAAAAAGUACUUCCCUAUCAGUCGGAAGGGACAACAUGAUAGAUACCAAAACAAGGCAAUUGCUAAGAGAUUCAAAGAUUACAUAAUUAUAAGCGAGAAAAAAAUAAAUAUUGAUGAUUUAUUGUGGUUGAUAAUGGGGGUUGGCUAACAAACCUUACGUAGAAACUAUACCAUUCGCGGUCAAACCAUGAUCCCUGAAUUUGAAACGGGCAUAUAACGAUUUGCAAAAGAGAUAAUGGUGUUGGAUUCCCGGUGGAUAAUGCACAUGUAGACUCUGAUUUCCUGCGCACUAGGAUUGAACAUAGAGGAAAUCAUUGAAAAUGACCCAAUAACCCUUGUGUAUUUCCAAAGUAACAUUUGACUAGUUUUUAGAGAAAAAAAACGAAAAUUGAUUUUAAAGGUCAAAAUCCCAAAAUACCCUCAGACGGUCACUUUCCCAUUUGCUUAGAGUCGGCAAAAACCAAGGAAAAGCUACGGUCAAUUUUCAAUCGAUAGGCGUUUUCAGUUCAUCUCUGGCGACCUUCUUCUUGUUAAAGUAAGCUUCGAGUUGUUAAUUAACUAGAUUAAUGUUUAGAUUUUCAUAUUGUAUGUGAAUGUUGAAUUUGUGAAGGUUUUUGGAAUAUAAUAUUGGUUAUGUAGGUGUAGAAUUAUGAAUAUGUGUCUAAAUUGGAGAAUAAUAGGUGGAUUUUGAGAUUUGCAAACUUUUCUUGUUGGAAAUGGAGAUUUUUCGACAAGAAAAGCCGAAAAAAAUGCCGGCUGCGUUUGUAGCCGGCAUUUUUGGUAAAACCCAACUGCGUUUGCAACUUGCAUUUUGGGGAAAACCCGGCUGUUAACAGUCGGGUGCCCGACCGUUAACAGCCAGUUGGCCCAAUUGUCAUGGGGACUGUUUUUAUUUUUCAUGGGCUGACUAACAAGUGGGCUGACUAUAACAAUUUUUUUUUAUUUGGGCUAAUUAAUAGUCGUCCCAUUAUUUGGGCUGACUGUUUAGUCAGCCCAUUGACUGUUAAGCAGGUCGAACAGUCAGCCCAUUGACUGUUAAGCAGGCCGAAUGUUAUGGUCAAGCCGAUGCCUUUAUUUUUUUUAUUAUUUUUUUCUUACAUAUAUUUAAGAAUUUCAUUUUAAAUAAUUUUAAUUAUUAGUUUUUAAUAAAUAAUAAUUUAUUUAUUUGUAAAAUUUAAAUGUGAUAUUUAAUUUGAAUAUUUAUUUUUAUUUCCUCAUUUUUGAUAAAUAAUAAUUUUUCAUUCUCGAAUAUAAUUAAUUUUUAUAAUUUUAAUAUUUAAUAAUUCUUUUAAUUUUAAAUUUAAAUUUCAUAUUUAGUUUUAUUAAUAGUUUUUAUAAAUAAUAUUCUUUUCGUUAAUCGAAUUUCAUUAAUUCUUGUCAUUGUAAUUUUGAAUAAUUAUUUAAUUUUAAAUUUCGUUUUUAUUUUUAUUAAUAGUUUUUUAUAAAUAAUAUUCUUUUCGUUAAUCGAAUUUCAUUAAUUCUUGUCAUUGUAAUUUUGAAUAAUUAUUUAAUUUUAAAUUUCGUUUUUAUUUUUAUUAAUAGUUUUUUAUAAAUAAUAUUCUUUUCGUUAAUUGAAUUUCAUUAAUUCUUGCCAUUGUAAUUUUGAAUAAUUAUUUAAUUUUUAAAUUUCAUAUUUAUUUUUAUUAAUUGGGUUGAUUGUUAAUUUUGACUGACUGUUAACAGUCUUAGGCCGACUGUUAACAGUCAGACUAUUAACAGUUUAAUUUUUUUUAAAAAUAUAUAUAUAUAUAUUUAAUUUUUUAAUUUUUUUAAAUAUAUUUUAUAAUUAAUUUAUUAAUAAUUAUGUUAUUUAUUUAUUUAUUUUUUUAAUUGUCUUUUAUUUAUAUAAUUUAAUAAUUGAAUAUUAUCUAAAAGUAACAAUUUAUUUUCCAUGUUAUUUAUUUAAUUUAAAUUUUUUUUGUAAAUAUAUUUUCCAAGUGUAAUAUACAAGAUUAAUUUUCUUUUUAAUUUUCAUUUGAUUAAAUAAUAAUUAUGUUAUUUAUUUAUUUAAUUUUUUAAAAUUUAUUUAAAUAAUAUUUAUAUUCUUUAAAUUUUUUUGAAAAUAUAUUUAAUCUUUAAUUUUUAACUUUUUUGUAUUAUUUAAAUAUUAAUAAUUUCCUUUUGCUGAAAAUCUCAUUAAUUUGUAUUUUAAUUUAAUUAAUUAUUUUUAACAUUUGUAUUGAAUUUAUUUUGUUAUUGGCGUCAAGAAUUCGGUUCUCAUUGAUUUUUUGAGAUUAUGCGUUAUUAUAUUAUCUCUUGUUCAAUGUUCUAGCAUUUGAAUUUUUGCAGGAUGGAGUAUCAUUUAGAUGGAGAGUUGAGACGGAUGGCGGGGAAAGCUACUUGGAACAGUAGCUUUGAGAUUUUUACUACUGUGUUGGAGAUGCUCAAUGAUCAUCACGAAAAUAUGCUAUGACAGUCCUUCUUGUGAGCACUGUACUAGAUGCAAGAGUUGCAAUACUCAGGACUAAUCAUCGAUGCACUUCUAUGUCGGCUUCUGAGGCCAGUCGAUGGCGAUUCCCUCCACUUCGACCUCGGAGGCAAGGUCGUCAGUUUCUCGAUGUAUGAGUUUAGCUUGAUCACUGGACUGAAGAUUACGGGCGACAAUGCAGCCAUUAAGAGAAGCAAUAGGUUGUACGAGACGUACUUCCAGGGACAUGGGUCGGUGCAUCUACCCGAGUUGAUGGUUGCGAUCAGGGGGUACGACCAGAUGCUAGAUAGAUUGAAAUUUGGGUUGGUCUACAUCCUCGAGAAUGUGAUGAGGUGUCAUCACAAGAAGACUGCCAUCGACAUUUUUUCAUUUGCAAGUUGUUGACGACAUCGAUGCGUUCAACAACUAUCUAUAGGGCCGGAGAUACUACGAAGACACCGUACAUGUGCAUGUGUUUAUUAAAUGAAUAAAUCAUACUUUUUUGGUGUUUCUUGAUGCAGUACAUCGGCCUGGCCAUGGACUUGCUACGAGAUCGAGCUCAAAGACAUCCAAAAUUAUUUGACGUCCAUGGUCGAGUCAUAUUAAACACCGAGUUCCUACGUGUCGUUACCAUAGAGUAUCAGUCGCUCCAACUUAUGAGUAACGAGUACACGGUGCUAGAAUCUAUGCUUGAGUGGGUCAUAUGAAUGUCGCCGAGUGUCGGGAGAAAAUCAUGGGAGGGUUGUACACAUAUGUACAUUCCAGCGUGCAUCAAUAAUCACUAUGUUACGUUGGAGAUCGUUUUUGCUGACACGACUAUAUAUGUGUACGACGCAGAUCAUUCAUGUUUGACACAAGGCCAGCUGGAGCAAAACCUAGAGUCCGUAGUUGUAAUUGUUACUAUGAUGGCCAGACGAGCGGGGAUGAUUGUACAGGACAGAUUGCGGAUUGUUCGGAGCACGACAACGGUGUGACAGUCCAUAAGGUAAGUGUUUGAACUUUGUUAUUUUCAUCUUUUAGAUUUAGUUUUUAGCUACACAGUACUGAAUUGAUCCAUUCUUGUUCAAUUGUAGCGGCGACUGCGGCAUAUUUCUCAUUAAGUACGUUGAAUUUUUAAGUAUAGGAUAUAAGGUUGAUGGAAUCAACCAAUCGUGGAUACAGAACUGGAGAAAGAAGCUAGCUUGUGAUUUGUUUGAAUUUAAUGGUGACCCGUAAAUUUGUAUUAAAUAUAUGUAACAUUCAAAUUGUAAAUUUAAUUAUUUUUUGUGAUUAUGAAAUAAUUGUAAAUUUGUGUUCAAUAUAUAUAACAUUCACAUUGAAAAUUUAAUUAUUUUUUUGUAAGUUGAUUUUUUGUUAUUUUACACAUAUGCCGAGUGUGGAACUACUUUUUUCAUAUGAAUCAUUAUAAAUACUUGAGAGCUCAGGGGGUGGAACAAGUGGACCGUCCUCCAAUUCUUCAUGUGUGGCUCCCGAUGAUGAGAAUUUGAAUGUCAAGCAACUAUUUGAAACCAAGAAAGAUUUGUAGGAAGCUGUGCACCGGAUAGCAUUAAAAUAUAACUUUGAAUUCAAGGUAAAGAAAUGAACCAAGUCAUUGUUGACACUUGCCUGCGUUGACGACAAUUGCAAUUGGCGCUUGAGAGCGACUAAAAUGGACACGAAUGAGUGCUUUGUAGUUCGUAAAUAUGCACGAAAACAUACUUGUAAAGUGGGAAUUUGUCGAAAUGAUCACAGGCAAGCUCGAGCAUGGUUUAAUGGUCGACAGAUAAUGCACAAGUAUCAGAACCCACGGACGAUCUAUAGACCUUCGGAUAUCAUUAACGACGUUCGUUGAGAGUAUGGAGUGGUCAUGAGCUACCAGAAAAUCUGGAUGGCCAAAAAAUGUGCGUUGGAGGAUUAAAUGGGAUCGGCUGAGGAGAGCUAUACUAAAUUGGCCAGGUAUUGCCAUAACAUGGGGACAACUAAUUCUGGCACGGCAUUUUUUAUUGAGACGGGGGGCGAUAAUUGUUUUAAAUAUUUCUUCAUGGCUCUCGGACAAUGUAUUUGGGGUUUUUGAAAUGCAAUGUGACCCGUAAUUCUAGUUGAUGGUACAACUCUGAAAGCUAAAUAUCAAGGCAAAUUAAUUAUUGCUACAUGACAAGACGCCAACAUCCAAAUUUACCCUAUUGCAUUCGACAUAGUCACAUCGAGAAUGAUCUCUCCAUGCGUUGGCUCUUUUCUAAACUGAGGUAAGUGAUCGGGGAAGUCGAAAACCUUGCCUUUGUAACCGAUUGGGGACAAUCUAUAAUAAACAGUAUCGCUAAAGUUUUUCCUGAGGCACAUCACGGGUAUUGCAUGUACCAUAUAUAAGGUAAUUUGAAGACUAGGUAUCGGGGCAAAGGCAUCGUUUCAUUGUUCAGAAGAGCAGCCAAAGCUUACAGUGCUGAAAAGUGUAAUAAGUUCAUGUUCGGAUAGGAAGUAAAUCAUUACCGACGUUGGAGUAUCUGACGAACAAGGAGAUCGAACAUUGGGUACGGUCAUACUUUUCAGGACAUCGAUACAACAUGAUGACGUCGAAUAACGCGGAGUCUCUCAAUGCAUUGUUUAAGAAGGAUCGAGAGUUAUCAAUCCUCGUAAUAAUUGAGAAUAUUUGUAAUAAGCUGCAACAGCGGUUUCAUGACCAACGUGCGGCAUCACAGAGUUGCACUAGCGUGUUGGCCCCAGCUCAAGAGGAUAAACUCUUUAAGGCGGCAGAUGUUGGGAGGAAGUUGAAUGUGGAAGCACUAGAUGAGUUCCACUUCUCCGUGCAAUGUGCACGUAAUACGGCAUAUAUGGUGGACUUGACUUAUAACACAUGCACUUGUACGAGAUUUCAGUUGGAGAGUUUUCCAUGUGAGCAUGUAGUUGCGGUGGCCAUGUAUCGAGGCUUUACAGCGAGAACGUUAUGCUCUUUGUAUUAUACGACUAAGUCUUGGAGAAUAGUAUAUGCUGAUACUAUAUUUCCUCUGCCGAAUGAAGCCGAGUGGGAAGUUCCCGAGCACAUUCUCCUGUUUCAUAAUUUGUUGCCACUAACAGUUGAACCGCGUGGUCCUGGACGUCCAAGUAUAUCUAAAAUACUAUCUACCAGAGAGUUUCCUUGACCGCGUAGGUGUGGUAGGUGCAGAGCCAUAAGGCAUACUCGACAAUUUUGUACUAGUCAAAUUUCCCUAAAUGACAAUUAAACAGGUACGUUAAAUGAAUAAUAUUUCUGUUUACUUUACACUGUUCAAUAUUUGUUUUUCAUAAAUGUUCAAUGUUUAGUAUUUAUUCUUGAUAAAUGGUAUUUAUAAUGAUUCAUAUGAAAAAAAUAGUUCUAUACUUGGCAUAUGUGUAAAAUAACAAAAAAUCAACUUACAAAAAAAUAAUUAAAUUUUCAAUGUAAAUGUUAUAUAUAUUGAACACAAAUUUACAAUUAUUUCAUAAUCACAAAAAAUAAUUAAAUUUACAAUUCGAAUGUUACAUAUAUUUAAUACAAAUUUAUGGGUCACCAUUAAAUUCGAACAAAUCACAAGCUAGCUUUUUCUCUAGUUUUGUAUCCACUAUUGGUUGAUUCCAUCAACAUUACGUCCUAUACUUAAAAAUUCAACGUACUUAAUGGCAAAUAUGCCGCAGUCAUCGCUGCAAUUGAAUAAGAAUGGAUCAGUUCAGUACUGUGUAGCUAAAAACUAAAUCUGAAAGAUGAAAACAAUAAAGUUCAAACACUUACCUUAUGGACUGUCGCACUGUUGUCGUGUUCUGAACAAUCCGCAAUCUGUCCUGUACAGUUAUCCCCACACUUGAGCAUAUAUUCUGCCACCGUGUACUCGUUAUUCAUAAGUUGGAGCAACUGAUACUCUAUGGUAACGGCACGCAGGAACUCGGUGUUUAAUAUGACUCGACCAUGGACGUCAAAUGAUUCUGGAUGUCUUUGAACUCGAUCUCGCAGCAAGUCCAUGGCCAAAUCGAUGUACUGCAUCAGGAAACACCAAAAAAGUAUGAGUUAUUCAUUUAAUAAACACAAAGUGACAUAUACAUAAAAAACACAAAAUGAAUAGUUCACUUACAUCGUUGGCAAGUCAAGCUCCUGAAGUGGUGACAUCGUGGAACCACUUGUUAGCGUCCGAGACCGUUGUUUGACCUAUCGUGCAGCUAACUCUGAAAAAAUAGGGAAAUGUUAAAAUAUGCAUAGACGAGUUAGCGUAUAGUGCUUUGUUAAAAUCAUACAAUACUUACUUUGGGAUAAUUCUCCUCCACUCCAUCUCGAACGCUUUCCACUUGGCGUUGUCCACCUCUCUGAAUAAGUUCAGAUGCGUCCCAUCGAUGAACGUCCCCCUCUUGGCCUCAGCCGUGAAGGGAAAAACAACAUACUGUGAUGACACUCUCAACCUCUUGCCGACCACCUGCUCCAUUUCAUCAACAGCAUGUCUCUUACCCUCAAUCACGAUGGGCGUCCUCUCGACCUCCGGGGCCAUCUCCUCCGCCCCUCCCAUCGGGGCCACUCCCUCUGUCGUCCCCUCUCCUAUCCUCGUCGGGGCCACCUCCUCUCCCUCCAUAGGCAACCACAAUGAUUCUAAUGUCUCAUCACGUCAAAAAUGUGGGUGACCCCCUCUCCAUCACCAUCUCUGCCACCCUCUCGAUCAUCAUCUCCACCAUCCCCUCUGUCCCCCCAUUGCCUACCGGCUAAAUCUCCUCUAAGUGUCGCUACCGUAUCCUGAAGAUCGACAACGCAAGACCGUAGCAUUCCAACAUCAUGGGAUAGAUCUUCAACCCUCUUUGUCAACUCUCGUCCCAUAUCAUCGACCUUUCCUAUCAGAUAGUCGACCUUCCCAGUCAGAUCGUCGACCCUCCUUGUCAACUCUCGUCCCAGAUCAUCAACCCUCUCCGUCAACUCUCGUCGUAGCGCACUAACCUCCUCCACUAUAAAUCCAGUCAAACGGGCAUACAAAUCAUCACUGUGUGUCAGAGAUACACGGGGGAGGUGUCUGGACUAGGGAGAAGGAGAUACCCUCGGCGGUGGUGAUGCUAAUGGCGGCAGCGAUGCCCUUGAUGGAGGUGAUGCCAAUGGUGACGACGAUGCUCUCGGCGGAGGUGAUGCCAAUGGUGGCGGCGAUACCCUCGGCGGAGGUGAUCGUCGAUCAACUGGACCACCAUCCUACAUAAAUAACAUUAAAAAUUAUUCAAUAAAUUUAUACGUCGACGAUAUUCAAUAAAUUAUAUUUAAUUCAUAUACCCAAUCUUGGUCCAGGCUCGGAUCAGACAUCUCCUCGUCUUGGGUCUGCGGAACGCCUAAAUCUCGCACAAGACCCCAAGCCUCCUCUUCCAUCGACGGCGUCAACUCAAGUAUGACUUCAAGCUGACAUAUGAACAUUUCAACUAAUUAACGAUCAUGUAAACAUAUUUUAAAUUACGUAUAAUAUAAAUCACAAAUGCAUAAUACUUACCUUAGGAUCGUCGAUGAGAGCCGAUAAUUAUUUCCCAGUGGGACAUUCGUCCGCUCACGAUGAUCUCCAAUGAUGCAUCUAAGGGCAUCAUGUCUCCCCUCACUUAUGCGUAAAUAUAAUAUACUAAAACUUUAACUUUAAUUAUAUUAAACAUUUAUCUGCACCGCUAUGGGCAAUCCAUAUGUAUCGUAUUUACACAUUGACCCCCUGGGCCUCGAAUGUGAUUUGGUGAAAACAUUUACGGUGUCUUUGCAGCAUCUCCGACCCCAUGGAUAGUUUUCGAACGCAUCGAUGUCGUCAACAACUUGCAAAUGAAAAAUGUCGAUGGCAGUCUUAUUGUGAUGACACCUCAUCAUACUCUCGAUGAUGUAGACCGGCCCAAGUUUCAAUCUAUCUAGCAUCUGGUCGCACCCCCUGAUCGCGACCAUCAACACGGGUAGAUGCAUCGACCCAUGUCCUUGGAAGUACGUCUUGUACAGCCUAUUUCUUCUCUCAAUGGCUGCACUGUCGCCCGUAACCUUCAGUCCAGUGAUCAAGCUAAACUCAUACAUCCAAAAACUGACGACCUUGCCCCCGAGGUCGAAGUGGAGGGAAUCGCCGUCGACUAGCCUCAGAAGCCAACAUAGAAGUGCAUCGAUGAUUAGUCCUGAGUACUGCAACUCUCGCAUCUAGUACAGUGCUCACAAGAAGGACUGUCGUGGCAUAUUUUCGUGAUGAUCUUCGAGCAGCUCCAACACAGCAGUAAAACUCUCAAAGCUACUUUUCCAAGUAGCUUUCCCCGCCAUCCGUCUCAACUCCCCAUCUAAAUGAUACUCCAUCCUGCAAAAAUUCAAAUGUUAGAAUAUUGAACAAAAGAUAAUAAAAUAACGCAUAAUCUCAAAAAAUUAAUGGGAACCGAAUUCUUGACGCUAAUAACAAAAUAAAUUCAAUACAAAUGUAAAAAAUAAUUAAUUAAAUUAAAAUACAAAUUAAUGAGAUUUUCAGCAAAAGAAAAUUAUUAAUAUUUAAAGAAAAAAAAGGUUAAAAAUUAAAAAUUAAAUAUAUUUUCAAAAAAAAUUAAAGAAUAUAAAUAUUAUUUAAAUAAAUUUUAAAAAAUUAAAGAAUAUAAAAAUUAAAUAAAUAAAUAACAUAAUUAUUAUUUAAUCAAAUGAAAAUUAUGAAGAAAAUUAAUCUUGUAUAUUACAUUUGGAAAAUAUAUUUACAAAAAAAAUUUAAAAUUAAAUAAAUAACAUAAUUAUGAAAUUUACAAAAAAAAAAUUUAAUAAAUAAAUUUACAAUAAAUUGUUACUUUCAGAUAAUAUUCAAUUAUUAAAUUAUAUAAAUAAAAGACAAUUAAAAAAUAUAAAUAAAUAACAUAAUUAUUAAUAAAUUAAUUAUAAAAUAUAUAUAAAAAAUUAAAAAACUGAAUAUAUAUAUAUAUAUUUUUAAAAAAAUUAAACUGUUAACAGUCUGAUUGUUAACAGUCGAUCCAAGAUUGUUAACAGUUAACAGUCGGCCCAAUUAAUAAAAAUAAAUAUGAAAUUUAGAAAUUAAAUAAUUAUUCAAAAUUGCAAUGAUAAGAAUUAAUGAAAUUCGAUUAGCGAAAAGAAUAUUAUUUAUAAAAAAUUAUUAAUAAAAAUAAAAACACAAUUUAAAAUUAAAUAAUUAUUCAAAAUUACAAUGACAAGAAUUAAUAAAAUUCGAUUAACAAAAAUAUUAUUUAUAAAAAAAACUAAUAAUAAAACUAAAUAUGAAAUUUAAAAUUAAAAUUAAAAGAAUUAUUAAAUAUUAAAAUUAAAAGAAUUAUUAAAUAUUAAAAUUAUAAAAAUUAAUUAAAUUCGAGAAUGAAAAAUUAUUAUUAAUCAAAAAUGAGGAAAUAAAAAUAAAUAUUCAAAUUAAAAUUUAAAUUAAAUAUCACAUUUAAAUUUUACAAAUAAAUAAAUUAUUAUUUAUUAAAAACUAAUAAUUAAAAUUAUUUAAAAUGAAAAUGUAACUAAAAAAUAAUAAAAAAAAUAAAGGCAGCGGGCAGACCGUAACAAUUGGACCGCUUAAUAGUCAAUGAGCUGACUAAACAGUCAGCCCAAAUAAUGGGCCAACUGUUAAUCAGGUCAAAUUUAAAAAAAAAAUUGUUAUUGGGCCCACUUAACAAUCAUGGGCUGAUUGUUAGUCAGUCCAUGACAAUUGGGCCAACCGAGUUUUCCCCAAAAUGCCGGCUGCAAACGCAGUUGGCAUUUUUUCUGGCAUUUCUCGUCGGAAAAUCUCUAUUUUCGGUGAGAAAAGCUUGCAAAUCUCGAAAUCCACAUAUUAAUCUCCAAUUUAGACCCAUAUUCAUACUUCUACACCUACAUAAUCAAUAUUACAUUUCAAAAACCUCCACAAAUUCAACAUUCACACACAAUAUGAAAAUCUAAACAUUAAUCUGGUUAAUUAACAACUCGAAACUCACCUUAACAAGAAGAAGGUCGCUUGAGAUGAACUGAAAACGUCUACCGAGUAGCUUUUCCCUGGUUUUAGCCGACUGUAAGCAAAUGGGAAAGUGACCGUCUGAGAGUAUUUUGGGAUUUUGACCUUUCAAAUCAAUUUUCGUUUUUUUUUCUCUAAAAACUAGUCAAAUGCUACUUUGGAACUACACAUGAGUUAUUGGGUCAUUUUCAAUGAUUUCCUCCCCUUUCCUCGUGUUUUCAAAUUUCUACUUCCGAUUUGUACCUUUUUUUUUCUAAUUGACAAAUUAAUUAUAAGUACGUUUAUAGAUAGUAUAUAGAAUAAUUUAAUUUGUAAUUUCUGAUUAGUUAAAAUUUGUAUAUUUUAUUCAAAAGAAUCAUUCAAUUUACUUUAAUAUAUUUUUCCUACUGAAAUUGUCUAAUUUUAGUUCGAAGAAUUUUAAUAUAGUUUCAGUAUAUUAUUUUCAUAUUACCAAUAGAAUUUUAUCAUUAAAAUUUUUUAAUUUAUUUUUUAGGAUUUUGGUUAUUUUGUAAAUUAAAAUUUUAAAACAAUCUUUAAUUAAUAGUUAGGAUUGAUUGAAAUUAAACGUAUGCUGAAUUUUUAUUUUUAGUUUUGUUCUUUUUUACAACAAGCAAAAAAUAUUGCAAAUCCUUGUUGCAAAACACACUUGCUCGCAACAUUUAAUGAUUGUUGCAAAAGGUUAUAUAGUAAGAAUUUCAACAAUAUGUACUGAACAUUGUUAUAGAACAAAAUUUUAACAAGUUCAAAAAGAAAAAAAAUAGAAUUAAAACUUUUACAACAUUCAAAGAACGUUACAAAAAGCUAUAUAUUAAGAGUUUCAACAACAGUUAUUGAAUGUUGUUAUAGAACUAUAUUUUUACAACAUUCAUUAAAUGUUGUGAAAAAUCAAAUUUCUUACAACAUUCAAGAAACGUUGAAAAUGGUAAUAUUGACAACAUGCAAUUAAAAAAAAUAUUGCCAAAGCUUAAUUAAAAUUAAUCAAUGGCAAUAUUCACUUAUUAAAAUAUUGCGAUAGACCCAUUUAGCAACAUUCAAUUCACGAGUGUUGCCUUUUGAGUAUUGCAAAAGGCUAUUUUAAUUGUAGUGAAAACUAGAGCCAUGUAUUCAUAGGGAAGGAUUAGGGAUACAAUAGUAAUAAUUUCUAGAGUUACAGGAGUACAAUUAUUAUUCACAAAUAAACUUACCAUGUAUAACAAAAUGGUCUUUUUUUAUUUUUAUUUUUCUUCAAUGUGCUCCUAAAAAGGUUUUUAUUGAUAGCAACAAGGUAAGUCGGACGUUCUCUUUUUUAAAUUUUAAGAGGCGGUAAGGACAUUUUGAUCUUCAUUUUUCGUCCCAUUUAUUUAUUUAUUUACUUAUUUAUGUAUUAUUAUGUGUUUAAAUUUAAAUUAUAUUCAAAAAAAAAUUUUAAAAAAAUAUUAUGAGUCAUGGAUGGGUCUGUGACAGAGAUCAUGUUUCCCAAGCCCAUCCCUAAUAGGGAUUAUAGAAUUCCUGACCUUCAAUCCACAUCGUACCCCGUCCCACAUUGUCCUACCUUGAAUAGUAAAUGGGGCGGGAUGCAUAACCUAUAGUCCCUAGUUUCGAAUUUUUAGUACUAGCUCUGAAUCAUUUUUCAUUAAUAUACUUUAUUUUAUUCUUAUGUUCUUCAUUUAAAUCAUAUUAAAAAAAUAAAUAAAUAAAAUGAUUGUUUUUUAUGUCUCAACCUACCCUACAUUCUGAAAAUUCGAAAUGAAACAAGAAUGAUAUGAUGGCUCCUAUCCAUUGUUAUCCUUAAUUUCAAAUUUCCCGUUGGGCGGAGUAACUUGAAAUUGGCGUUUUGUUAAAGAUUUCCUCAAAUAAUUUAGCAGAAAAUAAGAACAAUGAAAAAUAAAUCCACUUUAAAAUAGGGUCAUCUCUAAAAGAUAAAUGUAUUCUCCAUUGAUUCCCAUUUUUCACUUGAAACUCAUCUCUGUAGGAAGGCUAUGAUCCAAUCCAACCUUAAAAUUUCUCAAAUUAUAUUUAAAAAAAAAUAAAAAAUCACCGUACCUUAACUCUACAAAUAAAGUGGAGUAUUGCCCAAAUAUCCAUGGCAGCAGCUACGCAGAGGCAACACUGAUGGUUCGCAGAUGGUGCAACCACAAAGGGCCUCGACAUUAUAGGGACACCAAAAAAAUUUAUUUGUAUAAUAAUUUUAAAAUUUUAAUUUUUUUAUUAGAAGGACCAUGUUUUAAAAUAUCACACAGGACACCCAAAAUAUUAAGGUCAACCCUACAUCUAAGUACUGCUAUGCAACUUCUCCAUUUCCUAGAUAUUUGGUCAAUAAAAAUAGGGAACGUGGCUCAAGGGAGUGGCAAAAUUAUUAAUAAGAUGAGGCAAAUUAAAGAAACAAACAAAUGUAGGAAGUUGAAAUCUACUUAAGAAACAAAAUGUACUUCCCUAUCUGUCGGAAGGGACAAUAUGACAGAUACCAAAACAAGGCAAUAGCUUAAGAGAUUCAAAGAUUACAUAAUUAUAAGCCAGAAAAAAAAAAUAUUGAUGAUUUAUUGGAGUUGAUAAUGGGGGUUGACUAACAAACCUUAUGUAGAAACUAUACCAUUCGCAGUCAAACCAUGAUCCCUGAAUUUGAAACGGGCAUAUAACGAUUUGUGAAAGAGAUAAUGGUGUUGGAUUCCCAGUGGAUAACGCACAAGUAGAAUCUGAUUUCAUGCGCACUGGGAUUGAACAUAGCUGCUUUAAAUGUCCCAUUACGAGAUAACAAAAACUCCCAGAAGCAUCUACAGAUUUGAAAUUUGAAGGAGUUAAAUUAGGGUAUGCGAAUUCUUUAAAGGAAAUACCAUAUGCAAGAACCAAUAAUAAGGCUAAAACACACAGAUCUAAUCCAGAUUUUGCCCUAGUUGGCAUGGGCGACUAGCUGUGACAAUUGACAUUGCAAAUUUGACGGCGAGGGGAAAUACAUGAAAUUGACCCAAAUAAAAGAGGCUAUUUUCCAAAAUGGCCCUUGACUUUUCCAAACAUUUGGAGCUACCUAAAAUACCCUUAGACAAAUAUUAAAAACAACCUAUUUCAUAAUAAAAAUCUUCUAUCUAAGUCCUUAAAAAAUUAACAAGUAAUUUUUCUAAAAAAUUGAAAGAAUUAUUAAUCUUUAUGAAUAAUUAUAAAAUGAAAAAACCCAAAUAUAAGAGAGGACCAUAUAAUAUAAAAAAAGGUUGUUAAAAAUAAAAAAGAAAUUAAGUUUGGAAAAGAAAUUGAUAAGAUAGGAUAUCAAGAACAAUUAUAUGCAUCACAAGAAAUAUUAAAGUGUUUCAAAGAAAACUUAUUAGAAAAUUUUGUUAAAAGAAUUGUAAGAUCAAUAAUCAUAAAAGAUAUACAAGGUAUCAUAGAUAAAUUAGAAAAAAGGAAGAAAAAUAUCUUAAAAUACGAUAUACCUUUUAGAACAGACAUAGAUAUGAUAAUAGAUGUUGAUAUUAUAAAUUCUCAGACAUUACUAGACUUUAAAGAAUUACUUAAAAAUUUAUGAGAAGGCCAAUAAAAAAUAGAUUACCACAAAGAAUUUUUAGAACAUUAGAUUAUUAGAUUUUUGUUCGCUCAUAGUAGCAUCAUCCCGUUGGUAUCAGAGCCAUAGAGAUCAUGAGAAAAUAUAUAAAAAUAAAUUACCUAAAAGAUAUUGAAAAUAAAUAAAAUUUAUGAUUUUAGAAAUUAUUGAAACUUAUAAAAAUAGACUAAUGUAUCAGGUAAAAUAUAGUUCUAAUAUAGAAGCAUAUAUAGAAGAAGAUAAUAUAGUUGGAACAUAUAGUAAAGACAUAAAAGAAGUAUUAGAAAUUUUUAGAGUAAUUAAAAAUCAACCUUUAGAACUAAAAGAAAAAAUAAUUAAAAAGAUAUUAUUUGAAGAAUAUAAGCACAUAUAUAUAUAAGAAAUCCAGAGUGAAAUAGAUUUCAUAGUAAUCUAAAAAAAAUAUUUUAUUAUGGAAAUCAUAAAAAUAAAUAAUUAUUAUCAAUGUAUUGAAGAAAAAGGAUGUUAUACAUUUUUCAACCCUAUCCCUAAUAAAUUAAAAAUAAUAACAUUAUAUGUAACUAGAAAUUUACCUAGAGAAAUAAAGGAACAAAUAUUACAUAAAUUAAUUGUAGGAUUUAUCAAAGAUUGACGUACAUAUGAAAUAAUUAUCGAAGUAUUUGAAAAUGAAUUAUACCAUAGAGAAAUAUUUGAAUCAUCAUAAAAUAUAAUGGAAGAAACUAAAAAUAUUUUAGAAAGAAAGUCAAGAAGAAUAAGAUUAAUAAAUAAUAAAAUUUUAGACAAAUUAUUAAUACCUGGAGAUAUAACUAAAAUUCAAGAAAAACAAAUAUUAAAAUUAAAACAAGAAAGGUAUAAAGAAAAAGUAAGGUAUUAUGAAAAAUUAAAAGAACUAACAAAUAUUGAAGUUAUAAAACAAAAGUAUGAUAAAAUGAUAAGAGAGUGUAAAAAUGCUGAGUAUAUAGCAUUUUAUUAUUAUCAAUCAAAAAAUUGAUAAAAGAAAAUGUCAAUCAGUGAACAUAAGGAAGAAUUAAAACAUUUAAUAAGAACAUUAAUAAAUGAUGUACAAGAAAUAAAGAAUGAAAUAAAAAAAGUAAGAAAUGAUAUAAAUAUAUUGAAACUUGAAGUUAGAAAAUUAAAAGAAAAUGAAGAAAAGAAUAAUAGGAUAGAUAAAAAAUUUGUAGAAAAAGAAAUAACCAGAAUAUGGAAAAAACAUAUUGAAAGAGAAAAUAUAAUAAUAGAAAUAGGAAGCAUGGAUGAUGAGUUUAGAAAAAAUAUAUUACCUAAAAUAUUAGAAGAAGAGGAAUCUAGAGAAAAAAUGUUAAAUAAACAAAAAAUUAAAGAAAAUCAAGACAAAGAAAAUGAAUUAAGAAUUAGAUCUACUUAUAGAUAAUUUUGAUCAUUUAAGCUUAGAAAGUAUAGAUGAUGAAUACCAAAUCUUAAUAAAUAUUGGAGGAGGAUCUAAUCCCGUAGGAACCUCUAAACAAGAAUCAAUAGAUUCAGAUGAAAGUUAUGCUCCGAUAUAUAAUAAACCAUAUAGACAAUUUUAUGAUAAAAUAAGAAAUAAACAACCGUCUAAAGGAAAUAAAUAUAGUAAUAGAUUUGAAUUAAAUAAUAAUUAUGAUAAACCUGUUAACCAUGGAGGAACAAAAUUAGACUUAGAUUGUAAAAUAGACACUAAGAAAGUUUUAAUAAAUUGGGCAGACUCAAUGAUAUUAUUAUUUUUAUAUAAUAAAGAUGAUACAUGGAAAAAUAUUGAAAGAAGAAUAGAUUUUUUAAUUGCAUCUUUUGAAGGAAAUGUUAGAAAUUGGUGGGAAUGAAUUAGUAGUGAUACAAAAUCAUUAAUAAAAAGAAAUGUACAAACAGAAAUAAUAAAGUUAGAUAAACUAGGAAUAGAAAGAUUAGUAGAAUGUACUGCAGAUGAAUUCUUAGGAGAAAAUUGGUUAAGAAAUUAUGAAGAAGAAGCAAUACGGGAAAAAGAUAAUGCAAGAGUUAAGUUAAUUAAUUUAACAAUUUGUGAUAUGUAUAAAAUUAAAGAAUAUACUUGUGAAUUCAAGGAUUACUAUUAUACUCAAUUUUAUAGUAAUGAGAAUCAAGAAGUAUAUCAAGAUAUGUAUUACAAUAAAUUACUAGGAUUAUGGGGAAUAUAUUUUAAAAUAGAAUUUGAAAAAUAUAUUAAAGAAAAUAUAGGAAUAUCUAGAACACUAGGAUCAAGAAUAAAAUUCUUGUUUGAAAGGCUUGCAUAUAUAUGUCAACAAAGAUAAUUAUUGAAAAAAUCAAGAAAAUUAACUAGAACAUGUUGUGAAGAUAUGAAAAAACCUACAAGAUGGGGAUGUAGAAAUAAAAGAAAGUAUAAAAACAGAAAGUUUAAAAAAUAUAGAAACUUUAAGAAAAAAUACAUAAAACUUGGAAGGAAAUAUUAUAAAAGAAAAAAUAAUAUACAGGAAAAUAAACCUUAUAAGAAAGAUAAAAAACAAUGUAAGUGUUGGAAUUAUGGAGAAAUAUGUCAUAUAAGUCCUGAUUGCACAAAAAAAAGUGAGAAUAUUACAAAAUGAUUAUUUUGAAAUAGAAAGUGAAUUAAGUGAAAUAUCUGAUAUUGAACAUUAUAAUAAUCACGAAAUAUUUAUAAGUGAAGCAGAUUCAGAAGAUAAUGGAUCAGAAUCUAAAUAGAGAAAUUGAAGAAAUAGAAAAUAAUAACAUAGAAAUCCAAGAAUAUGAGGGAAUAGAAGGUUAUGGAUUAAAAGUAACUUUUGACAAUAAUAAAUUUAAAAAAAUACAAAAGUUAUCCUUAGAUUUGAAAAUAGGAAAAUAGGAAAUUCUAGAUAGAAUAUGGAGAAGAGAAAUAAUAGCAAUAAAUGAAUACCAUAAGAUUGAAAAAACUAUAGAUGUCAAGACAACUCAAGGAACACAUAAAAUAAACCUUUUAACAAAAAGUACAGUAUCAGAAUUAUUAUCAAAAAAAAGUAAAAAAUAUAGUGAAAAGAUCCAAUAUGUUUAUUUAGCAAGAAUACAAAUAAUGUUUAAAUCUUUAUUUAGGGAAGGAAUAGAUUCACUAUUAAUUGUAAGUUUAUAUGAUGGAAGAAUUAUAAAUCUUGAAGAUGGUCAUUUAGGAACUAUAGAAGGAAAUUUAGCAUAUCAAAAGUUAAUAUUUACUUGUUACCCAAAAUAUUGUGUCUAACUGAAAGAUAAAAACUUUAAUGAAGUCUUAGAAUUACAUUUCAAAUUACAUAGAAAUGAUAUAAUGGAACCAGGAGAUCAAAUUAUGACUAUGGAAUAUAGGGCAUUAUAUACAUUUACUAAUUCUAAUUAUGGGAAUAUUUAUUCCAAUAAACCAUACAUAGAAAUUCAUAAGGAAUACAAGGAUAUUAGUAGAAUAGUGAAACCAAACAAACAAAUAAAUCUUAUUCCAAAAGAAUAUGAAUUUAAUAUGACUAAAAAUAAGCCUGAAAUAACAGAGUUAAGAGAAGAAGAAGAUUAUAAAAUAAUAUUUCAUAAUGGAAGGUUGAUAAAAAAAUCAAAAAGUCUUAGACUACCGAAUAAAAAAGAAUAUUUGAGAGAAACUAAUGGUAUAAAAGAAAUAAAACCUCAUGGAAAUAUUGGAAAUAUGAAAAUAGAAGGAAAAUAUUUCAACGGUAGAAGAUAUAUAAAAUGACCAAAUAUAUUGAUAAAUACAGGAGCUGGUGAAUGUCAUAUGGUUGCAAAUAAAAAUGAAGGAUUAAUCACUUACAAGAUAGAACCAUAUGAAUACAGGAAUUUUGAUGAACAACUAUAUAUUACAGAAUUAAAGAUAAAGGUACCAAUAAAAAUAGGUGGGAUUGAUCUUUUAGUACCAUGUUAUUUGGAUGAAAGUAUGGAUAUUGAACCUCAUAUAUUAUUAUGAAUGAGUUUCUUAAAUGGAUUAGAAGAUUAUAGUAUAAAAAGAGAAGGAUUAUAUAUAACUCAUAAAGGACAAACUACAUUAUGUAAAAUAGGAAGUGGAUGAAUAAUCAAAUAAAUUUUCCAUUGGCAGUAUAUAUACAAGUUACUAUAGUAGAAACAAACAUAACAACUUGUGCCUUAAUUGAUACAGGAAGUGAUAUAACAAUUUUUAAAAAUUUCUUAAUAAAAUCAUGGAAUAAAAAUAGUAAAAUAAAAAUAACAAGAGUGACUGGAGAAAGUACUCAAAUAAUUGAUAGUGCUGAAAAAAUUAAUAUAAUACUUGAUAGUAAACAAAUUAUAAUAAAUAAAGUAUACAAUUAUAAUAACCUAGAAUGUGAUAUAUUAUUAGGAAAUGACUUUAUCCAACAAUUUCAAUAUUAUAAACAAAAUAAUUACAUGAUAAUGUUACAAACACCUUGUGCACAUCUAUUAAAAAUACCAAGAGAAUUUAGAUCCUACAGAGUUCAGCUAGCCCAGCGUGGUGAUAAAUGGGAAAAACGACCAAUAGUACAAGAUGAACUAAAAAAUAAAAAACUAUCAUAUAAAAGAUCCUAAAAACAGAAAUAGAAAUAAGUAUGGAAAAAAUCAUAGAACAAUUAGAAAAAAUUUAUGGAGAAAACCCAUUAUUAUUUUGGAAACCAUAUCAUCCUAAAACUAAAAUAGAAUUAACAGAAAAUGUUAUAAUAAGAGUUAGACCAAUGAUGUAUACCUUACAGGAUAUGCAAGAAUUUAAAAUUCAAAUAAAAGAACUAUUAGAACAAAAGUUAAUUAGACCCAGUAAUGGAUCUCAUAGUAGUCCAGUUUUUAUGGUUAUGAAACAUUCUGAGCAGAUUAGAGGAAAAGCUAUAAUGGUAAUAAACUAUAAGGAAUUAAAUAAAUAUACUAAAUUUGAUGGUUACUUUUUACCAAAUAAAGAAGUCCUAAUAAAUCUUGCAAAAGGAAAACAAUAUUAUUCCAAAUUUGAUUGUAAAUCAGGAUUUUGGCAAAUAAAAAUGGAAGAAGACAGUAUACAAUAUACAACUUUUACUACACCUCAAGGAAAAUAUGAAUGGUUAGUUAUGCCAUUUGGUUUAAAAAAUGCACCACAAAUAUUUCAAAGGAAAAUAGAUAAUAUAUUCAAAAAGUUUAGUGAUUUUCUUAUUGUUUAUAUAGAUGAUAUACUAAUAUGCUCUAAUAAUAAAAAAGAACAUAGGAGUCAUUUAUUACAAUUCAUAAAUGAAUGCAAAAAUGAAGGAAUUGUAUUUUCUAAAAAGAAAUCUAUAAUCGAGAACAAGAAAUAGAUUUUCUGGGAUUAUCAAUAGAUAGAAAAAGAAUAAAAUUAUAGACUCAUAUAUCUAAAAAGAUAGAAAACUUUCCAAAUGAAUUAAAAUCCAAAGAACAAAUACAAAAAUUUUUAGGAUGUUUAAACUAUAUUGAAGGAUUUAUUGAAAAUCUCUCAAAAAAGAGACAUAAGAUACAAAUUCUAACUUAGGAAAACAAAUACUAAAGGUUGGAACAAAGAACAUACUGAAAUUGUUAAAUCAUUAAAAGAAGAAUGUAAAAAUUUACCAAAAUUAAGGUUGCCAGAUGAAAAAGAUAAUCUAAUUGUUAAUACUGAUGCCUCGGAUAAAUAUUGGGCAGUUAAAUUAAAAAUAGAUUUAAAUGAAAUAUGCAGAUAUUCAAGUGGAACUUUUAACCAAGCAGAAAUAAAUUAUACUACUCAUGAAAAAGAAUUGUUAGCAAUUAUUAGAGGAAUAAAAAAGUUUUCAUUAUUCCUUUUAUCUAAAAAAUUUAUUGUUGAAACUAAUAAUUCUCAAGUUAUAGGACUUAUUAGAAAUAAGUUACCUAUGGAACCUCAAUAUAAAAGGUUACACAGAUGGCAAGCAUAUUUAUCAUUCUACAAUUUUGAUAUUAUUCAUAUUAAAGGAAUAAAUAACUAUCUUGCAGAUUUUUUGAGCAGGAAUAUCGAAUUUGGAGAUGGAUAAUAUCAAAAAUUCAUUAAUAGACGUCAACAGACGAAUGAAAUUCCUCAUGAAAGAAUCAGAAGAUAUGAAAAUUGGAAUUGAGCAAUUAGAGCAAAUGGCAGAAUCUAUCCAACAAAAUGUCAAAUUGUUGGUGGAAAUCUCUAAUUCUCAUUCUAAAUAUACCAAACAAUUGAAUGAUAGAAUUGUUGAUAUUACUUCACAAUUCAAGUAAUUAAAUACCAAACAAGAAAUACCAAUUGAUACAAUCUCAAAAAUAUAAACAGGUACACAGCCAGGAAGUAGCAGUGGACCCAGCAAUAUCAAACGAGAUAUAGCAAGUCCCCGGAAGGUGACUAUAAAAAAUGGUGAUGAACAUACAAGAGUUAUCAGAAUCAAAACUGAUGAAGAUGAUGAUACCCCUUUAUCAUCAAAAGAAGAAGAAUAUAGAUCAUUUGCCAAAAUUGUUUAUGAAUUGGAAGAAAAUGAAUCAUAUUUUAUUGCAUCAGGAGAUCAUGUUUAUCCCAGAUUAAUAAUUACCAAAGAUGCAGACCCUUUCAUGGUUAAAAUGACGACAGAUUAUGGAUUUCUGGAUUUGAUCUAUCCAGUAAAAGAUUUAAAAGAAAUUGAAAAUUUUGAUGAUAUAUUCAGGGCAGAGGUUUCAAAAUUUGUCCAAGGGAGAUCGAUUUAUAUCAAAUUUUAUUCAAUAAGUCCCGAGGUUGAUGGAAGGAUAUACUAUCCUGUUGAACAUAUUAUCACAAUUGGAUAUGUUGGCCGAGAUUUUCAUAUUGAAGUUGGUUGAAAUAAUAAACCAUUGCCUAAAAUCAAUAAAUCAUGGAUAAAAUCCCGAAGAGUUUUGGGGAUGAAAGUUCUUUAUAACAUUGCAAAAAACUUAUAUAAUAAAAAAUUCAGAUGCUUGUGUCAAUAUGAAGGAUGGACACUCCUUACGAAUAAUGGAAAAGAAAAAUCUACUAUUUUGAAAGAAUAUAUCUAGAAAUUUGGUACGCAUCAAAUGAAUGGAAGUCUUACAACAAUCGAAGAAUCAUGUAGAUUGAGGGAGUGCCCCACAUGCAGACAAGAUUAAAAAGAUUGACAAAAGAUGAAUGGAAGGGGACCUACCACUACCAAAGCAUCUAGCCAGCUGCAUAUGGAGCCAAAGAUGGAGAGACAAUAAUAGAGGAAAAGAUGCCCCUUUGAUGAAAAAGCAAAAAAUGCAUGUGAAAAUGUAGACCCCAGGAGGAAAAGAAUAGAGAGGCAUUUGAACCUUUUUAAAUUUUGAUGUAUGCAAUGAUGUAAUAGAUCAAUAAUAGCAAGUUUGAGUCAUGUAUAAAUAGAGGUCUUUGAGGAAAGAAUGGAUCAUCUCGAGUUAGAAACCAUUUUCUUUCCUUAACCUUUCGUUAAAAGCAGUUUUUCUGGAAACCCCUUGUAUACAAUAGAAAUCUUGUAUAAAUCAUUAUAGAAAUAAAAUCCCAAUCUUUUGAUAUCAGAAAAAUAUGAGUUUCUAAACUUCCUAUCCCAUAGAUUCUUGACAGAUUGAAGAAGAUAAUAUUUUUCUUACUUUAACAAAGGGGGAAUUUUCUUUACUUAAAAUCCUUAUUCUUAAUUCUAAGAAAAGAUACAGUGAGGGUACGAAGCUGAAAUAGCAGAAUUCCAAUUAAGGCAAAAGGCCGUUUGAGGGAGCAGUUUGCAGAUUCAGAGCCUGAAGGUCACUCGGUUCUAAGAAUACAGAUUUAAGAUCAUAAGUAAGGCAAAAUUAUUGUCUUUGUUAAAUUUAGAAAGAAUUCUUCUAAUAUCUUGAAAGAAUCGUAGGGAUUAUUACUUUUCAUGUUUGCAAAAAAUUUAUCUAUCAUGUUAUUAUUCAUAAAGCUUGUAAGGAAUUAUCUAAAUGAUGUCAGGCUAUACAAUUAAAGGAUUAGAUAAUCUGUUAUAAAGACUGUUAGAAAAAAUAAAAAAUAUUUUUUCUCAACUAGAGACUAUGGAUAUAUCAUAUAAGGAAUAUGAUAAUCUUAAAGAAUUUUAUGACAAUUAUAUUACAGAUUAUGCUAAUUUAUUAGAUCAAAUGAUGGAACUAUAUAUUAAAAUUCGAAACGAGAGAAAUGGAAGAAUUUUAAAACUAUUCCAAUAAAUUAGGAUAUUUUGUGCAAAAUAUGGCAAGCCAUUUCAUUAAGGGUAUUAUAGACAUUUUGACAAAAAUGAAUAAUGAUAGGCCAUUUAAAAAAAUCCCCCGACGGGGAGAGUAGAGGAAGAAGAGAUAUUACAUUUGUCUUAAGAGAUUAGGGCUUCCACUUCCCCUUUCCUCUUGUUUUCAAAUUUCUACUUUUGAUUUGAAUUUUUUUUUUAUCUAAUUGACAAAUUAAUUAUAAGUAUGUUUAUAGAUAGUGUGUAGAAUAAUUUAAUUUAUAAUUUGUAAUUAGUUAAAAUUUGUAUGUUUUAUUCGAAAGAAUCAUUCUAUUAACUUUUAGGGUCAGUUUGAUUGUAAAGAUAAAAUUUGGAUGGAAAGAAAAUAAAUUUCAGGAAAUUGAAUUGUAUAGAAAUUAUUUUAUUGGGAAUUAUCAAUUAUUGUGUUUUAUUGAUAUAAUUUUUUAUGUGAAAAAUGUUAAAAUAAAAGUAUUUUUUGAUAUUCGUUUGACUUUAUUUUACAUAAAAAUUGUCAAUUAAAGGGAUAAAAUUUAUUGGUAUUGGGGAUAGAAUUUGUUCCUCUUGCCCAAAAAAAAAAAAAAGGAGCCAAAAAAAAUCAUCUAUCUUUUGGUGUUUAUUUGACUUUGUUUUAUAUGGAAAUUAUCAAUUAAAGAAAAAUAUUUUUUUAUAAUUAAUGAUAGAAUUUGUUUUCAAUGCCAAAAAAAUAAAAAAUAAAAAUUGGCAACUUACCUAGAAAACCAAUUCCCACCAUUCCUUGAAAACUAAGAAAAGUCCACUUUUCAAAAAAAACCAAGCAAAUGAAUUACAUGGAAAAUAUUUGCUAUCAAACACUAUCAAAAGGUGGAAAAUAGACAAAAUUUUCCAUUUUCCAUGGAAAAGAUGCCCAAUCAAAUAGGGCCUUAAUAUAUUUUUCCAACAAAAAUUGUGUAGUUUUAGUUCGAAAAAUUUUAAUAUAGUUUCAGUAUAUUAUUUUCAUAUUACCAAUAGAAUUUUAUCAUUAAAAUUUCUUAAUUUAUUUUUUAGGAUUUUGGUUUUUUGUAAAUUAAAAAUUUAAAAUAAUCUUUAAUUAAUAGGUAGGAUUGGUUGAAAUUAAACGUAUGCUGAAUUUUUAUUUUUAUUUUUGUUCUUUUUUACAACAAGCAAUAAAUAUAGCAAAUCCUUGUUGCAAAACACACUUUCUCUCAACAUUUAAUGAUUGUUGCAAAAUGUUAUAUAGUAAGAAUUUCAACAAUAUGUACUGAGCAUUGCUAUAGAACAAAAUUUUAAACAGUUCAAUGAACAUUGCACAAAAAAAAAAAAGAAAGAAAAAAAAGAAGGAAGAAUUAAAACUUUUGCAACAUAAAAAAAAUGCAAAAGGCUAUUUUAAUUGUAGUGAAAAUUCGUGAUAUGUAUAUAAAAAUUCAUAUGUCAUUAAAUUAAUUUCGGUACACGUGAUAAAUGAUCAUACUUAAAAAAAUUAUUACCUUCACUAAACUUUGAAAAAUUAAGCUUUCGGACUGAUAACGUAUUAUGAAAAGAGAUAGAAAGAGCAGUGAGAAUAAAAGUCAAUAGACUUGUAUGUAUUAUAAUAAGAACUAGAGCCAUGUAUUCAUAAAGAAGGAUUAUGGAUACAAUAAUAAUAAUUUCUAAAUUUACAGGGGUACAAUUGUCACUCACAAAUAAAACUUACCAUUUACAACAAAAUGGUCUUUUUUUAUUUUUCUUCAAUUUGCUCCUAAAAAGGUUUUAAUUGAUAGCAACAAGGUAAGUCGGACGUUCUCUUUUUUGAAUUUUAAGAGGCGCGUAGGACAUUUUGAUCUUCAUUUUUCGUCCCAUUUAUUUAUGUAUUUACUUAUUUAUAUAUUAUUAUGUGUUUAAAUUUAAAUUUUAUUCAAAAAAAUUUAAAAAAAAAAAUUAUGAAUCAUGGAUGGGUUUGUGACAGAGAUCAUGUUUCCUAACCCCAUCCCUAAUAAGGACUAUAGAAUUCCCGACCUUCAAUCCACAUUGCGCCCCAUCCCACGUCGUCCUACCUUGAAUAGUAAACGGGGCGAGAUGCAAGACCUAUAGUCCCUAGUUUUGAAUUUUUAGUACUAGCUCUGAAUCAUUUUUCAUUAUUAUAUUUUAUUUUAUUGUUAUGUUCUUCAUUUAAGUCAUAUUUAAAAAAAUUAAUUAAAUAAAUAAAAUGAUGAAUGAUGGUUUUUUAUGUCUCAACCUACCCUUCAUUCUGAAAAAUCGAAACGAAACAAGAAUGAUAUGAUGGCUCCUAUCUAUUGUCAUCCUUAAUUUCAAAUUUCUCGUUGGGCGAAGCAACUUGAGGCUGGCGUUUUGUUAAAGAUUUCCUCAAAUAAUUUAGCAGAAAAUAAAAACAAUGAAAAAUAAAUCCACUUUAAAAUAGGGUCAUCUCUAAAAGAUAAAUGUAUUAUCCAUUGAUUCCCAUUUUUCAGUUGAAACUCAUCUCUGUAGGAAGGCUAUGAUCCAGUCCAACCUUAAAAUUUUCAAAUUAUCUUCAAAAAAACAAAAAAUCCUUUUUUCACCGCAUUUUUAACUCUACAAAUAAAUGGAUUGUUGCAUAAAUAUCCAUUACCGCAGCUACGUAGAGGCAACCCUAAUGGUUCGCAGAUGGUGCAACCGCAUAGGGCCUCGACAUUAUAGGGACACAAAAAAAAAAAAUUUGUAUUAUAAUUUUAGAAUUUAAUUUUUUUUUAUUAAAGGGACCAUGUUUUAAAAAUAUCACACAGUACACCCAAAACAUUAAGGUCAACCCUACAAUGCCUAUAUCUAAGUACUACUGUGCAACUUCUCCAUUUCCUAGGUAUCAAAAAAUCUUCACCUCUACAACCAAGUACUAUGUUAAUUGCUGAGGAUUAUAUUUAGUAACAAACAUAAUAGAAUAAAUUUCUAUGACAUACUUAGAUGAAAAUUAAUUCAAUACAGCCUGGCGCUCAAGUCAGAUGAUGAAGUAUAUUUUGGGUCAGUCGACCUUUUUGGGUCAGCACACCAGUGGCAGAUGAACUCCUCCUCUAACUUUACAAAGCUUGGACACACUUGACGCGAAGGCCCUUUUGGGUUAUCGCCUCGGACGCUGUGUUACCUCCCAUGCUUUACAAAGUUUCAGCCAUCUCCCAACGCGUCGGUCUGUGGGGUUAGCGCACCAUAUUCGCGAAGCUUCGAUGCACCUUACGCAACGUUCCAUGCUGGUUAACCACCUUGUACACUAUGCACAAUAAUGAAACUUUGGCACGUCUGCCUGUUAUCAUAACCUCGAUUGCUGCAACAGAUCAACCCCCCAAAACUCCCAUGACUUGAGGUCCGGUCAGGAAAGCAAGUCCAUGCAUGAUAUAAAUAUUCAUCCCCGGCCUUGGGGGACACAACUGUUACGCUCCGAUUCUACACGCCUCGGAUCCCGAAGUGUCAUCUCGCUUCCGAGGUCGAGAUCAAGUGGACCCCGUGCAGCACCACAUAUUUCGAUCUGAAAAUGACCCUUCUGAAGUGUCUCCGAAGUGAUAUAGCGAUUCCUACUACUGACCUGUCGAAGCAUCUCACCUCCGAGGUCGAGAUCAAGUGGGCCCCGGUUAGAAGAUUCGUCGCCAAUUUAAGAUUUGUCCUGCACCUAAGGCUUAAAUUGAUUUGACGUCUCCAUGAGGCUAGUUGAUGUGACUUAUCAACUUUAUGUCAAUUCAACUCAGAAGAAACAAACUGUCCGCCCACUCUACAAACGCGGCUAAUUGACGCCUAUGAGCAGACGCUUCAUACCGUCAGAUGUAUACACGCGUUCCACAUCCAACGGUUCAUACCACCUAUAAAUACCCAAGGUUUGGCAAGAGGCAAAGGUAAUGAAACUCUUACUACAUAGCACUCCAUAGCAAGUUUAUAUAUUUUCUACUCCCCCUUUAUCGUUGGUUUGCAUAGCCCCUGGGUACUGUUCCGAUCACUCAAACCUGACUUGACCGUUGGAGUGUAUACGGCCACCACCACCCCCACUGGUUCCCGCCGUGUGCGCCUGACUAUUCGCUGAUUGUGUACAGGGAGGAACACGUGGAGUAGCUUUCAGUUGGUCACGUGGAAGGACCAAUUUUCGAGGUCAACAUUCAUAAUAUAAGUGAAUUUCUUGGUCAUCCAAGCGGGAUUAAAGCUAUUUUGAACACACGGCCUUUGUGAAGUUAUCAAUCCCUCAAUUCUAUUGUUUAAUGGUGCAAAUUCAUUUUUUCCCGUGUUACAAAUUUUCCUUUUUGUUAAAGUUGAAUCACAUCGUCUAAUAACAUUAACUUAUAGGGAUAGGACAAAUUUAUUUACGGAAUUUCUGAAGAUCCUUGAGUAGCUUGGAUUCAUUUUUCAAUUUCUGAGAUGUGCAUAAUUUUGCUCAUCAAACCACAUCAUCUAAAAACUCAAGCUAGCAGUUAGGACAAAAAUUUAUUUAUUUAUUUAAAUCGUCUUCAACAUCUUGGACAUGAAAUGUGAUUCCUACAACAAAUAUGCACACCCACAAUUUAUUAAAUGAUAAACUACGAAAUUGUAUUUUGAGUGGCAAUUGGCAUUCAAGAGUGGUUAACUAAUGGAUUUGUAAUUUCGACAUCUAAGUUCUGCAAGGCCAAUACAAACCGAUAGAUAGAACAUUUAUUUUUGUCUGCAUUAAGCAUCACAAGCUCAAUUACCUAGAAUUGCAUCCACUUUACACUUGUUAGAAUGUGGAAGCGGAAUUGUCUAGAAAUUAAAUAAAAAAUUUUAAUUCAAUAAACAGGAUCGUUUAUGUAACAUCCGGAAAAUAUUUUUAGGGAAAAAUUAUUAUCUAUUCUAUAUAUUAUAUUUGAUUAUUUUGAAACUGAGGGAUUCAGAUGAAGUAUAUUUUAAAUUAUUAUAUUUUUGAGGCAAAUACUUGGAUUUUGAUAGAGUGAUGAUAAGUAUAUCAAUAUUAUACUCGUUGGAGAGCCCGUAUUUAAUUAUGUAUUUUAGGCUUGAGAAAAAGUUAAUUCGAAUAAAUUUGGUUCAAGAUAUUGAAGUUUGUAGAAGUUGUUAUUUAAUUGGAAUUAGAAUUUACCAACUUUUAAAAGGGGUAGCCACGUGUGCUCUUCUAUAGAGAUAAGGUGGUGGAUAUGUAAUAGCAGUUAAUUGUUAUUUAAUCACAUUUUGAUUAUGAUUAAAGUAAAUUGAUAAUUAUAAUCCUAUUUUGAUAUAAUUCAACUCUGCAUAUUGUUGCUAAAUUAUAUUAAAAUAUUAGUCUUCACAUUUUAUUUUAACCGCACUGCAUGAGUGGAUAAGGUGAUUGCGAUACUUCAAUUAAGCAAAAUCCCAAUUAAACUAAUCUAGAACUUAUCAUAAGAAUUAGAUAACUUUCCCAUCUCCUACUUGGCCAUGCGUUUAAAGAUUUAUUGGUUUUAAAAAUUAUUUUCACCAACUAGAGAUUUUACAGAGAUGAGAUAAAAUUUUAUAAAGUCAUUUUUAUCCUAUAUUUUGAUAAAGGAUAAAGAUUUAAAUGUAAUCUUAUUUGUGGAAUUUUCAAGUACUAUCGUACAUGUGUCAUAUCAUAGUUUGGGUUGUCAGAAUUUAAAGUUUAUUCAAGUGUUACAUGUUUUCCCCACCAUCAAAAUUGUACCAUGACUCAACUACCAUUUUUUUUACUAUAAAUAAUGUGCAUUUGUCCCCUAAUUCUCCACUAAGAAAUUUUUACAUAGCAGACAAUAGAGAGAGAAUAAUUUCGAAGAGUUAGUAACCAAAUUUUUGACACAGUCGAGUAAGUAGAACAUAUAUUGGAAUUUACUCAAAAAUCCAUUUUUUUUUCAGGUAAUAUACUUUAUGUUCAAGUUUUUUUCCUUAUGCUUUUACAUUCAAUUAAAUAUGAAUGGAUUGUCAGUAUACAUUUGUUUUUUAAAGAGAUAUGAAAUCAUACGAAUUAUAAGAGGACAUAAGAUGGGUUUGUCACUUGGUCAUCAAUAUACUCCAUAAGAUCAGAGUGGUAUGAAAUGUAUAAUUUUUAUUGUUAUAUAUUUGUAUAUGAAAACUGCACGUAUCUUAUUUGGUAUUUUCGAAUACUCACUCUUACAAAUUUUUACAGGUUAAUUCGAGUCAAUUGAAGCUGUGUUGAAUUAGUGAUGCGGACGGCCAAGUGAAUCGAAGAAAGGAAAAAGAAAUUAAAUAUUUAGUUUGUUUUUUUUUUCUUUUUUUUUUUUUGGUGUCUCUAAAUUAUUUGUUAGUUUUAUUUGUUCAAAGACUCUUUUGGUUCUUUUAAAUUGAUAUUUAUGGUUGAAAAUAAAGAAUUUCUUUUUAUUUAAAUCGUUUCACAAUUAUUAUAAAAGAAAACUGAGUUUUUCUUAACACCCCCGCGUUUUUGGAAAUUUGCGGCAUUACAGUUUAGAUGUUCACGUAUAUGUUAAAUCAAGUAUAAAGAAUUCGAAUUUUUAGCUAAAUUGAUGGUUAAUUAUUUAAUUAAUUCAAAUGACAAACUUCAACCUUUUUGGAUCAUAGACUUCUAGCUUUUAAUUGCAAGAACUUGAUGCAUCAAAUCUCCAAGUCUUCUAUGUUAUUUUCCAAAGUCAAGACUACACCAAUGGGUGGUGUAUAUGUGUAUAUAUAUAUGUAUCAAGAAACUAAUUUUUAAACUGACAAUUGAAUAAAAGCAAGAAAAAUAAUAUUUUCUCUCUUUUUUCCUCUCUUCAAUUUGAACACUAUGGAUUUAUGUAUUAUGAUUAUUGUAGAAAUUCUAGGUUCUAUAUAGUCUCUAUUUAUAGAGAUAGAAUAGUUCUAAUCCUUGUACAAUAAUAAUUUCACAUUCAAAUAAGAGUUCUAAUUAAAAUCCAAGUAGGAGUUUUACUUAAAAUUCAAAUCCAAUUAGUUCACAUACAAUUACAUGUGUAGUCCUAAAACUUUAAUUACAAUUAUAAUUAAGUUUACAAAUUCAUAAUAAUUAUAACUAAGUACAAAAAUUUAUUGUAAUUACAAUUAAGCUCAAAAUUAUUAUAAUUACUAUAAUUAAUUUUCUAUAACUCAUGGAGCUGACAUAGGAACUUAGUGUAACAUGUAUUAUCCAAAUUCCAAUAAUUAGAUAUGUCUAGUCGACUCUAGACCAUCCAAACUUUGCUUUUUUCACCUAAGACAGAUGAGUGAACUCCUGGAAUAUAUAAGAUCACAGAAACUAAUAAAUUUGUAAUGCUUUCCUCUGACCUGUUGUAUAUGUAUUUUAUCCUCGUCAUAGAUAUGAUAAUUAAGUACGAGCAUAAAUGAUCGUUUUGCCCUUCUAAUUUUUAUCACUAACUUAAGUAUCAUUUUCUUCAACGGUCUUGUAAACUAAUCACAGAUGUCGAAGUUUAAUUGUCGCUAAACAUUUAGCUCAAAUUUUGAUGAUUAGAGAACCACUAAAAUCACGAAAAGAUAAAUAUAACACUAUCAAGGGGUUUAGAUGAAAUACACAGCGAUCAAGUGAAAUUUAAUUCUUCGCAUGAUCAUGUUGUAGGAAUUAAAUUCAACAUGUGAUUCAUUCAAUACACUUCAUGAGUACUAGUCUGUAAUAAGGACAAAUCACAAACAUGAAUAAUGAAUCGGUCAACACUACAACCGUUCAGUAGAAGAUGUCAACUCUUAUACAUUGACUGUAAACAAAUUAUUUAUGAUUAAAAUAUAAGUUGUGUCACACUGUAUUUCUCAAUGCAUGUAUCCAAUUUAUAUUAUCACAAGUAAUCAAAAAACUUUAAUUUGCAUGCUCAAUAAUAAAUAAAUACAAUAAAUAAAAUAAACACAAUUUUAUUUAAUAUAAGAAUAUUGUUAUUUUUACAUCGGCAAAACUAUACUAUAUAUAUAUGCACGCCCCAAUAACAAUUGCUCUAUUGGCCUGAUUAUAACAUUCUGCUACUCUAAGGCUAAUUAGAUGCUGCUUUUCUUGGAACUGUAUGAAAUAAUUGUGAAUUGGUUUCUAUCUAAUUGACAUGUUUUCUAUGACAUGGUACAUUACAAAUCAUGUUUAGUGUUCAAGAUCAAUUAAAUGUAUAGAGUAAAUGGGAGUAACGAUGUUGUUGGGUUGAUAUUUUGGUAUAUAUCCAUAAUUUUGAGCACAGGGAGAAAGCUGAGAAAGCCCCGAUACUAGCUAUGAGUUAGAUGCACGAAUAUUAUGUGUAUUAACAUAUAAUGUAUGCAGAUUAUUCCUUUAGUAGCAUGCCAACUUUGGUUGGCUCCUGAUCUGAUAAUAGGUUAUUCAAAGUAUUUCAACUAGAAUGGAUAGGUAGAUAUUCGAUAACAAUAGAGGUUCUAGCCGUAAGUAGGUUUUCGUUGGCGGCAUUAUCCCCCUCGGUCACUCAACAACUCGAGAAAGUACCUAAUUUACAUAGGGAAAAUAAGAAAAGCAGAAUUUUAUGCAUCGUGUUUUCCCCAUCAAACUUAUUUUUAUUAUAUAACUUCUAAGACAAUAAAACUAAGUCAUGAAAUUUGCCCCACUAAAAAACUUCCUAUAUUCACUUUUAUUUUUUAUUUUUUUUGGGGCUUGCAAAUCAUUUCUUAUGCAUAAGUAAUUGUUGCAACUAACUGAUAUUCGCUACAUGCAGAUGUACUCUACCGUAGAAUAAAUGAAGCAAUGAUAAGAAUUAAUUAUGAAGAGAAGUAAGAGACAAGAGAAGGAACGAGGGAGGCGAGAGAGAGAAACUUUUUAAGCUUAGCCAAACAAUGUUGUAAGCAAAUAUCUUGCAUAAUCCAUGAUAACCAAUCCAUCUCAAAGGAAGUUUGUACAUUUUCCCUCAUAAUAUGACUUGACGGUGACAAGAGUAUUCUAAUUAAAGCCUAUGGAGGUGGACUAUUGAGAGCUUAUAUGAAUAUUAUAAAGAUGAAAUUUUGAAGAACAAAAAGCACUAGCCAUACCAGUGUGAAAUAUAUUUCAAAUGACAGAAUGAAACUUAAUUGAAGGAACACGUUUUAACAAUAUUUACAGUGAACCAUAAAUUUGAUCAUGGGCCACAAUUGCAUGACUAUUUGUUUGAACUCAUGAAGUUUGUUCUAUAAAUCAUGAUAAAGAAUUCAUCUUGCGACAAAGGCAUGCUUUGGAUCAACGAAGCUUCUUUCUUAGCUAAGAGUCUAUAGCCUUUGUUUUUCAAUAAAAAGUGUGUACAAUUUGAUCAACUCGUCAAUGAAUAUUCCGUACAAGUCUUCAAUUCGACAUAUACGCCUUUUAAAAUUGCAUUUAGUCAUAAUUUUAUGUUCCAAGCAAAUAAUUUUAUGAUUUAUUCUUCUCAAUAUUAGGAUCUGGGGUUAACAUUGUUAAGAAUGGCAGCUCAAACCCUUAUAAAUUGAUCUAUGUUUUUAUCUUUAUUGAAUGUGAAAUUUUAUCUCUUAACAAUCAAGUUAUUAGUAAGUACUGGAUCCGUAAAAUGAAACUUAGCAUGUCAUUAAGAAAUCCAUUCGUUAAUAGGAUUCAAUUAAGCUUUUGUUGCCAAUUAUGAGUUGAUGCAUGGUUAAAUGACAUUCAAACACUUGAUAUACUUGAUAACUUGUUAAACUGUUAAUAUGGGUCGCACUUUGAGGGUUCUGAAGUAGUAGAACGAUAGAAUGACCACUUUUCGAGUAUUAUUGACAUUAAUAUUUUUCUUAAUUUCCAAUGAGUUUAAAUGAAUAAAUCUAGAGAUCAUAGUAAAUAUGAGGCUUAAGGAGAAUUUACAAUGAUUUCAGUAUGUUUGAAAAGUCAAUACGGUUAAACUCAGCAAUGGCAAUCCAACUUUAUAAUUUGUGUCAUCAUUGCCACUUAAUUUAAUUUUGUUUCAUCAUGGCCACUCAACUUUAUACUUAGUGUCACUAUUGCCACCAAAUUUGAUUUUAUUUCACCAUAUCCACCCAAAAUUAUAUAACGUUUCACCAUGGUCAUCCAACUUUUUUUUUUUUUUCACUACUUUCACUAAUUUUAAAAUAGGUAAAAUAAUAAAUUUGUAUUAUAUAUAAAAUAAAUUUAAAAUAAAAACUUAUUUUAAUAAAAUAAAAUAAAAUAAAAACUUAUUUUUUAAAAAAAAUUUACUUAGAAAAAUAAAAUAAAAACUCAUUUAAAAAAAUAAACAUUUUAAAAAUAAAAUAGAAACUUAUUUUUAAAAAAAAAGUUACCCAGAAAAAUAAUAUAAAAUAAAAAUUUAUUUAAAAAAAGUUCGUUUAAAAAAUAAUAAAAAAUCAUUUAAAAAAAAAGGUUACUUAGAAAAAUAAAAUAAAAUAAAAACUUAUUUUAAAAUUAAAAAAAAUCAUUUUUUUAAAAUUUAUUUUUAUAUAUUUAAUACAAAGUUACCAUUUUACCCCCUUUCAAAUUAGUUAAAAAAUAUAUAUAUAUAUAUAUUGGGUUGCCAUGGUGAAAUGUUAUACGAAAUUAGGUAACCAUAAUUAAAUAAUAUAUGGAAUUGGGUGGUCAUGAUGGCAUUAAAGGAUUUAUUCAACUUUAGGGUUUCAUUGUAUUGUUCAAAGUAGUUGCUUAAAUACUUCUCUCUUGUACUCAUAUUUGAUAUAGUAAAAAUUAAUUUCUUACAUUUUUGUGAAUUACAAGUACUUGAUAGUUCAAAUGAAGUAAACCUAAUUUUACUUGUGGGUCAUUUGGCAUUCACAUAUUAUAACUAAUUUACUUGUGGACUAAAUAUGUAUAAACUAGAGAAAAAGUCAAUUUCAAUAUACGGAGACCAAGAUGAAUCUAUCAUAGGAAAUCAGGACUUAUUAUUAAUUAUUAAGAUAUUUUCCCCAAAAUUAAUUCCCCAAAUAAAUUACACACAUCUACAUUGAAAUUUGCUUGUUUGGAACUUUGAGUAUGCGUGUAUGAUAAUUGACAAAUAAUGAUUGAACAAGUAAUCACACUCCCAUAAUUUCCUGAAACGAACUCAAAUCUCCACGCAUUAAAGAUUGAGUCAAUACUAUUGAAAAUAGAUAUAAUUAAAUAAUUAAAUUCACAUAUUCGGCACUAAUUUUAAUAUUUAAAUAUAGUGAUCAUUUGACAUCUUACUAGUGUUACCAGAGCACGUGUGAACCAUAAUAUUAAACACAUCUGAUUUGUUUACUGUCCAAUGUAAAUGGAUAUAAAGACUUCAAGGGGCAUUGCAUAACAUAUUCAAAGUCUCCAACUAAAUAAAGUCAUCAUGUCCUCAACUUAUCAAAAAGUUAAUACCUUUAAGGUAUCUGCCAAAGAAAGGCAAGAAAAUUGACAUCCCCACCAUCUAUAUACACCAUUUGACACUUGUCUUAACGAUUAAGAAUAUGUAUGAUCAUCAUUUACUAAAACUCAUAAAUAUGUUUGUGAGUUUCAAAAUUUAUUUUCAAUCAUACAUUUCAUGGAAUUCACAACUUUUUAUCUUCUUUUCAAUCAAGCUCGACCAAAGCCACUUAGGCAAUGGCCCAAGGCCUUAGAUAUUUGAGGAACCUCAAAAAUAAACCAUUUGUUCUCUAGUUCUUGCAGAAAGUGGAAAUAUAUCUUGUUAUUGCACAAUGCAUAUUAUUGCAUGACAGGAAUGACGAUUAUGGUUUGCCAAAGAAAUGAAGGUACUUUCCUUGGUUUCCUCCUUCUGCUUUAUUUCCACUAGUCAUUCAUUUUCCAAUAUGGGUUGAUUUCCUUUCCUAGAAAAUAUGCUCAUGCCAAUUUCCUAAAUUUGUGGAUUUAAUUGAAACUCAAAAAAGUUUGACCAUAUUUUCUUGCCUUCAUUUCAGUCCACGAGAAUCUUUAAUUUGUGGAAUUACACACAUUGAAAGAACAUUUUAGUCCAACCUAUCUUUUCCAUCCAAUCUCAUCUAUGCAUGGACGUACAUUAUGUGUUGGUUGGAUAAAUACUGGAAAUUAUAAAAGAAAAUAUUAGACAGCAUUAAAGAAUAAACAACAAUCACAAAUUCACGACAUAUUUAGAAGAUGCUGCCAAAGAAAUCCAUUUUAAGAGCUUUUAAUCAAUUCCAAACAAGCUUUUAGCUCUCAACAUUUUUCAUGAGCUCGAUUUAUAGUACAAAUUAAACAAUAAAAAGACAUUAAGCCCCUGUUUGGUUCUCAUUCUUUCCUCAUUAAAAUAAAAAAUACGACCGUUAUUCAUUAUAUCAAGUCACCAAAUUUGAAUUUCUAUCUCUUGUGUGAGGCCCGUAACGACUAUAUUUUUCAUUCUCAUUCUUCGAAAAAUGAGAAACAAACAGGAACUAAAACUUUUUCGAUAGUAAUCUACAUUUUUUUCCAGCACUAAGCAUGGCACCUAAAUAUGAUAGUAAACACAUGGGCCUUUCCCGUUUUAAUAGGAAUCCUCAUCUUUGAGUUAAAUUAGUCGUUAUUAUGUCCUCUGAGUAUGUUUCCUCAAGGAUCAAUAGACACUAGCUAAAUUUUUUUUUUACAUUUUACUCAAACUCGUGUAUUUCAUGUUGAACUGCCUCGUAUAGAAAUUCCGGGAGAUUAAGUUAUGAGAAAAAAGUUAUGUUUAAGGGCGUUGUAUUUACUAAUACACGUUUCUUCCAAGGAUCAAUGCGUAAAAAUAUCAUACCAGAGGGCCUCAUCAUAAUUAUUUGCUAGCCCUGAGAACCUGACCCCAAUAGUCCCUUUUCUACGAAUAACCUUGGUGAGCCUUUCUUCGUCAACGAAUCUAGUUCACAGAUUCGCCUCAUUUUCUCCAUCAACAAGCUUAGCUUGCGGUUUUGCCUCACCGAGUGACUCCAAUAAGGUACAUCAACAAACCUGGAAGUUGUUACCAUGUAGAUGAAUAUUUGGAUCCCUAGAUUCUGACAUUUGCUCAGCAGCUUAGCACUCUGAGGAUGACAGGAUUCAUGCAGCCCAGUUUCACACCGAACAAUUAUUAAGCAACAGGAAAUCUCUUUCAAUGUGGAUGAGGAAUUUUAUUCAGCAACACAGGUGGUGUGCGCUCUAAACUGACUGCAAGGAGCCACGUUCUGAAUUUCUAGAGACAAUCUUGAAACCAAUACUAUUAUACUAAUCUCGGCAAGUUUAAUAAAUAUUUUGGUUUUCCUUCAGAAUCCCAUGGCCAGUCCCUCCGUUGUGGCACAACUCUGGUGCCUGUCAGGAUGGAUCUAGGAUUGGAUCCAAGAUCGGCUACAAAAUUUCAAGCUGGGCUAAUACGCGAAAAAAAAAAGUUUUACACACAAAAAACCAGAAGCUGGAGGUGAGGGUGCGCUGGAACUGCCUCGACAACAUUUGCUGGAGGUUGCGGUGUACCCAGAAGCCUCAAAAGUCAUAGUUGGAGGUUUAAUUUUGGUUUAGACAUUUUAUCGAUCGUCUGAUGGACGAAGUAGCGCUUUGAUUUUAUGAGAACAAAUAAAGGCUGCCUCUAAUCCCAUGCUCAACACAAUAUCCCAAUUAUGCCCAUUUUAGAAUAUCCGCGUCCUACAUAGGCGAAAGACAAGGAAGAGACAUUAUUUAUGAACAUGGAGAGGUGUCCCAUGGUUCAACGCGAGGCUUGAAUUGAAUAUCUCCACUAUUUGAGAAAAAUCUAAAAGACUUUCAUACAGCAGGUGGCGGCCCAAGGUUUUUACCACCACUACCAGUGCAGGAAUAUUCGGAGCCGUCGGAACUGACUACCACUGCGUCUGCCUCGACAGCAUUCAACGAAGGCUACGAGAGCCAAGAUAGCGGUGGGAGCACCGGGGCCAGAUCUGGGCCCAGUGUUCAGUCUAACACGCAGAGUUGUACUUGGUCCGCCGAGAUCAAGGGGGAUCGAGAUCGAGUGGCCUGUAGGUCGCAACGCCGGUGUUACAGGAGCCUCGGUGGCGACGGGAGCACCGAGGCUAGAUCUUGGCCCAGUGUUCAACACCGAGACCAAGGGGGAUCGAGAUGGAGAGGCUUGUUGGUCCAUCGUACCUGGAUUGUUUUAACGACUAUGGAGGCGAUUCUCAUCAGUUGGAUUUUAGAGUGUUUUUGAUUGAUAUGAAAAAUAUUCUCUAGAAAAGAAAAUACUUUUCAUCUUUUGUGAAAAAUAAAAAUCACCUCUAAUCAAGGAAAAUAUUUUUUUAAAAAAUAAGAAAAAUUAGGCAUAUUUUCAAAAGUCGAAAAAUAUUUUUCAUAAAAAAAAUAGCAAUAAAACACUUAAAAUAAAAAUUUAAGUGAAAAAUUAAUAUUUUUCAUAAAAAAAAAUGUAAUCAAACACACUCUUAGUCAAAAUAUUGACAGUUACUCAGCAAAAUUUAUAGCAUUGCACCGUAAAUUUGAGCUGCAAUUAUUGACCAAAUUUUACAAAAUUACUUAUAUAUCCUUUUGACAUUUAAUUUAUUCUGUUUGAAUGAAGGGCAUUUGUGGUAAUUUAACAAAUAUUGAGUCGCCCACAUUUCCAAACAAUCCAAAAUUUCCUUAAAAUCUUGUGAGAUUAGCCUCCUAAUAAUCGCACAAUUAAUUCUUGACACAUAUUAAUUUACUGGGUUAGUGGUGAAGUUAAUGAUGAUAAAUUUAAAAUAACAUGUCAAUUAUUGAUGACAUGUCAAUAAUUAAUUAAAUGGACAGUAAAAUUGGACAAUAGCUCGACUCUAUUUUCUACAAAGGUAUAUAUGUCAUUAUAUAUUUUUAUUAAAUAGCUUAUAACAACUUAUUUUUUCAUUAUAUUUGAGCAUCAACAAAAUAUUUUUGACAUAAAUCAUCAUCAAUGACGAGAUGUACUAAUUAAUGAGAAGUUGAAAAUAAGAAUUCGACGAAAAAAAUUACUACAACGAGCAAAAUAAAAUAUAGUGUAACUAAUAAAAAUUAUAGUGACAAUACAACCAUCCUAAAAUAGAACUUGACAUCCCUUUGUAGAGACACAAAAAAACCACCGGAGAGGUGAUUCUUUCAUCCUAUGUGAAUCUUUGAAACACGGUUUUUUGCGCUAAUUACAUUAGCUAUGUGCUAACAGAAAUGCAAUACAUAAGAGGCAAAUAAACAACUUGAAAACAUUAUUGUUCUUUCCAAAUAACUAUAUUUAAUAACUGACUCAAAGCUCCAGAUUUGUAUUUGGCCUAAUCUUGCUGAAUAUGUCCACUCACCUGUGAUUCUACGUCGGGUUUCUCGUCAACAUUUAUUGUUGUGGUCAUAUAUAUGUUAAGAACAGGAAUUGUUGGCAGCAAAAGUUGAAAACUCAACUUAAAACUCCUCCACAUGCUAGAGAAACACGUAGUGCAGAAGGAGAGCAGCAUAAUUAUGGGGUAGAUAUACCAAAAGACAUCUUGUGGGAAGAACAGUGAGGCCAAGGAACAAACCAAUAGGGAAAUUGAGUAAUUCUUGAGUUGAAUACGUACAUAUCGUAUAUCAACCUGAGGUGUCAAUGGGAUGUUAAUGGAGAUGAAGGAGAAGAGAAAGAAUAAGAUAGUGAGAAGCCAAAACUUGAUCCAAGUGAAGUUUCCAAUUACUAUACCAAAUGGAUCCCAUUCCCAAGGCAUGGAUGUAUAUGAUUUCAAUAUGUUCACAACGAAUAGGGCAACGUAUCUCAGAUCAAAAUAUGGCAUUAUUUUUCUUUAGGAACUGAAUGCUUGGGUGAGAGAAAUUAAGGAGAAGUGAUGAAAUAAAUAUGUCGAUGAUACUUGCCCAGCCAUUUUGAUUUGGUACUCUAUAUAUAUAUAUAUAGUUGUACUACACACUAACCGUGCUUGGUUUUGCUUUAGUUUAUUUGAAUGUUGGGAGCUAACCGUGCUUGAUUUUGCUUUAGUUUAUUGCUUGGUUUUGCUUUAGUUUAUUUGGAUGUUGGAUAUUUAGAGCUAACCGUGGUUGGAUUUGCUUUAGUUUAUUUGGAUGUUGGAUGUUUAGAGCUAACCGUGGUUGGAUUUGCUUUAGUUUAUUGCUUUAGUUUAUUUGGAUGAAUUAUUUGGAUGUUGGAUGUUUAGAGCUAACCGUGGUUGGAUUUGCUUUAGUUUAUUGCUUUAGUUUAUUUGGAUUUCAUCCAAAUAAACUAAAGCAAAUCCAACCGAAAUGAAAUCCAAAUAAACUAAAGCAAAUCCAACCGAAAUCCAAAUAAACUAAAGCAAAUCCAACCACGGUUAGUGAUAUAUCAGAGAAUGAAGUCUCCUGGAUGUUUCCUUGGUUUUGCUUUAGUUAAGCAAUAAACUGAAAAAGCAUAUUUGGAUGUUUCUAGACAUCCAAAUAAACUAAAGCAAUAAACUAAAAAUGCAUAGUUGGAUGUUUCUAAACAUCCAAAUAAACUAAAGCAAUAAACUAAAGCAAAACCAAGCACGGUUAGACCAAUUACUUUUAAACCAAUUCCAACAGUUGCUACGCGGGUUCGCAUCAAAAAGACUAUUUCAAAGUGUGGAGUACUCAUAAGCCAAAACUAUUGACGGUCAUCUCUUCGUAGUUAAUUAAGACCAUGUUUGAGUCACAUUUUUUCAAAAAAAUACAUUUUUCCAUAGUGAUUUGAUAUCAUUUAAACCACACAUUCUUUAAUAAAAUAAUAUUGCACGCAAAUCCAAAAUUUUUCCUUAUUUUUUAACCACACAUUUUCCAUCAAUACACUAUUCAAAAAUAAAUUUUCAUUCCAAUGAUGUGACUCAAAUAAGGGCUAAAUCUUCUUUUGUUUUCCAUCAUUACUAAAGAAAUAUAUUUCCAAAAGCGUUAAAUUUGAAACAUAUCUUAUCUUCCGUCUCUCUAAUUCUCUACCUGAAGCUAAAGAGAGAAAAAUGAUGUCGAGUGGUAGAUAGGGAUUGCAAAAAAAUCCCGUCAAAUCCGAUAUCCGUGGGGCCCGCUCGAACUGGGUGGGUAUUACCCACUUAAUUGGCUAUUCAGGUUGGGUUCGGGUUGGGAAAUUUCGUUGUGAGGCUGGUAUGGGUAAUGCACGCCCUGUCCCGUCACACACACACACACACACACACACACACACACACACACACAUAUAUAUAUAUAGGAAUUUAGCACUUUAAAUGAAAAACUUCACAAAAUUUCAUUAAUUCUAAUAGAAGAUGACAAUUAAAAUUAUAUGAGGAAUAUGAAAAUCAAUAAAAACCUUAGUUUACCAAAUAUAUUCGAAUAAUUUAACUUUCAGAAUAAAUAAAUUAAUUAAAAAAUUUUAAUAACUAAAUUAUUGUCUCACUUUAAUGAAUGGAGACAAUAAUGAAUUAUCAAAAACUAAAUAAAAAAGGGAUACGUAGACGGGAUAAGGCACUGCCCUACCUUAAACGGGUAAAGGGGCAGGAAAUUGCUCAGCGGGGGUAGGUAAACGGGUAAAGAGGCGGGAAAUUGCUCAGUGGGGGUAGGGCAGGGAACCUACCCCAUUGUCAUCCCUACUAGUAAAAUAGUUUCUCUUGAUGAAACAUUAAACUAGUAAUAUUAUUCACGUCAAAUUUUUUCCUCUUUCAAAAUUUCCAUAUGUUCUCAUUUUUUAGUAUAACUAGUCUUCAUCUUGUGCGUUACACGAGUAUUGUAUUUAUUAUGUUGUUAUUAAUGUGGAAUGUGUAGAGUUUAUAUUAUUCAAAAAUUGUCAAUACUGGUGCAUGAUGUUGGAACUAUGAAGUCAGAAUAAUACUUCACCUUAUCCAAUUCAACUGAUACAGAAAAGAAACUGAAUGAUUUAACAAAUUAAACAACAUAAAUUACAGACAAAAAUAAAAAAAGAAACAAAAAAAAAUGUUAUUAUAAAGUUUUUAAAUUAAAUUGAAAUAAUUAAAAGUAAAAAUAAAUAUUAUUUAAUUAAAAUUGAAAAAAAUUGCAUUUUAAACGAAAAGAAUAAAAAAGAAUUUUAAAUUGAAAAAAAAACAUUUAUAAUAUGAAGAAAACAAAUUUUUUAAAACAAUUUUCAAAAAAUAUAUAUAUAAUAAAAACAAAAUAAAAGAAAGUUACGAAAAUUAAAUAAAGAAAAUAUAAAUAUUAUUUAGUUGAAAUUGAAAAAUUAAGUUUUAUUAUGAAGAGAAAAGAAUUAAACAGAAUUUUAAAUUGAAAAAAAUAAAAAUUUAUCUAUAGCAUGGAGACUUUUGUCUCCGUGAUUUUUUAUUUUUAUUUUUGUUUAUUUUUUUUUCUAAAGCUAAUAUCCUUUUACAUGUAUAAGUAACUACAAUGAUAAUUUUUUUUUCUUUUAAAUAACUUGAAGCAAAUUUUUACUUAUAAGUAACUCUUUACAUUUUAGAAAUAUACUUAAAACUUUAAGUUAAUAUUUUUUUACUUAUAAUAUAAGUAGCUUUUACAAUUAUAAUUUUUUUUUAACUUUUAAAUAACUUGAAGCAAUUUUUUUCUAUAAUUUAUACAAGUGUGGUUGAGUACGGAGUGAAGAGAUGAGACUUGAUGGGGAGUAUGGAAAGUUGCGUGUUGAAGUAAAUUUAGAUUGCCUCUUUUUUACUAUAUAAUAAAAUAUAUAUCAAGUAAAGACAAAUGACGUCGUUUUUUUGCUCCCCCACUUAUUAAAAAAAAAAAAUGCUACAGUGACACAAAAUGAAACAAAACAUUGUUCACUUCAACAAUAUCUCCACAUUCCCCUUUUUAUAUAGUAGGGAUAACAAACUAAAAUGCCAUAAAAAUAUUUGAUCGAUUCAAUUAUUAAUUCUUUUCUCUAUAUAUAUAUUUUUUAUCUCAUUUAUAUUAAGAGCCUGUUUGAGCCCGAUUUUUUCACCAAAAAAAUUGAUUUUUUGACCGUUAUUUUACUAUUUCAGCCGUCAUAUUUGACUUCUUCUCUCACAGAUGAACCCCACUUUUCUCCUAACGGUCAAAAAAUCAAUUCUCAAAAUCACUCCCAAACAGGCUCUAAUAUGAGAAGUGGAUCGAAUAAAAAUUAAUUGCAAUCAAAUUUAUUAAUUGAUUUUUAUCUCUAUAUAUGUCAUUUUGAAAAGACAACAUAUUUUGUCAAAAUGUUUUGAUAUAUUUAUGCAUUAAUUAUUUUUAUAUAUUAUUAGCGGUUCGAUCUCGAUUUAAUAUUUCAACCCUUGACCCUUUAACUUUUUCGGAUUUAUGGCCAGUUACGUUUUCUAAACAUUGGAUAUUUGUCUAAUAUAUAUAUAAUCACCAGUAUUGUCCAACCACCACAUAAUGAAUGUUGAUGCAAAGAUGCCAUUGGAUGAAAAGGAUUGGUUGGAUAGUAUGUUCUUCCAAUAUACACGGUAUUAAUUAUAAAAAUCAAAGAUUUGACAAAGAUUCUCAUUGACCUGAAAUGAAGACAAGAAAAUGUGGCCAACUUUUUGAACCUAUAUAGGUAAAUAAAUGACUGCGUGGAAGUAAAGCGAAAGGAAGAAACCAAGAGAAGUGCCUUCAUUUGCAUACCCAGCAUUCUUGUCACACAAUAAUUUGUAAUAGAAGAUUUCCGAUUUGUAAAAAAUUUAAUUGACUGAUGAUGAUUUGUCAAUAAAUAAUGUAUUUAAACUAUUUAUUAAAGGAAGAAAAUUAUAUAAGUAAUCAAACUAAAAUUAUAAAAUAGUGUUUUAUAUUGGUUAUGUUAUAAACAAUUUAAAUUAUAAAAAGAUUUAUUGAGCAAUAGAUGAAAAAUAAAAGAAGUAAAUAAAGAAUAAUUUUUUUGUUGACAAUAAACGACCAAAGUAAUGUCGAUGAAUGCCACAGACAUUAUGAUCAAUAACUGCUACCCGAAGUGGGUUGGUGAAUUACGAAUCAUUGACUGUAUUGAUGAUAUUUCAUCUCGAGAUACCAUAAGUGAUCAUUAAUGUUUAACAAACUAAAUUUUUUUGAUGAUAGUUUCGUCAAUAAAUAAAGUCGUUAAAAUUUAAUAUUAACAAAUAAAUAUUAUGUUGUUAAUACAAUUAAAACUUGAAAAUAACAUAAAAUUAAAAAAACCAAAGAUUUCUUAAGUUACUUCAAAAUAAUUAAAAAAAAAAAAAAAAAAAAAAAACCAAAAAUUUUUUAAGUUUCUUAAAAAAAAAAAAAAAAAAAAAAAAAAAAAAAAAGGAAGCUUCCCUACCGCAUAAUGAAUAACCAAAGCACCGUUGAUGAUUGCCACUUACAUAAGCUUUUACUGUAAAUUGCCAUAUGGUAGAUGUUAUCUGCUUGGGUUUAUAAUCAUCACAUUUGGUUUCUUUAAAGUUGAUGAAGGUGAAGUAAUUUCCCAGCUACCAUUCAAUGGUAUAUUACAUUAAAUUCCACUGUUAAGGUAUCUAAUAAAUAAUUUUUUAUUUACUAGAUGUCUAUGUUUUGCUUUGAAGUCCAGGUUUGGAUAUGAGACCAAAAAAAAAAAUAAUAAUAAUAAUAAUAAUAAAAUAAAAAAAAUAAGAUUUGAAAAUGAGAACAAAAAAAAAUAAUAAUAAUAAUAAUAAUGAUGAUGAUGAUGAUGAUAAUAAUAAUAAUAAUAAUAAUAAUAAUAAUAAUAAUAAUAAUAAAAUAAGUAAAUAAUCGUUACAAAUGAAGUGGAUGUUGAGAAUUAAAAAUUAUAAUUUUAUUCUAUCAAGAGUAAUCAAUUGAAGAAAUCAAAAUAAACACUCAAGAGCAUGCAAGAUUUAUAGGGGUUGGCCUCAAUGUGAAAUUAUGUCAUCUUCCAUUUAUGCAAUAACUCACUAUGAUAAAAAAAAAAAAAAAAAAAGGGUUUAAAAAAAAAAACCCACCCCCUCCCCCUUCUCCCCCAUUGCACACCUCUCUCUCUCUCUCUCUCUCUCUCUCUCUCUCUUCCCUUAUCAUAAUUAUAAAGUCUAACCACGGCUCCCUAUUUAUCAGGUUUGUAUAUGAGACCCCAAAAAAAAAUAAUAAUAAUAAUAAUAAUAAAAUUACAAAUGAAGUGGAUGUUGAGAAUUAAAAAUCCUAAUUUUAUUCUAUCAAGAGCAAUCAAUUGAAGAAAUAAAAAUAAACACUCAAGAGCACGCAAGAUUUACGGAGGUUGGCCUCAAUAUGAAAAUACGUCUUCUCCCGUUGGUGCAAUAACUCACAAUGAUGAAAAAAAAUGUUUACAAAAGAAAUCGCACUCCUAUCUUCUCUAACCUCGCUUUCUCUCUUUUUUUUCCUUAUUAUAAUUAUGAAGUCUAACCAUGGCUCCCAAUUUAUAAGAUAAAUAAAGGCAAAAUAAAAUUUUACAAUAACUCCAAUUUCUUAAUAGAAUUUUACAAUAUUACAAAUUUCAAAACAGUUCUUAGAUUAUAUUUUGGUUCGGGUGUCUCCGUCCCCUACCCCCUGGGGCAUCCUGCUCCCUUCCAACUCCCAUGGCGACCUCACCACAGAGAUUGAUCACCACCAACUUCACAAAAUGAUAAUAAUUAAAAUCGACAAUAAUUAAAAUCUACAACUCAACAGUAAAUGAUCACUUGAAUUCGGCAAGUGAUGUGCUAAUGGUACAGGCAAGGACACUUCUACAACGAAUUUUGGUGGUGCUAUGCAAGCAGAGGUAUGUUUUCAGAUAGAGUAUAAGAAAGAGAUCGAAUACUGAAUUUUCGUCUUGCAUUGUCUUAUUCAUUAAAGUAUGCAUUUAUAGACCAACAAAGUAGAGCGAAUUCCAUUUCAGAUUUGAUUAAGUCAAUGGAUAAUGAGAUUCAUUAAUUUGAUUUUCAAAAUGAGUCCUUUGUUUAGACAAGUUGAUUCAAAGUAACGCGUGUCGAGUACUUCUACCAUGUGUUCAUACAUGGACCAGUGAAGGGGCGAACAAGGCAGUGGAAUGAGGGGAACCACAACAGAGGAGAAUUUGAUUCCAUAAUUUGAAAAAACCGGCCAAAGUAUAACAAAAGUGGGCAAGAGUAAAAAUGAUAAAAUGAGAAACUCAGCCUCAAUUGCUUUAUAUACUAAAAAAAGAUGUUACAGUUUAAAUAACAAGUUUUACAAACUACGAUAACGAGUAAAAAGUCUAUGCACCAUUUGGUACAACAGAAGUAAAACACGUUGAUCUAUCAAUAUCCAAUUGUACAAACAGCGAAAGCUGGAAUAGAGUUUGGGUCAUCUACUCCAGCUUGCAUCUGGCAAUGGAUCUUUUUUGCCACACAUUGCCAAGAAAACCUUAGAGACCGACCUAGUGUGAGUGAACACUGGAGUUGUGCAUAGAAGAUGCACUUGGAGAUGUCGCACACCAUUCGUACCAAACUUAUGAUAAUUAAAUUAGAUGCAAUAAUAUCAGGUGCGACAUACAGAGUUAAGUAAUUCGCAACCUAUAUUCUCUAUUUCUUGCACAGUGUUUUUAUGCAUAUCCUAUGACUAAAAGGACAUUCCAAAAAUUAGAUGGAUCAAACCCACCAACCUAAAACAAAUUCUAAUUCACUUCUUGCCCAUAGAGAAUAAUAAUAACCAUUUUCAGCGUCAAGUACACAAAUUGCCAGUAUAUCCAUUACUUAAGGCUACGCAACAUAAAAAUUUAUUUAGAUAAUUACCAUAUUAUUUAAAUUAAACCUCACAAAAAAAAUAGACGCCAUAAAAAAUAUGCUAAACCAUCAGUUAAGUGAGUUACCUUGGUAGAACCACAACAAAGCCAAAAAUUGACCUCCAAAUGAGUAUUUGGUGUCACACAAACUGGCAUCGUCAAUGGGAAAAAUAUUGGAAACCUGCAGAAAUCAAAGCCAACCAAAAGAUAGCAAUCAUCUCAAGGACAACAUAUUUACUCCAAUGUACAAUUUCUUUCACGGUGCAUUAUAUGUUUUCAGAGAUUUUUUUUUUUCGUUUGAAUUUGCAUCUUGUAUCUCCAAAGGAUGGUUCUGAAGUACUCUUUUAUCAUUCUAUAUUUCUAUUUCAAAACUAACAGGGAAACUUAAGCGAUAAAACUAGCUAGGCCUUUUCAACCAUAUUCUAUGACUCAUGGUUGAGCCAGCAUCAGGAGGUAAAUCGAACCGAAGCUUCUUAUAACCCUGAUUGCUGUUUUUAGUUGAAUGCUCUGGAUGGAUAAAUGUUAAGACCUCAGCAAGAAAAUAAUAGAAGGGUAUGAAUUUCUAGAACUUUCAUUCUACAAAUAUCAACUGUUUCAAUAAAUUAUAAAAAUUAAUUUUACGGAUUGAGUUGGAGCAAGCCUCGCUAUACGAUGCAGCUUGACAACAUAAGCAGUUUUAUAGUGCAUAAGAUCUUUAUGUGACUUGAUCUUUAGCAUUCCCAAAAUAAAGCCACCAAAAAUGUAAGAGAAGUGAGUAUGAAAAAUUUAAGCAUACACAAAUAGACUAUGAUACUGGAUUUGUAAAUUCAGAAAGACAGAAUUUACAUCAUUGUAUAAUUUUGAUGCAGUUCCACUUUGAGUUAGGCAAGUUGUAGCCCCUAUCACUCUCCAAGUCAUUUUCUAUUUUGUUGAGAAGACUUAUAGCAUGUGACUAACUAUAAAUUUCAAAGCAAACUCCUAUUUAAUUCAUCUUUUCACUUUGUCAAUUUCCUUUUGUAUUACUGUGUCCUUCUCCUUUUGACUAAGUGUUAUUCAUUUUCUCCUCUCAGAUGAGGAUAAAUAUUUAUUUAUAAGUUAGAUUUUUUUGAGAGAAGUUUUAAAGUAGAUAUUUUUCUUACAUAGAGUCACGAUAAGACAAGUCUUUAUCAUUAUAAUGUUUUUGUUUUGUUUAAAAUAUAAUCUCGAUCAAAAUCAAAUUUUAAUUCUAAUCAUGCAUUUCGUAUGAUCCACUACUACUAUCAAUUUAUUUUGACACUUAAUUUCUACAAUUUAUAAUUUCUUCCAAACAAGGACAAAGCAUCCUAUAAUCAACUAAUAAACUUUGUGGGGGCAAAUAUUCCCUUUCAUGGAUUUUGAUGGUCAAUUUGCAAAACAUAUGUUAUCUUUUACUUUGUCUUUGUUUACCACUAAUUAGUUAACAAUAAAUUUGAUACAUUAAAAACACUUUAAUAAGUUAAAAUAGAUAUAUAGUUUAACAUGACAAAUGGGUUAGUUAGAGGGGAAAUGCAGAUCAACGAGGCGAAGAGGCAAAUGAUAGUGGGAAGGUGGGAUUGGGAUUGAGGAAGAGACAAUAUUGUUUUCAAAAAAUAUCAAUAGAAGAAACAAUUUGUGGAAGUGGCUCUUUUUAAAAAAAUUUCCCCUUCAAUUUGCUUCUCCUAUUGACGGCAGCAAGGUUUUUGUCGACGGCAACAGGGUAGGGGGGACCUUCUCCUUUUUGAAUUUCAGUUGGCAGGUGGGACAUUUUAAUCUUCAUUUUUCGUCCCAUUUAUUUAUUUGUUUACAUAUUUAUGUAUUAUUAUGUGUUUAAAUUUAAAUUAUAUUCAAAAAAAUAAAAAAAAAAUAUUAUGAGUCAUGGACGAGUCUAUGAUGGAGAUCAUGUUUCCUAACCCAAUAGAAUUCUCGACCUUCAAUCCGCAUCACGCCCCAUCCUACAUUGUCUCGAUUUGAAUAGUAAACAGGGCGAGACGCAGAACCUAUAGUUCGCAGUUUCGAAUUUUCCAGACUAGCUCCGAAUCAUUUUUCAUUAUUAUGUCAUUCUUUUAUUGUUAUGUUCUUCAUUUAAAUCAUAUAAAAUAAUUAAUUAAAUGAUAGAUAAUAAUGGUUUUUUUUUUUAUAUUUCACCCUGCCCUACCUUCUGAAAAAAAGCAGAAUGGAACAAGAAUGGUAUGCUGGCUCCCACCCACUGUCAUCCUUAAUUUCAAAUCUCCUGUUUGGCGGAGUAACAUGAGAUUGGCAUUUUUUUAAAGAUUUCCUCAAAUAACUUGGCAUAAAAUAAAAACAAUGAUAAAUAUAUCCACCGUAAAAUAGUGUCCUCUCUAAAAGAUAAGUAUAUUCUCCAUUGAUUCCCACUUGUUAGUUGAAACUCGUCUCUAUAGGGGGGCUAGGAUCGAAUCCGAGCUCAAAUUUCUCAAAUUUUCAAAAAGAAUCUUUUGAGUGAAUUGUUCAAAUGGUCAUUGAACUUUGCAAAAGGUUUUUAAGGGGUCAUUGAACUUUAAAAAUCACAUAAAUGAUCACUAAACUUUGUAAAAGGUUUUCCAAGGGUCACGGAACCGUGAUCCUUGGGAAACAUCAAACAUUUUGCAAGAUCCGUGACCCUUGGGAAACAUUUUACAAAGUUCAGUGAUCUCGUGGAAAUAUUUUACAAAGUUCAGUGGCUAUUUAGGUUAUUUUUAAAAUUUAGUGACUCCGUAUAAAUCUUUUACAAAGUUCAGUGACUAUUUAGGUGAUUUUUAAAGUUCAGUGAUCCCUUGAAACUUUUUACAAAGUUUCGUGAUCAUUUGGACAAUUCACUCUAAUGUUUUUACACUGUAUCCUUGACUCUACAAAUAUAGCGAGGCAUGUAUCCUUCGCAACAACUAAACAGAGGCAACCCUAAGGUGCGUAGAUGGUGCGAAUGCACAAGGACACCAAAAUUUUUUUUUUUGUUAUGUAUAAUAAUUUUAAUUUUUAAUUUUUUUAUUAAAGGGGCAUCAUUUUAAAAUAUCACACGUGGCACCCAAAAUCCCAGGAUCAACCCUGCAACUAAGUACCACUCUGCAACUUCUCAAUUUCCCAGGAAUGAAAAAAUCUUCAACUCCACAACCAGGUACUACAUUAAUUGACGAAGAGUAUAUUUAGUAACAAACAUAACAAAAUAAAGUUCUAGGACAUACUUGGAUGAAAAUUGACUCAAUGCAACCUAAGGCUCAUGUCAGACGAUGAAGUAUAUUAGGUGUGGAAGAGAUACAAUAGAUAAAGAUAUAGAUGCGACUUAUCGAAACUUGCCUACGAAGGAGAGAGCCGAGUAUUUAUAGGUGGAAGAAGCUUUAUCUGAAUGCUUGACACAUGACUUUAUUUUAACGAUUCUCUUCUCAUACUCGAUUAUGUCAAUUUAUAGCCACCAUAGGUAUGUGUUUCCAUAGUCAAAAUAUAGGCUAAAAAUUGAGGAUUGUCAUUACAGAGUUGUCACAUAAAUUAGUUUGUACAGUGUACUUUGCACGAAUUGGUCAAAGCGAAGCUUGUAGCAAAUGUUCAUCGCCUCAGAUAUAUACUGUAGUGGAGAGGUUAUGCAUCCCUUCAUUUAACAAUAACAUCCUGAAAAAUGCAUCCAAAAGCAUAUCCUAAUUGUAUCGGAAAAGGCAAGAAGAAGAUACGAUAAGAAUUUGAGCAUUUCCCCUACAUGGCUGAUAACGACGUAAAUUAUUAAGUUUUCAUUCAUUAAUACUUGUAUUUGUAUGAUAAAUUGAUUCCUAAAUGUAUUAAGUACCUUUAUAUUUUGAUUUAGAUCGCAAAUGGAUAAAUACUGUGGAAAAUAGAAGAAACGAGCGAAAAGGGACUAAAAUGGAAGAAAUUGAAAGAUUAGGGACCAAGCUGCAAAUAAUCCAAAGAUGAGAUGGGCGAUGGAAUGAUGAUUUGAGAAUGCUGGGGAUCAAUUGGGUGUAAUUAGAAAUGAAAAGAAGUGAAACAUGACUAAUAUUUGCACAAAUCAAUUUCCAACCGCAUAAGGAUGUUCCAGAUUUUCAGGCGGAUAUUGAUAUCCAUUUUUGACCUAGUAAACCUUCCAAUUGGAAAAGAGAUAUUUUUUGUAAAAUUGUAUCUCUUUGUGUUAUCUUUCCAAAUCACUUUGAAUCGUCUCAAUUGAAUUUCAAGAGAGAAAGUUAUUACCAAAAUACUAAAAACUAUCCAGCGGAGAAAAACGUUGAAUCAUGCGGUCGCACAGUACAAAAUCCAUGUAGUCGCAUGGUUGCUUCUAGAGAUCUUCAGGCCUGAAAAUUGUUAUUCGAUGCGACCGCAAGCCUUUUAACCAUGUGGUCGCAUUGCUAAUUCCCUUAACAAGAUUUUCAGUUUCCUUAUUUCUUUCAACCACUUAUGUGAACAAAUCUAGUACACCAUAUAUAAGCCCUAAAUUUCGUCCAAGACCUAGAGAAGGCCCCCAUACACUUUUCUAUCAUCUUCAGCACAAGAAACUUCAUGAGGAAUUAAACUCUUUGGUGAAGCCACAAAGAACUCAUUGGAAUUGGUGAUUUCACGUCCUUAUUUCAUAUAAUUUGAUCUUUCUUUGCUUAAUAAAUUUUAAGAUUUGGAUUUUCUCUUUGUGAUUUGACAUUGAAAUUGGUUUAACUUUUACUAGAUUUUUCAUAGAUCUAGUCAUGCUUUUUUUAUCGAAUUCUCAAACUAUUUGUUGAAUUUUAAUUUCAUUGAUUUUGUUGGUGGAUUAUUUACUGCUUUAUACUUGAUGUAUAUGGUCGCUUAAUCUUAUUCCAACAAAAAGUGUGAGAAUGUGUUAUAAAAAAUAUAGAUUCUAGAAAUACAUUUGGAAUUAAAUUGAUCUUUAUUGUUAAAUCUUUCGAUUAGAAAGUUGGGAUGAAAACCUCAAAUUGAGUAAAAUGCAUAAAUUAUUGAUGUUGAUUGAUCCAAUCCAGUUAAGGGAAUUCAGGCAUUUCACUAUUCUAAAUAUUGACCUCAAACUUAUUAUUUCAACCUUUGAUUUUAAUUAUUAUUCAAAUGAUAUAUCUCACUACACAUUUUCAGAGAACACUCACCUUUUAAACAUUUGAGCAAUUCAUCCAUCUCUCUGUGGAAUCGACACCCUAAAACUGUGCUACAAUUAUAGCGUUAUUUUUUGGGUAUAAUCAAAUUUUGAUGCCAUUGUCGGGGAGAUGUUUCAAUAAGCUAAAGGAUUUUCUAACAAAAGGGUGACUUCGUUCCCUUACUUUUUUUAAUUAAUUUAUUUUCUUCAUUGUUAUUUUUUUUAUUUCUCACGUAGUUAAUUUUUUGUAUUUUAUGAGCUAGAAUCGAGACGAGAGAUGAAGAUUCAUUGAAGGAUCGCUUACAGUGUUUGAAUCUCUUCCCGAACCUAUUUUCGAUACUGUAUCUAUUGGCACAAACACUACACUGCACAACACCAUGAGUGAAAGUGAGCAUGAAGACUAGCCUUAUAGGACCCUUCAAGUUUACCUUCACCCCACAUGCACAUCCACACCAUCAUACAUUACAUUUCCACCUAAUAUGCUACGUAUGGACCUUAAAUCGGGAAUAUUCAACUUCUUCCCACAUAUCACGGACUUGAAAGGGAAAAUCCAUAUAUGCAUAUUAGGGAAUUUGAGGAGAUGGCUGCAACCUUCCACAAUCAAUAUGGUACAAAAGAUGCAAUCAGGCUUAGAUUUUUCUCAUUUUCACUUAAAGAAAGAGCAAAAGCUGGUUGUACUCAUUGAGACCAUGUUCGAUUAGGAACUGAGCUGAAAUGAUUCAGGCAUUUUUCAGCAAAUAUUUUUCCCAUCAUAAGAUUAGUGCCCUGAAGAAGCAAAUUUCUUCAUUUGCCCAAAAUAAUAAUAAGACUUUAUACCAAGCAUGGGAAAGAUUCAAGAAAUUGCAAAAUUUUUGCCCGCACCAUGGUUAUGAGAGUUAACGUAUUGUGAGUUAUUUUUAUAAAGGACUAACACAUCGGGAGCAUCAAUUUGUUAAGAUGAUGUGUAGUGGUGACCUUUUGCAAAAGGACCUCGAUGAGGCUAUAGACUAGUUGGAUGGCCUAGCUAAGAAAAAUCCAUGAGUAACAGAAUUUUUUUCUGUGGUUUUUUCUCCUCUUUUCCCAUUGUUUUUACCUUCUUGGAUUUUCACGUAAAUUUUGUGCUCUUGUUAUCAUUUUAUAUUGUCAAUUCUUGCUUUUUCUUAAUAUGUAAUUUGAAAAAAAUAAUAAUAAUAAAAUAAAAUUAGGUUUGUAAAAUACAUAGUCUAGGUAAAGUUAGCAGUGAACAAAUAUAAUAUGAAUGUGAAAAACCAAGUGACAUCAAGCCAAAAGGCAGCUGGAUGAACUAUGUAUAUGUAUUAUUAUUAUGAUUAUGGUUAGUAGAUCUAUAGUAUGCUACAAAUACCUAGAUAUACAAUUACUAAAUUCCCAGGUAAACCCAAUUUAUUUUCACUUGCAUUCAACUAUACAGUGAAUAAUUAUUCAUUGUCAACAACUUCUACAGCAUUAUAGAAAAAAUGAGAUAUCUAGGAACUAGGUAUUUGAUCAAUAAAAAUAGGGAAGGUGGCUCUAGGGAGUGACAAAAUUAUUAAUAAGAUGAGGCAAAUUAAAGAAACAAACAAAUGUAGGAAGUUGAAAUCUACAUAAGAAACAAAAAGUACUUCCCUAUCAGUCGGAAGGGACAAUAUGAUAGAUACCAAAACAAGGCAAUUGCUAAGAGAUUCAAAGAUUACAUAAUUAUAAGCGAGAAAAAAAUAAAUAUUGAUGAUUUAUUGUAGUUGAUAAUGGGGGUUGGCUAACAAACCUUACGUAGAAACUAUACCAUUCGCAGUCAAACCAUGAUCCCUGAAUUUGAAACGGGCAUAUAACGAUUUGCAAAAGAGAUAAUGGUGUUGGAUUCCUGGUGGAUAAUGCACAUGUAGACUCUAAUUUCCUGCGCACUAGGAUUGAACAUAGAGGAAAUCAUUGUAAAUAACCCAAUAACCUAUGUGUAUUUCCAAAGUAACCUUUGACUAGUUUUUAGAGAGAAAAAAAGGAAAAUUGAUUUUAAAUGUCAAAAUCCCAAAAUACCCUCAGGCAGUCACUUUCCCAUUUGCUUAGAGUCGGCCAAAACCAAGGAAAAGCUACGGUCAAUUUCCAAUCGGUAGACGUUUUCAGUUCAUCUCCGAUGACCUUCUUCUUGUUAAAGUAAGCUUCGAGUUGUUAAUUAACUAGAUUAAUGUUUAGAUUUUCAUAUUAUGUGUGAAUGUUGAAUUUGUGAAAGUUUUUGGAAUGUAAUAUUGGUUAUGUAAGUGUAGAAUUAUGAAUAUGGGUCUAAAUUGAAGAAUAAUAGGUGGAUUUUGAGAUUUGCAAGCUUUUCUUGUUGGAAAUGGAGAUUUUCCGACAAGAAAAGCCGAAAAAAAUGCCAGCUACGUUUGUAGCCGGCAUUUUGGAUAAAACCCGAUUGCAUUUGCAAUCGGCAUUUUGGGGAAAACUCGGCUGUUAACAGUCGGGUGCCCGACUGUUAACAACUGGUUGGCACAAUUGUCAUGGGGACUGUUUUUAUUUUUCAUGGGCUGACUAACAGUCAGCCCAUGAUUGUUAAGUGGGCCGACUGUUAUAGUCGACCCAAUAACAAUUUUUUUAUUUGGGUUGAUUAACAGUCGUCCCAUUAUUUGGACUGACUGUUUAGUCAGCCCAUUGACUGUUAAGCAGGCCGAAAGUUAUGGUCAAGUCGAUGUCUUUAUUUUUUUAUUAUUUUUUUUCUUACAUAUAUUUAAGAAUUUCAUUUUAAAUAAUUUUAAUUAUUAUUUUUUAAUAAAUAAUAAUUUAUUUAUUUGUAAAAUUUAAAUGUGAUAUUUAAUUUGAAUAUUUAUUUUUAUUUCCUCAUUUUUUAUAAAUAAUAAUUUUUCAUUCUGAAUUUAAUUAAUUUUUAUAAUUUUAAUAAUUAAUAAUUCUUUUAAUUUUAAAUUUAAAUUUCAUAUUUAGUUUUAUUAAUAGUUUUUAUAAAUAAUAUUCUUUUCGUUAAUCGAAUUUCAUUAAUUCUUGUCAUUGUAAUUUUGAAUAAUUAUUUAAUUUUAAAUUUUGUUUUUAUUUUUAUUAAUAGUUUUUUUAUAAAUAAUAUUCUUUUCGUUAAUCGAAUUUCAUUAAUUCUUGUCAUUGUAAUUUUGAAUAAUUAUUUAAUUUUUAAAUUUCAUAUUUAUUUUUAUUAAUUGGGCUGACUGUUAACAGUCUUAGGCCGACUGUUAACAGUUAGACUAUUAACAAUUUAAUUUUUUUAAAAUAUAUAUAUUUAAUUUUUAAAUUUUUUAAAUAUAUUUUAUAAUUAGUUUAUUAAUAAUUAUGUUAUUUAUUUAUUUUUUUAAUUUUCUUUUAUUUAUAUAAUUUAAUAAUUGAAUAUUAUCUAAAAGUAACAAUUUAUUUUCCAUGUUAUUUAUUUAAUUAAAAUUUUUUUUUGUAAAUAUAUUUUCCAAGUGUAAUAGACAAGAUUAAUUUUCUUUAUAAUUUUCAUUUGAUUAAAUAAUAAUUAUGUUAUUUAUUUAUUUAAUUUUUAUGUUCUUUAAUUUUUUAAAAUUUAUUUAAAUAAUAUUUAUAUUGUUUAAAUUUUUUUGAAAAUAUAUUUAAUCUUUAAUUUUUAAAUUUUUUGUAUUAUUUAAAUAUUAAUAAUUUCCUUUUGCUGAAAAUCUCAUUAAUUUGUAUUUUAACUUAAUUAAUUAUUUUUAACAUUUGUAUUGAAUUUAUUUUGUUAUUGGCGUCAAGAAUUCGGUUCCCAUUGAUUUUUUGAGAUUAUGCAUUAUUAUAUUAUUUCUUGUUCAAUGUUCUAACAUUUGAAUUUUUAUAGGAUGGAAUAUCAUUUAAAUGGGGAGUUGAGACGGAUGGCGGGGAAUGCUACUUGGAACAGUAGCUUUGAGAUUUUUACUGAUGUGUUGGAGAUGCUCAAUGAUCAUCACGAAAAUAUGCUAUGACAGUCCUUCUUGUGGGCACUGUACUAGAUGCGAGAGUUGCAGUAUUCAGGACUAAUCAUCGAUGCACUUCUAUGUCGGCUUCUGAGGCCAGUCGACGGCGAUUCCCUCCACUUCGACCUCGGGGGCAAGGUCGUCAGUUUCUCGAUGUAUGAGUUUAGCUUGAUCACUGGACUGAAGAUUAUGGGCGAUGAUGCAGCCAUUGAGAGAAGCAAUAGUUUGUACGAGACGUACUUCCAGGUACAUGGGUCGGUGCAUCUACCCGAGUUUAUGGUUGCGAUCAGGGGAUACAACCAGAUGCUAGAUAGAUUGAAAUUUGGGCUGGUCUACAUCUUCGAGAAUGUGAUGAGGUGUCAUCACAAGAAGAUUGCCAUCGACAUUUUUUCAUUUGCAAGUUGUUGACGACAUCGAUGCGUUCAACAACUAUCUAUGGGGCCGGAGAUGCUACGAAGACACCGUACAUGUGCAUGUGUUUAUUAAAUGAAUAAAUCAUACUUUUUUGGUGUUUCCUGAUGCAGCACAUCGGCCUGACCAUAGACUUGCUACGAGAUUAAGCUCAAAGACAUCCAAAAUCAUUUGACGUCCAUGGUCGAGUCAUAUUAAACAUCGAGUUCCUACGUGCCGUUACCAUAGAUUAUCAAUCGCUCCAACUUAUGAGUAACGAGUACACGGUGCUAGAAUAUAUUCUCGAGUGGGUCAUAUGAAUGUCGCCGAGUGUCGGGGGAAAAAUCAUGGGAGGGUUGUACACAUAUGCACAUUCCAGCGUGCAUCAAUAAUCACUAUGUUACGCUAGAGAUCGUUUUGCUGACACGACUAUAUAUGUGUAUGACGCAGAUCAUUCAUGUUUGACGCAAGGCCAGCUGGAGCAAAACCUGGAGUUUGUAGCUGUAAUUGUUCCUAUGAUGGCCAGACGAGUGGGGAUGACUGUACAGGACAGAUUGCGGAUUGUUCGGAACACGACAACAGUGUGACAGUCCAUAAUGUAAGUGUUUGAACUUUGUUAUUUUCAUCUUUCAGAUUUAGUUUUUAGCUACACAGUACUGAAUUGAUCCAUUCUUGCUCAAUUGUAGCGGCGACUGCGGCAUAUUUCUCAUUAAGUACGUUGAAUUUUUAAGUAUAGGACAUAAGGUUGAUGGAAUCAACCAAUAGUGGAUACAGAACUGGAGAAAGAAGCUAGUUUGUGAUUUGUUUGAAUUUAAUGGUGAACCGUAAAUUUGUAUUAAAUAUAUGUAACAUUCAAAUUGUAAAUUUAAUUAUUUUUUGUGAUUAUGAAAUAAUUGUAAAUUUGUGUUCAAUAUAUAUAACAUUCACAUUAAAAAUUUAAUUAUUUUUUUGUAAAUUGAUUUUUUGUUAUUUUACACAUAUGCCAAGUAUGGAACUAUUUUUUUUAUAUGAAUAAUUAUAAAUACUUGGGAGCUCAGGGGGUGGAACAAGUGGACCGUCCUCCAAUUCUUCGUGUGUGGCUCCCGAUGAUGAGAAUUUGUAUGUCGAGCAACUAUUUGAAACCAAGAAAGAUUUGUAGGAAGCUGUGCACCGGAUAGCAUUAAAAUAUAACUUUGAGUUCAAGGUAAAGAAAUCAACCAAGUCAUUGUUGACAGUUGCUUGCGUUGACGACAAUUGCAAUUGGCGCUUGAGAGCGACUAAAAUGGACACGAAUGAGUGCUUUGUAGUUCGUAAAUAUGCACGAAAACAUACUUGUAAAGUGGGAAUUUGUCGAAAUGAUCACAGGCAAGCUCGAGCAUGGUUUAAUGGUCGACAGAUAAUGCACAAGUAUCAGAACCCACGGACGAUCUAUAGACCUUCGGAUAUCAUUAACGACGUCCGUUGAGAGUAUAGAGUGGUCAUGAGCUACCAGAAAACUUGGAAGGUCAAAAAAUGUGCGUUGGAGGAUUAAAUGGGAUCAGAUGAGGAGAGCUAUACUAAAUUGGCCAGGUAUUGCCAUAACAUGGGGACAACUAAUUCUGGCACGAUAUUUUUUAUUGAGACGGAGGGCGAUAAUUGUUUUAAGUAUUUCUUCAUGGCUCUCGGACAAUGUAUAUGGGGUUUUCGAAAUGUAAUGCGACCCGUAAUUCUAGUUGAUGGUACAACUCUGAAAGCUAAAUAUCAAAGCAAAUUAAUUAUUGCUACAUGUCAAGACGCCAACAUCCAAAUUUACCCUAUUGCAUUCGACAUAGUCGACAUCGAGAAUGAUCUGUCCAUGCGUUGGCUCUUUUCUAAACUGAGGGAAGUGAUCGAGGAAGUCGAAAACCUUGCCUUUGUAACCGAUUGGGGACAAUCUAUAAUAAACAGUAUCGCUGAAGUUUUUCCCGAGGCACAUCACGGGUAUUGCAUGUACCAUAUAUAAGGUAAUUUGAAGACUAGGUAUCGGGGCAAAUGCAUCGUUUCAUUGUUUAGAAAAGCAGCCAAAGCUUACAGUGCUGAAAAGUGUAACAAGUUCAUGUUCGAAUAUGAAGUAAACCAUUACCGGCGUUGGAGUAUCUGACGAACAUGGAGAUCGAGCAUUGGGCAUGGUCAUACUUUUCAGGACAUCGAUACAACAUGAUGACGUCGAAUAACGCGGAGUCUCUCAAUGCAUUGUUUAAGAAGGAUCGAGAGUUACCAAUCCUCGCAAUGAUUGAGAACAUUUGUAACAAACUGCAACAGCGGUUUCAUGACCGACGUGCGGUAUCACAGAGUUGCACUGGCGUGUUGGCCCCAACUCAAGAGGAUAAACUCUUUAAGGCAAUAGAUGUUGGGAGGAAGUUGAAUGUGGAAGCACUAGAUGAGUUCCACUUCUCCGUGCAAUGUGCACGUAAUACGGCAUAUAUGGUGGACUUGACUUAUAACACAUGCACUUGUACGAGAUUUCAGUUGGAGAGUUUUCCAUGUGAGCAUGUAGUUGCGGUGGCCAUGUAUCGAGGCUUUGCAGCGAGAACGUUAUGCUCUUUGUAUUAUACGACUAAGUCUUGGAGAACAGCAUAUGCUGAUACUAUAUUUCCUCUGCCGAAUGAAGCCGAGUGGGAAGUUCCCGAGCACAUUCUCCCGUUUCAUAAUUUGUUGCCGCCAACAGUUGAACCGCGUGGUCCUGGACGUCCAAGUACAUCUAGAAUACCAUCUACCAGAGAGUUUCCUCGACCGCGUAGGUGUGGUAGGUGCAGAGCCAUAAGGCAUACUCGACAAUUUUGUACCAGUCAAAUUUCCCUAAAUGACAAUUAGACGGGUACGUUAAAUGAAUAAUAUUUCUGUUUACUUUACACUGUUCAAUAUUUGUUUUUCAUAAAUGUUCAAUGUUUAGUAUUUAUUAUUGAUAAAUGAUAUUUAUAAUGAUUCAUAUAAAAAAAAAUAGUUCCAUACUCGGCAUAUGUGUAAAAUAACAAAAAAUCAACUUACAAAAAAAUAAUUAAAUUUCCAAUGUGAAUGUUAUAUAUAUUAAACACAAAUUUACAAUUAUUUCAUAAUCACAAAAAAUAAUUAAAUUUACAAUUCGAAUGUUAUAUAUAUUUAAUACAAAUUUAUGGGUCACCAUUAAAUUCGAACAAAUCACAAGCUAGCUUUUUCUUCAGUUCUGUAUCCACUAUUGGUUGAUUCCAUCAACAUUAUGUCCUAUACUUAAAUAUUCAACGUACUUAAUGGCAAAUAUGCUGCAGUCACCGCUGCAAUUGAAUAAGAAUGGAUCAGUUCAGUACUGUGUAGCUAAAAACUAAAUCUGAAAGAUGAAAACAAUAAAGUUCAAACACUUACCUUAUGGACUGUCGCGCUGUUGUCGUGUUCCGAACAAUCCGCAAUCUGUUAUGUACAAUUAUCACCACUCGUAUGGCCAUUAUAGGAACAAUUACAGCUAUGGACUCCAGGUUUUGCUCCAACUGGCCUUGUGUCAAACAUGAAUAAUUUGGGUCGUAGACAUAUAUAGUCAUGUCAGCAAAAACGAUCUCCAGCGUAACAUAGUGAUUAUUGAUGCACACUGGAAUGUACAUAUGUGUACAACUCUCCCAUGAUUUUUCCUCGACAUUCAGCGACAUUCCUAUGACUCACUCCAGCAUAUAUUCUGGCACCGUGUACUCGUUAUCCAUAAGUUGGAGCAACUGAUACUCUAUGGUAACGACACGCAGGAACUUGGUGUUUAAUAGGACUCGACCAUGGACGUCAAAUGAUUCUGGAUGUCUUUGAGCUCGAUCUCAUAGCAAGUCCAUGGCCUAGUCGAUGUACUGCAUCAGGAAACACCAAAAAAGUAUGAGUUAUUCAUUUAAUAAGCACAAAGUGAUGUAUACAUAAAAAACACGAAAUGAAUAAUUCACUUACAUCGUCGGCGAGUCAAGCUCCUGAAGUGGUGACAUCGUGGAACCACUUGUAAGCGUCCGAGACCAUUGUUUGACCUAUCGUGCAGCUAACUCUGAAAAAAAAAGAAAAUGUUAAAAUAUGCAUAGACGAGUUAGCAUAUAGUGCUUUGUUAAAAUCAUACAAUACUUACCUGGGAUAAUUCUCCUCUACUCCAUCUCGAACGCUUUCCACUUGGCGUUGUCCACCUCUCUGAAUAAGUUCGGAUGCGUCCCAUCGAUCAACGUUCUGCUCUUGGCCUCAGCCGUGAAGGGAAAAACAACAUACUGUGAUGACAUUCUCAACCUCUCGCCGACUACUUGCUCUAUAUCAUCAACAGCAUGUCUCUUACCCUCAAUCACGAUAGGCGUCCUCUCGACCUCCGGGGCCAUCUCCUUCGCCCCUCCCAUCGGGGCCACCCCCUCCGUCAUCGCCUCUCCUAUCCUCGUCGGGGCCACCCCCUUUCCCUCCAUAGGCAACCACAAUGAUUCUAAUGUCUCAUCACGCUAAAAAUGUGGGUGAUCCCCUCUCCAUCACCAUCUCUGCCACCCUCUCGAUCAUCAUCUCCACCAUCCCCUCUGUCCCCCCAUUGCCUACCGGCUAAAUCUUCUCUAAGUGUCACUAUCGUAUCCUGAAAAUCGACAACACAAGACCAUAGCAUUUCAACAUCAUGGGAUAGAUCGUCAACCCUCUCUAUCAACUCUCGUCCCAUAUCAUCGACCCUCCCUAUCAGAUAGUCGACCUUCCCAAUCAGAUCGUCGACCCUCCUUGUCAACUCUCGUCCCAGAUCAUCGACCCUCUCCAUCAACUCUCGUCAUAGCGCUCCAACCUCCUCCACUAUAAAUCCAGUCAAACGGGCAUAUAAAUCAUCACUGUGUGUUAGAGAUACACGGGGGAGUGUCUGGACGAGGGAAAAGGAAAUACCCUCGGUGGUGGCGAUGCCAAUGGCGGUGGCGAUGCCCUUGAUGGAGGUGAUGUCAAUGGCGACGACGAUGCUCUCGACGCCAAUGGUGACGACGAUGCUCUCGACGGAGGUGAUGCCAAUGGUGGCGGCGAUACCCUCGGCGGAGGUGAUCGUCGAUCAACUGGACCGCCCUCCUACAUAAAUAACAUUAAAAAUUAUUCAAUAAAUUUAUACGUCGACAAUAUUCAAUAAAUUAUAUUUAAUUCAUAUACACAAUCUCGAUCCAGGCUCGGAUCAGACAUCUCCUCGUCUUGGGUCUGCGGAACGCCUAAAUCUCAUACAAGACCCCGAGCCUCUUCUUCCAUCGACGAUGUCAACUCAAGUAUGACUUCAAGCUGACAUAUUGACAUUUCAACUAAUUAACGGUCAUGUAAACAUAUUUUAAACUACGUAUAAUAUAAAUCACAAAUGCAUAAUACUUAUCUGAGGAUCGUCGAGGAGAGCCGAUAAUUAUUUCCCAGUGGGACAUCUGUCUGCUCGCGAUGAUCUCCAAUGAUGCAUCUGAGGACAUCGUGUCUCCCCUCGCUUCGCGAAGCGGGCCCCCAAUACAGGGACUAUCUCAUACACUCAAAUUUGCAACACAUACACUUAUUAUGCGUAAAUAUAAUAUACUAAAACUUAAACUUUAAUUAUAUUAAACAUUUAUCUGCACCGCUAUGGGCAAUCCAUAUGUAUCAUAUUUACACAUUGACCCCCUGGGCCUCGAGUGUGAUUUGGUAAAAAGAUGUACGGCGUCUUUGCAGCAUCUCCGACCCCAUGGAUAGUUAUUGAACGCAUCGAUGUCGUCAACAAUUUGCAAAUGAAAAAUGUCGAUGGCAGUCUUAUUGUGAUGACACCUCAUCAUACUCUCGAGGAUGUAGACCAGCCCAAGUUUCAAUCUAUCUAGCAUCUGGUCGCACCCCCUGAUCGUGACCAUCAACUCGGGUAGAUGUACCGACCUAUGUCCUUGGAAGUACGUCUUGUACAGCCUAUUUCUUCUCUCAAUGGCUGCAUCAUCUCCUGUAAUCUUUAGUCCAGUGAUCAAACUAAACUCAUACAUCUAGAAAUUGACAACCUUGCCCCCGAGGUCGAAGUGGAAGGGAUCACCGUCAACUGGCCUCAGAAGCCAACAUAGAAGUGCAUCGAUGAUAUAUCCUAAGUACUGCACCUCUCUCAUCUGGUAAAGUGGCCACAAGAAGGACUGUCAUAGCAUAUCUCCGUGAUGAUCAUCGAGCAGCUCCAACACAGCAGUAAAACUCUCAAAGCUACUAUUUCAAGUAGCUUUCCCCACCAUCCGUCUCAACUCCCCAUCUAAAUGAUACUCCAUCCUGCAAAAAUUCAAAUGUUAGAACAUUGAACAAGAGAUAAUAAAAUAACGCAUAAUCUCAAAAAAUCAAUGGGAACCGAAUUCUUGAUGCUAAUAACAAAAUAAAUUCAAUACAAAUAUAAAAAAUAAUUAAUUAAAUUAAAAUACAAAUUAAUGAGAUUUUCAGCAAAAGAAAAUUAUUAAUAUUUAAAGAAUACAAAAAAGUUAAAAAUUAAAGAUUAAAUAUAUUUUCAAAAAAAAUUAAAGAAUAUAAAUAUUAUUUAAAUAAAUUUUAAAAAAUUAAAGAAUAUAAAAAUUAAAUAAAAAAAUAACAUAAUUAUUAUUUAAUCAAAUGAAAAUUAUAAAGAAAAUUAAUCUUGUAUAUUACAUUUGGAAAAUAUAUUUACAAAAAAAUUUAAAAUUAAAUAAAUAACAUGGACAAUAAAUUGUUACUUUCAGAUAAUAUUCAAUUAUUAAAUUAUAUAAAUAAAAGAUAAUUAAAAAAAUAAAUAAAUAAAUAACAUAAUUAUUAAUAAAUUAAUUAUAAAAUAUAUUUAAAAAAUUAAAAAACUGAAUAUAUAUAUUUUUAAAAAAAUUAAACUGUUGACAGUCCGAUUGUUAACAGUCGACCCAAGACUGUUAACAGUUAACAGUCGGCCCAAUUAAUAAAAAUAAAUAUGAAAUUUAAAAAUUAAAUAAUUAUUCAAAAUUACAAUGAUAAGAAUUAAUGAAAUUCGAUUAACGAAAAUAAUAUUAUUUAUAAAAAAUUAUUAAUAAAAAUAAAAAUGAAAUUUAAAAUUAAAUAAUUAUUCAAAAUUACAAUGACAAGAAUUAAUAAAAUUCGAUUAACAAAAAGAAUAUUAUUUAUAAAAAAAACUAUUAAUAAAACUAAAUAUAAAAUUUAAAUUUAAAAUUAAAAAAUUUAUUAAAUAUUAAAAUUAUAAAAAUUAAUUAAAUUCGAGAAUGAAAAAUUAUUAUUUAUCAAAAAUGAGGAAAUAAAAAUAAAUAUUCAAAUUAAAUAUCACAUUUAAAUUUUACAAAUAAAUAAAUUAUUAUUUAUUAAAAACUAAUAAUUAAAAUUAUUUAAAAUGAAAUUCUUAAAUAUAUGUAACUAAAAAAAAAAAUAAAGGCAGCGGGCCGAUCGUAACAAUUGGACCGUUUAAGAGUCAAUGGGCUGACUAAACAGUCAGCCCAAAUAAUGAGCCGACUGUUAAUCAGCUCAAAUUAAAAAAAAAAAUUGUUAUUGGGCCGACCUUAACAGUCAUGGGCUGAUUGUUAGUCAGUCCAUGACAAUCGGGCCAACCGACUGUUAACAGUCGGGCACCUGACUGUUAACAGCCGAGUUUUCCCCAAAAUGCCGGCUGCAAACGCAGCCGGCAUUUUUUCCAGCUUUUCUCAUCGGAAAAUCUCUAUUUUCGACGAGAAAAGCUUGCAAAUCUCGAAAUCCACAUAUUAUUCUCCAAUUUAGACCCAUAUUCAUACUUCUACACCUAUAUAAUCAAUAUUACAUUUCAAAAACCUCCACAAAUUCAACAUUCACACACAAUAUGAAAAUCUAAACAUUUAUCUGGUUAAUUAACAACUUGAAACUCACCUUAACAAGAAGAAGGUCGUCGGAGAUGAACUGAAAACGUCUACCGAGUAGCUUUUCCCUGGUUUUAGCCGACUGUAAGCAAAUGAAAAAGUGACCGUCUUACGAUAUUUUGGGAUUUUGACCUUUAAAAUCAAUUUUCGUUUUUUUUUUCUCUAAAAACUGGUCAAAGGCUACUUUGGAACUACACAUGAGUUAUUGGGUCAUUUUCAAUGAUUUCCUCCCCUUUCCUCGGAUUUUCAAAUUUCUACUUCCGAUUUGUACCUUUUUUUUUCUAAUUGACAAAUUAAUUAUAAGUACGUUAUGGAUAGUAUAUAGAAUAAUUUAAUUUAUAAUUUCUGAUUAGUUAAAAUUUGUAUAUUUUAUUCGUAAGAAUCAUUCAAUUAACUUUAAUAUAUUUUUCCUACUGAAAUUGUCUAAUUUUAGUUCGAAGAAUUUUAAUAUAGUUUCAGUAUAUUAUUUUCAUAUUACCAAUAGAAUUUUAUCAUUAAAAUUUUUUAAUUUAUUUUUUAGGAUUUUGGUUAUUUUGUAAAUUAAAUUUUUAAAAUAAUCUUUAAUUAAUAGUUAGGAUUGAUUGAAAUUAAACGUAUGCUGAAUUUUUAUUUUUAGUUUUGUUCUUUUUUACAACAAGCAAAAAAUAUUGCAAAUCCUUGUUGCAAAACACACUUGCUCGCAACAUUUAAUGAUUGUUGCAAAAGGUUAUAUAGUAAGAAUUUCAACAAUAUGUACUGAACAUUGUUAUAGAACAAAAUUUUAACAAGUUCAAAAAAAAAAAAAAAAAGAAUUAAAACUUUUACAACAUUCAAAGAACGUUACAAAAAGCUAUAUAUUAAGAGUUUCAACAACGGUUAUUGAAUGUUGUUAUAGAACUAUAUUUUUACAACAUUCAUUAAAUGUCGUGAAAAAUCAAAUUUCUUACAACAUUCAAGAAACGUUGAAAAUGGUAAUAUUGACAACAUGCAAUUAAAAAAAAUAUUGCCAAAGCUUAAUUAAAUUAAUCAAUGGCAAUAUUCACUUAUUAAAAUGUUGCGAUAGACCCAUUUAGCAACAUUCAAUUCACGAGUGUUGCCUUUUGAGUAUUGCAAAAGGCUAUUUUAAUUGUAGUGAAAACUAGAGCCAUGUAUUCAUAGGGAAGGAUUAGGGAUACAAUAAUAAUAAUUUCUAGAGUUACAGGAGUACAAUUGUCAUUCACAAAUAAACUUACCAUUUACAACAAAAUGGUCUUUUUUUAUUUUUAUUUUUCUUCAAUGUGCUCCUAAAAAGGUUUUUAUUGACAGCAACAAGGUAAGUCGGACGUUCUCUUUUUUAAAUUUUAAGAGGCGGUAAGGACUUUUUGAUCUUCAUUUUUUGUCCCAUUUAUUUAUUUAUUUACUUAUUUAUGUAUUAUUGUGUUUAAAUUUAAAUCAUGUUCAAAAAAAUUUUAAAAAAAAUAUUAUGUGUCAUGGAUGGGUCUGUGACAGAGAUCAUGUUUCCCAAGCCCAUCCCUAAUAGGGAUUAUAGAAUUCCUGACCUUCAAUCCACAUCGCGCCCCGUCCCACAUUGUCCUACCUUGAAUAGUAAAUGGGGCGGGAUGCAUAACCUAGAGUCCCUAGUUUCAAAUUUUUAGUACUACCUCUGAAUCAUUUUCAUUAAUAUACUUUAUUUUAUUCUUAUGUUCUUCAUUUAAAUCAUAUUAAAAAAAAUAAAAUGAUGGUUUUUUAUGUCUCAACCUACCCUAAAUUCUGAAAAUUCAAAACGAAACAAGAAUGAUAUGAUGGCUCCUAUCCAUUGUUAUCCUUAAUUAUUUCCCGUUGGGCGGAGUAACUUGAAACUGGCAUUUUUUUGAAGAUUUCCUCAAAUAAUUUAGCAGAAAAUAAAAACAAUGAAAAAUAAAUCCACUUUAAAAUAGGGUCAUCUCUAAAAGAUAAAUGUAUUCUCCAUUGAUUCCCAUUUUUCACUUGAAACUCAUCUCUGUAGGAAGGCUAUGAUCCAAUCCAACCCUAAAAUUUCUCAAAUUAUAUUAAAAAAAAAUAAAAAAUCACCGUACCUUAACUCUACAAAUAAAGUGGAGUUAACUCUACAAAUGAAGUGGAGUAUUGCUCAAAUAUCCAUGGCAGCAGCUACACGGAGGCAACACUGAUGGUUCGUAGAUGGUGCAACCACAAAGGGCCUCGACAUUUUAGGGACACCAAAAAAAUUUAUUUGUAUAAUUAUUUUAAAAUUUUAAUUUUUUUAGUAAAAGAACCAUGUUUUAAAAUAUCACACAGGACAUCUAAAAUAUUAAGGUCAACCCUACAUCAAAGUACUGCUAUGCAACUUCUCCAUUUCCUAGGUAUUUGAUCAAUAAAAAUAGGGAACGUGGCUCAAGGGAGUGACAAAAUUAUUAAUAAGAUGAGGCAAAUUAAAGAAACAAACAAAUGUAGGAAGUUGAAAUCUACUUAAGAAACAAAAUGUACUUCCCUAUCAGUCGGAAGGGACAAUAUGACGGAUACCAAAACAAGGCAAUAGCUUAAGAGAUUCAUAGAUUACAUAAUUAUAAGCCAGAAAAAAAUAAAUAUUGAUGAUUUAUUGUAGUUGAUAAUGGGGGUUGACUAACAAACCUUUAUGUAAAAACUAUACCAUUCGCAGUCAAACCAUGAUCCCUGAAUUUGAAACGGGCAUAUAACAAUUUGCGAAAGAGAUAAUGGUGCAGGAUUCCCAGUGGAUAACGCACAAGUAGAAUCUGAUUUCCUGCGCACUGGGAUUGAACAUAGCUGCUUUAAAUGUCCCAUUACGAGAGAACAAAAACUCCCAGAAGCAUCUACAGAUUUGAAAUUUGAAGGAGUUAAAUUAGGGUAUGCGAAUUCUUUAAAGGAAAUACCAUAUGCGAGAACCAAUAAUAAGGCUAAAACACACAGAUCUAAUCCAGAUUUUGCCCUAGUCGGCAUGGGCGACUAGCUGUGACAAUUGACAUUGCAGAUUUGACGGCGAGGGGAAAUACAUGAAAUUGACCCAAAUAAAAGAGGCUAUUUUUCAAAAUGGCCCUUGAAUUUUUCUAACAUUUGGAGCUACCUAAAAUAUCCUUAGACAAAUAUUAAAAACAACCUAUUUCAUAAUAAAAAUCUUCUAUCUAAGUCCUUAAAAAAUUAACAAGUAAUUUUUCUAAAAAUUUGAAAGAAUUAUUAAUCUCUAUGAAUAAUUAUAAAAUGAAAAAAACCCAAAUAUAAGAGAGGACCAUAUAAUAUAAAAAAGGUUGUUAAAAAUAAAAAAGAAAUUAAGUUUGAAAAAGAAAUUGAUAAGAUAGGAUAUCAAGAACAAUUAUAUGCAUCACAAGAAAUACUAAAGUGUUUCAAAGAAAACUUAUUAGAAAAUUUUGCUAAAGGAAUUGUAAGAUCAAUAAUCAUAAAAGAUAUAUAAGGUAUCAUAGAUAAAUUAGAAAAAAUGAAAAAAAAAUAUCUUAAAAUACGAUAUACCUUUUAUAACAGAUAUAGAUAUGAUAAUAGAUGUUGAUGUUAUAAAUUCUCAAACAUUACUAGACUUUGAAGAAUUACUUAAAAUUUUAUGAGAAGGCCAAUAAAAAAUAGAUUACCACAAAGAAUUUUUAGAAUAUUAGAUUUUUGUUCGCUCAUAGUAGCAUCAUCCCGUUGGUUUUAGAGCCAUAGAGAUCAUGAGAAAAUAUAUAAAAAUAAAUUACCUAAAAGAUAUUGAAAAUAAAUAAAAUUUAUGAUUUUAGAAAUUAUUGAAACUUAUAAAAAUAGACUAAGGUAUCAGGUAAAAUAUAGUUCUAAUAUAGAAGAAAAUAAUAUAGUUGGAACAUAUAGUAAAGACAUUAAAGAAGUAUUAGAAAUUUUUAGAGUAAUUAAAAAUCUACCUUUAGAACUAAAAGAAAAAAUAAUUAAAAAGAUAUUAUUUGAAGAAUAUGAGCAUAUAUAUAUAUAUUAGAAGAAAUCCAGAGUGAAAUAGAUUUCAUAGUAAUCUAAAAAUAUAUAUAUUUUAUUAUGGAAAUCAUAAAAAUAAAUAAUUAUUAACAAUGUAUUGAAGAAAAAGGAUGUUAUAUAUUUUUCAACCCUAUCCCUAAUAAAUUAAAAAUAAUAACAUUAUAUGUAACUAGGAAUUUACCUAGAGAAAUAAAAGAACAAAUAUUACAUAAAUUAAUUGUAGGAUUUAUCAAAGAUAGACGUACAUAUAAAAUAAUUAUCGAAGUAUUUGAAAAUGAAUUAUACCAUAGAGAAAUAUUUGAAUCAUCAUAAAAUAUAAUGGAAGAAACUAAAAAUAUUUUAGAAAGAAAGUUAAGAAGAAUAAGAUUAAUAAAUAAUAAAAUUUUAGAUGAAUUAUUAAUACCUGGAGAUAUAACUAAAACUCAAGAAAAACAAAUAUUAAAAUUAAAACAAGAAAGGUAUAAAGAAAAAGCAAGGUAUUAUGAAAAAUUAAAAGAACUAACAAAUAUUGAAGUUAUAAAACAAAAGUAUGAUAAAAUGAUAAGAGAUUGUAAAAAUGCUGAGUAUAUAGCAUUUUAUUAUUGUCAAUCAAAAAUCGAUAAAAAAAAUAUCAAUCAGUGAACAUGUGGAAGAAUUAAAACAUUUAAUAAGAACAUUAAUAAAUGAUGUACAAGAAAUAAAGAAUGAAAUAAAUGAAGCAAGAAAUGAUAUAAAUAUAUUGAAACUUGAAGUUAGAAAAUUAAAAGAAAAUGAAGAAAAGAAUAAUAGGAUAAAUAAAAAAUUUAUAGAAAAAGAAAUAACCAGAAUAUGGAAAAAACAUAUUGAAAGAGAAAAUAUAAUAAUAGAAACAGGAAGCAUGGUUGAUGAGUUUAGAAAAAAUAUAUUACCUAAAAUAUUAGAAGAAGAGGAAUCUAGAGAAAAAAUGUUAAGUAAACAAAAAAUUAAAGAAAAUCAAGACAAAGAACAUGAAUGAAGAAUUAGAUCUACUUAUAGAUAAUUCUGAUCAUUUAAGUUUAGAAAGUAUAGAUGAUGAAUAGCAAAUCUUAAUGAAUACUGGAGGAGGACCUAAUCCCGUAGGAACCUCUAAACAAGAAUCAAUAGAUCCAGAUGAAAGUUAUGCUCCGAUGUAUAAUAAACCAUAUAGACAAUUUUAUGAUAAAAUAAGAGAUAAACAACCGUCUAAAGGAAAUAAAUAUAGUAAUGAAUUUGAAUUAAAUAAUAAUUAUGAUAAACCUGUUAACCAUGGAGGAACAAAAUUAGACUUAGAUUGUAAAAUAGACACUAAGAAAGCUUUAAUAAUUUGGGCAAACUCAAUGAUAUUAUUCUUUUUAUAUAAUAAAGAAUAUAAAUGGGAAAAUACUGAAAGAAGAAUAGAUUUUUUAAUUGCAUCUUUUGAAGGAAAUGUUAGAAAUUGGUGGGAAGGAAUUAGUAGUGAUACAAAAUCAUUAAUAAAAAAAAUGUACAAAUAGAAAUAAUAAAGUCAGAUAAACUAGGAAUAGAAAGAUUAGUAGAAUAUAUUGCAGAUGAAUUCUUAGGAGAAAAUUGGUUAAGAAAUUAUGAAGAAGAAGUAAUACAGGAAAAAGAUAAUGCAAGAGUUAAGUUAAUUAAUUUAACAAUUUGUGAUAUGUGUAAAAUUAAAGAAUAUACUUGUGAAUUCAAGGAUUACUAAUAUACUCAAUUUUAUAGUAAUGAGAAUCAAGAAGUAUAUCAAGAUAUAUAUUACAAUAAAUUACCAGGAUCAUGGGGAAUAUAUUUUAAAAUAGAAUUUGAAAAAUAUAUUAAAGAAAAUAUAGAAAUACCUCGAACACUACGAUCAAGAAUAAAAUUCUUGUUUGAAAGACUUGCAUAUAUAUGUCAAUAAAGACAAUUAUUGAAAAAAUAAGGAAAAUUAACUAGAAUAUGCUGUGAAGAUAUGGAAAAACCUGCAAGAUGGGGAUGUAAUUAUGAAAAAAAAAUAAAAGAAAGUAUAAAAACAGAAAGUUUAAAAAAUAAAGAAACUUUAAGAAAAAAUACAUAAAACUUGGAAGGAAAUAUUAUAAAAGAAAAAAUAAUAUACAGAAAAAUAAACCUUAUAAGAAAGAUAAAAAACAAUGUAAGUAUUGGAAUUGUGGAGAAAUAUGCCAUAGAAAUCCUGAUUGCACAAAAAAAAAAAAGUGAGAAUAUUACAAAAGGAUUAUUUUGAAAUAGAAAGUGAAUUAAGUGAAAUAUCUGAUAUUGAACAUUAUAAUAAUCAGAAAAUAUUUAUAAGUGAAGCAGAUUCAAAAGAUAAUGAAAUCUGAAUAGACAAAUUGAAAAUAAUAACAUAGAAAUCCAAGAAUAUAAGGGAAUAGAAAGUUAUGGAUUAAAAGUAACUUUUGACAAUGAUAAAUUUAAGAAAAUACAAAAGUUGUCCUUAGAUUUGAAAAUAGGAAAAUGGGAAAUUUUAUAUAGAAUAUGGAGAAGAGAAAUAAUAGCAAUAAAUGAAUACCAUAAGAUUGAAAAAAUUAUAGAUGUCAAGACAACUCAAGGAACACAUAAAAUAAACCUUUUAACAAAAAGUACAGUAUCAGAAUUAUUAUAAAAAAUAAGUAAAAAACAUAGUGAAAAGAUCCAAUAUGUUUAUUUAGCAGGAAUACAAAUAGUGUUUAAAUCUUUAUUUAGGGAAGGAAUAGAUUCAUCAUUAACUGUAAGUUUACAUGAUAGAAGAAUUAUAAAUCUUGAAGAUGGUCAUUUAGGAACUAUAGAAGGAAAUUUAGCAUAUCAAAAGUUAAUAUUUACUUGUUACCCAAAAUAUUAUGUCUCAUUGAAAGAUAAAAACUUUAAUGAAGUCUUAGGAUUACAUUUCAAAUUACAUAAAAAUGAUAUAGUGGAACCAGAAGAUCAAAUUAUGACUAUGGAAUAUAGGGCAUUAUAUACAUUUACUAAUUCUAAUUAUGGGAAUAUUUAUUCCAAUAAACCAUACAUAAAAAUUCUUAAGGAAUGCAAGGAUAUUAGUAGAAUAGUGAAACCAAACAAACAAAUAAAUCUUAUUCCAGAAGAAUAUGAAUUUAAUAUAACUAAAAAUAAGCCUGAAAUAAUAGAGUUAAGAGAAGAAGAAGACUAUAAAAUAACAUUUCACAAUGGAAGGUUGAUAAAGAAAUCAAAAAGUCUUAGACUACCGAAUAAAAAAGAAUAUUUGAGAGAAACUAGUGGUAUAAAAGAAAUAAAACCUUAUGGAAAUAUUGGAAAUAUGAAAAUAGAAGGAAAAUAUUUCAACGGUAGAAGGUAUAUAAAAGGACCAAAUAUAUUGAUAAAUACAGGAGCUGGUGAAUGUCAUAUGGCUGCAAAUAAAAAUGAAGGAUUAAUGACUUACAAGAUAGAACCAUAUGAAUACAGGAAUUUUGAUGAACAAUUAUAUAUUACAGAAUUAAAGGUAAAGGUACCAAUAAAAAUAAGUGGGAUUGAUCUUUUAGUACCAUAUUAUUUGGAUGAAAGUAUGGAUAUUGAGCCUCAUAUAUUAUUAGGAAUGAAUUUCUUAAAUGAAUUAGAAGAUUAUAGUAUAAAAAGAGAAGGAUUAUAUAUAACUCAUAAAGGACAAAUUACAUUAUGUAAAAUAGGAAGUGGAUGAAUAAUCAAAUAAGUUUUUCAUUGGCAGUAUAUAUACAAGUUACUAUAGUAGAAAGAAACACAACAACUUGUACCUUAAUUGAUACAGGAAGUGAUAUAACAAUUUUUAAAAAUUUCUUAAUAAAAUCAUGGAAUAAAAAUAGUAAAAUAAAAAUAACAGGAGUGACUGGAGAAAGUACUCAAAUAAUUGAUAGUGCUGAAAAGGUUAAUAUAAUACUUGGUAGUAAACAAGUUAUAAUAAAUAAAGUAUACAAUUAUAAUAACCUAGAAUGUGAUAUAUUAUUAGGAAAUGACUUUAUCCAACAAUUUCAACACUAUAAACAAAAUAAUUACAUGAUAAUGUUACAAAUAUCUUGUGCACAUCUUUUAAAAAUACCAAGAGAAUUUAGACCCUAGAGAGUUCAGUCAGCCCAGCGUGGUGAUAAAUGGAAAAAACGACCAAUAGUACAAGAUGAACUAAAAAAUAAAAAACUAUCAUAUAAAAAGAUCUUAAAAACAGAAAUAGAAAUAAGUAUGUAAAAAAUCAUAGAACAAUUAGAAAAAAUUUAUGGAGAAAACCCAUUAUUAUUUUGGAAACCAUAUCAUCCUAAAACUAAAAUAGAAUUAACAGAAAAUGUUAUAAUAAGAGUUAGACCAAUGAUGUAUACCUUACAGGAAAUGCAAGAAUUUAAAAUUCAAAUAAAAGAACUAUUAGAACAAAAGUUAAUUAAACCCAGUAAUGAACCUCAUAGUAGUCCAGCUUUUAUGGUUAUGAAACAUUCUGAGUAGAUUAGAAGAAAAGUUAGAAUGGUAAUAAACUAUAAGGAAUUAAAUAAAUAUACUAAAUUUGAUGGUAACUUUUUAGCAAAUAAAGAAGUUCUAACAAAUCUUGUAAAAGGAAAACAAUAUUAUUCCAAAUUUGAUUGUAAAUUAGGAUUUUGGCAAAUAAAAAUGGAAGAAGAUAGUAUACAAUAUACAGCUUUUAGUACACCUCAAAGAAUAUAUGAAUGGUUAGUUACGUCAUUUGGUUUAAAAAAUGCACCACAAAUAUUUCAAAGGAAAAUGGAUAAUAUAUUCAAAAAGUUUAGUGAUUUUCUUAUUGUUUAUAUAGAUGAUAUACUAAUAUGCUCUAAUAAUAAAAAAGAACAUAGGAAUCAUUUAUUACAAUUCAUAAAUGAAUGCAAAAAUGAAGGAAUUAUACUUUCUAAAAAGAAAUCUAUAAUCGAGAACAAGAAAUAAAUUUUAUAGGAUUAUCAAUAGAUAAAAAAGGAAUAAAAUUACAGACUCAUAUAUCUAAAAAGAUAGAAAGCUUUCCAAAUGAAUUAAAAUCCAAAGAACAAAUACAAAAAUUUUUAGGAUGUUUAAACUAUGCUGAAAGAUUUAUUGAAAAUCUCUCAAAAAAGAGACAUAAGAUACAAAUUCUACUUAGGAAAACAAAUACUAAAGGUUGGAACAAAGAACAUACUGAAAUUGUUAAAUCAUUAAAAGAAGAAUGUAAAAAUUUACCAAAAUUAAGGUAACCAGAUGAAAAAGAUAAUCUAAUUGUUAAUACUGAUGCCUCGGAUAAAUAUUGGGCAGUUAUAUUAAAAACAGAUUUAAAUGAAAUAUGUAGAUAUUCAAGUGGAACUUUUAAACAAACAGAAAUAAAUUAUACUACUCAUGAAAAAGAAUUGUUAGCAAUUAUUAGAGGAAUAAAAAAGUUUUCAUUAUUCCUUUUAUCUAAAAAAAUUUAUUGUUGAAACUGAUAAUUCUCAGGUUGCAGGACUUAUUAGAAAUAAGUUACCUAUGGAGCCUCAAUAUAAAAUGUUACAUAAAUGGCAAGCAUAUUUAUCAUUUUACAAUUUUGAUAUUAUUCAUAUUAAAGGAAUAAAUAACUAUCUUGCAGAUUUUUUGAGCAGGAAUAUCGAAUUUGGAGAUGGAUAAUAUCAAAAAUUCAUUAAUAGACGUCAACAGACGAAUGAAAUUCCUCAUGGAAGAAUCAGAAGAUAUGAAAAUUGGAAUUGAGCAAUUAGAGCAAAUGGCAGAAUCUAUCCAACAAAAUGUCAAAUUGUUGAUGGAAAUCUCUAAUUCUCAUUCCAAAUAUAUCAAAAAAUUGAAUGACAGAAUUGUUGAUAUUACUUCACAAUUCAAGUCAUUAAAUACCAAAUAGGAAAUACCAAUUGAUACAAUCUCAAAAUUACAAACAGGUACACAGCUAGGAAGCAGCAGUGGAUCCAACAAUAUCAAACGAGACAUAGCAAGUCCCCGGAAGGUGACUAUAAAAAAUGGUGAUGAACAUACAAGAGUUAUCAGGAUCAAAAUUGAUGAAGAUGAUGAUACCCUUUUAUCAUCAAAAGAAGAAGAAUAUAGAUCAUUUGCCAAAAUUGUUUAUGAAUUGGAAGAAAAUGAAUCAUAUUUUAUUGCAUUAGGAGAUCAUAUUUAUCCCAGAUUAAUAAUUACCAAAAAUGCAGACCCUUUCAUGGUCAAAAUGGCAGCAGAUUAUGGAUUUCUGGAUUUGAUCUAUCUAGGAAAAGAUUUAAAAGAAAUUGAAAAAUUUGAUGAUAUAUUUAGGGCAGAAGUUUCAAAAUUUGCCCAAGGGAGAUCGAUUUAUAUCAAAUUUUAUUCAAUAAGUCCCGAGGUUGAUGGAAGGAUAUACUAUCAUGCUGAACAUAUUAUCACAAUUGGAUAUGUUGGCCGAGAUUUUCAGAUUGAAGUUGGCCGAAAUAAUAAACCAUUGCCUAAAAUCAAUAAAUCAUCGAUAAAAUCCCGAAGAGUUUUGGGGAUGAAAGUUCUUUAUAAUAUUGUAAAAAACUUAUAUGAUAAAAAAUUUAGAUGCUUGUGUCAAUAUGAAGAAUGGACACUCCUUACGAAUAAUGGAAAAGAAAAAUAUACUAUUUUGAAAGAAUACAUCCAGAAAUUUGAUACUCAUCAAAUGAAUGGAAGUCCUACAACAAUCCAAGAAUUAUGUAGAUUGAGGAAGUGCUCCACAUGCAGACAAGAUUAAAAAGAUUGACAAAAGAUGAAUGGAAGGGAACCUACCACUACCAACGCAUCUAGCCAGCUGCAUAUGGAGCCAAAGAUGGAGAGGCAAUAAUAGAGGAAAAGAUGCUCAUUUGAUGAAAAAGCAAAAAAUGCAUGUGAAAAUGUAGACCCCAAGAGGAAAAGAAUAGAGAGACAUGUGAGCCUUUUCAAAUUCUAAUGUAUGCAAUGAUGUAAUAGACCAAUAAUAGCAAGUUUGAGUCAUGUAUAGAUAUAGAUCUUUGGGGAAAGAAUGGAUCAGCUCAAGUUAAAAACCAUUCUCUUUCCUUAAGCUUUCUUUAAAACCAGUUUUUCUGGAAACCCCUUGUAUACAAUAGAAAUCUUGUAUAAAUCAUUAUAAAAAUAAAAUCCCAAUCUUUUGAUAUCAGAAAAAUAUGAGUUUCUAAACUUCCUAUCCCAUAGAUUCUUGACAGAUUGAAGAAGAUAAUCUCUUUCUUACUUUAACAAAGGGGGAAUUUUCUUUACUUAAAAUCCUUAUUCUUAAUUCUAAGAAAAGAUACAGUGAGGGUAAGAAGUUGAAAUAGCAGAAUUCCCAUUAAGGCAAAAGGCCGUUUGAGGGAGCAGUUUGCAGAUUCAAAGCCUGAAGGUCACUUGAUUCUAAGAAUACAGAUUUAAGAUCAUAAGUAAGGUAAAAUUAUUGUCUUUAUUAAAUUUAAAAAGAAUUCUUCUAAUAUCUUGAAAGAAUCGUAGGGUUUAUUACUUUUCAUGUUUACAAAAAAUUUAUCUAUCAUGUUGUUAUUCAUAAAGCUUGUAAGGAAUUAUUUAAAUGAUGCCAGACUAUAGAAUAAAAAGAUUAGAUAAUCUGUUAGAAAGACUAUUAGAAAAAAUAAAAAAUAUUUUUUCUCAACUAGAGACUAUGGAUAUAUCGUAUAAGGAAUAUGAUAAUCUUAAAGAAUUAUAUGACAAUUAUAUUACAGAUUAUGCUAAUUUAUUAGAUCAAAGGAUGAAACUAUAUAUUAAAAUUCGAAACGAGAGAAAUAGAAGAAUUUUGGAACUAUUCCAAUAAAUUAGGAUAUUUUGUUCAAAAUAUGGCAAGCCAUUUCAUUAAGGGUAUUAUAGACAUUUUGGCAAAAAUGAAUAAUGAUAGGCCAUUUAGAAAAAUCCCCCGACGGCGAGAGUAGAGGAAGAGGAGAUAUUACAUUUGUCUCAAGAGAUUAGGGCUUCCACUUCCCCUUUCCUCUUGUUUUCAAAUUUCUACUUUUGAUUUGUACUUUUUUUUUUUAUCUAAUUGACAAAUUAAUUAUAAGUAUGUUUACAGAUAGUGUGUAGAAUAAUUUAAUUUAUAAUUUGUAAUUAGUUAAAAUUUGUAUGUUUUAUUCGAAAGAAUCAUUCUAUUAACUUUUAGGGUCAGUUUGAUUGUAAAGAUGAAAUUUGGAUGGAAAGAAAAUAAAUUUCAAGAAAUUGAAUUGUCUAGAAAUUAUUUUACUGGGAAUUAUCAAUUAUUGUGUUUCAUUGAUAUAAUUUUUUAUAUGAAAAAUGUUAAAAUAAAAGUAUUUUUUGAUGUUCGUUUGACUUUAUUUUACAUGAAAAUUGUCAAUUAAAGGAAUAAAAUUUAUUGGUAUUGGGAAUAGAAUUUGUUCCUCUUGCCCAAAAAAUAAAAAAAGGAGCCAAAAAAAACUAUCUAUCUUUUGGUGUUCAUUUGACUUUGUUUUAUAUGGAAAUUAUCAAUUAAAGAAAAAUAUUUUUUUACAAUUAAUGAUAGAAUUUGUUUUCAAUGCCAAAAAAAUAAAAAAUAAAAAUUGGCAACUUACCUAGAAAACCAAUUCCCACCAUUCCUUGAAAACUAAGAAAAGUCCACUUUUCAAAAAAACCAGGCAAAUGAAUUACAUGGAAAAUAUUUGCUAUCAAACACUAUCAAAAGUUGGAAAAUAGACAAAAAAUUUCAUUUUCCAUGGAAAAGAUGCCCAAUCAAACAGGGCCUUAAUAUAUUUUUCCAACAAAAAUUGUGUAGUUUUAGUUCGAAAAAUUUUAAUAUAGUUUCAGUAUAUUAUUUUCAUAUUACCAAUAGAAUUUUAUCAUUAAAAUUUCUUAAUUUAUUUUUUAGGAUUUUGGUUUUUUUGUAAAUUAAAAAUUUAAAAUAAUCUUUAAUUAAUAGGUAGGAUUGAUUGAAAUUAAAUGUAUGCUGAAUUUUUAUUUUUAUUUUUGUUCUUUUUUACAACAAUAAAUAUAGCAAAUCCUUGUUGCAAAACACACUUUCUCUCAACAUUUAAUGAUUGUUGCAAAAUGUUAUAUAGUAAGAAUUUCAACAAUAUGUACUGAGAAUUGCUAUAGAACAAAAUUUUAAACAGUUCAAUGAACAUUGCACAAAAAAAAAAAAGAAAGAAAAAAAAGAAGGAAGAAUUAAAACUUUUGCAACAUUCAAAGAACGUUACAAAAAGCUAUAUAUCAAGAGUUUCAAAAACGUUUAUUGAACGUUGCUAUAGAACUUUAUUUUUACAACAUUCAUUAAACAUUGCGAAAAAUAAAACUUCUUACAACAUUCAAGAAACGUUGAAAAUGGUAAUAUUGACAUCAUGCAAUUAAAAAAAAAUAUUGCCAAUGCUUAAAAUUAAAUUAAUCAAUGGCAACAUUUUUCACUUUUUAAAAUGUUGCAAUAAACCCAUUUAGCAGCAUACAAUUCACGAAUGUUGCCUUUUGAGUAUUGCAAAAGGCUAUUUUAAUUGUAGUGAAAAUUCGUGAUAUGUAAAAAUUCAUAUGUCAUUAAAUUAAUUUCGGUACACGUGAUAAAUGAUCAUACUUAAAAAAAUUAUUACCUUCACUAAACUUUGAAAAAUUAAGCUUUCGGACUGAUAACGUAUUAUGAAAAGAGAUAGAAAGAGCAGGGAGAAUAAAAGUCAAUAGACUUGUAUGUAUUAUAAUAAGAACUAGAGUCAUGUAUUCAUAAAGAAGGAUUAUGGAUACAAUGAUAAUAAUUUCUAGAUUUACAGGGGUACAAUUGUCAUUCACAAAUAAAACUUACUAUUUACAACAAAAUGGUCUUUUUUUAUUUUUAUUUUUCUUCAAUUUGCUCCUAAAAAGGUUUUAAUUGAUAGCAACAAGGUAAGUCGGACGUUCUCUUUUUUGAAUUUUAAGAGGCGCGUAGGACAUUUUGAUCUUCAUUUUUCGUCCCAUUUAUUUAUGUAUUUACAUAUUUAUGUAUUAUUAUGUGUUUAAAUUUAAAUUAUAUUCAAAAAAGUUUUUAAAAAAAAGUUAUGAAUCAUUGAUGGGUUUGUGACAGAGAUCAUGUUUCCUAACCCCAUCCCUAAUAAGGACUAUAGAAUUCCCGACCUUCAAUCCACAUCGCGCCCCAUCCCACAUUGUCCUACCUUGAAUAGUAAACGGGGCGGGAUGCAAGACCUAUAGUCCCUAGUUUCAAAUUUUUAGUACUAGCUCUGAAUCAUUUUUCAUUAUUAUAUUUUAUUUUAUUGUUAUGUUCUUCAUUUAAAUCAUAUUUAAAAAAAUUUAAUUAAAUAAAUAAAAUGAUGAAUGAUGGUUUUUUAUGUCUCAACCUACCCUACAUUCUGAAAAAUCGGAACGAAACAAGAAUGAUAUGAUGGCUACUAUCCAUUGUCAUCCUUAAUUUCAAAUUUCUCGUUGGGCGAAGUAACUUGAGGCUGGAGUUUUGUUAAAGAUUCCUCAAAUAAUUUAGCAAAAAAUAAAAACAAUGAAAAAUAAAUCCACUUUAAAAUAGGGUCAUCUCUAAAAGAUAAAUGUAUUAUCGAUUGAUUCCCAUUUUUCAGUUGAAACUCAUCUCUGCAGGAAGGCUAUGAUCCAAUCCAACCUUAAAAUUUCUCAAAUUAUCUUUUAAAAAAAAUAAUAAAUAAAUAACUUUUUUCACCGCAUUUUUAACUCUACAAUUAAAGUGGAGUAUUGCCUAAAUAUCCAUUAUAGCAGCCACGUAGAGGCAACCCUGAUGGUUCGCAGACGGUGCAACCGCAUAGGGCCUCGACAUUACAAGGACACCAAAAAAAAAAAAAAAAUUGUAUUAUAAUUUUAAAAUUUAAUUUUUUUUAUUAAAGGGACCAUGUUUUAAAAAUAUCACAUAGUACACCCAAAAUAUUAAGGUCAAUCCUACAAUGCCUACAUCUAAGUACUACUGUGCAACUUCUCCAUAUCCUAGGUAUCAAAAAAUCUUCACCUCUACAACCAAGUACUAUGUUAAUUGCUGAAGAUUAUAUUUAGUAACAAACAUAAUAGAAUAAAUUUCUAUGACAUACUUAGAUGAAAAUUAAUUCACUACUGCAUGGCGCUCAAGUCAGAUGAUGAAGUAUAGAUGAAAAUUAAUUCACUACUGCAUGGCGCUCAAGUCAGAUGAUGAAGUAUAUUGGGUGUGGAAGAUAUUCAAUAGAUAAAGAUACAGAUGCGGUUUACCAAAACUUGCCUUCGUAGGAAAGGGUGGAGUAUUUAUAGGUGGAAGAAGCUCCAUCGGAAUGCUUGACACGUGACUUUAUUUUAAUACCUCAUUUGUCAUGCUUAAAUAUGUCAAUUUAUAGCCAUCAUAGGUAUGUGUUUCCAUAGUCAGAGUAUAAGCUAAAAACUAAGAAUCGUUGUUGCGGAGUUGUUACAUCAAUUACUUUGUACGGUGUACUUUGCGCAACUUUGUCAAAGCGAGGCUUGUAGCACAUGUUCAUCGCCCUAGAUAUAUACUGUAGUGGAGAGGUGAUACAUCGCCUCGAAUAACAAUAACAUUCUAAAUAAUGCAUCUAAUAGUAUCUCCUAAUUAUAUCGAAAAAGGCAUGAAGAAAAGACGAUGGGAAUUCGAGUGUUUCCCUCGUGUGGCCUCUUCUCAUCUGGCUGUCACGUGGCCCACAUUGUAGAUAAAUAUGUAACAAUAUCACUUUUAACAAAAUUUAUUCUCAAACAAUGGAUCUUACAUAGGUCUGCCAGUUUUAUGUUAUUGAAAUUUUUUCAAAAGCUUUGUUGAAAAUUAAAUUUUUUCUUUUUUUAUUUUUAGGAGAGUUAGGGACUAGAGAAUAUUUGUAUGUAAAACAAAGUUGUCAGAAUCAAAUGCUAAGAGAGCAAAUCUCUUUGCAAGAAAGAAGGAAAGGAUAAGGCUGCCAAAAUUAUGGUGAUGAUGGAAAUGGAAGCAAGAAUAUUCAUAAUAUAAGUGAAUUUCUUGGUCAUCCAUGCGGGAUUAAAGCUAUUUUGAACACACGGCCUUUGUGAAGUUACCAAUCCCUCAAUUCUAUAGUUUACUGGUGCAAAUUCAAUUUUUCCCGUGUAAGAAAUUUUCCUUUUUGUUAAAGUUGAAUAACAUCGUCUAAUAACAUUAGCUUAUAGGGAUAGGACAAAUUUAUUUACGGAAUUUCUGAAGAUCCUUGAGUAACUUGGAUUCAUUUUUCAAUUUAUGAGAUGUGCAUAAUUUUGCUCAUCAAACCACAUCAUCUAAAAGUUUAAGCUAGCAAUUAGAACACAAAUUUAUUUAUUUAUUUAAAUCUUCUUCGACAUUUUGGACAUGAAAUGUGAUUCCUACAACAAAUGUGCACACCUCCAAUUUAUUAAAUGAUAGACUACGAAACUGUAAUUUGAGUGGCAAUUGGUAUGCAAGAGUGGUUAACUAAUGGAUUUGUAAUUUCGACAUCUAAGUUCUGCAAGGCCAAUACAAACCGAUAGAUAGAACAAUUAUUUUUGUCUGCAUUAAGCAUCACAGGCUCAAUUACCUAGAAUUGCAUCCACUUUACACCUGUUAGAACGUGGAAGUGGACUUGUCCAGAAAUUAAAUAAAAAAAAUUAAUUCAAUAAACAAGAUCGUUUAUGUAACAUCCCUAAAGUAUUUUUACGGAAAAAAAUUAAUAUCUAUUCUAUAAAUUAUAUUUGAUUAUUUUGAAAAUGAGGGACUCGGAUGAAGUAUAUUUUAAAUUGUUAUAUUUUUUAGGCAAAUAAUUGGAUUUUUAUAGAGUGAUGAUAAGUAUUUCAAUAUUAUACUCGUUGAAGAGCCCGUAUUUAAUCAUGUAUUUUAGGCUAGAGAAAAAGUUAAUUCUAAUAAGUUUGGUUCAAGAUAUUGAAGUUUGUAGAAGCUGUUAUUUAAUUGGAAUUAGAAUUUACCAACUUUUAAAAGGGGUAGCCACGUGUGCUCUUCUAUAGAAAUAAGGUGAUGGAUAUGCGAUAGUAGUUAAUUGUUAUUUAAUCACAUUUUGAUGAUGAUUAAUGUAAAUUGAUAAUUAUAAUCCUAUUUUGAUAUAAUUCAACUCUGAAUAUUGUUACUAAAUUAAAUUAAAAUAUUAGUCCUCACUUUUAUUUUAACCGCACUGCAUGAGUAGAUAAGGUGAUUGGGAUACUUCUAAUUAAGCAAAAUCCCAGUUAAACUAAUCUAGAACUUAUCAUAUGAAUUAGAUAAAUUUCCCAUCUCCUGCUUGACCAUGCGUUUAAAGAUUUAUUGGUUUUAAAAAUUAUUUUCACCAACUAGAGAUUUUACAAAGAUGAGAUAAAAUGUUAUGAAGUCAUUUUUAUCCUAUAUUUUGAUAAAGGAUAAAGGUUUAAAUGUAAUCUUAUAUGUGAAAUAUUCAAUUACUAUUGUACAUAUGUCAUAUCAUGGUUUGGGUUAUCAAAAUAUGAAGUUUAUCCAAGUGGUACACAUUUUCCCCACCAUCAAAAUUGUACCAGGAUCAAAAUUGUACCAGGACUCAAAUACCAUUUUUUUACUAUAAAUAAUGUGCAUUUGUACCCGGAUUCUCCACCAAGACAUUUUUACACAGCAGACAAUAGAGAGAGAGAGAUCAGUCACCAAAUUUUUGACGCAAUCGAGGAAGUAGAACAUAUAUUGGAAUUCAUUCAAAAGUCCAUUUUUUUUUAGGUAAGAUACUUUAUGCGCAGCACUUUUGUUUCCUUAUAUUUUUAUAUUCAAUAAAAUAUGAAUGGAUUAUCAGUAAACAUUCAUUUUUUAAAAGAAAUAUGAAAUCCUACGGGAUUGUAAGAAAACCUAAGAUGGGUGUCACUUGGUCACGGAAUUACUCCAUAAGAUCAGAGUGGUAUGAAAUGCAUAAUUUUUAUUGUUAUGUAUUUGUACAUGGAAACUGUACGUAUCUUAUUAGGUGUUUUCGAAUACUCACUCUUACAAAUUUUUACAAGUUAGUUCGAAUCGAUUGAAGUUGUGGUGAAUUGGUGACGCGGACGGCCAAGUGAAUCGAAGAAAGAAAAAAGAAAUUAAAUAUUUAGUUUGCUUUUUUUUUUUUUUUGGUAAUUCUAAAUUAUUUGUUAGUUUUAUUUGUUCAAAGGCUCUUUUGGGUUUUUUAAAUUGAUAUUUAUGGUUGAAAAUAAAGAAUUUCCUUUUAUUUAAAUCGUUCCGCAAUUAUUAUAAAAGAAAACCGCGUUUUUCUUAACAUCCUGGCGUUUUUGAAAAUUUGGGACGUUACAGUUUAGAUGUUCACGUAUAUGUUAAAUCAAGGAUAAAGAAUUCGAAUUUUUACCUAAAUUGAUGAUUAAUUAUUUAAUUAAUUCAGAUCACAAACUUCCACCUUUUUGGAUCAUAGAGUUCUAGCUUUUAAUUGCAUGAUCUUGAUACAUCAAAUCUCCAAAUCUUCUAUGGUAUUCUCCAAAGUCAAAACUAUACCGAUGGGUGGGCAUAUUUUUUUAAAUUAUAUCAAGAAACUAAUUUUUAAACUGACAAUUGAAUAAAAGCAAGAAAAAUAAUAUUUUCUCUCUUUAUUCCUCUCUCCAAUUUGAACACUAUGGAUUUAUGUAUUAUGAUUAUUGUAGAAAUUCUAGGUUCUAUAUAGUCUCUAAUUAUAGAGAUAGAAAAGUUCAAAUUUUUGUACAAUAUUAAUUUCACAUUCAAAUAAGAGUUCGAAUUAAAAUCUAAGUAGGAGUUUUACUUAAAGUCCAAUUCCAAUUAGUACACAUUUAAUUACAUGUGUAGUCCUAAAACUUUAAUUACAAUUAUAAUUAAAUUUACAAAUUUCAUAAUAAUUAUAACUAAGUACAAAACUUUAUUGUAAUUACAAUUAAACUCAAAAUUAUUACAAUUACUAUAAUUCAAUUCCAAUAAUUUAUGGAGCUGACAUAGGGACCUGAUAUAACAUGUAUUAUCCAAACUCCAAUAAUUAGAUUUGUCUAGUAGACUCUAGACCACCAAAUCUUAUUAUUAGUUUUUGCUUUUUCCACCAAACACAGAUGAUUGAACUCUUGGAAUAUAUAAGAUCACAGAAACCAAUAAAUUUGUAAUGCUUUCCUCUAACAUGUUGUAUAUGUAUUUUAUCCUUGUCCGAGAUCUAACAAUUAGGUACGAGCAUAAAUGACCAUUUUACCCUUCGAUUUAUUAUCACUAGCUUAAGUAUCAUUUUCUUCAUCGAUUUUAUAAACUAAUCAAAUAUGUCGAAGUUAAACCGUCGCUAAACACUUAGCUCCGAUUUUAACCAUUCAACAGUAAAUACUUAAGUAAUCACUCUACACAUUUUUCAAGGUAACGAUUCUCGACACGAAUUCAUGUUCUCUACUUCGCUUAUUUUCGAAUUCCUAGCUUAUCAAGAUAUUUAACCAAUCAAAUUGAUCACACCCACUGAUAAUCAGAGAACCACUAAAAUCACGAAAAGAUAUACAUAACAUUAGGAUUGGGCAAAUCUCUCGAACCGAACCGAUUGAACCGAACCCGACGGUUCUUGUCAAAUUAAAUACCUGAACGGGUAUCUGAAUUGAGAACUGACAGGUACGGUCGGGUUCUCGGUUCUAGACCAAGAACCGAAAAAUCGAAUAAGAAUCGAAUCUUUCAAAUUUUUUUUUUAUAUUGAGUAAAUCAAAUUAUUUUAAUUUUAAUUUUUUCUAAACAAAUUAACAAUUUUUAAAUCCAAAUUUUUGGUCCAAUAAUUUGUUUCAUUUCUAAUUUUUUAAUUUUUGGCCCCAUUACCCAUUUUAUUUUUUCAUUUCUUAGCCCAACGAGAUCCAAUCCACUAAAUAACUCUAAGCACCUACACUAAAGUGUAUAACGUUGUUUCGACUCUCGCACUCACUCUCGUAGCCUCGUUGACAUUCCAAAACCUAUACAAUUCUCGACCGAUGCUAUGACCUUCGGUCGAAGCUACGAUCUCCACUGACCGAAACUUUGACCAUAGCGAUCAUUUGAACAAGGUAGCCUACUAGUCUAUGGCAUUCCAAAACCAUUGAAUGUAUCAUUAGUUAUAUUAAUUUAAUGUUGUUAUAAAUGUUAAAAAAUUUAAUUAUAGUACAGAACCGAAUGGAACCGAAUCAAACCUGAACGGUUCCAUAAUUAUAUUUGGACCCGACGGUUCCAUUUGUGUAUAUAUAUGAAAUACACAGCGAUCAAGUGAAAUUUAAUUCUUCGCACAGUCUGCUGUAGGAAUUAAAUUUGCCACGUGGUCCAUUCAAUACACUCCAAGUGCACUAGUGUCACGUUUAACUGUUUUUGUAAUAAGGGCAAAUCACAAACAUGAAUAGUGAAUCGGUCAAUAUUACAACCUUCUAGUACAAGGUGUCAACAUUUAUACAUUAGUUGUGAACAAAUUAUUUAUGAUAAAAAUAUAAGUUGUGUCACACUAUAUUUCUCAACGCAAGUAUCCAAUUUAUAUUAUCAUAAGUGAUCAUAGGCACUUUAAUUCGCAUGCUUAAUAAUAAAUAAAUGCAAUAAAUAAAAUAAACAUAAGAAUAUUGUUAUUUUCUCAUCGGCAAAAGUAUACUAUAUAUACCCACACCCCAACAAUACCUACUCUAUUGGUCAGAUUAUAACAAUCUGCUACUCUUAAGGCUAAUUAGAUGCUACUUAUCGUGGAACUGUAUGAACUAAUUGUAAAUUGGUUUCUAUCCAAUUGACAUGUUUCUAUGACAUAGUACACUACAAAUCACGCGUGGUGUUCAAGAUCAAUUGAAUGUACAGAGUAAAUGGAAGUAACGAUGUUGUUAGGUCAAUAUUUUGGUAUAUAUCCAAAAUUUUGAGCACAAGGAGAAAGCUGAGAAAGCCCUGAUACUAGCUAUGAGUUAGAUGCACGAAUAUUAUUUUUUAUUAGUGAAGUUAACUUUGGUUCUAGUACUAACAUAUAACAUAUGCUGAUUAUUCCUUUAGUAGCAUGUCAACUUUGGUUGGCUCCUGAUCUAAUAAUAGGUUAUUCAAAGUAUUUCAACAAGAACGUAUAGGUAGAUUUUCGAUAACAAUAGAGGUUCUAGCCAUAAGUAAGUUUUCAUGGCGGCAUUAUCCCCCUCUGUCACUCAACCACUCGAGAAAGUACCUAAUUUACAUAGGGAAAAUAAGAAAAUUUUAUGCAUCGUGUUUCCCCAUCAAACUUAUUUUUAUUAUAUAACAUCUAAGACGAUAAAACUAAGUCAUGAGAUUUGCCCUACUAAAAAACUUCCGAUAUUCACUUUUAUUUUUUAUUUUUUUUGGGGCUUGUAAAUCAUUUCUUAUGUACAAGUAAUUGUUGCAACUAACUGAUAUUCGCUACAUGCAGAUGUACUCAUCCCUAGAAUAAAUGAAGCAAUGAUUAGAAUUAGUUAUGAAGAGAAGUGAGUGACAAGAGAAGGAAGGAGGGAGGCAAGAGAGUGAAACUUUUUAAGCUUAGCCAAAAAAUGCUGUAAGUAAAUAUCUUGCACAAUCCAUGAUAACCAAUCCAUCUCAAAGGAAGUUUGUGCAUUUUCCCUCAUAAUAUGACUUGAAAGUGACAAGAGUAUUCUAAUUAAAGCCUAUGGAGGUGGACUAUUAAGAGUGUAUAUAUGAAUAUUAUAAAGAUGAAAUUUUGAAGAACAAAAGGCACUAGCCAUACCAGUGUGAAAUAUAUUUCAAAUGACAGAAUGAAACUUAAUUGAAGGAACACGUUUUAACAAUAUUUACAGUGAACCAUAAAUUUGAUCACGGGCCACAAUUGCAUGACUAGUUGUUUGAACUCAUGAAGUUCGUUUAUAAAUUCCAACAAGAACACGUUCUAUAAAGAAUUCAUCUUGCGACAAAGGCAUGCUUUGGAUCAACGAAGCUUCUUUCUUAGCUAAGAGUCUAUAGCCUUUGUUUUUCAAUAAAACGUGUAUACAAUUUGAUCAACUGGUCGAUAAAUAUUCCGUACAAGUCUUCAAUUCGACGUAUAUGCCUUUUAAGAUUGUAUUUAGUCAUAAUUUUAUGUUCCAAGCAAAUAAUUUUAUGAUUUAUUCUUCUCAAUAUUAGAAUUCGAGGUCAACAUUGUUAAGAAGGACAGCUCAAACCUUUAUAAGUUGAUCUAUGUUUUCAUCUUUAUUCGAUGUGAAAUUUUAUCCCUUGACAAUCAAGUUAUUAGUAAGUUCUGGAUCCGUAAAAUGAAACCUUAGCAUGUCAUUAAGAAAUCCAUUCGUUAAUAGGAUUCAAUUAAGCUACUGUUGACAAUUAUGAGUUGAUACAUGGUUAAAUGAAAUUCAAACACUUAAUAUACUUGAUAACUUGUUAAACUGUUAAUAUAGGUUGCAGUUUGAGAGUUCUGAAGUAGUAGAACGAUAUAAUGACCACUUUUCAAGUAUUAUUGACAUUAAUAUUUUUCUUAAUUUCCAAUUAAUUUAAAUGAAUAAAUCUAGAGAUCAUAGUAAAUAUGAGGCUUAAGGAGAAUUUGCAAUGAUUUCAGCUACUUUUGAAAAGUCAAUAGGGUCAAAUUCAUCAAUGGCAACCCAACUUUAUUUAAAUAAAUUCACAUAUUCGACGUUAAUUUUAAUAUUUAAAUAAAGUGAUCAUUUGACAUCUUACUAGUGCUACCAAAGCACUUGUGAACCAUAAUAUUAAACACAUCUGAUUUGUUUAUUGUACAAUGUAAAUGGAUAUAAAGACUUCAAGGGGCAUUGCAUAACAUAUUCAAAGUUUCCAAAUAAAUAAAGUCAUCAUGUCCUCAACUCGUCAAAAAGUUAAUACCUUUAAGGCAUCUGCCAAAGAAAGGCAUGAAAAUUGACACCCCCACUAUCUAUAUACACCGUUUGACACUUACCUUAACGAUUAAGAAUAUGUCUAAUCAUCAUUUACAAAAACUCAUAAAUAUGUUUGUGAGUUUCAAAUUUUAUUUUCAAUCGUACAUUUCAUUGAAUUCACAACUUUUUAUCCUCUUUUCUAUCAAGCCUGACCAAAAGCCACUUAGGUAAUAGCCCAAGGCCUUGGAUAUUCGAGGGAGAAUAAAUCUCCCUAUCCCGAGUUGGGGACAGGGAGGAAGACAUGUGGCGCCCUUGUCCCUAUUCCUGUCCCCAACACGGGACAGGGAGCAGGGCUCUUCGAGGGACCUCAAAAAUAAACAAUUUGUUCUCUAUUUCUUGCAGAAAGUGGAAAUAUAUCUUGUUAUUGCACAAUGCAUAUUAUUGCACGACAGGAAUCACGUGUAUGAUUUGCCAAAGAAAUGGAGGUACUUUCCUUGGUUUCCUCCUCCUGCUUUAUUUCCACUCGUCAUCCAUUUGCCAAUAUGGGUUGAUUUCCUUUCCUAGAAAAUAUGCUCGUGCUGAUUUCCUAAAUUUGUGGAUUUAAUUGAAACCCAAAAAAGUUUGACCAUAUUUUCUUACCUUCAUUUCAAUCCAUGAGAAUCUUUGUCAAAUUUUUAAUUUGUGGAAUCACACACAUUGAAAGAACAUUUUAGUCCAACCUAUCUUUUCCGUUCAAUCUCAUCUUUGCAUUGACAUACAUUAUGUGUUGGUUGGAUAAAUACUGAAAAUUAUAAAAGAAAAUAUUAGACAGCAUUAAAGAAUAAACAACAAUCACAAAUUCACGACAUAUUUAGAAGAUGUUGCCAAAGAAAUCAAUUUUAAGGAGCUUUAAAUCACUUUUAAACAAGCUUUUAGCUCUCAACAUUUUUCAUGAGCUCGAUUUAUAGUACUAAUUAAACAAGAAAAAGACAUUAAAACUUUUUCCAUAGUAAUCUACAUUUUUGUCCAGCACUAAGCAUGUCUCCUAAAAAUGACACUAAACAUGUGGGCCUUUCCUGUUCAAUAGGAAUCCUCAUCUUUGAGAAUUAUGUUAGCUGUUAUUGUGCCCUCUGAGUAUGUUUCCUCAAGGAUCAACAGACAAUAACUAAUUUUUUUUAUUUUUUAUUUUUAAUUUACUCAAAGUCAUGUAUUUCAUGUUGAACUUCCACGUAUAGAAAUUCCGGAAGAUUAAGUGUUGAGAAAAUAAAGGCAAUGGAGAUGAAGAAUAAAAUGCAAAGAAGAGAAGAAGAUAAAUGUAUAUCAACGAAGGCUUGAACACGAAAUUAAUCUUACUGUCCGCAAACAUUAUUUGCCUCUUUUCCAAUACCUUUUAAGGAUUUCCAACAAAUAGUUUGUAGGAUUAAACAAAUCUUGAUAAGAAGAACACCAAAAAGCAAAGGUGUAACUUCACAAUGAACAAGUGAAAAAUGGAAUGGUUAUGUGAUAAUUUUUUCUCAAUUUUUGGAAGUAUAUUUUGGGAUAAAUUUCAAUGGAACUCAAUGAAUUUUCUUGCACUUGGAUCACCUAUUUAUAGGCAUUGGCAAAUUCCCACGAAAUGGUGCAAGAAAUAGGUGAAAAGUCACCAAAUUUGGAUGAAUAACGGUAAAAAACUAACCCAAUGGUUAGUUUUUAAUAAUCACGCAACUGCAUUGUUAAGCCCAUGCGAUCGCAUGAGACCCUCUCGAGAAUGGGAGGGCUGGCGAAGCUAUAACCAUGCGGUCGCAUGGUUAAGCAAGUUUAUUUUCUUUCCGAUUUUGAACAAUAAAUAUAUUUCCAACAAUCCUGUAUUAAUCACAUAAUCAAACAUCAAAACUUAUGUAUAAGAAUUAGACAUCUUUCGAUUUGAAUAUAUUCAUAGUGUAAAUCUCAUAAAGUAUUAUCAGAAUUCAAAGUGGCUAGUGUGCCUUGAAUCAAUUAUUCUUUGUGACAAUACUGAUAAAAUCACACACAAGUGUUAAGCUUUUCACUAGUUUCUCUAACUCACUUAGUGCUAAUAUGAUCUUGCACUAAUCCUAUUUCAUUGAACUUUUAAAGAGAGAAAACUCCAAUUCUCUAAUGAGGCAGCACCACCUCGAAGUUUACAUAGGUGAAAUUUUUCCAGUAUCUUUGUUACUUUUACAGAUACUUGUAUUCCGUAUUGCACUUCAUUAAGAGUUUAUUUUAACUCAUCCCUCCAAUAGUAACAACUAACACUAUUUUUCAAAGAUAGUAUUUGAUAUAUUUAAUAGUGUUGAAUCCAUCCACUUAUCGAAUAACUUGUUGUUACCUCUUGAGCCUCUAUAUAUUAGUUCAGUAUAUUUUGAUGAGAUUGCUGUUAUUGGUGGAUAUAUUUGAGGAGUUUUAAUCCCAUGUUACUCGAUGUCAAUCUCACUAACUCUUUCGUGAGAGGUUUUGUAAAUGGAUCAGCUAAAUUCUCACUAGACUUAACAAAUGUAAGAGAAAUUACUCUAUGGUUGAUUAAUUUCCUUACAUAUUCGUGUUUUAGACUCAUAUGUCUAGACUUUUCAUUGUAUACUUCGUUAUAUGCUCGAGCUAGAGUGGCUUGACUAUCAUACAAGAUAAGUAUAGAAGAAAUAUCCUUUAUGUCUAAAGGUAUUUCAUAUAAUAAAUCUCUUAGCCACUCAACUUCUUUUUCAGUUUCGGCCAACGCUACAAACUCCGAUUUCAUAGUUGAAUAAGUAAUACAAGUUUGUUUCUUAGACUUCCAAGAAACUGCACCACCUCCAAGAGUGAAUAUCCAAUCUGAAGUCGAUUUAUUCUCUCCUGCACUCGAUAUCCAACUUACGUCAACAUAUCCUUCCAAAAUUUUAGGAAAUUUUGUAUAUUGUAGCCCAGAAUUUUUGGUUUUCUUUAGGUAACCAAGAACCAUACCGAUGGCCUUCCAAUGUUCUGAACUUGGAUUGCUAGUAAACCUACUUAAUUUACUUACAACAAAUGCUACAUCAGGUCUUGUACAUUGUAAUGCGUACAUAAGACUUCCAAUUGUACUUGCGUAUUCUAUUUAUACAAUUGUUCUACCUUCAUUUUUUAUCAAUUUAAUAUUUGGAUCUACAAAAGUAUUAGCAUCCUUAACAUUCAAAUGUUUGAAUUUGUUUAUCACACUCUCAACAUAGUGUGAUUGGCUUAAUGUAAAACCCCCACUAUCCUUUUUAACUUUGAUACCAAGGAUAGUAUCAACUUCUCUAAGAUCCUUCAUUUUGAAAGCAGAAGAUAGAAACAAUUUUGUUUCUUUAAUCCCAUUUAUAUUAUUGCUAAUGAUUAGCAUAUCAUCAACAUAUAAACAUACUAACGUGAAUAUAUUAUCAUUCAUUUUCAUGUAGAGAAAGCAAACCCUUCUAGUUGUUCCAUAUAUACCUCUUCUUCGAUAUCUCCAUUUAAGAAUUCUUCUUGACGUCCAUUUGAUGAACAUGUAGUUCAUAAAUGGAUGCUAAUGCAAAUAAGAUCCUGAUCGAGGUUAUCCUCGCUCUGGGUGCAUAUGUAUCAAAGUAAUCAAUUCCUUCUAAUCAAUUCCUUCUCUUUUGACGAUACCUUUUAGCAACUAAUCUAGCCUUAUAGGUAUUCAGCGAUCCAUCAGAAUUGUAUUUCUUCCUAAAUACCCACUUGCAACCAAUAGCUUUAGAGCAUGCUGGUAGGUCAACUAUUUCCCAAGUGUAUUUCGAAAUAAUAGAAUCCAUUUCAUUGUUUAUAGCUUCUUUCCAGAACAUGCAAUCUCCAGAUUGCAUUGCUUCCUUAUAAGUCUUAGGAACACUUUCAACUUGAAGAACAAAGGGAAUUGUUCUUACAACAUCCUUCCUAUCUCUUUCUACUGAGUAAAAAGAAAUAAGUUGGGGAUCUAUUUCAUGUGAUCCUAAGUUCUUUUUUUUUCUAGUUCUUUUACUUCUUCAAGGUUCAAUUUCAACAUCUUUUAUGGAUGUCUCUUCUAGUGAGCUUCUAAAGAUUGAAAUAUCCUUAUUAUUAUUUUCAGAUUUCCUAGCUACCAUUACAUCCUCAAAGAAUUCCACAUCUCUUGAUUCGAUUAUGACAUACGUUUCUAGAUUUAAUAAUCUAUAGGCUUUGCUAUUGAGAGUAUAUCCCACAAAAGCACAUUUGAUACCUCUAGGACCUAGCUUGGUCCUCUUAGAAUCCAUAUUAUUACAAUAGGCAAUGCACCCUCACACUUUAAAAUAACUAACAUUUGAUUUUCUAUUUUUUCAAAUUUCAUAUGGAGAAAUUUUAUUCUUUUUCAUAAGAAUCCUAUUUGUUAUAUGGCAAGCACUAAAUAAGGCUUCACUUCAUAGGUUAAAAGGUAAUUCAGAAUUUAACAACAUGACAUUUAUCAUUUCCAAAAUAAGUUCUAUUUUUUCUUUCUACUAAUCCAUUUUGUUCUGGUGUUCUAGAUUCAGAAGAUGUAUUAUUCCAUUUUGUUCACAAAAUAUGUUAAAUUCAUUAGAAAAAUAUUUCUCACCUCUAUCACUUCUUAAAGUCUUUAUUUUUCUUCCUAAUUGAUUUUCAACUACAAUUUUAUAAGUCAUAAAGGCAUUAAAGGUUUCAUCCUUAUGUUUUAAUAAGUACACAUAAGUAUACCUAAAACAGUCAUCAAUGAAAGUAAUAAAAUAUUUUUUACCGCCUCUAGUUAUCGUUCCAUUCAACUCACAUAUGUCGGAAUGAACAAGUUCGAGUAAUUUUGUUGAUCACAUUACGCUAUGAAAUGGCUUCUUGAUCAUUUUUGAUUUAAAACAUAUUUCACAUUUUUCUAAGUUGUCAAUAUCACAUUGUAUUAGUUCACAUUUAAUCAUUUUUUUUCAUAGUAUUAACUCCUAUAUGUGCUAAUCUACCAUGUCAUGAAUUAAAUGAAUCAGUAACAUAAGCAGAAGAUUUAAAUUUCAUUUGAGUUAUCCUCAAUAGUACAUAGUUUGACCAUUCCUUCGGUGGAAUAGUCCUUUCCAAUAAAAUGCCCAUUAUGGGCUAAUACAAACUUUCUAGAUUCAAAAACAGAUUUAAUUCCAGGUUUUUCCAAGAGUACACCACUUGCUAAGUUUCUAUUCAUUUUCGGUACAUGCAAGACAUUUGUCAAAGUGAUUUUCUUUCCUGAAGUGAAAAUGAGUUCCACAUUUCCUUUGUCAAUCACUUUUGAUCUUCCUUCAUUUUCCAUUUGUAUCUCUUGAUUGUCUUCAAUGUCAUGAUAAGUUUUGAAGUGAGACUUAUCAUAACAUACAUGGAUUGUAGCUCAUGUAUCAUACCACCACCCAGAACUUUUCCUUAGAUUGCAUUGAUUUCGGUCACUGUGUCGAUAAUCUCAUCAGCGAAGUUCACUUGUCCUUCUUUUGUUGUUUCCUAUGUCUACAAUCCUUAGCAUAGUGUCCCGAUUUUCCACAGAUAUAGCAAAGUUCUUUGGCUUUAUUUUUAAACUUUCCUUGAUCCUUUCUAGGACUAAGAAAUUUUCAUUUCUUUUUAAAUUUGUUGGAGUUGUCCACAUUGUCCACAGCAUUGGCCUUUGAAGAAUCAUCGUAAGAAUUUUCAAUCUUAUCUCUUGUCCUUGAUUCUUCUUCAAUACGAAGAUGUUUUUGUAUAUCUUCCAAAGAAAGGUCUUCGCAAUUGUGAAGAAUCUUCUUCCUAUAUCCUUUCUAAGAAUCAAGAAGUUUAGCAAUAAUUGCUCCCAUUUGGAAAGUUUCGGAAAGUUCGAUUUUCAUCGCUUUCAGUUUGUUUACAAUUAUUUGUAACUCAUGUACUUGAGGCAACAGCGGUAUAUUAUCCAAAAAUUUGAAAUCAAAAUACUUAGGUAUUAAGAACUUUUUGGUACCUUCCUCCUCGGCUUUGUAUUUGCUUUCUAGCGCGUACCAGAUAUAUUUUGUUGAUGAAGUGUUGGUGUAGAGAUCAUAGAGGCGAUCGGAUAAUGCAUUUAGGAUAUGGCCACGGCAUAUCAAUUCGUCCUCUUUCCGUUUCUUCCUUUCUGCGCGAAUUUCUUCGGUAUCCUUGUUAGUUGCAUCGGGGAUGAGCUCUAAUUUUGGAUCAAGCACGUAGAAAAUUUUCAAGGCCGUUAACAAAAAAUUUAAGUUUGUCCUGCCAUCUAGUAAAAUUUGUGCCAUUUACUCUGUCCAAGCGUACCAAAUCUUAAUUCAUCAUUUUGAUAGUAACAAGUGUAGAUUCCGUCUUCAUCGCAGUAAUAGUAACAAAUAACAUUUGAGAUUGUCAAGAAAUAAAGCCAAUGGAGAAGAAGAAUAAAAUGCAAAGAAGAGAAGAACAUAAAUGUAUAUCAAUGAAGGUUUGAAUACGAAAUUAAUCUCGUUGUCCUCAAAUGUUAUUUGCCUCCUUUCCAAUACUUUUUAAGAAUUUCUGGCAAAUAGUUUGUAGAAUUAAAUAAGUCUUGAUAAGAAGAACACGAAAAAGCAAAGGUGUAACUUCACAAUGAACAAGUGAAAAAUGGAAGGAUUAAAUAAUAAUUUUUUCUCAAUUUUUGAAAGUAUAAUUUAGGGAUAAAUUUCAGUGGAACUCAAUGAAUUUUCUUGCACUUGGAUCACCUCUUUAUAAGCCUUGGCAAGUUCCCUCGAAAUGGUGCAAGAAACAGGUGAAAAAUCACCAAAUUUGAAUGAAAAAAGGUCAAAAACUAACCCAACAAUUAGUUUUUAAUAAGCGACCGUAUGGGACCGCAUGGCUAUAGCUUCACCAGCCCUCCCAUUCUCGGAAGGGCCUCAUGUGACUGCAUGGGCUUAAUCCAUGCGGUCGCAUGGUUAAGCAAAAAAAAAAUUUUCUUUUCGAUUUUGAACAACAAAUAAAUUUCCAACAUUAAGUUAUGAGAAAAAAAGUUAUGUUUAAGGGCGUCGUAUAUAAAAAUACAUGUUUCUUCAAGGAUCAAUACGUAAAAAUAUCAUACUUGAGGGCCUCAUCAUAAUUAUUUGCUAGCCCUGAAAACUUGACCGCCAUAGUCCCUUUUCUACGAACCACUGUGGUGAGCCUUUCUUCGUCAACAAAUCUAGUUCGCAGAUUCACCUCACUUUCUCCAUCAACAAGCCUAGUUUGUAGCUUUGCCUCACCGAGUGACACCAACAAGGUACAUCAACAAGCCUGGAAGUUGUUACUAUGUAGAUGAAUAUGUGGAUCCCUAGAUUCUAACAUUUGCUCAGCAGCUUAGAACUUUGAGGAUAACAGGAUUCAAGAAGCCCAAUUUCACACUGAACAACUUAUUAAGCAAGAGACAAUCACUUUCAAUGUGGAUGAGGAAUUUAAUUCAGCAACUCUAUUUUAUUAUUGGUCUCUUACUGCAACUCACGACAUAAUUCUACAAGUGCAAGAAUUAAUAGAUGCUAUACAAAAUAGAAAGUGCUACGUGUACAUAAUUGUUUACAUAAUGAUGUUCAUAAUUACACGUGACACUGGAUCCAACAUUUAAUUCAAAUCUACACUUGUAAAUCAACAACCAGAUGAUUGCCACAUCACAGUGUGAACACCAUUAUAUGCAAUAAUUAUGUACAAGUAGAAUUUUCCAAUAAAAUAUGCUAACCUACCAGUUAAAUGAGUUACGUUGUAGAACCACAACAACGCCAAAAAUGGACCUCCAAAUGGGUACAUGGAGUCACACAAACUGGCGUCCUCAAUGGGAAAAAUAUUGGAAACUGGUAGAAAUUGAAGCCAGCCAAAAGAAAGCAAUCAUCUCAAGGACAAUAUAUGACUUCAAUACAUCACUCCAAUGUACAAUUUCUUUCAUGGUCUGCCGAGACCAAGGGAGAUCGAGAUUGAGUGGCAUGUAGGGCGCAUCGCCGCUGCUACAGAACCCUUGGUAGCGCUGGGAGCACCAGGGCCAGAUCUUGGCCCAAAUUGGUCAACCAAGACAAAAGGGGAUCGAGAUCGAGUGGCAUGUAGGUCCAACACUACUGCUACGGGGGCCUCGGUAGCGGUGGGAGCACCGAGGCCAAAUCUUGGCCCGGGUUGGUCCAUCGAGACCAAGGGGCACCAAGGCCAGAACUUGGCCUAGGUGGGUCCUUCGAGACCAAUGGGGGUUGAGAUCGAGUGGCAUGUAGGUCACAACGCCGCUGCUACCGAGGCCUUGGUGUUGGUGGGAGUACUGGGGCCAGAUUUUAGCCCGGUGUUUAGUCUAAAACCGAGAGCAAAGGGGAUUGAGAUGGAGUAGCAUGUAGGUCCAUUGUAGUCGGAAUGUUUGAACGACUAUGGCUUGAUGCAGUCGACUGCAUGAUCUCUAGCCAAGGCUGGAAGUCUUUGAAAAGGAGAAAAUGGAAGUGAACAUUAUUGAUCCAUACUGGUAUAUAUUUCAUUCUAUAUUUUAAUAAAUAGCGAAUAAUGAGAUAUUUUUUUUAUCACAUUUUAAAUAAUAAAUAAUUACGAAAAGUAUUUUCUCCUUGUCUCAAAGCAUAGAACAAAAUAUUUGAAGUAAAUCAUCAUUAAUGAAAAGAUGUACUAAUUAAUGAAAAAUUGAAGAUAAUAAUUUGACCCAAAAAAAUGAUUGUUAUAACGCGAAAUACAAUUAAAAUAUAGUGUAACGAAUAAAAAUUGUAGUACCAAUAUAAAUUGACAUCCUUUGAUAGAGACCCAAAAAAAAUCAAAAAUCUGAAAUAUGUUUUUUUGCUCGGAUUACAUUGGCUAUAUGCUAAUAGAAAUGUAAUACAAAAGAGGUAAAUAACAUAAAUUUCUUCAAAACAUUAUUGUUCAUUUGAUUACUGAUUCAAAACUCCAAAUUUGCAUUUAGUCUCAACUUGCCAAAUUUGCUCCAUCUCCUGCGAUUCUAAGUCUAGUUCCUCGUCAAUAUUUAUUGUUGUAGUCAUAUAUAUAUUAAGAACAGGAAUUGUAUGCAGCAGAAGUUGAACACUCUGCUUAAAAUUCCUCCACGUGCUAGAGAUACAAGCAGUGCAUAAGGAGAGCAGCAUAAUUAUGGGGUAGACAUACCAAAAGACAUCUUGUGGGAAGAAUACGAAGGCAAAGAGCAAACCAAUAGGGAAAUUAAGUAAUUCUCGACUUGAAUGAGUCUGUAUCCCGUAUCAACUUGAGGUGUCAAUGAGAUUUCAAUAGAGAUGAAGGAGAAGUGAAAGAAAAAGCUAGUGAGAAUCCAAAACUUGAUCCAAGUGAAGUUCCCAAUUACCAUACCAAAUGGAUUCCAUUCCCAAUGCAUGGCUGUAUAUGAUUUCAAUAUAUUUACAACGAAUAGGAGUAACUGGAAACUUCAAUUGGAUCCAUUUGGUAUGUUAAUUGGGAACUUCACUUGGAUCAAGUUUUGGCUUCUCAUUAGCUUUUUCUUUAUCUUCUCCUUCAUUUCCAUUGAAUCCUAUUCGUUGUAAAUAUAUUGAAAUCAUAUACAGCCAUGCAUUGGGAAUGGAAUCCAUUUGGGAUGGUAAUUGGAAACUUCACUUGGAUCAAGUUUUGGAUUCUCACUAGCUUUUUCUUUCACUUCUCCUUCAUCUCCAUUGAAAUCUCAUUGACACCUCAAGUUGAUACGGGAUACAUAUGCGUUCAAGUUGAGAAUUACUCAAUUUCCCUAUUGGUUUGCUCUUGGCCUUAGUAUUCUUCCCACAAGAUAUCUUUUGGUAUGUCUACCCCAUAAUUAUGCUGCUCUCUUUAUGCACUGCUUGUAUAUCUAGCACGUGGAGGAGUUUUAAGCAGAGUGUUCAACUUCUGUUGUCAACAAUUCAUGUUCUUAACAUAUAUAUGACUACAACAAUAAAUAUUGACGAGGAACCAUACUUAGAAUCGUAGGAGAUGGAGCAAAUUCGACAAGUUUAGACCAAAUGCAAAUCUGGAGUUUUGAAUCAAUAAUUAAAUGAACAAUAAUGUUUUGAAGUAGUUUCUGUUAUUUGCCUCCUUUGUAUUACAUUUCUGUUAGCAUAUAGCCAAUGUAAUCCGAGCAAAAAAACGUGUUGCAGAUUUUCAGAUUUUUUAUUUUUAUUUUUUUGUCUCUAUUAAGAGAGAAACUUGGGUGGGGUGAUCGCACCAUCCACGUGGUGCUACCGGCCAACCCCGAAGCACCACCUCUGCAGAUGGCUCACACACCUCGAGGGUGUGUGGUGGCCCACCCACCGAGGUGGUGCACAUUGAUAGUAGCGGUGCGACCGCCCUACCUAAGUUUUUUUCCUCUAUCAAAGGAUGUCAAUUUAUAUUGGUACUACAAUUUUUAUUUGUUUCACUACAUUUUAAUUGUACUUCGUGUUAUAGCAAUCAUUUUUUUAAUUUUUUUUGUCAAAUUCUUAUCUUCAAUUUUUCAUUAAUUAAUAUAUCGUGUCAUUAAUGAUGAUUUACCUCAAAUAUUUUUUUGGGCUUUUUUGGGCGACUUUUUGACGAUUUUCCGAUUGAAUCCCUUGAAGUUACGAAAAGACUUGGGUGUAAUUGAAGAGGACAUUAUGGACUUUCCAACGUUAUCAAAAUUUGACGGUAUCUAUGAUCGAAAAGUUGCGGCAAAAGCAACCCAAAAAUUUGAAAAUGUGGUUUUAAAACUUCAGUGACCGUUUCUACAAGUUUUUAAACUUCAAUGACCAUUUCUAAAAGUUUUUAAACUUCAGUGCUCAUUUCUGAAAGCACCCCGAAGCUUAAGUGACCGUUACUAAAAAUUUUAAACAUCAAUGACCGUUUUGUAAUUUCUGCAUAAGUUCAAUGACCUUUUUGAAAUUAAUCCAAAAAAGUUUGCAUGUAGAGUUUCAUGUUUCUUAAAAAGUACAAACAAAUCUCACGUAAAACAAUUUAAAACAUUCUAAUUAAAGAAAAAUAUUUUAUCAUCUCAAUUAACCCACCUACUCCUACACCCAUCCCUUACAUUCCACCACCACUACAAAAUUAAUCAAAGAGAUAAUUAAAAGUAUAAUAAAAGCAAAAUAAUAAUAAUAAUAAUAAUAAUAAUAAUAAUAAUAAUAAUAAUAAUAAUAAUGAUGAUGAUGAUGAUGAUGAUGAUAAUAAUUUAUGACCCCAUUUGACCCCCAUUAAUUUUAAUUAUAAUGGGGAAAAUAGUAUUUUUUUUGAAAAAUUGAUGGUUGUAAAAGAAUAAAAAGUUUUCGAUUUACGUGUAAUAUUAUUUUAUUAAAAAUUGUGUGAUUCAAAAUAAGAAAGAAAAAUUUAAUUUAAUUUGAUGAGAUGUAAUGGGAGGGAGAAGGAACGGUGGCUAUAUAAAAAUGAAUGACGCUUAUUCCUCAUCAAAUAAUUUUUAAACCUUUAAUUCUCUUUUUAAUUAUUUGAUGGUCAUGUUGAUGGAGGAGGAUAUGCAUAGGAGUCAAGAUAGGGACAGGUGGUUAAUUGGAAAAAUAAUUUUUUUACUAGAAUGUUUUAAAUUGUUCUGAAUAAAAUUCAUUUGCAGUUUUUAAAAAAAUUAUAAAAUCUAGAUACAACAUUUUUAUAUUAUUUCUUUUAUAUAUAUAUUUGUUUAUUUAAAGAUGAUAAAUUAGUCAUUUUAUAAUGUUAUAAUUGAAAAAAUGGAUGGUAAAGACAUUUUAAGCAAAGAAAUGUCGAUCUAAAUGUUCAAAUGUCAAAAUUGAAAUGAUAAGAACUAUUCACACAAUUAAAGCAAACGAUAGGCACGUUUUUGCGUCAAAUUACACAUAUUUUACGAAAGGAUUUAAUGAAAUAUGACGGAAAGCACGGAUUUUGCAAGAAACGUUUGAAAUAAGAGUGUAAAUGGCAACUUUGAAAUAAUAUGAACCGAUUACAAACGAUUAGAAUGCUUUUUGGUAAUUACCCUAAAGCAUAUUUACUCUCUAGAUAUUGAGGGAAUUUAGCCCUUGUCUAACACCCAUUAAAAUUUUAAUAUAUUUUUCUCUUUUUUUUUUCAAUCACAUAUUCAUCAAUAAAAUAAUAUUAUAAGUAAAUCAAAAAAUUUCCUUCUUUUUUUACCACAAAUUCUCCCAAAAAACACUAUUCCAUAAUACAUUUUAUCAAAAUUUCUCAUUAUAAUGGAUGUCAAACAAAGGCUUAAUAUAAACUAAUUUACACUUUACUUUUAUAAUAAAUAAUGUUAUUCAUAGUGUCUAUUGAUAGUCAUCCUUCGUGACAUACACAUGACAAUAUGUUAUUUGAUGCAUAGGACGGUAAAAAAACUAUCAUAUUAAUUUAUCAAAUAAUGUCAUGUGUAUGUCACGUAAGAUAACUACUGAUAGUAGUUCUUAUUAUAUAAUUCAUCAGCUGCAAUCUUAAAAGAGACAUAAAUUUAGUUAACAGUGGUUCUUAUUAUAUUAGUUCAUCAGCUAAUAUAUAAUCAGUCCUUCCUAUAGCUUACUAGUUGAGUGUGGAAGGGGAUAGCAAAACGAAAAUAAGAAAAUCAGAAUUUUAUGCAUCGUGUUUUCCCCAUCAAACUUAUUUUUAUUAUAUAACUUCUAAGACGAUAAAACUAAGUCAUGAGAUUUGCCCUACUAAAAAACUUCCUAUAUUCACUUUUAUUUUUUAUUUUUUAUUUUUGGGGCUUGCAAAUCAUUUCUUAUGCAUAAGUAAUUGUUGUAACUAACUGAUAUUCGCUACAUACAGAUGUACUCAUCCCUAGAAUAAAUGAAGCAAUGAUUUAUGAAGAGAAGUAAGAGACAAGAGAAGGAAGGAGGGAAGCAAGAGAGAGAGACUUUUUAAGCGUAGCCAAAAUAUGCUGUAAGUAAAUAUGCAAGAGAGAGAAACUUUUUAAGCUUAGCCAAAAAAUGCUAUAAGUAAAUAUCUUGCAUAAUCCAUGAUAACCAAUCCAUCUCAAAGGAAGUUUGUGCAUUUUCCCUCAUAAUAUGACUUGACAGUGACAAGAGUAUUCUAAUUAAAGCCUAUGGAGGUGGACUCUUGAGAGUGUUUAUAUGAAUAUUAUAAAGAUGAAAUAUUGAAGAACAAGGAGCACUAGCCAUACCAGUGUGAAAUAUAUUUCAAAGGACGGAAUGAAACUUAAUUAUAGGAACACGUUUUAACAAUAUUUACAGUGAACCAUAAAUUUGAUCAUGGGCCACAAUUGCAUGACUAUUUGUGUGAACUCAUGAAGUUUGUUCUAUAAAUCAUGAUAAAGAAUUCAUCCUGCGACAAAGUCAUGCUUUGGAUCAACGAAGCUUCUUUCUUAGCUAAGAAUCUGUAGCUUUUGUUUUUCAAUAAAAAGUGUAUAUCAUUUGAUCAACUCAUCAAUAAAUAUUCAGUACAAGUAUUCAAUUCAACGUAUAUGCCUUUUUAAAUUGUAUUUAGUCAUAAUUUUAUGUUCCAAGCAAAUAAUUUUAUGAUUUAUCCUUCUCAAUAUUAGGACUUGUGGUUAACAUUGUCAAAAAGGACCGCUCAAACUCUUAUAAAUUGGUCUAUGUCUUCAUCCUUAUUUGAUGUGAAAUUUUAUCCUUUAACAAUCAAUUUAUUAGUAAGUUCUGGAUCCGUAAAAUGAAACCUUAGCAUGUCAUUUAGAAAUCCAUUCGUUAAUAUGAUUCAAUUAAGUUACCGUUGCCAAUUAUGAGUUGAUGCAUGGUCAAAUGACAGCCUCUAUAGCUUCACAAACUUGAUAUAUUUGAUAACUUGUUAAAUUGUUAAUAUGGGUUGCAGUUUGAAAGUGGAAGAAUCUUAAUGAUCGCACAUGUAUACCUAUUCUUGACUUCAUCUACACCUUGUCAUCACUUGCAACUAUUAUAGAAAUACAGAACUGUUAAUAUGGAAUGCCACUUGUCAACACUUGGACGGUUCAUUAGCUCUAAAUUGAAUCUCUUGAGAAAUUUCUAGAAGCGGAAGCGUCUAACUUUGAGGCAUUAUUCUCCAAUUCAGUUGGCUUGGGUUGUCACUAUGCAUGAGCUGGUUGAAAACUCUAGAUUUUUCGUUCUCCAUUUGUACAUCACAUUUCCAAUUUGAGAGCGGAAUCAACUCCUCGCGCGUUUGAAUUUGAUUUGAAAUGGUUGAUGAGUUAAUUUAAUUAUUUAUAUUUGAACUAAGAUGUCUUUUUUUUUUCUUUUUUCUUUUUUUUCUUUUUUUUUAAAGAAAAAACGAGAUUAAAAAAUAGUUCACAAACCAUAUGAUAUAAAGAUGGCUUGUUGAAUUAUUUUUCAAUAGCUGUCGAUGACACAGCAAAGUUUUUCAGUUGGGGUUCAGGUAUGAUAUAGAGUUUUUGGGUGUGGUUGGAGUUCUAAUUUGUGUUUUCAAUGAAUAAUUUGGAGGGAAUUAUGCCUAUAUAUAGACUUUAAGCAAUUUGCAUAUUGACAUGAGUUGCCAACCAGCACCAGUUAAUCGAGUCAAGAAAUGCAAGUUGAUCAAACAAUGUAUCAUUAUAUAUCAAAAUUAUGAAUUUAGUGAUCCAAUUAACAGAAUUAUGAAAUAACUCAAUUACGACAUUUGGUAUUUUUUUAUCCACAAAUUAAAUACGGAAAAUUGUUGCAAAAAUGACACUAACCUCAUCCACCAUACUUGUAAGGAGGAGGCUUUUCCCCGAAAGUUGAUUUAGCAAACAGAAAACAAGCAAUUCCCAGGCCUAUCCCCGCGGCUCCUCCAAGAAUAAUAGCCACUGUCUUCUGUGUAUUCUUCCUUGUCCCUACGUUCCCUACACCAAUCACAUUACACUCACAUAAAUUAAAACUGCAACAAUUUUUUUCCUUUCACUUUCCUUUUUUUUUUUUUUUAUUCGGGAUUUCUUUAACAUUUUGAAAAUAAGAAAUAGACAAAUUCAUGUAUUGGAUAAAUUUAUCAAUGAACUAAAAGGGAUAACGGAAAAAGAUUUAUGUUUAAGACUCCAAAAUUAUCAAGAAGAAAACUUUGUUUGUUACAUAAGUAGAUGUAGCCCUUUUGGACGCUUGAAUUUUAAAUAAGAUUAUUAACCAAGCAAAGCUAAAUGUUCUGAUCAGGACAAGUGGGACAGUUAGUUAUGUCCUACUAUCUACACAAUUCUGUCUAUGUUCACAAUCAUGUUCGGGAAAAGGUACUUGUAUAGGAGUGGUUGUGCAAGGGCGAUUCCCCCUUUCCAUUGUAGUCCAAGUGAUAACAAACAGCCUCUAUACCUAUUCUUGACUUCAUCUACCAAAUUUGCGAUCAUCUCCACGCAUUAAAGAUUGAGUCAAUAUGUUAAAUAUUGUAAAUAAAUAUGAUUAAAUAAUUAAAAUUAAACAUAUUUGAUUUGUUUACCGUACAACGUAAAUGGAUAUAAAGACUUCAAAGGGGUAUAACAUAUUCAAAGUCUCCAACUAAAUCUAGUCCUCAUAUCCUCAACUUAUCAAAAAGUCAAUACCUUAAAGGUAUGUGCUAAAGAAAGGCACGAGUAUUGACAACCCCACCAUCUAUACAUUUGACAUUUGCCUUAACGAUUAAGAAAAUGCCCGAUCAUCAUUUACUAAAACUCAUAAAUAUGUUCGUAUCAUCUGCCAAACUCAACUAUUUCAAAAUUUAUUUUCAAUAAUGUAUUUCAUGGGAUUCACAACUUUUACCAAUUUUUCCAUCAAAUCUUACCAAAGCCAAUUAGGCAAUGGUCUAAGGCCUUAGAUAUUUGAGGGACCUCAAAAAUAAACCAUUUGUUCUCUGGUUCUUGCAGACAGUGGGAACAUAUCUUGUUAUUGCAAAUUAUUGCAUGACGGGAAUGACCUUUAUGAUUUGCUAAAGAAAUGAAGGUACUUUCCUUGGUUUCUUCAUUUUGCUUUAUUUCCACUCGUCAUUCAUUUACCAAUAUGGGUUGAUUCCCUUUCCUAGAAUAUAUGCUCAUGCCAAUUUCCCAAAUUUGUGGAUUUAAUUGAAACUCAAAAAAGUUUAACCAUAUUUUCUUACCUUCGUUCCAGUCCAUGAUAAUCUUUGUCAAAUUUUUAAUUUGUGAACAUUUUAGUCCAACCUAUCCUUUCCAUCCAAUCUCAUCUUUGCAUUGACAUACGUUAUGUGUUGGUUGGACAAUAAAAGAAAAUGUUAGACAGCAUUAAAGAAUAAACAACCAUCACAAAUUCGCGACAUAUUUAGAGAAUACUGCCAAAGAAAUCCAUUUUAAGGAUCUUUUAAUCACGUCCAAACAAGCUCUUAGCUCUCAACAGUUUUCAUGAGCUCGAUUUAUAGUACUAAUUAAACAAUAAAAAGAUAUUAAAACUUUUUCCAUAUUAAACUACAUUUUUGUCCAGCACUAAGCAUGGCUCCUAAAUAUGAUAUGAUGGUAAACAUGUGGGCCUUUCUUGUUUUAAUAGGAAUCCUCAUCUUUGAGAAUUAUGUUAGUUGUUAUUAUGUCCUCUGAGCAUGUUUCCUCAAGAAUCAAUAGAAAAUAGCUAUUUAUUUUUUCAUUUUACUCAAACUCGUGUAUUUCAUGUUGAACUGC
rnacentral:lncRNA from 1 species